rnacentral:lncRNA from 1 species
GCAGCAGCAUUCGUCCUUCAUCGGGUUUUUCUUGCUGAUGCAGUGGUAGCCAACACCAGUGUAGCCCCAUCCUCGACAAGCAAGCAUGCACCCAUAAGGUCUGCAAAUUGGGUACUGCCUGCAAUCUAUCUCUGCUCGUGGUUGUGGCAGUUUAUUUUCCUGGCAGGAAUUGAAGCCUACAUAUCCAACAUAAAAAACAUCAAACCAGACAGUAUCAGAGACUUCCUCCUGCAGCACUAGGAGCCUACAUAUCUAACACACUAAUUUCAUUAAAUUUAUUGGAGCACUAACACUAGCUAAUGUUUCGAUAUCAUAAAAACUGAAGUAUACAUAAAAGUAUGUUUUACCUGAGAGGCUAGCAGCUCGGCAGGAGGGUGACGUAGCAAACAUGAUCCCAAGAACCAAGAACAAUGCAGCCCACAGGUACACAAUCCUUGUCGUAGAGAUCUUGAUUAGUGCCAUGAAGAAGAGAAUCUUGCUACUCUCCUCUUUCUGUGACAAGGAGAAGAUUUCUAAUGUUUGAAUUAUGCAUCUACUGUAUUGGUAUUUAUAGGGAAGAACAACCAUCCUCAUUUAACAUAUGUAUCUUAAUAAGAUUUAUGUGAUCUACUAGAUAUCUUGCACUAGUGUUUUGAUAUCUCAAACUAUCUUAUUAUACUACAAUAAAUAUACUUGAGUAUCCAAUCUAAUCCCUUACAAAAACGUGUUGCCUUACAUUUAUGGUAGCUACUAUAUUAAUUACAUGAGCGCUCGAACAUCUUCUUAGAUGCUAUUAAAUACAUCUAUCUGGAGCAGUCCCCAGCUGCUGUCGAUUGAGCAGUCACAAUACAAGGAAAAAAUGUCAGGCUGGACCCACUUUUUUUCAUUAAGUAUAUAUUUAGACCCAAAAAAUAGUGUUAAGGAUGUCAAUGUGUCAUCACAUCUAAACCAUCACCACAUGUACCUUGUGAUGUUUUCCCAUAAAGUCAUUAAAAAUGUGUGGACAUUCUACACAACUUAUAUUGAAAAUUUUCUGUCCCUUUUAUGAAACCAAAUGUAUGUCACAAAAUAAUUAGUCAACAUGUGAAAAUACAAUUCUUCACAAAUACCAAAGCCGGACUAUGGUUAGGGUAGGUUUUUCUGAUGAAACACUACUAUGCUAGAACAACCAAUCAUUGUUAGGGCCAUUGUCAGUCAUUCUGGAGCCAGCAGUGGUUGCUUAUCACUCGUGGUUCAUAAGCCUAUAGGAUCCAGAAAAUUUAUUGGAAGCGCUAUUCACCCGAAGUCACCUAUCAUUGCCAGCUCAAACCACCAUCCAUCAGUGAAAUACGACUGCCGGGUCAUGCGACAAACAUGUAGUGGUAUGUGUCAUAUUACUGUUAGCUAAGGAUAUGACCCCCAACAUUGAUAUAUUACUGAUAGGUCAUGCCACGAGCUGGAAGUGAUAUUUUCAUAUUACUAUCGGGUUUUAAGAUGACCAGAUAAUGUUCUUUAACCGCUACAUCCACCUAACCUUCAUAUUUAUUGAUUCACCAUUGUUGGAUCCUACUAUCACCAUUGCUUCUGGUUAGAAAAUAAUUCUCCAAAUGCCCUGCCUGUGACGACCUCUUAUAGUCCAACAAGUCAUUGGUUCACUACUUGUGUAUCUAUGUCUAAUAGUAAAGAUAGAAAAUUUCUGCCACUAAUUUUUUCAUCCAGCCUAAUCACUGAUUCUGUCUCGGAACCCGCUUGUGAAGUCCCACGUCUGAUUUUCUUUCCUGUGGAGAUGUUCCCAUCUGUGUCCUUUGUCUCACAAAGUCCCCGCAUCCGUUUUUUCUUCAAUGAAAACGUUAUCUUCCGUGUGCAUUCUCGAGUUCAUUUUUUCUCUUUUUUUCCCUUUCGCUUUCUCACAUUUAGUUGUGACUUUUUUGUUUCUUCUUUUUUGUCUCCUGUUUUUUCUUAUACAUACAGAAAAAUAGAAAAUAAUGGAUAUAGUAUUUUAAGUCUUUGAAAUUCUAAUCCUUUCCUAAUAAAUAAAUAUUUCCAUCACUAAGGCUUGUUUGGAACGCAGUAAUUUUUCCAUGUUCCCGAACUCAUUCCUACGAAAUUUCUGCAUAAUUCCUGUGAAAUCCAUGCGUUCCAAAUUGGCCCUAAGUUGAUGGAAUUUUAAUUAUAUUAGGAAUAAAGCUUAUAAUAUUAGGAUCUGGACGAGGCGAUGGUCUAAUCAAUCUGUGGACUGAAAUCUAGUUUGUCAUCCAAUCCAUUCUAUAUCUACGUACCUAUUUAUAUUCAGAUCUAUCUAUCUAUCUAUCUAUCUAUCUAUCUAUCUAUCUCUCUCUCUCUCUCUCUCUCUCUCUCUAUAUAUAUAUAUAUAUAUAUAUAUAUAUAUAUAUAUAUAUAUAUAUAUAUAUAUAUAUAUAUAUAUAUAUAUAUAUAUAUAUAAGCUAUGCACAUAUAUCAGUACAAGCUUCCAAGCUGUCUGCAUAUACCAGUACUAUUCUCAACGAGGACAGACAUGUCAAAAUCGAGAGAGGUCUACUCAUCAACGAACAGACAAAAUUUUGACUUAAGACAUUAGAAUUAUAUAUUUGAUAUUAUUUCUAUGGAUCCACAAAACAAGUCGUUAAAUUACAUAUUCUCAACGAGGACAGACAUGUCAAAUUCUUGCUCUACCAGCACAUAAAUAGUGUGAAACUAAAGUUAUAUAUAUUUACUUGUAAAUAUUGUUGUGCCCGCAAGAAAAAAACUUACUAUUGGUUGUUUUUAGUUCAAUGUAAAAUAGAUAUAUAAUAAUGUUGCCAAUAAUAACUUAUAUUAGGGAUGUCAUAGUUCUAAAGUAUAGCUUUUAAAUCUUAUAGAAAAGAUAAAAAUAAAUAGAUAUGUAAAAUCGUCAUUCUUGUUUCUCAUUAAUGUGCCCAUUUAUUUGUGAUUGCCGCGGAAACCAUAACAAUAAUUCACAACAGAAAAACUAGAACAUAUAUAAAUUAACGGGGUGUAAGUGAGCUGUUCACCAAGCUCAAGCAACACACGUCAAGCAUUUCAUAACAUUUUUGUCCUAUUACAACGCAUAGGCAUGUUUGCUAGUAGUCUCAAUAUGUGUUUUCUGUGGGAGAAACAUCCACGUACACCAUGCAUUUUGUACUCAAGAUGAUGCACUGAAGUACUAGAAGAAUGUUUGUGAAGAUGGAGCCACGCCGAAGCUAGGGCAUGUUGGUAGCAAUAUAAAGCUUUAACCGGGCGCUCUGGUUGGUAGUUGGUUUGCGUUGAGCCAAUGUCAUUGGCUCAUCACUACAUCCUCGUUGUUGCAUGGGCUGCCUAGCUUGGUUGUUGGCCAGUUCGUUAGAAGUUGGUGUGGUCAUCGAUCUAUAUCCUUUGUUGAUGGUCAGUAAGUGAUCAAUCUGAGCAUCAACUUUUCAGUAAAGUUAAAGUUACAACUUCAUAGUAGUAAUUUAUUUUUCAAUAAUGUGGUUCCUCGUAUAUGGAAGUGUGCAAAUGCAGGGAUAAAUGUGCAAUUACAUGAAAGACUUGGCUCCAAAGGCAAGUGGGGCCAAGUUCUCUUCAAAAUUUGUUCUUCGGUUUUUUCAGAACUUCGGUCAUCUAAAAAACUAAAACAGGUCGGUUAGUUUUUAAAACAGUCCCGUGUAGUUCGGCUCAGUCUCGGUCGUGACCGAACUAACCGGACUAGACAAAGCAACUACUAAAUAGCAUAAUAUAUAGCAAACUUUAGCAAUAUUUUUUCUAUUUCAACGCACAAAUAAUAAUAUUGCAUAUAAAUUAAGCAAAAUUGAUGAGUGAUGGUUGAUAUAAACCCACCAGAACAAAUAUUAUAUCACUAAAUAUGGUCUAAACUGCACAUUAUGUCCAGAAAAUGCAAAAUUUCGGUUAGUUCGGUUACUCGAGGUAUAUAAGCAAACUAGUAAGGACUUGGGAUCGAACUAGUGACCAAAAACUUCUGUCUUGGUCUCGAUUAGUUUGGUUUGGUCUUCGUUUAAAUAUGCCCAGUGCUAUCCCCCAGUACCCAUACUUGUUGAAGAUGCCAGGUACCAACAGUGUACUCUCACUUAAAGGUGACAUGAAGAACUCCUAUGAUUGCGACAUCAAGACUGUUCAACUUGCUUGAUGGACCAUGAUCCUAAGAGUUCCCAUAGGGCCAACUACCUAGACCGAAGGUGUGGAACAAGAUGGCGAUGGUUCCAAGGCAAGAAAAUCGACCUAGAUAGUUUUAGGAAGAUAUAUCUUUAUAAUAGGACUAGAACUCUUCUAUUGUAACUCACUAGGACAAGGACCAUAUUGGCAGUCCUUAACUACCAAUAUAUACCGUCAACCAAACAUGGAAAAGUGCAUAAAAAGAAAAUACCUACAUAUAAUAGGAGUUAUGCUAAUAGAAUUCCAUAUCUUUGGUGAAUCAAUGUUACUACAAAGGUUUAUCAGGAAAAGAGAAGAGGGAUCAAGGACGUCGGGCUAAAAGGCAUAUUCUAUCAUCAAACUAAUUUGAGAAGGAUCUAAAAGACAUGAGAAGACAGACCAACAAAGAAGGGGCCCACCAGGCAUAAACGAGGGUUAGCUGACCCCACCUGUAGGUCGGCUGACCUAGCCUGGCCCCACUUUGUCAGCUGCCUUCUCAUAUCGGUUCUCCACCGUCGUAGAGUUUGCAUCUACGCCAAUGACUGAAAGUCAGUUUGAUCCGAGGGCCCUGGUUCAUCCCACUAGCUUAUAAAAGCAGAUCCCUACACCCUGUGUUGAGAGCAUACCAAGUCAUUCAAGUGAUCCUAGCUAGAAACCCUAGAGCCCCACCAUAUUCUAGGCACAACUACAUAGGUUAGAAGUAGAGAAACACAAGCUUCGCUUGGAUGUUGGAUUUGUGUCGAGAGUGUUGGUCGGUGUUGGUAUUUUAACGGAUACAGAAUAAUCAUAGGGAAUGAUCCACAAGCAUACGGAUACCAUUGUAGCUUUGACCCGAAGGUUGUAAAUAUCAUAUCCACAGGGAAACGUGUGAGAGUAACUACGAUCUAACUCAACAAAAUGGGUGAUAAUUGGGUAGAGAUGUAUGCCAAUUAAGAGUAGAAACAAAGUUAGGAUAAAUAGGAGCAUAGAAAGGUUAAAUAUGGGUCCUCUACUUCUAACUUGGGUAAACUAUGUUUUCUAUUGUCCAACUUUAGGAUAUCUUAUGAAUGUAUGAAAUUUCUUCUCUACAAGCACCAAUGUUGACACCGUUUUUGGACACGUACCCAGGGAUCGGUAGAGUAUAGAUCGGCAAGAUAGGGCAACAGUAACUGGUCAGUAGGGGAGUUGCCGAUGAAGGUGGUUGCCGAUGAAGAGACAGCUGAAUGUGACUAAGUCCAUGAGUGGUGAUGCGUUCAUGCCGAUGGUCAGCGUUAGCCUUUGUCGAUGGCUACGAUGAGGAGUCUGCCGAUGACUCGGAAGGAGAACAUGAAGGUUGCCGAUUGGUCCAUGGUGGUGUCCCGGUUUGUCACGGGAGGAUAGUUUUGUGCUUUCCUUAGUUAUUUAAAUCAUUUUGUAUACGGAUUCUGUUUAAUUUGGAAUUCGAGUCCUAGUCGUGUCUGACUGUAGCUCUUUGAGAAGGGUAUACAUGUAGACCCUAGGGCCUUGUAAUGAAACAAUCUAUCAAUCAAUCAAACACAUGUUUUUACUCAUAUUCCAGCAUCUACUUUUUCGACGACUUCAUCAUAUUUUCCUUUUUAUUACGAGUUCUUAGGAGUUCGUCGACUUAAGCUCGGUGUAUUCUCGAGUUCCGCGUGAAUACCUCUUGGCCGUGACAUCCGGGCGCAUCUCUGUUGUCGGGACCAAAGUAUUCGAGUUAUCACCUUUGCCGAUAGUAAGGUCAAAUCGGCUGGCACGCCUUAACGUUGAAUCGGGUAUUAGCCCUUUGUGUUUGCAGAUCAGCUUUUGCAUCAACACAUCUUUUGGCACACCCAGUGGGACUAGAUUCAAGACCAAGAUCGACAUGGCGACUAACGAUUCUUCGACUUGGAGAAUGUCAUCCCUGUGACGGAAGCUAAUCUCAAAGAUGAGCAGAAGCAAGCUAUUGCAAAGGCUAUGGAGGAUUACAAGCAACAAUGUUUAAAGUCCUUCAGCAUAAACAGGAGUGGCGAGGUGAUCCAGAAGGAAGCACUGCCGAUGCCUCGGCAGGUUACUUUUGAAGCCAAUCCUGGUAAACUUCAAGACAUGGUUGAUAGUGCUAUUAAUCGUGCCUUGAUCAAUCAAGCUGGUGUGAUGUCCAAUACGGUUUUCAAAGCCGUGGCUAGAACUUUCAAAGAAGGACAAUUGCCACCAAAUUAUGUUGGUCCUUCUCAUCAUCAGCUGGGGUCACCAGUUGUUACAGCUCCAUCGGCUGCUACAGCCGCUGCGGGCGCAGAAACAGCUGUUCCUCCAAGCACGUUAGGAGUCACUAAUGCAUAAUCCAUGCCGAUGACGACUAAUCCAUCAACUUCAGAUGAGCAGAUUAAGCUCACUACAGACCUGUUGGCAUCAACAAUGUCGGGAUCUGUCCCUCCUAACUGGUGGGGUUUUGGUAUGCCCCUAGAGUUCAUGUUGAAGACACCUAGUACAUCUCAAACGGCUGAUAUGAGAGGCAAGGCUCCUAUGGCAUCGGCACCUCCAAAUAUGCCGAUGAAUCAGAGUCCCCAGUAUACUACAACUACUACUGCCAGACCUUACACUGGGAAUUCUCAAGCUCCAACGUUCCAGAUGCCUAAUGCAUCGGCAGAUUCAAUGCCGACGCAACAGAGGUUUAUGACUCGGCCAGGGUAUGUCAAUUCAAUGAUGAUGCCCAAUUACCAGUCAUCGGCAGGACCUAUGCCGAUGAAUGCUAAUAGUGGAUGGCCUGGGCAGCAAGUCUUUCCACAAAUGCCCCAACAGAAUCAUCUGGCUACAGGGUUUCAACAAGGCCAGAUCCAACCUAGGUUCCAUAAUCAAGGGAUGGUCAACCAGCCGAUGAAUCUUGGACAGCAGAUUGGUGGUCAAAUGAUUAACCCAAUGUUCCAUGCAGAUCGUACACCGCAUAGACACAUGGAAGUGUAUCAACAGGUGCCAGAUCCGCAACCGCCUCAUCGGCAAGAUGCCAAUGCUUAUUGGGCUGAUAAGAUUGCCGAAGUAAUGAGAGACCAAUUUGGGAUAAAACCCAAAGUCAACACUUACUCUUAUCGGACACCGUAUCCUCCUGCAUACGAUUUGAUUCCACUUCCAAAUCGGUACAAGGUGCCAGAUUUCACUAAAUUUUCUGGACAGGAUGAUACGUCAACCAUGGAGCAUGUCAACAGGUUUAUCAUCCAAUGUGGAGAAGCUGCUAACAGGGAUGAAUUGAGGGUUCGACUGUUUUCAUCAUCUUUAUCUAGAUCGACUUUCACUUGGUUUAUAUCAUUGCCUCCUAAUUCAGUGAUUACUUGGGCCGAUCUGGAGAAACAGUUCCACAAGUACUUCUUUUCUGGAGUCUAUGAGAAGAAGAUUACCGAUUUGGUCAGAUUGAAACAGCGUAAUGAUGAAUCGGUUGAAAGUUUUGUGCAGAGGUUGUGGGAGGUCAAGAAUAAAUGCUAUAGUCUAGUUUUAGAUGAUCGGCAGCUAGCCGAUUUGGCUUUCCAGGGUUUGUUGCCACAUAUCAGGGACAAAUAUGCUUCUCAAGAGUUCGAGAGCCUGAGUCACUUGGUCCAGAGGAUUUCCGACUAGGAUAUUAAGCCCUUUGAACCUAAGAGGGCUUGGAACAAAAAUGUGUCAUUUGUUGAUGAGGCAGCAAGCUUAGAUUCUGAUGAAGAACCAGUCAUCGGCUUGGCAGAAUGGGUAAAGAAUAAGAAGCCGAUGUCUUGCCCUUUCGGGCAUAAGGAGCCAGAGAAGUUUGCAUUUGAUAUCACUAAAGCCGAUAGGAUAUUUGACUUUCUACUUCAGGAAGGUCAAAUCAAAUUGUCACCCAAUCAUGUAAUUCCAUCGGCUGAAGAGUUAAGAAGAUGAAAUAUUGCAAGUGGCACAAUGCAACUUCUCACGGUACCAAUGAAUGCAAAGUUUUCAGGCAACAGUUGCAAUCGGCUAUAGAAUCCAGGAGAAUCCAGUUUGACAAUUCCAAAGCUCAAAAGCCGAUGAAGAUCGAUCAGCAUCCUUUCCCAACAAAUAUGUUGGAUGCUAAGGGAAAGACCAAGGUUUUGACAUCGGAAGCAGCUGAAAGGAGUGCAUCGGUAGAUCCUCAGCAUCAAAUUACUGCUGAAGAUGCCAAAGGAAAAGGAUUGAUCCAAGAGGGGACUAACUCAGGAAGGCCUCCCCGAUCUGGUAUUGUGAUAACUCAUAGGAGGCCUCGUGAGACUUGGCAGCAACGUGAAGGUCGGUAUCGGCGCCAGCAAGAAGACCAUCAUCGGGAAGAAGAAAGACGCCGUCAAGAGUGGAAUCGGCACAAGGAUCACUGGAACUGCCCGUUCUUUAUCCAUUGCCGGGAGCAGAACAUCAAGUUGCCCACUGUUAGAGAUUGCCCUGAGUGCAAUGGUUAUCAUCGGUAUGACAGAUCCGAUCGGUGCUAUCACAAUGAUGAUCGGCGAUUUAAUGGUCCGAUUAGGGGGAGAGCGUCUGUUCAUGAUCGGCUGGGGGGCAGGCUCAGUGUGCACGAUAGACUUGGUGGUCGUGUUGAAUAUUUUCCCAGGAACCAUGAAGAGCUUGAAGAGAUGGCUAAUGCACGAGUUCCCGAUGAAUUCAUAUUUUGCAGAGAUGCUAAUACUCAUCGGAUGGAGUCAAGGGAAUAUCGUCGUCCAUCGGCAAGGCAGUCACCACUUCCCCCAUGGUGUCCGGAGGGGUUGACUAAAACACAGAAAAGGAGACUGCAGCGCGAAAGACGAGAAGAGCUAAGCAAGGGCGAGAACUCUGGCCAAUCUGGGGAUCAGCAACAAUCAGAUCCUAAGGCGAAAGGGCCAUCGGCAGAUGUUAACAUAGUAUUUAUGUUACCGAUGGAAUUCCUUGCGCCGUCCAGCGAUGAUGAGGAGUUGGAGUUUUCCGAGCAGAUAGCUCAGUUGGCUCUAGAUCCGAUGAUGGCUAUCUUUGAAAAGCCUGCCGACAAUGAAAGGCAGCAUCUUAAAGAUUUGUUUGUCAAAGGAAGAGUUGAUGGUCAGCCGAUGACCAAGAUAUUGAUUGAUGGUGGAGCUGCUAUCAACAUCAUGCCAUAUGCAGUCUAUCGGAAGCUUGGAAAAGGAGAUCAGGAUCUGACCAAGACCGAUAUGAUGCUAAAAGACUUUGAGGGAAAUGUAUCUCCGGUUAAGGGGGCAAUAUGCGUCGAGUUGACCAUCGGCAGCAAAACCUUGCCGACAACUUUCUUCGUGAUCAGCGGAAAAGGUGCUUAUAACUUGCUGUUAGGGAGAGAUUGGAUUCAUGCCAAUUGUUGCAUCCCGUCUACAAUGCACCAGUGCUUAGUCCAGUGGGUAGGUGACAAGAUUGAGAUUGUCCCGGGGGAUUCUUCUUAUGUCAUCGCAUCGGCAGAAAAAGACACCUAUGAAAGGACUAGGUGUAUCUCGGGAGAAAUUUGGGAGAAGUAUUUUCUCAAAGUUGCUGAUUAUGAAAUUCCACCGAUCCAAGCAGUCGGUUCUGAUGAAGGUUUUUAAUGGAUAGGUUCGCCGAUGAUGGAAAAUUAGGCCAGGGAUUCACAUCGGCCGAUGAUUUGGUAGAAGUAGAUAUAGGUGGUGGUGAUAAGCCUAGACCUACUUUUAUUAGUGCUAAGUUAAAUUCUGAGUGUAAGGAGCAGUUGACCGAUUUGUUAAAGGAAUAUAAAGAUUGCUUUGCAUGGGAUUAUACUGAGAUGCCUGGUUUGGACCGAUCAAUUGUUGAACAUCGGUUACCCAUCAAGUCUGGAUUUCGGCCACAUCAACAACCAGCUCGCCGAUGUAAUCCUAAUAUUCUUCCUGAUAUUAAGGCCGAAAUAACCAAACUCAUUGAAGCUAAAUUUAUUCGGCAAUGUCGGUAUGCCGAGUGGAUUUCCAAUGUUGUUCCAGUCUACAAGAAAAAUGGGAAGCUUCGGGUUUGCAUUGAUUUCAGGAAUCUCAAUAAAGCUACACCGAUGGAUGGCUAUCCAAUGUCAGUUGUCGAUCUGCUAGUUGAUGCUGCGGCUGGGCACCGGAUCAUCAGCUUUAUGGAUGGCAACGCAGGAUACAAUCAAAUAUUCAUGGCUGAAGAAGAUAUUCUAAAGACUGCAUUUAGAUGUCCUGGUCAUGUUGGGUUGUUUGAAUGGAUAGUCAUGACUUUUGGCUUGAAAAAUGCUGGUGCUACUUAUCAGAGGGCUAUGAACUUUAUAUUUCAUGAGUUCAUCGGCAAGCUAGUGGAAAUUUAUAUUGAUGAUGUGGUGGUUAAGUGUGGAGACUUCACAAAGCAUCUUGCCGAUUUGUGAAAUGUGUUAGAGUGCACAAGGAAGCAUGGUUUAAAGAUGAAGCCUAACAAGUGUGCAUUUGGCGUAUCGGCAGGACAAUUCCUUGGUUUCAUGGUGCAUGAAAGAGGAAUUGAAAUUAGUAGGAGAUCCAUUGAUGCUAUCAACAAAAUAGUUGCUCCUACCAACAAGACUGAGCUCCAAUCCUUGAUCGGCAAGGUAAAUUUUAUCAGGAGGUUUAUAUCUAAUUUGUCUGGUAAAAUUCGUGCUUUCAGUCCUUUACUUAAGUUGAAAGCCGAUCAAGUAUUCGUUUGGGGAAAGAGCAACAGUUGGCUUUGGAUGAAAUCAAGAACUAUUUGAUAAAUCCUCCGGUUCUGAUUCCACCUCAGCAAGGGAAGCCCUUCAGGUUAUAUUUAUCUACCGAUGGGAUGGUCAUCGGUUCGGCUUUGAUUAAAGAAUUUGAAGGGAAGAAACGUGUGAUUUACUAUUUAAGCAGGAGAUUGGUUGAUGCAGAGACCAGGUAUUCGGCCAUUGAAAAGUUAUGUUUGUGUCUUUAUUUCUCAUGUAUUAAGUUGAGACACUAUUUGUUAUCGGCUGAAUGCACUGUCAUAUGCAAAGAUGACGUGGUUCGAUAUAUGCUGUCUAUGCCGAUUAUGAGUGGCGGGAUCGGUAAGUGGAUUUUGGCACUGUCGGAAUUCGAUCUGCGUUACGAAUCGGCUAAAGCGGUUAAAGGACAGAUUAUGGCCGAUUUUGUGACUCAACAUUGCGGUGCAGUGGAGGCUUUGGAAAUUGUACCGUGGACGCUCUUCUUUGAUGGAUCCACGUGUGACUAGGGGGCAGGAAUCGGUAUAGUGCUAAUUUCCCCUCAGGGAAGGAAAUAUGAGUUCUCCUUGCUGAUUGUUGUCACGUCAACGAAUAAUCAAGCCGAGUAUCAAGCUUUGAUAAAAGGGUUGGAAUUGUUAAGAGAGGUUCAUGCUGAUGCUAUUGAGGUCUUCGGGGAUUCUAUGCUGGUUAUAAAUCAAUUGGCUGGAAGCUAUGAAUGCCGAAGCGAAGUCCUGAUAACUUAUCACGAAAGGACUAUGCAAUUAUUAAAGGAAUUCAGAGAUUUCCGAUUAGAGCAUAUUCCUCGGCUACAUAAUGAAGAGGCUAGUCGGUUGGCUCAACAUGCUUCAGGGUAUCAACCUAUGGUUAACACGAUAUCGGCAAUCGGUGCCGAUGAUUGGAGAAAAGAGAUUAUUGAUUAUUUAAAGGAUCCAUCCAAGAAAGUUGAGAGACGUGUUCGGUUUCAAGCCACCAAGUAUGUGCUCCUUGAAGAUGAAUUAUAUUAUCGAACCAUUGAUGGGAUUCUUCUCAUGUGCUUAGGUGAUGAUGAGGCUAAAAGUUUAAUGGGAGAAGUCCAUGAAGGAGUAUGUGGAGCACAUCAGUAGGCUUUUAAGACGAGUUGGAUGAUCUAGCAGGGCAUCGACUAAGGGCUCUGAUGAGUAUAGAAGAAAAUAAGAAGAGAGUUGCUAGAUGGUAUGAUAAGAAGGUAAAAGCUAAGGAGUUUGCCGAUGGAGACUUAGUAUGGAAGCUAGUCUUACCGAUCGGGACUAAAAGUUCAAAAUUUGGGAAGUGGUCUCCCAAUUGGGAGGGUCCCUUUCGGAUAAAUCGAUCUGCUCCUGGCAACGCCUAUAUCUUAGAAACUCUCGAAGGAGUUGAAUUUCCCAGGGCAUUAAAUGGUAAAUAUGUAAAGAAAUAUUACCCGAGCAUAUGGGUCGAUGCAUGAAAGUUUAAGUGCCGAUAACAUUCCAAUCGGCUGGAUUAAACUGUAUCUGGGGCCGGACUUAAUGUUUAAAAGGUGCCGAUAACAGUCCUAUCGGCUAGACCAAAAUAUUAGGAGUGUUCAAAAGAAAAGAGCAAAUAUGCCACCGAUGAAGAAUUCAGAUGUUUAACAAAACCUGGAUCGUCGAUAUGGCGCGCAGAUGGAUCUGGUUGGCUUCUUCUAUCUCCUUCAUGUCGUCAUCGGCAGAGCCCUCCACUAGCUUCAGCUUCUUCAUUUGCAGUGCUUUACGAGCCUGAGUAUUCCGUUCAUGUUCAAGGGUCUUCAUCAUGUCAGGCAGCUGGCUUUCUUCCUGUUGGGCUUGGGACAAAGCUUCUUCUACCUGUUUAAGUUCUGCCAAUAGGGCUUCUUUCUUUGCCGACAGGUCAGAGAUCUUUUAUUUCAGCACAUCUCCUGAGGACUUCAGAGUGCCGAUGCUCUUAUGCUUCUCAUCCGCAAGGAGCUUCACUUUCAUCAUCUCCUCUGAGAGCUGAGCAUGAGUAGCUCGAUCGGCAAGGCGUUGAGCAGCCUUUUGGUACUGCAGCUGGCGACUCUCUAAGUGUGCAGUCUGGAAAAGGAUCUCUUCGGCAUCAGCAGGGAUUUGUCCUCUGAGAGCUUUGAACAGAGCUUUGGCUGGGUCAGAAUCAUCGACCAAUCGCGCUGUAUCUUGAUGAAGAAUGACUGACAGGUCCUCCAGCUUUGUUCUAAUCUCUGCCGAUGAAAUUCUGAUUGCCCGAGAAGAACUUGCUUCCUCGCCUUCAUCCUCAGAGAUCUCGAUAGCGAAAGAGAACAGGUUGUCAGGAGAAUCCUGUUCCUGAAAAGGAAAAUAAAAUAAGUUAUUUUGUGAUCAAGCACUGAUAAACAAUACAGAUAGAGAUUGGGUAACUUACUUGUUUCAGGGCAAUCUCUCGCCUCUGACUAGAUGAUGCCGAUGGAACCACGGGCUGAUCGGCUGGGGAUGCCGAUGAGACUAUGUCAGCUGAAAAAUUAACAGAAGUAAUUAUAAGACGGGAAAAGUAGAUUCAUCGGCAAUGAUUUCAUAGAAAAUAUGUUACCUUGAGGGGGUACAGUGCUUGUCUGGAUUGAGGGAACUACCGAUGCUAUGAUCAGGCUUGCUGGAUCGGCGGUUUUCUCGUGCACGUCAGCCAAUGUGUCUUCUGGCUGAGGUUCCUUUGGUAGGAGUUCUUCUGUGUGGGGUUCUUCUUGUGGCUGAGGAGGAGAUGGUGCUUGUUGUAUCUGGACUUCUGGAGAAGUGGGAGAAGAUUCCACCGGGAUCGGUCAUCUUGGAGGGGGAGAAGGUGUUGCUGUUCUCUGGCGCCUCGCCUGGGUUCUGGUACUCUUGGAGCUUUUCCUCUUUGGUUGGCUGGACUGGGGGGCAUCAACAGUCACACCUCUGGUUUUUGCCGAUGUGCCAGUUUGCUGAUACAGCAAUGAGAAGUUUAAGAGUACAGGUGCAACAAGUGUAAGAAUAGAAUCGGCUAAAUUUUUUUUGAAAGUUUACCUUGAAGGCUUGUGCUAAAGCAGUGGCAGCUGUUGACGGUCCUUAAGUACUAAAAUUAAUAAUCAAAUAAACAUGGAAAAGGAUCAAUAUGAAACAAACAUCUAGAAUUAGGGUUUUAUCUGACAGAAUUCCACGAGCUUUGGUGUUUAUCUAUUUCUGUAGGGGUUUAUCAGAAAAUAUGGAGAGAAGGCCCACAUGUCAUGUUUACAACGAGAUAAUUACGUGCCGCGCAAUUUUCCUUGAUCUAGAAGGGUCCAGAAGCCACGGGAACGAACGGGACACGAUUAGGGCUCGGGGGCUGGGCGCCCGCCCACCCCCCUUGGGCGCCCGCCCAGGGUUGGAGGCCAAACAGGACUGUGCUUCGGGACAAGACUCCACCGACCUAAAGGAUCAAUCUAAACCAUACAAUCUAUGUCGGUUUGAUCCAAUGGCUCACGUUUACUUGAGGGGACUAUAAAACCAGACCCGCUGGCCCCUGGAGGAGGAGAUAAGAAAUCAUUAUUCAGAGGUAGCCAUCAAAGUUAGGGUUUGGAUCUCUCUCCCACAGAGAAUUAGAAUUAGCUACUCCCUAAUCCUUCAAGUUUAGAGGUUGAUUAGAUAGCAAUUAGAGAAGUAGAGCACUACGCUCUGGAUUCGGAUCUUCGGUAAUAAAGAUUGGUAUUAUUCAUAUCUUUCUCUAAUUCUAUUGUUCUAAUUGCAUUAUGUCUCUAAUUAUUAUGUUCUUAGUUUGCUCUAGUUCUAUAUUUGAUAUAGUUCUAAUUGAUAAUGAGUUUAUGUAUAAGUUUGCAAAGCACUUAGCUCUUGUCGCGAGGGAGUUAGGUGAUAGAUCACAUGUGAGCGUGGUGCUUAGAUGUUAUUUAUCUGCAAAUGUAUCCUAUUGGCCGAGUCGUGUGGUAGUUCGCGAUAGUGACAGCUUCGUUGAUUCUUAUAUAGUCCACCCUCCGUUGAUAGGACAGGCAGAACCGGUAUUGUGGAGUAAGUCAUGCGAUGCUCUGAUUUACUUUAUCAAUGUUCCUUAUACAUGAAUGAAGAGUCUUUUAUGCUAUAUAUGAUCUUGUAGAUAACUAGAGUAGAUUAUGACUUAGUAGUUAGUAGAUAACUUAGAAUCCAUUCUCUAGCUAAUCCGACAUCACCUACAUAUAUGAGGAGUAGUCUAUUUUCUAAUCGCUGUGCUAUCUACCAAUGAACUUAUACUUUAUUAUCAUUAUCUUUAUGGUUUACCCCCUGCUAAAGUAAGUGACUGUGUGACGAGUUUCUCAUUAGUAAUCAUGUUCUUGCAAGUUUACCUCUAGUCUAUGCCUUGAUAGAUUUUGCCCCUUUGAGUUAAUUCCAUCUUCCUUAGAUCCCCUAAGCAAAAAUUAUAAAUAACGAUACCUGGAAUACUUAUCCUGGUGAAAUGCUACAAUGAGGUGUUUUAUCUGUGCGCUUGCGGAUAGAAUAGAUUAAUUUCUAGAGAGCCUUUACAUUUAUAAAUACCUUUGUACACUCUGGCGCCAUGCUAGGGAUGACAACCUAGUAUCUCAGUGGUGUUAGCUAGUGUCAACAAGCAUUUCUGGCGCCGUUGCCGGGGAACUUUAUGGGAAUUAUAGGAAUUAUAUGAGUCUCAAGAAUAAGUUAUAAAAGGGAAUAAAGGAGUAAUAUUAAGGAAAGCCAAUCGAUCAAGGUUAUUCAUAUAAAAUAUUAGACUAGACUAUAGAGAAAUAAUUGCAUAAAAAACAGCUACUAAGUGAGAAAUCAUAACAAGGCACCUCUGCUUUGGCAGGUUCACCCUGUUGUUUUUCUAUGUUUAUAUUUUUAUACAAGGUAUAACAGGAUUGACUUUGGGUGCAUUCAACUCUCCAUCAUCAGAACCAAAGCAAUCAAGAGAAGAAGAAGCUAGCUACCAAUUGCUGAAGCUAUGGCACAAAAGACCUUGCAAGAAUUCUCUGCUCCAAGUCUUGACAACAUUCCAACCGGUCCAAGAUUUGCAGUAGAAGAAGGAAUACCCGAGUUUGAGCUCAAGUCAAGCCUCAUCAAUUUGGUACAAGCUACACAAUUCAGUGAAAAGGCACAUGAAGAUGCUAGUGCACACUUGCAGAAUUUCUUAGAGAUUGGAAGCACAAUCCACAUCAACGGAGUUGACAAAGACGUCAUACUACUUCGCCUUUUUCCAUUCUCACUAGAAGGAAAAGCGAGGAAGUGGUUCUACACUCAUCAAGAUAACAUCAACAACUGGACGAACUUGUCAGAUGCCUUUCUAUCAAAGUUUUUCCCUAUAGGCAAAACAACUGCCUUAAGAGGAAACAUUGUCAGUUUCCAACAGCAGAAGUCAGAAGCCAUUUCAGAAGCAUGGGAGCAUUUUCAAGGAUACAUAUCAGAUUGUCCUCACCAUGGAAUGGCCACAUGGUUACUUAUGCAGACCUUCUACCAUGGAUUAACCCAGAAGACUCGUGAGUGCCUUGAUGCAUCUGCUAAAGGAUCAUUCUUGGAGCUUACAACUGGAAAAGCAGAAAUACUUUUGGAUAAGAUAGCAGAAAAUCAAAGCUGGUUCCAAGAUAAAGCUCAACAAUGUCAUCAAACUGAAGAAAUACUAGAAGAAGUAAAUGCAUUAUCAACUAAGAUGGAAAAUUUGCUCCAUUGGACUGACCAGAGGGCCAAGUUCAAAGAAGAUCAAAGGGCCAUUGAGACAGCAUACAAAUAUCAACCAACUUCGAGUCAACCCAAUAGCAAAGGUAUGAAUUCAGGUAAUACUGUCAAGCAACUUUCAUUAAAAGAGAUAAUUGCUCAACUAAAAUUAAUGAUGAAGUUAAACAAAGGCUAGAUACAAAUGAAUCAUCUCUAAAAGAUAUAUACAAUAAAAUGGAUUUUCUACUAACUGCUUUUGAUGAGCAAAACACUCUUAAUAAAAGGGUAGAGCUUAAAUUAAUAAAGAUAGCUGCUGCACUGCCUGUUGCUACUAACCUUGAGCAGGUAAAGAAUAUAACUACUAGAGGAGGCAAAGCUACCAGAGAUCCACCAUACCCAAAAGAGAAACAAAGAACAUCAGCACCAGUGCAACCAGCAGUGAUUGAAGAAGAAAGCCCAGUUGAAGCAGAAGAUCUGCUCCAACCACCAAGAACUAGAGAGAUGAGGAAAGAUUUUUACGACACCAACUAUUUGCCAUUUCCCAGAAGAAACAGAGGACUGCAGUCGGAUGAGCAGUUUGGUAAGUUUGUAGAGGUCAUUCAUAAAUUAUAUGUCAACAUACCUCUGCUCGAUGCCAUACAGGUACCUACAUAUGCAAAUUACAUCAGAGAUAUUCUUAACAAGAAGAGACCACUGCCCACCACUGAGGUUAUCAAGCUGACAGAAGAAUGUAGUGCGGCCAUCCUCAAUAAACCACCAAAGAAGAAGGAAGAUCCCGGACGUCCCACUAUUGACUGCUCGAUCGGAAACCAACACUUCAACAAUGCACUUUGUGAUCUCGGAGCAAGUGUCAGUGUGAUGCCAGCAUCAGUCUACAAAAAGCUUGAUCAUGCAACCUUAGAACCAACAUCAAUGUGCCUACAACUAGCGGAUCAAUCGGUUCGACACCCGUUGGGCAUCGCCGAGAACAUUCCAGUCAAGAUCAGAGAUUUCCUUGUGCUAGUAGACUUCGUAGUACUAGACAUGAGUCCUGACUCGAAAGUGUCCAUCAUCCUUGGAAGGCCAUUUCUGAGCACUGCCAAUGCCCACAUUGAUGUCGGGAAGGGAGAAAUCAAGUUCAACAUAAACGGUCAAGAAGAACACUUCACAUUCAAACCCAGACCAGAGAGAGACUCUACAGUGAAGGAAAUUCAUGAAGAACCACUGGAGACACCAUCUCUGGAGGAAGGUAACUUAGAAGAUUAAAAGAUUUGGAGGUCCAGCUUGGGGGACCUAAAAAUCCCAAACCCUCACCGGGAGGUAAAUCGGUAUUUAUCCGCAUUAUUAAUUUUCUCAUAUUUAAAUUCUUGCAUAAUUAAUUCUUGCAUUAGUCAUAUAUAUUCGUAGCAUAAUUAUAAUAAUCAAAAAGCCCCAUAUAAAUAAUAUUCAUGGUGUGUAACAACCCAUAUUUAUUACUUAUUGUGGAGGCACAAAAAUAUUUUCCAAUAUUAUUUUCAUUAAGUUUCAAUUCUCAUAGAUUUUCCUGCAUUAUAUUUAUUUAUAUCGAUCUUCUAGAAGCAUGACCCACACUCUUUGGGUCCCACAUGUCAUACACUUCACCUCACAUACAUCCCAUCACAUAAUUUCAUCCACCAAUAUGUUUCCACUUACCUGACAUCUUUCCACCGUCCAACCACCACCAACACAAUAUUAUUCUGCAUGAGAUCAAAGCAAGGAAGCAAGUGGAGGAGGCACACCCAGGAUGGACAUCAGGGGUGGGCGCCCGCCCACCUACCUUGGGCGCCCGCCCUGUCCCCUGCUCAGCCUAUAAAAGGCCACCUCCAGCUCCCCUUCUCUUCACACAAACACACCAGAAAACCACACAAGUCUCAGUUUCCCAAGAAGGAGCUUUUGUAGUGAAGAGAAGAGAGUAGAGAGAAAGAGGAGAGUGGAAGGAAAGGUUGGGAGUUCUUUUGAGAGAGUGUUUGUCACCUAGCAAGUAGUGAUCCCGUUGUCUAAACGGAAGUAAAAGUUGUUUAGGGGGAGGCUCUACCAAAAUAGAAACUUGUCUGGAACGAUUAACCCCUGGACUACUGACACUCCGGACAGCUGACCACUAACAUUUUAUCUCACAUUCUUCCACCUGUUGUGUUUUUGCUAACUUUUGUUUGCAGGAUGUUUAAGAAGGUGAAGAAUGUAGGGAAGGCUCUCAAGAACAUUGGUACAAGGAGUUCAUCCCGACACUCCUCACAGCCAUCAGAGAUGAGCGUCGACCCGACACCCACACAAGCUCCGUCAUCUUCAUCAGACAGCAAGUCAAGGUCCUUCUCAAGAUAGGAGACCUUGGACUGAAGACCCAAAGAGAGAAAGAAGUCUAUCAGCAACUGAAGAACAAAGAUUUCAUUCACACCCCUACUAUCGAUCCAAUCCUACUACGAGAAACAGAUAUGGACACUGAAUUUGACUUAAUUUUUCAGAUGAUGGGUUGGACAAAUUUUUGGAAUAUAACUGAGCUGGGUUCUCGUCUUCUCACCCUCGAAUUUCUUUGCACCUUACAAUACUAUGAGGGGGGAAUUGUUUUCCGGAUGUUCCAACAGGAAAUUAUGUUAUCUUGGAGGGAGCUGAGCGACCAUCUUGGUUUCUCUUCAAGAUGCAUCCUCAACAUUGACUCCGAUUUACCCAGUUUUGAGAGACACCAGUUUUGGAGAGAAAUAUCUAGAGAUAAUUUUUACAGUCAAGCCCGAACCAGUGACAUGGAACACCCCACUCUCAGGAUGUUCCACAAAUGGCUUGGGUACAAUCUUUUCUAUCGUGACGAUAUUAGGAAAGUAAGAGUAGGAGAUUUACAACUUUUAUAUGCUGCUAUUAGUAAAGUACCUACUUCACCUGUUACACUAUUAGUUUCUCAUUCGCUUAGUAUACCUAGUCUACAGGGACCAGUAGGAUGUACUUCACUUAUCACUCGUCUAGCCACUAAUCUUCACUUACUAGAAAAUUCAUCAUUGGACUUCAUAGAAGAAUUAAGAAUUUAUCAUGGCUAUGACACAUUUAGACAAGCUCGGAUGUUAAAGAAAGAGGGAAAUAUAAUGUAUAUGCUAUAUGAUGAUAAAGGCAAGAUUCGGUUACCUAACCCGAACCUGCCUCUACGCUGUGCAAAACUUUUUGAUUGAGAUUGCAGCAACACCAGUGAACCAGAGAACUCCACAGCGAGUGGCAUCUGAAAGGAUAACCACUUACCGAGAACGCACUUGGUAUGGAGCUGACCCUGGACCAGAAGAAGGAGCGCACCUGCAUUAUUGUGACUACAAUCCACGAGUCCUUCGAGACCCAUGGGCUCGUCAUGCGCAACCACAAGAGCCAACAGAGGAGACAUGGCCGGAAAGCCAAGAUCACCAGUGGACAAACCCACCUUUUCAUACGGGCAGGUACUCCACUGAUCCAUAUGGAGCUUCAGGAUCCAGACCUCCGCCCCAAUUUGAUGCAGGACGAUACUCCGAUGCCUCCUACGCCUUCACGAAUGACUACUAUCAAGAGGCCGGUGCUUUCUUCACUCGUACCGACAACACCCUCCUCAACAUCCAGAACACGCAAGCAGAACAUGGAAGACUCCUGGAAGAACAACAAAAAUGGAACCAGGACCAUGCCGCUGCAGUAAGAGAACUGAGACAAGAUACAACAACAAUGAACGACAACAUCACAACCAUGAUGCGGUUCUGGAACAUCGGGUAAGACCGACGUCAACAUCCAGCUUGGGGGAGUUCCUCCCAAAUUUAUCAAGUAAGUUUUUAUGUGCUCUUCUUAUUUAUUCUAUUCUGUCUUAGUAUUUUAUUUAUCUUAAAAGGAAAAACUUAGAAAACCAAAUAAAUAUUUUCUUGCUUUAAUUUACUGCAUUCUAUAAACAUGAAAACAAAAUAAAAAGAGUGUGUAGAUAAGUAUGCUUUAUUUAUCUGCUAAGUUUAAUCUCUAGAAAAAAUAAAAAGACCAAAAAUAUGCAUGAUGGAAAUGAUGAACAAGUUGCUCUGUUUCCUUACUUUCAAAUACCUAGCUUUUAUAUUAGAAUUCUUCCGGGAAUUACUAAAACUGAAAUUACUAUCAUUGGGAAACAUAAAACUAAAGUCUAGGUAAGAGAAAGGCAUGAUAUAAAGUUGAGCUACUGUUUAUCUUGUUCCUACUACACUAAGUUCUAGAGAUUUAUUUUGAAAAAACUUGCAAAUCACAUGAUGAGUUCCUAGCACAACAAACUACCUACCACAACCAUACUUGCUAUAACAUCUUUUACUAUAUUUACAUUGAGUUUGAUCGAGCUGUGUUGACCCUUAGGAGCUUUUCAUGUGGUUAAAUUAAGAUAUUCACUUGCACACAUCUACCACAACAUUCAUCACCAAUCAUUAAAAUUGCUAAAAAUAUAUUAUCACUCACUGUCCCGAAUAUUGUUAUUCUCUCUCUCUAAAAGGAUUCAAUGCAGAAGAGGCAUGGGUUAUGCAAAAAUAUGCGAGGAAAUAAAAAGGGGCAAGUGCCCGGAACCUCGGAAAAGAAAAAAAAAGAGUGAGAUGAGAGGUAAAAAUGGACAAGUGUCCGAAGUAGAAUUAGGGGUACAAAGAUGCCCACUUGAGCGGAAAAAAUGGACAAGUGUCCGACAGUAGAAUUAGGGGUAUCUACUACCCACCUGAAAAAAAAAGAAGAGAGAAAGAGAAAAAGAUAGCCAUGUUCUCCCAAAGCAAAGAUCAAAGAAGAGAAGAGAUAGCAAUAUGAGGAGCAAUGAGAACUAAGUUUUAUAAUCACUUAUGCAUUUUCACCAUCACUAUCAUUUACUCCAUCACACAUGCACAUCUUGAUUUAAUUAUAUGCUGAGUUCCUUUGGAUCCAUGGCUCGAUUAGACAACAUAUGUAUGAGCUGUUUUCCACUCCUAUGAGCUCCACUUAAAUAUUCCAUUAGCUAUAGGUAAGUGACAUUAUGGUAAGGAUCCACAAAUACCACAUAUAGAGAGACUUGAGAGAAUCAUUGCUGGGAACUCUGAGUAUUAUUUUGAAAACUUAUGAAAAAACUCUAGAACAAAGGUGAAGUAUAGACAAGAGGGAUAGUGCUUGACUUAACUAUUUUGUCUUUCGAUUACUUAAGACUUAAGUGCAGGUUCUAAACUCCAUAACACUUCACUCUAAUCUGGAAGAAUUUUUAUGUAAAAGCAUGUGUGCCUGUCAGGAAAGAAAACAUCGAAGCAACUCCUGAUCCGUCUGAGUUUAGCUGUUUGCUCAGGGACAAGCAAAGGGUAAGCUUGGGGGAGUUUGUUGACGGUCCUUAAGUACUAAAAUUAAUAAUCAAAUAAACAUGGAAAAGGAUCAAUAUGAAACAAACAUCUAGAAUUAGGGUUUUAUCUGACAGAAUUCCAUGAGCUUUGGUGUUUAUCUAUUUCUGCAGGGGUUUAUCAGAAAAUAUGGAGAGAAGGCCCACAUGUCAUGUUUACAACGAGAUAAUUACGUGCCGCGCAAUUUUCCUUGAACUAGAAGGGUCCAGAAGCCACGGGAACGAACGGGACACGAUUCGGCUCAGGGGCUGGGCGCCCGCCCACCCCCCUUGGGCGCCCGCCCAGGGUUGGAGGCCAAAUAGGACUCUGCUUCGGGACAAGACUCCACCGACCUAAAGGAUCAAUCUAAACCAUACAAUCUAUUUCGGUUUGAUCCAAUGGCUCACGUUCACUUGAGGGGACUAUAAAACCAGACCCCCUGGCCCCGGGAGGAGAGAAGAAAUCAUUAUUCAAAGGUAGUCAUCAAAGUUAGGGUUUAGAUCUCUCUCCCACAGAGAAUUAGAAUUAGCUACUCCCUAAUCCUUCAAGUUUAGAGGUUGAUUAGAUAGCAAUUAGAGAAGUAGAGCACUACGCUCUGGAUUCGGAUCUUCGGUAAUAAAGAUUGGUAUUAUUCAUAUCUUUCUCUAAUUCUAUUGUUCUAAUUGCAUUAUGUCUCUAAUUAUUAUAUUCUUAGUUUGCUCUAGUUCUAUAUUUGAUAUAGUUCUAAUUGAUAAUGAGUUUAUGUAUAAGUUUGCAAAGCGCUUAGCUCUUGUCGCGAGGGAGUUAGGUGAUAGAUCACAUGUGAGCGUGGUGCUUAGAUGUUAUUUAUCUGCAAAUGUAUCCUAUUGGCCGAGUCGUGUGGUAGUUCGCGAUAGUGACAGCUUCGUUGAUUCUUAUAUAGUCCACCCUCCGUUGAUAGGACAGGCAGAACCGGUAUUGUGGAGUAAGUCAUGCGAUGCUCUGAUUUACUUUAUCAAUGUUCCUUAUACAUGAAUGAAGAGUCUUUUAUGCUAUAUAUGAUCUUGUAGAUAACUAGAGUAGAUUAUGACUUAGUAGUUAGUAGAUAACUUAGAAUCCAUUCUCUAGCUAAUCCGACAUCACCUACAUAUAUGAGGAGUAGUCUAUUUUCUAAUCGCUGUGCUAUCUACCCAUGAACUUAUACUUUAUUAUCAUUAUCUUUAUGGUUUACCCCCUGCUAAAGUAAGUGACUGUGUGACGAGUUUCUCAUUAGUAAUCAUGUUCUUGCAAGUUUACCUCUAGUCUAUGCCUUGAUAGAUUUUGCCCCUUUGAGUUAAUUCCAUCUUCCUUAGAUCCCCUAAGCAAAAAUUAUAAAUAACGAUACCUGGAAUACUUAUCCUGGUGAAAUGCUACAAUGAGGUGUUUUAUCUGUGCGCUUGCGGAUAGAAUAGAUUAAUUUCUAGAGAGCCUUUACAUUUAUAAAUACCUUUGUACACUCUAGCGCCAUGCUAGGGAUGACAACCUAGUAUCUAAGUGGUGUUAGCUAGUGUCAACAGCAGCUACCGAUGGAGAUGUUCUUGUCCGCUUGGUAGUGACUUUCUUGAGACGCACACCCCGAUGCAUUAUAGCAGCUAAAGUUGGAGCAUUGUUGCCGAUCAGAGAGAUCGGGCCCGAUGGAAAGAGCUCAAUCGGCUUGCCACUCCUGCUGACCAAUGGGGGUGUGUCAUCGACCUGCAUAUAACAAGGGAGUAAGAUACCGAUGGAAAGUGAAAAUGAAAGGAUUGAAAUAUCGGUUUAGAAAUACUUACAGUAUUAUCGGGGACUUUGUACAGGGGGUCGAUCAUGCCGUGGUACGUGAGAGCCGAUUUGCAGAACAAAUACUCUUUCCAUUCUUCCCACCAUUGUUUGUAUGCCUGAGUAAUGAAGAGGGCCGGGAUCCAAUCUGAUAGAUCGGCAUCUGUGUCGGCAUUUGGUGGCAGUUGAGCUAUUCUAGUCCACUCGAGAAGACUAGUGAUGGUUUCCCUAGGUUUUAUCACAUCGGCAUAACAGAGUGCAAUUGGCAGCUGACCGAAAGCUAGUUGACGGGCUAGUGCCGAUGGGUUAUAGAAUUCAUAGUACUGGGUGGUGGCUUUCCCACUACCAAAGAAGUUUACUGGUAUAGCUCUGGGAGUGAUAAGUGUCAUCAUCACAUCAUGAUCUUUAUUGAGAGCAUCGUCAAAGGGGUGAAAGGUCAGAGGAAAUCUGGUGUCUGGAUCUUCAUAAGGCAUCUGUUGAUAGUUUGGAACGCAAUAAGGAAUUGAUCCGCAAGCGCACGGAUAUCGGUGAGCACUUCACCCGGGAGGUUAUCCAAAGUAUCGUAUUUAUUUUUUUACCACUAGGAGAAAGAGUGCAUCCGACUAACCGGUCUAUUACUACUAACCCUUUAGGCAACAAAGAAUGUCUCUCGAUGUGAGUGAUAAAUAGAGAAGACUGCAACCGUAGUCUCCUUCUAAACUUGGUAAGGAUGACCUACUGUUCUACUGGGGAGGCUAACGGAAUCUAGACACCACAAAGGAUGUUCAACCUGCACCUAUAAACCCUAUCCUUCCUGCUAAUGAGAUAUGGUCUGCAAAGGUAACUCGCAAUUGUCACGUUCCUCACUACUACCACAGUCCAGCUAGUCAGGGAAUAUCUAUGAGUACCCCAGCCUAAACACCACGUUUGCGCCAGCAAUGAUUACUCUAAACUCUACGCGAAGAGAUUAAAGUAAACUCAUAAACCAGAAGAACAAUAAAACAAGAACUUACUAGAAUUUAGAAGUCGAAAUACUGAAGAAUCCUAGGAGCAAGCUUCUGGUUAGGAGAACUUGAUCCCGCAGGUACAAGCUUGGAGUAGACACCGACAGGCCGGGCUUCCUCCAAUCUACACCUCCACUCUAUCUCUCUCAAUCUAGUAGAAACUAGAAGAUCUAUUUCUACUUUACAUUGGUUGCUAAGCCUAAAAAAGAAAUAUUAAUUAGAGAAGAGGUUUUCCUUCGAGGGCACCCCUCAAUCUCUAUGAUAAUUUUUUGUCUUCUCCAGGGGCCAGGGGGGUCUCCUUAUAUAGUCCUCCUCUAUGCGUUUUUGGGUCGGUAGGCGAGGUGGUACUACAUUAUUCUUGAUCCAAUAGGUCGGUGGAACAUCGUGUGCGAAGAGAGUCCCGAACGGAAUCCAACAGGGGGCGGGCGCCCAGGUCACCAGGGCGGGCGCCCUAGGCCUGGCCCCUUUCGGGCUCUGCCUUCUUCCCGUGGCUUCUGGAGUCUUCUAGAUGGUAGAAAAUCGCACGGUGCGUUGAUAUCUCUAUGUAAUCCCGACAUGUGGGCCUCUCUUCCUUAUUUCCUAAUAACCCCCUGCAGAAACAGAUAAACAACAAAACUCGUGGAAUUCUGUCAGAUCAAACCCUAAUUCUAGGUGUUGGUUGCAUAUUGGUCAUUUCCCUUGUUUAUUUGAUAAUUAAAAUUGAUACUUAAGAACCAUCAACAAAUACCCCCAUACUUAGGCUUUUACUCGUCCUCGAGAAAAGGAUGGUUAAGAAAAAUAUCUGGGGUAAAACAUUUCAAAACAUUCUUUAUAUUUGCAGGGUGUUAAAAUCCACUGUGUACUAUAGUCAGGGAAGUAAAUGGUUAAGAGUAAAGAUCCUUUCUUCUCAAUCCUGUUACUUGGAGUUUUUGUAUAUUUUUGAAAGAAAGUUAGCAUACAUUUUAUCCUCAUAGGUUCUCUCAGAUCACUCAUUAUCUUCUAUAUAUCUUACUGAGGCUGUUUUAAUUUGCAAAAAAUUCUCAAGUAUACUUACUUUGCAUUUGUCGCCUGAUCAAAACGGGAUCCGAGGAGGGGAAUGUCAUACUCUUAGAUCAAAGACUUUGGAAACUAAAAUCUUUGUCAACUCUUGCUGGCAUAUUGCUUAUUAGAGGGACUAUGGGCUAUCAUUUUUCUUCUCUCUCUCUCUUUUUUUAAGUGGAUACCGAGGUACCCCUAAUUCUACUGCUGGACACUUGUCCAUUUUUUUUUCUGCGAGGUUGUCGAGCACUUGCUCCUUUUUAUUUCCUCGAAAAUAUCUUUAUUUUUGCAUAGCCCAUGCCUCUAAUGCAAUAAUACUUCAGAAGACUGAAUCUUUCUGAAUAAAUGUCUUGAUCUUGGGAGCAUGAUAAAUCUCUCAACAAGGGUCUAACUCAUUUUGAACAAACUCAAUACAGAGUAGAUAGCUUCUAUAAUCAUAAUUAAUCUUUUCAGUUUUAUCAGGCAUAUAAAACACUGAGGAUGGUAGCUAGAAUUUUGAAUAUUUUGAAAUAAAUUCUCCAAGCAACAAUGAUAAGAAUAAGAAACUCAUUGUAAUACCCGAUUUUAAGGACAAAAUCAGAUACGCACCAUAUGUGAGUUUUAGAAGUCAAAUCUCACAUAUAGCUACAAAUAAGGGGUAAUAUCAAAAGACAAUGCAUAAAUAUAUAACGUACUUAGUAUAAAAGAGAUAACCUUUGAUAGCAAACAGCGGAUAGACAACUUCAACUUUCGGGUAUUAACUUCUCUCUACAGGAUCCAACUGACUGGUUGAUCACAAGCCUAAACUUCUCCUGAGGUUUGGGGGAAAUAGCAAGAGUGAGUCCAUGUCGAACUCCACAAGUAUAACAACUAGAUUGUAUAGCUCCCACAAUCUCAUGAUCGAUGUGACAUAAAUAAUGUAAAGCAUUAAACAAUAAAUAAUGAACAUAUUUAACACACAAGAGUCAUCACCCUUAAUGUAGAUGUCCCCAAGGCCGCUCCUGACCGUGAGCUCGGCUAGUAUACUAGUUUUUAACACUCAGCAGAGGUUGUACAUCUUUACCCAUGAGUCAUAAUUUACCCUUUCGCCCGAGGUGAUCAGCCUCUUAACCCACUACCAAGGAAGGUCGGCAGGGAUCACUAUGAAGCCUUUCAAAAGUUCGUCUAACAUGUCGGGGCCGCAAGGUUUCCUUUGUGCGCAGAUAUAGAGCCCCCCUUCCGAUGGCACAAUGACUCGCAGCCUAUACACAUACAGACAGAGGCCACACUAUACCCAAAACGGUUCAGCCCCUCCGCCCUUUCGGGUAACCUCUAAGAAGCUAGAAAAGGUCUUCAUACUGAGCUAAAGCCAGAGCUAUUAUAGCCCUCAUGGUUGCACUGUUAUCCCGGGUGAUCACGUACAUACAAAUCAUCAAGUGGCUAAAAAGUCAUUUUUAUCAUCUAUUACUUAACAUUAAUCUAGUCACAGGAUCAUGGUCACAGAAUUAAAACCCAAAUGCUAUACUUGCCUUAAUCCAAUUGCUCUUGCUUAUCCUUUUGGUCCUGCUGGUCUCACUUAUCCAAAGCUCUGAUCUUGAUCACCAAAAACUGCUCUCCGUCUAAACUCGAUCAUCGAUGACACAAACAAUCGAAGAAAACAUACAUGAAGCAAACAAGGCUACAAUUAGAACAGUACACCAAUCAUAUAAAACAGUAUGGAGAGUUCAUAAAAAGAUUCUACGCAGCGCUACGAUAUCAUAGACGUAAAGAUCACGAAAAUCGGAGCUAAAACGGAGAAGUUAUAAAUUUUCUAAGAUUUUAUAUAGAAAAGUAAUUAAUUAAUUAGGGUCACGAAAAUAAAAAGUUUCAAAUUGAGAAUACAAUGUUACUAACAUGUAGAGCUCAUUAAAACGAACCUAACGCAAUUUGAACGGGUCAAACGGAGUUAAAAUGAAUAUUUUAUGGCCAAAAGAAAGUCAGUGGCAAUUCUGUAAAUAGUGAAAACGUAUUUUUAAUCUAAAACCGAGCUGUUUGUAUUUUCCAAACUGAAAGAUAAAGUAAUUGGGGCUUACGUUGGUGGACAGGGAGUAGGUUCAUCAGCAGUGACUCUUUCUUGGAGCUACAGCAACGCCGGAGCAGCCGACCGUUCGUAGAUGUCGUGUAUAGGCGAGACGAUGGCGAUCACGUUGUAGAGAAGAAAAUAUAAAUUUUAUUUUACCACCUUAAGAAUUCCCAAAUUAGAGGCUUCCCAUAUGAUAGUCUUUGAUGUGCUUUGCCUAAGGGUUUGGUACAUAUAGGGAGAAAAACUCCCCAUCUCCACGUCAACUAGCGAUAUGGUACUAAUUGAUUUGCAACCUUCAUCUUUACUAAUAGGCCUAAUUAAUUAUUAAAGCCCAUUAGUAAAUAAAGACAUUGACAAUUGAGAUCAUGGGCUUGAGUGUGAGAUAAUAUGAAAGAUUUUAUUAUUUUCGAAAUUAAUUAAUUUGGCGAAUAAAAUAAUCUAUGAUUUAAGCCAUGAAAAAUACUCCGAAAGCUUUGAAAAUUCAGAAAAAAUUCUCAGAGAUAUUAUAGAACAUGGGGAACCCGAAUAAAGCUUUUGGAGCUCAUGAGAAGAUUGUUUGGAGCAUCUAAAAAUUAGAUCAUGUUCACAGAAAAGUGAGAACACAAGCUGAAAAAAAUUCCCGAAAAAUUUGUAGAGAGUGCUUGAUGGACGAGGAACUAAAAGAAGUGCUUUGAGUGACAAAGAAAAUAUUUUAGGAAGGUCCUAAUAAAAAUUUGAGCUUAGAAACAAGGAAUUUGGUUGUAGAUAAAAGAUAAAUACGUGCCGAAAAAGGAAGAUCGAUCUGGUAAACGUAUUUUAAAUAUUUUUCUUACUAUCAACACAUAAAGGAGCAACAAGCAUCACAUCAAAACAUAUGCACCACCAUGUAUGCAUAAUAAUAUUGCUAAGCCUUAUGAUAAAUUUUAAUUUAAUGAAAAAUAUUAUUUUUCCUAUAUUUUCAUGAGCACAAAAAUACAAAAUUAAAUAAUUUUAUCUAUAUUUCAAAAGGAGUAAAUUUUAGGGUGUUACACUCAUACUCUACCAUCUCACAUUCCAUACUGUCUUAAGUAACACAGGGCUUUUAAAAUGAUUUUAUAAUAAUUGCAAGUUUUCAGGAAAUAUCACAGAGUGAGAUUAAUCAUGAUUAGAAAUAUUUUAAUCUUUUUAAUUUAUCAUGUCGAAAACAGUAUUCUGCAUAAUCCAAGAUAUAAAUAUAAGUAGGUGUAAAGUGUGCAGAGUGUGUACCUGAAUCGUGGAGUGGUGUAGUCGGAGUGUGUUUGGCAUGUUGAGGGAUCUCCCCCAUACUUGUUUUCUGCUUUCUUACACAAAAAUAAAGUAGAGACACACAAGACAUAAUAAUAAUAAUACUCUUUAUUAAUCUUGAGGCAUUUAUUACAAAAGACUAGUAGCAAACUGAUGACAAUAGCAAACUGAUGAUAAUAGUAAACUGAUGAUAAUAGUAAACCUAAACCGAAUUUAAAGAUAGAUGACUAAGAUGCAUUGCCUCAAGGUCUAAUCUAGAUAACUUAGCGGCGCUCUAAUUCCUUAAUCUUCUUGUUGGCACUGGCAAGAUCCUGCCUAAGGCCUAGUAUAAUGGUAUUGUGGUUAGAGAGCUGCCUAGUGAGGGAAUUAAUCGAGGACUGGAGGUCUAUGAUAAUUCUGUCUAGUUUGCGAACGUCCUCAUCAAUAUCCAUUAUAGUCUUGCGACGCUUGAGAGGUGUCUCAAAAGCAUUGAGAGCGUGCUUCAGGGCUGCCUUUGGAGGGAUGAAACGGACUUUGUCUGCUCUAAUCCCUUCAAAGUAAGGUCUUUCCUCCUCCGUAGUGUAGUGUACGCUGCUGAUCUCGCCGCUCCGGUUGGUCUUGACUCCAACGACCCUCUCAUUGGGUCUAGGUGGAAGGAUCCUUGUGCCGGUUGGCACCUUGAUGGUGGUUGUUGAUGCAAAAUUGAUCUGCAAACACAAAGGGCUAAUACCCAAUUCAAACGUUAAGGCGUGCCAGCCGAUUUGACCCUACUAUCGGCAAAGGUGAUAACUCGAAUACUUUAGUCCUGACAACAGCGAUGCGCCCGGAUGUCACGGCUAAGAGGUACUCACGCGGAACUCGAGAAUACGCCGAGCUUAAGUCGACGAAUUCCUAAGAACUCGUAAUAAGAAAGAAAAAAGGGUGACGAAGUCGUCGAAAAGUAAACGCUGGAAUAUGAGUAAAAUGUGUGUUUGAUUGAUUUCUUGAUGAUAAUUACAAGGUCUUAGGGCUUAUAUUUAUACCCUGCUCAAAGAGCUACGACCAGACACGUUUAGAAUUCGAAUUCCAAAUUACACGGAACCCGUACACAAAACGAUACGAAUAACAUAAGGAAAUAGUAAAACCACCCUUCGUGACAAACCGAAACUCCUCCACAUGACAACUGGCAACUUCCGGACUCCUCCCUUUGCGUCAUCGGCAAUCCUCUCGCCAUAGUCAUCGGCAGACCCUUUUACUCAGUCAUCGGUACCAUGCUAUUGUCUGAGGACUUAGUCACAAUCAACUCCUCCCUCAUCGGCAACCACUCUUACCAGCUCCCCAUAUCAUACUGCCACCCUGUCUUGCCAUCCUGGACACGUGCCCAAAAACGGUGUCAACACAUGCCCCCCAGUUUCGGAGUAUAAGAUCAUUAAUGCUCCGAAAUUCUCUGCAGUAAUGAUGUCUCUUCCGCAAUUAAUGCUCCUAAUCUGGUAACCGACAACCUCAAUCUGGGCAAUUCUGAUCCUAAUCUUCCGCAGAUCCCUCGAAAUCCACAACUUCCCAAACGGGCAUCCCUAUUAGUCGUACAUCGGCAACAAUACCGUUACAAAGACCUACCGAUGCUCUGCCCAGGAUGUCCGCAAAAACGGUCACUUCCCCUCUAUCCGCCCAUCGGCAAGACGACCGUUAUAGAACAUUACCGAUGGACCGACCAAAAGAUCGUGCACAGUAAAAUAUCUUUAGAUAAUGACCGCUUCCUGUCAAAUCACCUGCACAAUCCCUGGAUUAUCGUGCGAACAGUUACCAUAUCUACUUGAGUACCUCGGGUUUCUCGGAUGUGGCAAAGAAAUAAGUCAGAUUUGCCCCUGUCCAUCUUGCCCUAUAAAUAACUCCUUCUUGGGUACUCUUUCCCCACUACACCAUCCUGCCAUCCAACUUCACUUUUCCAGCGGCGGCGCCAUUCUCAACCCUCAAGAUCUCCGACAAGCAUCCUUCUUCGUCAACUCCGGCGUCUUCCAGCGUCCACCCUCACGACAAGAUGGCCGUCGGUUUUGUCGUCCCCGAGGUCAGACUUUCAUCUCAUCCAUUGUACCUUUUUCCUGCAUUCCUGUUCAUCUGCGAUUUACCUUACCGAAUAUUUUCUUUCCCCUUUUUCUUUGUAUUUUAUUCCCCAAAACACCAGGAAUUAUCCAACAAAAUUGUCAUCCCUACCGAUCAACCACAUCUUCAGUGUCUCGGCCCUCUAGGGGAUCCAGAUCCAACCGACCUCAUCAACGCAGAAACCAACAGGAUUCCCUUUAGAGCUGAAAACUUUACUCUAGAUCUAUGGAAAGACACCUUUCGUUCUUGGCCUAGCCCUACUGUAGGAUGGAAAGACUGGUUCUUGAGGGUCAGCAACUCUUAUGAAAUUCAAUGGGGUGAGAGGAAAUUAGCUCAAUGCAUCAGGCUGUCCAUUGCCGAUAUGCACAGAAACGAGUCGUUGCUGAUAGCCGCAUCUUACUUCUGGUCAGAUACUCUCAACGCUUUUGUUUUCGGCCACGGCCCUGCUUCUCCUACCCUUGCCGAUGUAGCCAUGCUCACUGGGUUAGACAUAUCUUCUGCCGAUAGCACCCACUUUUUCGAUACCGCCCCCAGCGCCAAAGUGGAGACUCGCGCUAUCGGCGGCUGGUCAGGGUACAUCCAGAAGUACCGCGGGAAAGGACCUGUCACCCUAAAGGAACAAACCACUUUUCUGAACAUGUGGCUAGACAAGUUCGUAUUCUGUGGUCGAUCGGCAGGACCGACUUCUGUCUACCUAUCGGCAGCAGAAAGGUUGGCUAGCGGUGGUCAAUUUCCUCUCGGCCGCUAUCUGCUCGGCGCUGUUUAUCACCUCCUUCAUCAGGUAGCCCAGAAACUCCUACUCGGCCAACCUAUCGGCAACUUGGGAGGUCCUUGGUGGUUUAUCAAUAUGUGGCUCAAUCUGCACCUGCACAAGCGCCUUGAUCUCAACUUGUUCUCUCAGCACUUCCCAAGAGAUAUAGCCGAGAACCAUGUGUUGGGCGAAGAGGAAUCGGCAACACGUGCCCCCCUGAACUUCGGCGAAGCUGUUAUAGUUUUACCCGGUUCAGGGAACGCUCCGGAUCAGAUCGGCCGAUUCUUCGAAACGCUGUAUGAGGGUCUGGCCAGAGAUGAACGACCGUGGCUAGCUUACGACGACCCAGACAGCAUGCUCCCUCUGACCUUCAAUCCAUUCGACGACGCUCUUGAUAGGGACAAUGAAACGAUGAUGGCAAUCGUGACUCCCAGAGCCAUACCAGUGAACUUCUUCGGCAGCACGAAAACCUCUCCCCAAACCUAUGAAUUCUAUCAUCCAUCGGCAUUAGCUCGCCAGCUGGCUUUCGGCCAAUUGCCGAUUGCACUUCCUUAUGCUGAUGUAGUAAAGCCCAGAGAACCCAUCGCUAACCUCCUCGAGUGGACUCGAGUAGCCCAGUUACCACCAAAUGCCGAUACAGAUGUAGAUCUGUCAGAAUGGAUUCCAGCUGCCUUUAUCACUCAAGCAUACAAGCUAUGGUGGGCAGAAUGGAAGGAGAAUUUAUUCUGCAGAUCGGCUCUCUCAUACCGCGGCAUGAUCGACCCCGAAUACGAAGUUCCUGACGACAUUGUAAGUGCUUUAAACCUGAUGUCUCAUUUUCCAAUACUAUUCCCAUUGAUAAUUUACCCCCGUAUUCUUUUUGCAGAUUGAUAAUACCCCCCCAUCGGUCAGCAGGAGUGGCAAGCCGAUCGACUUAUUCCCAUCAGGCCCGAUCUCCUCAAUCGGCCACAAUGCUCCCACUCUGGCCUCCAUUGUACAUCGGGGUGCGCGUCUCAAGAAGGUUACUACCAGGAAAACUCAGACAUCACCACCGGUAACUGCUUCCACUCUGGCGCAAGCUUUCAAGGCAAUCUGUUUAAAACCCCUUUUUAUUUAUGCUGACUUAUCUUCAUAUCGGUUAUCUGUGCUUAUAAACUCUUUAUUGUUGUUGCAGCAAACUGGUACAUCGGCAAAAGUCAAACGUCAAGGUGCCGAUCUCCCCCAGUCUAGCCAGCCAAAGAGGAAAGGCGUCCAAGGUGUCAAGACUGGACCAAAGCGUCAGAAAGUGGCAACUUCUCCUCCUCCUCCAGUGUUUCCAAUCCCGGUGGGAUCUUCUCCUUCUCCUCCAGGAGCCCAAGCACAGCAAGGAACAUCUCCUCAAUCAACACAGGAAGCACUACAGACUGAAGGACCUCAGCAAGAAGUACCUCGAACGGCAGGCGCAUUAUCUGACGUAGGCGAACAAACAACUGGCCCGGCAGGUCCAGUUAUGUCAUCGGCGGUCUCCUCAAUCCAAACAACUGUUGUUCCAAUUUCGGGUAACAUAUCCCAACAAUACUCCUACCGAUAAACUUAUUUUCAUUUCUUCUUAUAAUCCUUCCUGUCUUCUUUCAGGCGAUAUCAUUCUAUCGGCAACAUCUGCCGAUCAACCUGCAGCUCUAUCGGCCUCUCUGAGUCAAAGGCAGGAAAUUGCCCUGAAGCAAGUAAGUCAUCCACUUUUCAAUCGGUAUCAUCCGCUGAUAUCUUGACCAUAAAAUUGACUUAUUUCAUCUUCAGGAACAAGAUUCUCCCGACAGCUUAUUUUCCUUCGCCAUUGACAUCUUUGAAGAAGAGGACGAGGAAGCAAGCUCUUCUCGGGCAGUUGGAAUCGUAUCGGCAGAAACCAAAGCUAGGUUGGAGGAGUUGUCGGCCAUACUUCAUCAAGACACAACUCAACUGGUCGAUGAUUCUGACCCAGCCAAAGCCCUGUUCAAAACUCUCAGAGGCCAAAUCCCUGCCGAUGCUGAAGAAGCACUCUUCCACGCUGCACACCUAGAAAGCCGGCAGUUACAGUACCAGAGAGCUACCCGACGCCUUGCCGACAGAGCUGCUCAAGUCCAACUUUCUGAGGAGAUGGUAAAAGAAAAACUCUUAGCCGAUGAGAAACAUAAGAACAUCGGCAUCUUAAAGUCCUCAGGUGACGCACUGAAGCAGAAAAUGUCCGAUCUAUCGGCCAAAAGAGAAGCUCUGCUGGCUGAACUCAAGCAAGUGGAAGACGCCCUGUCCCAAGCCCAACAGGAAGAUAGUCAGCUGCCGGAGGCCAUCAAGCAUCUUGAACAGGAACGAAACAUCCAUGGUCGUAAAGCGCUGCAAUUGAAGAGGAAAUUGAAGCCGAUUGAAGGUUCUGCCGAUGAUGAUAUCAAAGAGAUAGAAACAGCCAACCAAAUUCGGCUGCGCGCCAUAUCUGCAAUCCAGGCACUGCUGAACACCUGAAGCCUUCACCAAUGACACAUCUUCAUUUUUCGUUUUCAGCUUUUAGUCUAGCCGAUAAGACUGUUAUCGGCAUCUUUCGAAAUGUUAAGCCUGCCCUUGAACAUUUAAAUUCAGCCGAUAGGAAUGUUAUCGGCACUUGACCUUUUAUGCAUCGACCCAUAUGCUGGGGUAGUAUUUCUUCAAAUAUUUGCCGUUCAAUGCUCUGGGAAAUUCAACUCCUUCGAGAGUUUCUAGAAUAUAGGCAUUACCGGGAGCUGAGCGUUUUAUCCGAUAAGGACCUUCCCAAUUAGGAGACCACUUCCCAAACUUUGAACUUUUAGUUCCGACUGGCAGAAUCAACUUCCAUACCAAAUCCUUAUCGGCAAACUCCUUAGCCUUCACCUUUUUAUCAUACCAUCUGGCAACUCUCUUCUUAUUUUCUUCUAUACUCAUCAAAGCCGUUAACCGAUGCCCUGCCAAAUCAUCUAACUCAUCGGUCAUUAAAGUGGCAUAAUCAUCGGCAGCCAAUUGAUCUUGAAAAGAUAAUCGCCUAGAUCCAGCCUUAAUCUCCCAAGGCAAAACCGCAUCAUGUCCGUACACCAAUUGAUAAGGUGACACCUUGGUCGAUCCAUGACAAGCCAUCCGAUAAGACCACAGUGCUUCAUUCAACAAUGUAUGCCACUGCCUAGGAUUUUCUUCAAUCUUUCGUUUAAUAAGCUUGAUAAUUCCCUUGUUAGAUGCUUCGGCCUGCCCAUUGGCUUGAGCAUAGUAAGGAGAAGAAUUCAACACUUUAAUUCCCAUACCGAUUGCAAACUCAUCGAACUCCCCCGACGUAAACAUGGUGCCCUGAUCGGUGGUAAUCGUUUGAGGAAUCCCAAAUCGGUAAAUAAUAUGCUCCUUCACAAAAUCAAUCAUAUUAGCCGAUGUGACUUUCUUCAAGGGAAUAGCCUCGACCCAUUUGGUAAAAUAGUCAGUGGCAACUAGAAUGAAUUUAUGCCCUUUGCUAGAUGGUGGAUGGAUCUGGCCGAUCAGAUCGAUGGCCCACCCCCGGAACGGCCAAGGUUUUAUUAUGGGAUUCAUAACCGAUGCCGGUGCUCUCUGGAUAUUACCGAACUUUUGACUACCUUGACAUCCCUUGAAAUAUUUAAAACAGUCUUCAAGUAUAGUUGGCCAAAAAUAUCCAUUCCUUCGAAUCAUCCAUUUCAUCUUAAAAGCUGACUGAUGCGCUCCACACACUCCUUCAUGGAUUUCUCCCAUCAAACUUCUGGCUUCAUCAUCACCUAGACAUCGGAGAAGAAUCCCGUCGAUAGUUCGAUAAUACAAUUCAUUUUCAAGGAUCACAUACUUGGUUGCUUGAAAUCGAACCCGUCUUUCAACCUUUUUGGACGGAUCUUUUAGAUAAUCAAUAAUUUCUUCCCUCCAAUCACCGGUAGUGACUGCCGAUGUUGCAAUAAUCAUUGGCUGAUAUCCCGAAGCGUGCUGGGCUAACCGAUUAGCGUCUUCAUUAUGCAAUCGGGGAAUAUGCUCCAAUCGGAAGUUCUUGAAUUCCUUCAACAGUUGCAUACUUCUCUCGAAAUAAGUUAUGAGAACCUCACUUCGGCACUCAUAGCUUCCAGCCAAUUGAUUUAUAACCAACAUGGAAUCUCCGAAUACUUCAACAGCAUCAGCACGAACUUCUCUUAACAACUCCAAUCCCUUGAUCAGAGCCUGAUACUCAGCCUGAUUAUUUGUUGAUGCAGCAACAAUCGGCAAGGAAAAUUCAUACUUCCUCCCCUUAGGGGAGACUAAUAUAAUGCCGAUUCCUGCUCCCCGGUCACAGGUAGAUCCAUCAAAGAAGAGCGUCCAGGGUGCAAUUUCCAAGGUCUCCACUAGACUGCAAUGCUGAGUCACGAAAUCGGCCAUGACCUGCCCUUUGACCGCCUUAGCCGACUCGUAACGCAAAUCGAACUCCGACAGCGCCAAAAUCCAUUUACCAAUCCUACCACUCAUAAUCGGCAUAGAUAGCAUGUAUCGGACCACGUCAUCUUUGCAAACAACAGCACAUUCGGCCGACAACAGGUAAUGUCUUAGCUUGACGCAUGAAAAAUAUAAGCAUAAGCACAGCUUCUCAAUGGCCGAAUACCUGAUUUCAGCAUCAAUUAAUCUCCUACUCAAAUAAUAAAUUACCCUCUCUUUCCCUUCAAAUUCUUGAACUAAAGCUGAACCGAUAACCGAUCCAUCGGUAGACAAAUAUAAUUUGAAGGGUUUCCCUUGUUGAGGUGGAACUAAAACCGGAGGGUUUACUAGAUACCUUUUGAUUUCGUCUAGAGCCAACUGCUGUUCUUUUCCCCAAACAAACUCCUGAUCGGCCUUCAAUUUAAGGAGAGGACUAAAAGCACGAAUUCUCCCAGAUAAAUUCGAUAUAAAUCUUCUGAUAAAAUUCACCUUGCCGAUCAAGGAUUGGAGCUCAGUUUUAUUGGUAGGGGCCACUAUUUUAUUGAUGGCAUCAAUAGAUCUUCGACUGAUUUCAAUACCCCUCUGAUGUACCAUAAAACCAAGAAACUGCCCUGCCGAUACGCCAAAUGCACAUUUGUUGGGGUUCAUCUUCAAUCCAUGCUUCCUGGUGCACUCCAAUAUUUUUCGUAAAUCGGCGAGAUGCUCUGAGAAAUCUCCAGACUUAACCACCACAUCAUCAAUAUAAAUUUCUACGAUCUUGCCGAUGAACUCAUGAAAUAUAAAAUUCAUGGCCCUUUGAUAAGUAGCACCAGCAUUUUUUAACCCAAAAGUCAUGACUAUCCAUUCAAAUAGUCCAACAUGACCAGGACACCUGAAUGCGGUUUUUGGAAUAUCCUCCUCUGCCAUGAAUAUUUGAUUGUAACCCGCAUUACCAUCCAUGAAGCUGAUAACCCGAUGGCCAGCCGCAGCAUCAACUAGUAGAUCGGCGACAGGCAUUGGAUAUCCGUCCAUCGGCGUAGCUUUAUUGAGAUUCCUGAAAUCAAUGCACACCCGAAGCUUCCCGUUCUUCUUGUAAACCGGAACAACAUUGGAAAUCCAUUCGGCAUACCGACACUGCCGAAUAAACUUAGCUUCAAUAAGUUUAGUGAUUUCGGCCUUAAUAUCAGGUAGAAUGUUAGGAUUACAUCGGCGGGCUGGUUGCUGAUGUGGCCGAAACCCAGUCUUGAUAGGUAACCGAUGUUCAACAAUUGAUCGGUCUAAACCAGGCAUCUCUGUAUAAUCCCAAGCAAAGCAAUCUUUAUAUUCCUUUAACAAACUAGUUAACUGCCGUUUACACUCAGGAUCUAAUCUAGCACUAAUAAAAGUAGGCCUAGGCUUAUCACCACUACCUAUAUCUACUUCCACCAAAUCAUCGGCCGAUGUGAAUCCCUGGCCUAAUUUCCCGUCAUCGGCGAAUCUAUCCAUUAAAAACCGUCGUCAGAACCGACUGCUUGGAUCGGUGGAAUCUCAUAAUCGGCAACUUUGAGAAAAUCUUUCUCCCAAACUUCUCCUGAAAUGCACCUAGUCUUUUCAUAAGUAUCUGCCUCUGCCGAUGCGAUAACAUAAGAAGAAUCCCCUGGGACGAUCUCAAUCUUGUCACCUACCCACUGAACCAAGCACUGGUGCAUCGUGGAUGGGACACAACAAUUGGCAUGAAUCCAAUCUCUCCCCAAUAGUAAAUUGUAGGCACCUUUUCCGCUGAUCACGAAAAAAGUUGUCGGCAAGGUUUUGCUGCCGAUGGUCAACUCUACACAUAUCGCCCCCUUGACUGGAGAUACGUUUCCCUCAAAGUCUUUGAGCAUCAUAUCGGUCUUGGUCAAAUCUUGAUCCCCUUUCCCAAGCUUCCGAUAUACUGCAUACGGCAUAAUAUUAAUAGCAGCUCCACCAUCAACUAGGAUCUUCGUCAUUGGCUGCCCAUCAACCCUUCCUUUGAUGAACAAAGCUUUAAGAUGCUGCCUCUCGUUAUCGGCAGGUUUCUCAAAGAUAGCCGUCAUCGGAUCCAGAGCCAACUGAGCUAUCUGAUCAGAAAAUCCUAACUCAUCGUCACUGGCUGGUGCAAGAAACUCCAUCGGCAACAUGAAUACCAUGUUGACGCCUGCCGAUGGACCUUCCCUCUUAGUGUCUGCCGGCUGCCGACUUUCAGAAUUCUCUCCUUUAUUUAACUCCUCUUGCCUUUCACGUUGCAAUCUCCUUUUCUGUGUCUUAGUUAAUCCUUGAGGGCACCAUGGAGGAAGUGGCCUUUGCCUUGCCGUCGGACGUUGGUCCUCUCUUAGCUCCAUACGAUGCGUAUUGGCAUCCCUGCAAAAUAUGAAUUCAUCGGGAACCCGCGCAUCAGCCAUUCUUUCAAGCUCCUCUUGGUUUCUGGGAAAAUACUGGACACGGUCACCAAGCCGAUCACGAACGCUAAGCCUGCCCCCCAGCCGAUCAUGAACUGAUGCCCUUCCUCUGAUCGGCCCAUUAAAUCGUCGUUCCUCAUCAUGAUAACGUCGAUCGUUCCUAUCGUACCUAUCAUAACCAUUGCAUUCAGGACAGUCUCUGACAGUAGGGAGCUUGAUAUUUUCUUCCCAACAAUGGAUGAAGAAUGGGCAAUUCCAAUGAUCCCUAUGCCGAUUCCACUCCUGUCGGCGUCUUUCUUCUUCCCGUUGAUAAUCUUCCUGCUGGCGCCGAUACCGAUCUUCCCGUUGUUGCCAUCUCUCUCGAGGCCUUCUAUGAGUUAUGACAAUACCAGAUCGAGGAAUUCUUCCUGAGCCAGUUCCUUCCUGGACCAAGCCCUUACUUUUUGCAUCAGCGGUAGUAACUUGAUGCUGAGGAUCUACCGAUGCACUCUUCUCGGCGGUCUCCGACGUCAAGACCUUAGCCUUCCCCUUAGCAUCCAACAUAUUCGUCGGGAAAGGAUGUUGGUCUAUCUUCAUCGGCUUCUGGGCUUUGGAACUAUCAAACUUGAUUCUCCCUGACUCUAUGGCCGAUUGCAACUGUUGUCUGAAUACUUUGCACUCAUUGGUAUCAUGCGAAGUUGCAUUAUGCCACUUGCAAUACCUCAUCCUCUUCAACUCUUCUGCCGACGGAAUCACGUGGUUAGGUGACAAUUUGAUUUGACCUUCCUGAAGUAAAAAGUCAAAUAUCCUGUCGGCCUUGGCGGUAUCAAAUGCAAACUUCUCUGGUUCCUUCUGCCCAAAAGGACAAGACAUCGGCUUCUUGUUUUUUACCCACUCUGCUAAGCCGAUUACUGGUUCUUCAUCGGAAUCUGAGCUUGUUGCCUCGUCAACAAAUGAGACUUUCUUAUUCCAUGCCCUCUUAGGUUCGAAAGGCUUGAUGUCUUGAUCAGAUAUCCUCUGCACCAAGUGACUUAAACUUUCGAACUCCUGAGAGGCAUACUUAUCCCUGAUGUGUGGCAACAGACCUUGGAAAGCCAAAUCGGCUAGUUGCCGAUCAUCCAGAACCAGGCUAUAGCAUUUAUUUUUGACUUCUCGUAUCCUCUGCACAAAUCCCUCAACCGACUCGUCAUUACGUUGCCUCAGCUUGACCAAGUCGGUGAUUUUCUUCUCAUGAACCCCCGAGAAGAAGUAUUUGUGGAAUUGCUUCUCCAGAUCGGCCCAAGUAAUUACUGAAUUGGGAGGCAAUGAUAUGAACCAAGUAAAGGCCGAUCCAGAUAAUGAUGAUGAAAAUAGGCGAACUCUCAAUUCGUCCCUGCUACCAGCUUCUCCACAUUGGAUAAUGAACCUGUUGACAUGCUCCAUGGUUGACGUAUCGUCCUGUCCGGAAAAUUUUGUGAAAUCCGGUACUUUGUACCGAUGUGGAAGCGGGAUCAAAUCAUACGCGGGAGGAUACGGCGUCCGAUAAGAAUAAGUGUUGACUUUGGGUUUUAUCCCAAAUUGUUCCCUCAUUACUUCGGCAAUCUUAUCGGCCCAAUACGCAUCGGCAUCUUGCCGAUGAGGCAGCUGCGGAUCUGGCAUUUGGUGGCGAACCUCCACGUGUCUGUUCGGGACGUGACCUGUAUGGAACAUCGUAUUGGUCGCCUGUCCUCCAAUCUGCGGACUACCAAACUGUUGUCCACCGAUUGGCUGUCCUCCGAGUUGCUGUCCAAAAUUUAUUGGCUGGUUGGGAAUUCCCUGACCUUGGAACCCGGGAUACACCUGUCCCUGCUGGAACCCCGUAGUCUGAUAACCUUGCUGGGGCGACUGUGGAAAGGCUUGCUGUCCAAGCCAUCCAUUACUAGCGUUCAUCGGCAUAGGUGCUGCCGAUGAUUGGUAAUUGGGUACCGUCGUCGAAUUGACAUACCCUGACUGGGCGAUAGGCCUCUGUUGCAUCAGCAUUGGCUCUGCCGAUGCGUUAGGCAUCUGGAACAUUGGAUCUUGAGGAUUUCCAGCGUGAGGCCUUGCAGUAGUAGUUGUGGUAUACCGAGGACUCUGGUUCACCGGCACAUUGGAGGGUGCCGAUGUCAUAGGAGUUUUGCCCCUCAUAUCAGCUAUCUGUGACGUUCCCGGCGUCAACUCUGGAGGCAUACCAUAACCCCACCAGCUAGGAGGAAGAGUUAACCCUGACAUGGCCGAUGCCAACAUAUCUGUUGUCAGUUUAUGCUGCCCAACAGAAAUUUGUGGGUUAGUUGCCAUCGGCAUAGAUGGUGCACCAGUAGCCCCCGACGUAUUUGGAGGAACGGCAGUCUGUGCACUCGCACUCGUCAAAGCAGCCGAUGGAGCCGUGACCUCUGGUGCCGUGGGUUGAUGAUGGGAGGGGCCCACAUAAUCCGGCGGGAUUUGUCCUUCCUUGAAGGUUCUUGCCACGGCGUUGAAAACCGUAUUAGAUAGUACACCAGCUUGAUUAAUCAACGCUCGAUUGAUGGCAUUAUCAACCAUGUCUUGAAGCUUGCCAGGGUUGGCGUCAAAGGUGACCUGCCGUGGUGCCGGUAAUGCAUCUUUCUGGACCGCUUCGCCGCUCCUGUUUAUGCUGAAAGACUUCAGGCAUUGCUGCUUGAACUCUUCCAUAGCUUGGGCAAUAGCUUGCUUCUGCUCAUCCUUGAGGUUAGCUUCCGUCACGGGGAUGACAUUGUCUUGAUCGAGGUCAGAGAUCGACAUGUUGAUCUUGAUCUUGAAUCGGUCCCACUGGGCGUGCCAAAAGAUGUGUUGAUGCAAAAUUGAUCUGCAAACACAAAGGGCUAAUACCCAAUUCAAACGUUAAGGCGUGCCAGCCGAUUUGACCCUACUAUCGGCAAAGGUGAUAACUCGAAUACUUUAGUCCUGACAACAGCGAUGCGCCCGGAUGUCACGGCUAAGAGGUACUCACGCGGAACUCGAGAAUACGCCGAGCUUAAGUCGACGAAUUCCUAAGAACUCGUAAUAAGAAAGAAAAAAGGGUGACGAAGUCGUCGAAAAGUAAACGCUGGAAUAUGAGUAAAAUGUGUGUUUGAUAGAUUUCUUGAUGAUAAUUACAAGGUCUUAGGGCUUAUAUUUAUACCCUGCUCAAAGAGCUACGACCAGACACGUUUAGAAUUCGAAUUCCAAAUUACACGGAACCCGUACACAAAACGAUACGAAUAACAUAAGGAAAUAGUAAAACCACCCUUCGUGACAAACCGAAACUCCUCCACAUGACAACUGGCAACUUCCGGACUCCUCCCUUUGCGUCAUCGGCAAUCCUCUCGCCAUAGUCAUCGGCAGACCCUUUUACUCAGUCAUCGGUACCAUGCUAUUGUCUGAGGACUUAGUCACAAUCAACUCCUCCCUCAUCGGCAACCACUCUUACCAGCUCCCCAUAUCAUACUGCCACCCUGUCUUGCCAUCCUGGACACGUGCCCAAAAACGGUGUCAACAGUGGUCUUCAUCUUGGAUGAUGAUCCCUUGAGGAGUAGGGGUUGUGGCGGUGCGGUGAGAACUGGUUGAGCAUGGUAGGAUUGGGCGGAGUUGCGUUGGCGUAAUGGCAUGGCUUCCAGCUGUCUUUCUGUGUUGGCCGGGACGAGAGCACGGGCAUCGGGGUCUUCCACAGGCUCCAUGUUGAGGUUGAAGGGGACGACUUCCCAAUCAUCGUGGUACUUUUCGACCAUUGGAGCAGCAAGGAACUAAUCAAGCUCUAAUUGAAGAAGAAGAGAAGGCUUGGUGGCUUUGGUGUUUGAAAACUGAUGUCAGGGGUCUGUUUAUAUAGGGGUCAAAAAGUGCCUCUAGGGGUUGUUCGGGUUGCUCCCGUCGAUGUGCGUGCGAAACUUUCAAUCCGAGGGAUUAUUCGGAUUUCAUUAAGUGCAUUUUCCAUAACAGAGAAGAUCGGAACCGAGGGGGAACAGGAGCUGGGCGCCCGCCCACCUGAUCUGGGCGCCCGCCCUCUCUCUGGCCCCUCUGUGGGCCCACUUCCUCGAGCGCGUUUCUAGAUGCAAAAUUAUUUAGAAAAAUAUAUAUAUGACCCAAAAACAUCAUACUAAAAAGGUCGGGCUCUAAUUCUCCAUGGGAAGGUAAAAAUGGACUACGUCUAUUUCUUCUAAUUCUUUAUUGGGCUCUAAAAAUAAUUUAAGACGUUGACCAUUUACCUUGAAUAACGUACCUUCGUCAUUUUGAAUUGUGAUAGCUCCGUGGGAUGAUGAAUUAAUUACCUUGAAUGGUCCUUCCCAUUUGCUUCGGAGUUUUCCAUGCCCGAAAAGCUUCACCCUGGAAUUAAAAAGUAAUACCUUAUCUCCGGGUGUGAACUCCUUCUUCUUGAUUCUCUUGUCAUGCCACCUUUUGACUCUUUCUUUGUAGAUCUUCGAAUUGUGAUAUGCUUUCUCUCGCCAUUCUUCCAAUUCUGAUAGUUGCAUUCUUCUAUAAUCUCUAGCAACAUCUAGGUCCAUAUUCCAUCUCUUUAUGGCCCAGUGUGCUUUGAACUCUAGUUCAACUGGUAGAUGGCAAGUCUUCCCGUACACCAAUUGGUAUGGAGACAUUCCAAUUGGGGUGUUGUAUGCUGUUCGGUAUGCCCAGAGUGCAUCGGGUAACUUGUCUUUCCACGCCGUUCCCAUUUCAUUUACUGUCUUCUGAAGAAUAUUCUUAAUUUGCUUGUUGGAAGUCUCUGCUUGGCCACUUGUCUGAGGAUGAUAGGGGGUAGCGACGUUGUGACGGAUUCCAUGUUUUGAUAGAUAUUGCUUGAAGCGUUUGUCGAUGAAGUGUGCUCCACCAUCACUUAUCACUACUCUGGGGACUCUAAAUCUUGGAAAUAUAAUUUCUUCAAACAUCCUCUUUGAACUGACGUUGUCGGCAUGCUUGCAAGGUAAUGCCUCUACCCACUUCGGAGACAUAGUCAACUGCCACCAAGAUAUAUUCACACUUCUUUGAUGGAGGAAAUGGACCCAUGUAGUCUAUUCCCCAGACAUCAAAGAGCUCAAUCUGAAGGUUGUUGGUGAGUGGCAUUGCAUCCCUUGUAUUUAUGUUUCAUUGCCUUUGACAUGGCCCACAUCUUUUGAUAUAUUGCCUCGUGUCUUCAUACAUUGUAGGCCAGUAGAAUCCACACUGCCAGAUCUUUGAAUGUGUGCGGAAUGCUCCAUAGUGACCUCCAUAUGGUGAUGAAUGACAUCUGUCGAUGAUCUUCCAUCCUUCCUCAGUGGUCACACAUCUCCUAAGUAAGCCAUCAGAGCAUACUCGGAAGAGGUAUGGCUCAUCCCAUAUAUGUGAACGACUUUCUUGAAUAUGCUUCUUCUUGUUUGCUCCUGGUGGUACAUACCCUGAAACCAUAAAAUUAACAAUAUCUGCAUACCAGGGGUCAGAUCUGUUAAUCCCGUAGAGCAUGUCGUCCCGGAGUGAAUCAUCGAUGGGGGUUUCCUCUGGACUCUUAAAAUACAUUCUAGUGCAGCAUGAUCAGUGUAAACAAUUAUUUUAGCAUCUUUUUUAGUGAGCAAAUAUUUUAGGAGUAAUAAGAUCCAUCUAAUCAGGCGAGGUUUAGCAUCUUUUUUAGUGAGCAAAUUCUUGGAGUAAUAAGAUCCAUCUAAUCAGGCGAGGUUUAGCAUCUUUUUUAGUGAGCAAAUAUUUUAGUGCAGCAUGAUCAGUGUAAACAAUUAUUUUAGCUCCAACUAAAUAAGAUCUAAAUUUAUCAAUGGCAAAGACAACAACCAGAAGCUCUUUUUCAGUAGUUGCAUAAUUAAGUUGAGCUCCUGUCAAAGUUUUACUGGCAUAAGCAAUUGCAUGAUGCAUCUUAUUUUUAGUUUGUCCCAAAACUGCCCCACAGCAUAAUCACUAGCAUCACACAUAAUUUCAAAAGGCAACGACCAAUCAGGGGGUUGAAUGAUUGGUGCAGAGAUGAGUGCUUUCUUUAAUAAAUUGAAAUAUGUUAGACAUGCAUCAUCAAAUUCGAAAGGAGCAUCCUUGGCUAGCAAAAGAGUAAGUGGUCUAGCAAUAAAUGAAAAAUCUUUUAUGAAUCUACGAUAAAAACCAGCAUGGCCAUGAAAGCUUCGAAUUCCUUUUAUAUUCAUAGGUGGAGGUAGUUGUUCAAUUACUUCAAUUUUAGCUUUGUCUACCUUAAUACCUCUUUCAGACACUAGGUGUCCCAGCACUAUUCCUUCCCUAACCAUAAAAUGACAUUUUUCCCAAUUAAGGACUAAGUGCUUUUCUUCACAUCUUUGCAAAACCUUGUCUAAGUUUUCAAGACAACUAUCAAAAGUUUUUCCAUAAACAGAGAAAUCAUCCAUGAAAACUUCCAUAAUCUCUUUAAUCAUAUCAGAAAAUAUAGACAUCAUGCAUCUUUGAAAAGAAGCUGGUGCAUUACAUAACCCAAAAGACAUUCUACGGUAAGCAUAAGUUCCAUAUGGGCAUGUAAAAGUGGUUUUGCUUUGAUCAUCGGGAUGGAUCGGGAUUUGGUGAUAUCCUGAAUAUCCAUCUAAGAAACAGAAGAACGAAUGGUUUGCUAACCGCUCUAGCAUCUCAUCUAUGAAAGGUAAAGGAAAGUGAUCCUUUCUCGUGGCUUUGUUUAGUUUUCUAUAGUCUAUGCACAUCCGCCAUCCUGUGAUGGUGCGUUGCGGAAUUAGCUCGUUCUUUUCAUUCAUAAUAACAGUCAUGCCUCCCUUUUUAGGCACAACUUGUACUGGGCUCACCCACUCACUAUGCGGCACAGGAUAUAUAAUCCCUGCAUGCAGCAACUUUAUAACUUCCUUUUCAACUACCUCUCUCAUAGUGUUAUUAAGUCUACGUUGGGGUUCUCGAGAAGGUGAAACAGAAGGAUCCGUUGGAAUUCGAUGGGUACAAAUCGUAGGACUGAUUCCUGUAAGAUCUUGGAGUGAGCAGCCGAAAAUUGAGUGAUGUUUCUCAAGAAUGGUCAUUAAUUGCAGAGUUUGAUCCUGAGUGAGUUUAUCACUAAUGAUCACAGGAAACUCUGGAUUAUUGUUUAGGAAAGCAUAGGUAAGACCAGGUGGUAAAGUUUUAAGCUCUAUGGGGGGUCUAGGUGUUUCUGCAAACUCAUCUAAGGGUUCAGGUUCAGAAGGUUCGGCUUCUUCUUUUAUGAAGAAAGGAGUUUCGUCUUCUAAGUCUGAUUCUUCUAAAAGUUCAAGAGAUGCAACCUUUACCUCCUCCAUAGGAUCAGGCAAAAGAUAUGACUCGGCCUUAUUAUUCAAGGAGUGUGAAAUUGUUAUUGGGAAUUUAAAGGCUUUUCCAAAAGAAAUGUGUAGCUUUCCAGUAUGACCUUCAUAAAGGAGUCUUCUAAAAGGUUGUCCUAUCAACAGGUCGAAGUCCCAUGUAUCAAAGAUAUAAAAGUUCAAAUAAACCAUGGAGCCUUCUACCGUAAGAGGUAGGACAUUAAUAUUUCCAAGACUGGGGACUAAUCGUCUCGAAGAUUCCUUUAUGACCUUUGUUGUGGGGGUUAAGACAAGAUUUUUAAAUAGUUUAAGUGCAAAAGAUUCAGACAUGAUGUUGAUCCCCACAACAGGAUUAUAAAGAGUAUUCAAUCGAUCAGAGUUAUAAGCACAGCGUAUAGUAUAGAGGGUGUGUCCAAACGGAUCACAUUAGAGGAAAGCUCUGAUUCCUCCAACCAUUCGCUACUCAUGACUAAGAUAAGCUCUCUCAAUUGAUAAUCACUUGGCAAAUAAAUGCUAAACUGGCCGUUUUGGGGUUUGUCAAUAGAAUGGUAGUUUGAAAUGUUUCCAAAAUCGGCAAAAAGAUCAGAUUCUAUAUCCAGCAUGAAGUCGGAUGGUCGAAUUUCUUCCUCUUGUGGCUCAGAACUUGGGAUAGCUAAAGUAGAUGAAGAAUUUGGCAGAGUGUCUACUUCGGCUUCGUAGGUUGCAUCACGAAGGGUAUCAUCCAUCUCAGCUUGUAGGAUUCUAUCUAGGAUAACUCUAGCUUCAUCAGUAGGGAUGCGAAAGAAAGAACCUCUAGACAUUGUGUGUAGCAUUUGUUUAUGAUUUUUCUAAAGUCCUCGAAAAAAGUGAAAUAAAAGAACAGGGUCUUCAAGAUUAAGGUUUGGACCAGAUUCUAAAAGAUCAGAAAAACAUUUCCAGGAUUUUCCCAAAGUUUCAUUAUCUUUUUGUUUAAAAGAUAGGACUUCGAGUCUAAGGUCGGCUAUACGGUCGAGGGAAUAGAAAUCUGGACAAAAGUUGGCUCGUAAAACUCCCCAUUCACCUCGUUGUUGACUUACCUUCUGACUGUACCAUUGUCUAGCUUCUCCCCUUAAAGAAAAAGGAAAAAGCUUCCAACGUAAAGUUUUAUCAGAAAUGCCAUCAAUGCGAAGACAAUCACAUGUUUGCUCAAAAUCUCUAAUAUGAAGGUAAGGGUUUUCGUCUUCCUUUCCCGAAAAAGAUAGGUUUUGAAUCAUGGCAAUCAACCUAGAACUUAACUUAUACUGGGAUGUUUGGAUAGGCUGUGAUGAUUCCCAUGGUAAAAGGUCAGUUACUGAAGGGAUUGCAGACUCAUGGAUCGAUUUAGAAUUUUGGUUUUCCAUAAGGUAAGAAUAAAGAAAAUAAAUAAAGAAUAUAAAAGAUAAGAAAAGAUAAAAGUAUAGAUACAAGCUAGUAGUAAGACUCAAGGUUAUCUCAGCAAACCAUCUUUCUCCCCGGCAACGGCGCCAGAAAUGCUUGUUGAUAUUUGGGAACGCAAUAAGGAAUUGAUCCGCAAGCGCACGGAUAUCGGUGAGCCCUUCACCCGGGAGGUUAUCCAGAGUAUCGUAUUUAUUUUUUUACCACUAGGAGAAAGAGUGCAUCUGACUAACCGGUCUAUUACUACUAACCCUUUAGGAAACAAAGAAUGUCUCUCGAUGUGAGUGAUAAAUAGAGAAGACUGCAACCGUAGUCUCCUUCUAACCUUGGUAAGGAUGAUCUACUGUUCUAUUGGGGGGGCUAACGGAAUCUAGACACCACAAAGGAUGUUCAACCCUCACCUAUAAACCCUAUCCUUCCUGCUAACGAGAUAUGGUCUGCAAAGGUAACUCGGAAUUGUCACGUUCCUCACUACUACCACAGUCCAGCUAGUCAGGGAAUAUCUUUGAGUACCCCAGCCUAAACACCACGUUUACGCCAGCAAUGAUUACUGUAAACUCUACGCGAAGAGAUUAAAGUAAACUUAUAAACUAGAAGAACAAUAAAACAAGAACUUACUAGAAUUUAGAAGUCGAAAUACUGAAGAAUCCUAGGAGCAAGCUUCGGGUUAGGAGAACUUGAUCCCGCAGGUACAAGCUUGGAGUAGACACCGACAGGCCGGGCUUCCUCCAAUCUACACCUCCACUCUAUCUCUCUCAAUCUAGUAGAAACUAGAAGAUCUAUUUCUACUUUACAUUGGUUGCUAAGCCUAAAAAAGAAAUAUUAAUUAGAGAAGAGGUUUUCCUUCGAGGGCACCCCUCAAUCUCUAUGAUAAUUUCUUGUCUUCUCCAGGGGCCAGGGGGUCUCCUUAUAUAGUCCUCCUCCUCUAUGCGGUUUUGGGUCGGUAGGCGAGGUGGUACUACAUUAUUCUUGAUCCAAUAGGUCGGUGGAACAUCAUGUGCGAAGAGAGUCCCGAACGGAAUCCAACAGGGGGCGGGCACCCAGGUCACCAGGGCGGGCGCCCUGGGCCUGGCCCCUUUCAGGCUCUGCCUUCUUCCCGAGGCUUCAGGAGUCUUCUAGAUGGUAGAAAAUCACACGGUGCGUUGAUAUCUCUAUGUAAUCCCGACAUGUGGGCCUUUCUUCCUUAUUUCCUGAUAACCCCCUGCAGAAACAGAUAAACAACAAAACUCGUGGAAUUCUGUCAGAUCAAACCCUAAUUCUAGGUGUUGGUUGCAUAUUUGUCCUUUCCCUUGUUUAUUUGAUAAUUAAAAUUGAUACUUAAGAACCAUCAACAGCAUCCAUGCUCGCUGUUCUUUGGUCAGACCCUCAUAAAGAGUCUGAAAGAAUCGGCUGACUUGAUCUCCAUUGCCUCUAGUACCAGGCAAAACUAUGACGGCUUCACCAUAGUUUAAGGGAGGACGGGUUGCCGAUUCUUCUUCAUCUAACUCAUGAUCCUCUGCUAUAUCCCUGGGGAAACGCUGUGCAAAGAGGUCGAAUUCCAGUCGCUUGUGCAUAUGGAGGCUAAGCCACAUGUUGAUGAACCACCAAGGGCCCCCUAAGUUGCCGAUGGAUUGACCAAGCAGUAGUUUCUGGGCUACUUGGUGGAGAAGAUGAUAGGCAGAACCAAGCAGGUAUCGGCCGAGGGAAAUCGGCCACCAUUGGCUAAUCUCUCUGCUGCCGAUAGGUAGACAGAGGUUGGUCCUGCCGAUCGACCGCAGAAUAUAAAUUUCUCUAACCACAUGUUCAGGAAGGUGGUAUGUUCCUUUAUGUUGACAGGCCCUGUUCUACGGUACUUCUGAAUGUACCCAGACCAGCCGCCGAUAGAGCGAGUUUCCACCUUAGCGCUAGGUUGGGUGUCAAAUAUGUGACUACUAUCAGCAGUGGAUACAUCUAAGCCAGUGAGCAUAAGCACAUCGGCAAGAGUGGGAGAAGUAGGGCCAUGUCCGAAAACAAAUGCAUUAAGUGUGUCUCACCAAAAGUAUGAGGCAGCUAUCAGUAGCGACUCGUUUCUCUCCAUAUCGGCAAGAGACAUUCUGAUGCACUGAUCCAGUUUCCGUUCACCCCAUUGGACCUCAUUUGAGUUACUGACUCUCAGGAACCAAUCCUUCCAUCCCUUGGUAGGAUUGGGCCAGGAACGGAAAGCAUCCUUCCAUAGAUCUAAAGAGAAAUUCUCGGCUCUAAAAAGGAUUCUGUUUGUCUCCACAUUUAUACGAACAGUGCCACCGCCAGAAAAGCAGAGUUGGGGCUGUAGAAUGAUGCGAUGGAGAAGGAGUACCCGAGAAGGAACUAUUUAUAGGACAAAAUGGGCAAGGGCAAAUCUGACUUAUCUCUUCGCCGUAUCCGUGAAAUCCGAGGAUACUCAGGUGGAUAUGGUAACUGUUCGCACGGUAAUCAAGGGAUUGCGCAGGUGAUUUGACAGGAAGCGGUCAUAAUCUGGAGAUAUUUCAGUGAGCGGGAUUUCCUGGUCGGUCCAUCGGUAGCUCCCUCUAACGGUAAUAUUGCCGAUGGGCGAAUAAAGUGGAGAUGUCCAGUUUGGGAGGUUGAGGAAUUCGAGGAAUCUGCGGAAGAAUCAGGCCAGAGUUGUUCGACUUCAACGGUCGGUUACCAAAUUGAGAGGAUUAAUUGCGGAAAGGCAUCAUUACUGCAGAGAAUUUCAGAGCAUUAAUGAUUUUAUACUCCGAAAUUGGGGGGCAUGUGUUGACACCGUUUUUGGACACGUACCCAGGGAUCGGUAGAGUAUAGAUCGGCAAGAUAGGGCAACAGUAACUAGUCUGUAGGGGAGUUGCCGAUGAAGGUGGUUGCCGAUGAAGAGACAAUUGAAUGUGACUAAGUCCAUGAGUGGUGACGCGUUCAUGCCGAUGGUCAACGUUAGCCUUUGUCGAUGGCUACGAUGAGGAUCCUGCCGAUGACUCGGAAGGAGAACAUGAAGGUUGCCGAUUGGUCCAUGGUGGUGUCCCGGUUUGUCACGGGAGGAUAGUUUUGUGUUUUCCUUAGUUAUUUAAAUCAUUUUGUAUACGGAUUCUAUUUAAUUUGGAAUUCGAGUCCUAGUCGUGUCUGAUUGUAGCUCUUUGAGCAGGGUAUAAAUGUAGACCCUAGGGCCUUGUAAUGAAACAAUCUAUUAAUCAAUCAAACACAAGUUUUUACUCAUAUUCCAGCAUCUACUUUUUCGACGACUUCGUCAUAUUUUCCUUUUUAUUACGAGUUCUUAAGAGUUCGUUGACUUAAGCUCGGCGUAUUCUCGAGUUCCGCGUGAAUACCUCUUGGCCGUGACAUCCGGGCGUAUCGCUGUUGUCGGGACCAAAGUAUUCGAGUUAUCACCUUUGCCGAUAGUAAGGUCAAAUCGGCUGGCGCGCCUUAACGUUUGAAUCGGGUAUUAGCCCUUUGUGUUUGCAGAUCAGCUUUUGCAUCAACAAAAAAUAAACCUAUCAAUCCUAUUAACGGGAUGCUGGACUAUAGAGGACUCAACAGGUCUAUCACACUCGUGAUCUACCACUGAAAUCUAGAAAAUAGAGGACUUUUACGAUUAACCUAAGCCCAAGCACCAUGCCUACACUUAAGAUUAAUACUCUACUCCCUCUAGUGCAGGAAUAAAGCACUCAAUAUAGUCGUAAUAAUUGAAAAAUAUAAGCAAAGUAAACUUAGAUAAAAAGUUGAUUACCAGAGAAAUCUCGAAGACAAGCUCAAGUAGAACUUGGAUCCGCUGAAGUACAUGCCGUAGAGGGAGGAUCGACAUGUCAGCACCUCCUUCAAACUCUUCCCUUACUCUUUAUCUCUCUAUUUCUAUUCAUGAAACUAGAUCCUAUGGAGAUCUAAUCUUCUAUUGAUGGCUUUCUCUAGGUGGUAGAUCCAUUUAUGGGACCCCUCUCUUGAUCCGAACAGAAGAAUAUGAAUUUGGGCUUUUGGAUAGCUCCAGGGAGGGGGCAAGGGUUUCCUUAUAUAGCUCGGUGGGAUAAACAUGAGCCCUUGGAUCAAACUGACUUUGAGGUACUAUGGAGAUGCAUCUUAGGAGGUGGAGGAGGAAGCAUCUGGAAGCAGGACGCGAGGGGGCUCUAGGCCAGGCCGGGCGGCCCACUAUGGUGGCCUUUCGGGCCCAUCUUCGAUGGUUUGCCUUCUAUUACCUUCUAAAGUCUUGCCACAUAAUUUGCCUCUUGGAAUUCCAUCAUUUCUUUUGACAAUUAGAUCCCUCUUGGUUGUUUCCUGGAUAAAUCAUGUAACACCCUAAAAUUUUGCUUCUUUGAAAAUAGAGACAAUUUGAUUUAAUUAUGUAUUUUUGUGCUCAUGAAAUAUAGGGAAAAUAAUAUUUUUCAUUAAAUUAACAAUUUACCCUAAAGUUUAGCAACAUUUGUGUGCAUUCAUGUUGGUGCAUUUGUAUUUUUGAGAUGAGUGGUUCUGACUAAAAAUUCAAAAUAUUUUCAAACUACUUUUAAAUAGUUUUGAAAAGGUUUUGGAAACAAACAAAAGAAAAGAAAAAGGAAAACUCCCCCAUCUACUUUUGGCCCAAAGGCCCGGCUCUCUCUCCCUAUCUGGCCGAGCCAAGCAGCACAUGUGUACCUUGCGACCUAUUCCUCUCCGGCCCAGUUGUGCAGCGCCCUCCUCUUCUCUCUCCCUCUUGCUAGCAACUCGGUCCCACAUGGUGGUGACUCUUGUUUCUUCAUCCUGGAGCCGGAUUUGAUUGGGACUCCCAGGUGGACAACCCAAUCCUAGGAACUCGGUUUUCCUUUCCUUGUAUGCUCAACCAACCCCUCCUACAAGGUCGUGUCCUUCCCCUGUGAUAUCCUUUUCCAUCUACACAACGCAAGGAGCCACCCUAGCUACCCUAGCCGACCAAGGUACUAGAGCCGCCCGUCGUCGCCAUUACCAAUGGCCAUUGCUUCUUGGUCAUUGUAAGACAUUUGCCGAGCUUUUGUAACACCCUAAAAUUUGCUCUUUUCAAAAUAGAUGAAAAUUUAUUUAGUUUUGUUUUUCCGUGCUCAUGAAAAUAUAAGGAAAAUAAUAUUUUUCAUUAAAUUAAAAUUUAUCAUAAGCCUUAGCAAUAUUGUUGUGCAUACAUGCUAGCGCAUAAGAUUUGAUGUAAUGUUUGCUUGUUGCUCCUUUAUGUGUUGAGUGAGCAAAGUUUUAAAAAUGCGUUUAGUAGAUCGAUUUUCCUUGACCGGUAUGUCUUUAUAUUCAUCUAUAACCAAAUUCCUUGUUUCUCAGCUCAAGUUUUUAUUAGGAGCUUCCUAAAAUAUUUUCUUUAUUAUCCAAAUCACUUGUUUUAGUUCCUCGUUCAUCAAGCAAUCUCUACAAACUUUUUGGGAAUUUUUUUCAUCUUCUGUUCUCACUUUUCUAUAAGCAUAAUAUAAUUUUUAGAUGCUCCAAAUAAUCUUAUCAUGGGCUCCAAAUACUUUAUUUGAGUUUCUCAUGUUCCAUAAUGUCUUUGAGAAUUUUCUCUGAAUUUUCAGAGCUUUGGAAAUAUUUUUCACAGUUUAAAUAAUAAUUCUAGACUUUUCUAGAAUUAUUUUAUCCAUGAAAUUAAAUAAUUCCGAAAAUAGUAAAUCUCUUGUUCUUUUUCCAUCGCUCAAAGCCCAUGUUUUUAUUUACUAAUGGGCUAUAAUAAUUAAUUAGGUCUAUUAGUAAAGGUGGAGGAUGCAACAUUGAUUAGUACCAAAUCACUAGUUGAUAUAUAUAUAUAUAUAUAUAUGUAUAUAUAUAUAUAUAUAUAUAUAUACCAACUCUUUGGCAAUGCACCCCACAACUACUGUCAGAGAAGUCCCUAGUUUGGGAAGUCUCUCGUGUAGUAAAUUAAAAUUAUCUUUUUCUAUCAAUGUCACCGGCGCAGUCCACCAGCCAUAACUGGAGUUCAAUCGAUCCAUACCUCAUUAUCAUCAUCUUCUCACUACGGAUGCUUAUUGAUCGUGUGAUGACUUGCAACGGGCCAUGCCAUCGGCUCCGAGGCCUCUCCUGAGCCCUUGUCAUGGAAAGAUUAAGCCAUGAUAGUCUCCUCUACGUCCAGACGUCAUCCCUAUCACAUAUAUAUAUCUUGGGUGAGCAACUUCAUAAUUUCUAUAUCCUGACGCCUUGGUAAUUAUAGCUCCACAUUGAGUAUAUAUAUGCAUUUUGUGUAGCUCACCAUCGUCCAGCUAUCGUUCUUGCCGAUCUGCAUCUUAACGGCGACGGGAGCAGCACCGUAUGCUGACCUGCAUGCGACUUUCUUCCAUAUUUUCAACGACCAAGUAAACUAGCAAAGGCCAAGGCCAAUCGUGCGUGCCAGCGUACGUGUACGGCAAGCAGGACAGAGCAACACGUCCACCUGGUACACCUUCUGUGUAUAAUAAGCUCUUCUAAUCAUCUAUCUUUUAUGCUCUAUAUACUAUCUACUCUAGCACUCGUGAAUUAGCACAUAGAUUAAUCAAUCUUUAUUGUUUUCUUUUAUCUCCAGCAUAUGCGUAUUAAAUCCCUUUUGAUGUUAGUUAGCCGCCAGCCAUCUACGCACUUUCAAUACAUGCAUCCUUUCAUAUGUGAACCUCUGAACCUUCAAUUCUCUACCGAAUCAAGUCUCUUAGAUUCAAAAUUUAUACAGUAAUGCUAAUGUUUUCAUGUCAUGUGUUUAUUAUUUUAUUAAUUUAAUUGCUAAAUUGAUUAAUAUAUUUAUAAUCAGAUUUAUAAUUGAAAGCUAUAAGGUUGUAUAAGACGGUAAUUUAUGAACAAAAUAUUAAUGUGAUUAAUUGCUUAUAAAAUGUGUUUCUAAAUUCUAAGUUGCUUAGUUAAACACGUUGCAUAUGUGAUAAACUCAAUUAGUUGUUUUCACCUAUACUCUUUCUUUCGCAAAAAUAAAGUUUAACUUGAUUGAAUUAUAUGACAUUGUUUAUUUAUAAAUAAAAUAUGAGUAGUUUUAGGCUAACUUUUGAAUUAAAUUAUGUUUUGCCUAAUCUGAUCUAAAUGACUUUUCACAAAGUUUUGCUCAAAUAAUACGUCAAGCAUAUAUAGGUGUUGACACCAUUUUUGGGCACGUGUCCAGGAUGGCAGGACAGAGUGGCAGUACGAUACGGGUUGCUGGUAAGGAUGGUUGCCGAUGAGGGGAAGGUUGAAUGUGACUAAGUCCUCAGACAGUAACAUGGUACCGAUGACCAAGUAAAGGGGUCUGCCGAUGACUAUGGCAAGGAGGUUGCCGAUGACGCGAAGGAGGAGUCCGGAAGCUGCCAGUUGUCAUGUGGAGGAGUUUCGGUUUGUCACGAAGGAUGGUUUUAUUAUUUCCUUAUGUUAUUCGUAUCGUUUUAUAUACGGGUUCCGUGUAAUUUGGAAUUCGAAUUCUAAUCGUGUCUGGUCGUAGCUCUUUGAGCAGGGUAUAAAUAUAAGCCCUAAGGCCUUGUAAACAGAUAUGAAGAAAUCAAUAAAACAUACGUUUUUACUCAUAUUCCAGCAUCUACUUUUCGACGACUUCGUCAUACUUUUUUCUUUUUAUUACGAGUUCUUAGGAAUUCGUCGACUUAAGCUCGGCGUGUUCUCAAGUUCCGCGUGAGUACCUCUUAGCCGUGACAUCCGGGCGCAUCGCUGUUGUCAGGACUAAAGUAUUCGAGUUAUCACCUUUGCCGAUAGCAAGGUCAAAUCGGCUGGCACGCCUUAACGUUUGAAUCGGGUAUUAGCCCUUUGUGUUUGCAGAUCAAUUUUGCAUCAACACAUCUUUUGGCACGCCUGGUGGGACAGAUUCAAGAUCAAGAUCAACAUGUCGAUCUCUGACCUCGAUCAAGACAACGUCAUCCCCGUGACGGAAGCUAACCUCAAGGAUGAGCAGAAGCAAGCUAUUGCCCAAGCUAUGGAAGAGUUCAAGCAGCAAUGCCUGAAGUCUUUCAGCAUAAACAGGAGCGGCGAAGUGGUCCAGAAAGAUGCACUGCCGGCACCACGGCAGGUCACCUUUGACGCCAAUCCUGGCAAGCUUCAAGACAUGGUUGAUAAUGCCAUCAAUCGAGCGUUGAUUAACCAAGCUGGUGUACUGUCUAAUACGGUUUUCAACGCCGUGGCAAGAACCUUCAAGGAAGGACAAAUCCCGCCGGAUUAUGUGGGCCCUUCCCAUCAUCAACCCACGGCACCAGAGGUCACGGCUCCAUCGGCUGCCUUGACAAGUGCGAGUGCACAGUCUGCCGUUCCUCCGAGUACAUUGGGGACUACUGGUGCACUAUCUAUGCCGAUGGCAACCAACCCACAAAUUUCAGUUGGGCAGCAUAAACUGACAACAGAUAUGUUGGCAUCGGCAAUGUCGGGGUUAACUCUUCCUCCUAACUGGUGGGGUUAUGGUAUGCCUCCAGAGUUGACGCCGGGAACAUCACAGAUAACUGACAUGAGGGGCAAAACUCCUAUGACAUCGGCACCUUCCAAUGUGCCGGUGAACCAGAGUCCUCGGUAUACCACAACUACUACUGCAAGGCCUCACACUGGAAAUCCUCAAGAUUCAAUGUUCCAGAUGCCUAACACAUCGGCAGAGUCAAUGCUGAUGCAACAGAGGCCUAUGGCCCAGUCAGGGUAUGUCAAUUCAACGACGGUACCCAAUUACCAAUCAUCGGCAGCACCUAUGCCGAUGAACGCUAAUAAUGGAUGGCUUGGACAGCAAGCCUUUCCACAGUCGCCCCAGCAGGGUUAUCAGACUACAGGGUUCCAGCAAGGGCAGGUUUAUCCCGGGUUCCAAGGUCAGGGAAUUCCCAACCAGCCAAUAAAUUUUGGACAGCAACUCGGAGGACAGCCAAUCGGUGGACAGCAGUUUGGUAGUCCGCAGAUUGGAGGACAGGUGACCAAUACGAUGUUCCAUACAGGUCACGUCCCGAACAGACACGUGGAGGUUCGCCACCAAAUGCCAGAUCCGCAGCCGCCUCAUCGGCAAGAUGCCGACGCGUAUUGGGCCGAUAAGAUUGCCGAAGUAAUGAGGGAACAAUUUGGGAUAAAACCCAAAGUCAACACUUAUUCUUAUCGGACACCGUAUCCUCCAGCGUAUGAUUUGAUCCCGCUUCCACAUCGGUACAAAGUACCGGAUUUUACAAAGUUUUCCGGACAGGACGACACGUCAACCAUGGAGCAUGUCAACAGGUUCAUUAUUCAAUGUGGAGAGGCUGGUAACAGGGACGAAUUGAGGGUUCGCCUAUUUUCAUCAUCAUUGUCUGGAUCGGCCUUUACUUGGUUCAUAUCAUUGCCUCCCAAUUCAGUAAUUACUUGGGCCGAUCUAGAGAAGCAAUUCCACAGAUACUUCUUCUCGGGGGUUCAUGAGAAGAAGAUCACCGACUUGGUCAAGUUGAGGCAACGUAAUGAUGAGUCGGUUGAGGGAUUUGUGCAGAGGAUACGAGAGGUCAAAAAUAAAUGCUAUAGCCUGGUUCUGGAUGAUCGACAGCUAGCCGAUUUGGCUUUCCAGGGUUUGUUGCCACACAUCAGGGAUAAGUAUGCCUCUCAGGAGUUCGAAAGUUUAAGUCACUUGGUGCAGAGGAUAUCUGAUCAAGACAUCAAGCCUUUCGAGCCUAAGAGGGCAUGGAAUAAGAAAGUCUCAUUUGUUGAUGAAGCAACAAGCUCAGAUUCCGAUGAAGAACCAGUAAUCGGUUUGGCAGAAUGGGUAAAAAACAAGAAGCCGAUGUCUUGUCCUUUUGGGCAGAAGGAACCAGAGAAGUUUGCAUUUGACACCGCCAAGGCCGAUAGGAUAUUUGACUUUCUACUUCAGGAAGGUCAAAUCAAAUUGUCACCUAACCACGUGAUCCCGUCGGCAGAAGAGUUGAAGAGGAUGAGAUAUUGCAAGUGGCAUAAUGCAACUUCACAUGACACCAACGAGUGCAAAGUAUUCAGGCAACAGCUGCAAUCGGCCAUAGAGUCAGGGAGAAUCAAGUUUGACAGUUCCAAAGCCCAGAAGCCGAUGAAGAUAGACCAACAUCCUUUUCCGACAAACAUGUUGGAUGCUAAGGGGAAGGCUAAGGUCUUAACAUCGGAGACAGCUGAGAAGAGUGCAUCGGUAGAUCCUCAGCAUCAAGUUACUACCGCCGAUGCAAGAAGUAAGGGCUUGGUCCAGGAAGGAGCUAGCUCAGGAAGAAUUCCUCGAUCUGGUAUGGUCAUAACUCAUAGAAGGCCUCGAGAGAGAGGGCAACAACGGGAAGAUCGGUACCGGCGCCAGCAGGAAGAUUAUCAACGGGAAGAAGAGAGACGCCGACAGGAGUGGAAUCGGCACAGGGAUCAUUGGAAUUGCCCAUUCUUCAUCCAUUGUUGGGAGGAAAAUAUCAAGCUUCCUACUGUCAGAGACUGCCCUGAAUGCAACGGUUAUGAUCGGUACGACAGGAACGAUCGGCGUUAUCAUAAUGAUGAACGACGAUUUAAUGGGCCGAUCAGAGGAAGGGCGUCAGUUCAUGAUCGGCUGGGGGGCAGGCUUAGCGUUCACGAUCGGCUCGGUGACCGUGUCCAGUAUUUUCCCAGGAACCAAGAGGAGCUUGAAAGAAUGGCUGAUGCGCGGGUUCCCGAUGAAUUCGUAUUUUGCAGGGAUGCUAACACGCAUCGCAUGGAGUCAAGAGAGGACCAACGCCCGACGGCAAGGCAAAGGCCACUUCCUCCAUGGUGCUCUCAAGGAUUAACCAAGACACAGAAAAGGAGAUUGCAACGUGAAAGGCAGGAAGAGCUAAAUAAAGGAGAGAACUCUGGAAGUCGGCAGCCGUCAGACACUAAGAAGGAAGGUCCAUCGGCAGGCGUCAACAUGGUCUUCAUGUUGCCGAUGGAGUUUCUUGCACCAGCCAGUGAUGAUGAGUUGGAAUUUUCUGAUCAGAUAGCUCAGUUGGCUCUGGAUCCGAUGACGGCUAUCUUUGAGAAACCUGCCGAUGACGAGAGGCAGCAUCUCAAAGCUUUGUUCCUCAAAGGAAGGGUCGAUGGGCAGCCAAUGACCAAGAUCCUAGUUGAUGGUGGAGCUGCUAUUAAUAUUAUGCCGUAUGCAGUAUAUCGGAAGCUUGGAAAAGGGGAUCAAGAUUUGACCAAGACCGAUAUGAUGCUCAAAGAUUUUGAAGGAAACGUGUCUCCAGUCAAGGGGGCGAUAUGUGCAGAGUUGACCAUCGGCAGCAAAACCUUGCCGACAACUUUUUUCGUGAUCAGCGGAAAAGGUGCUUACAAUUUAUUAUUGGGGAGAGAUUGGAUUCAUGCCAAUUGUUGUAUCCCAUCUACAAUGCAUCAGUGCUUGGUUCAGUGGGUAGGUGACAAGAUUGAGAUCGUCCCAGGGGAUUCUUCUUAUGUUAUCGCAUCGGCAGAGGCGGAUACUUAUGAAAAGACUAGGUGCAUUUCAGGAGAAGUUUGGGAGAAAGAUUUUCUCAAAGUUGCCGAUUAUGAGAUUCCACCGAUCCAAGCAGUCGGUUCUGACGACGGUUUUUAAUGGAUAGAUUCGCCGAUGAUGGAAAAUUAGGCCAGGGGUUCACAUCGGCCGAUGAUUUGGUAGAAGUAGAUAUAGGUAGUGGUGAUAAGCCUAGGCCUACUUUUAUUAGUGCUAAAUUAGAUCCUGAGUGUAAGCGACAAUUGACUAGUUUGUUAAAGGAGUAUAAAGAUUGCUUUGCUUGGGAUUAUACAGAGAUGCCUGGUUUAGACCGAUCAAUUGUCGAACAUCGGUUACCCAUCAAGUCUGGAUUUCGGCCACAUCAGCAACCAGCCCGCCGAUGUAAUCCUAACAUUCUACCUGAUAUUAAGGCCGAAAUCACUAAACUUAUUGAAGCUAAGUUUAUUCGGCAGUGUCGGUAUGCCGAAUGGAUCUCCAAUGUUGUUCCGGUUUACAAGAAGAACGGGAAGCUGCGGGUAUGCAUUGAUUUCAGGAAUCUCAAUAAAGCUACGCCGAUGGACGGAUACCCAAUGCCUGUCGCCGAUCUACUGGUUGAUGCUGCGGCUGGCCAUCGGGUCAUCAGCUUCAUGGAUGGUAAUGCAGGUUACAAUCAAAUAUUCAUGGCAGAGGAGGAUAUUCCAAAAACCGCGUUCAGGUGUCCUGGUCAUGUUGGACUAUUUGAGUGGAUAGUCAUGACUUUUGGGUUAAAGAAUGCUGGUGCUACUUAUCAAAGGGCUAUGAAUUUUAUAUUUCAUGAGUUCAUCGGCAAGAUCGUGGAAAUUUAUAUUGAUGAUGUGGUGGUUAAGUCUGGAGAUUUCUCAAAGCAUCUUGCCGAUUUACAAAAAGUGUUGGAGUGCACAAGGAAGCAUGGAUUGAAGAUGAAUCCCAACAAGUGUGCGUUUGGCGUAUCGGCAGGGCAGUUUCUUGGUUUCAUGGUACAUCAGAGGGGUAUUGAAAUUAGUCGAAGAUCUAUUGACGCCAUCAAUAAAAUAGUUGCCCCUACCAAUAGAACCGAGCUCCAAUCCUUGAUCGGCAAGGUGAAUUUUAUCAGAAGAUUUAUAUCGAAUUUAUCUGGGAGAAUUCGUGCUUUCAGUCCUCUUCUUAAAUUGAAAGCCGAUCAGGAGUUUGUUUGGGGAAAAGAACAGCAGUUGGCUCUAGAUGAAAUCAAAAGGUAUCUAGUAAACCCUCCAGUUUUAGUUCCACCUCAGCAAGGGAAACCCUUCAAAUUAUAUUUAUCUACCGAUGGAUCGGUUAUCGGUUCAGCUUUAGUUCAAGAAUUUGAAGGGAAGGAGAGGGUAAUUUAUUAUUUGAGCAGGAGGUUAAUUGAUGCUGAAACCAGGUAUUCGGCCAUUGAGAAGUUAUGCUUGUGCCUAUAUUUUUCAUGUGUCAAGCUAAGACAUUACCUGUUGUCGGCCGAAUGUGCUGUUGUUUGCAAAGAUGACGUGGUCCGAUACAUGCUAUCUAUGCCGAUUAUGAGUGGUAGGAUCGGUAAAUGGAUUUUGGCGCUGUCGGAGUUCGAUUUGCGUUACGAAUCGGCUAAGGCGGUCAAAGGGCAGGUUAUGGCCGAUUUCGUGACUCAGCAUUGCAGUCUAGUGGAAACCUGGGAAAUUGCACCCUGGACGCUCUUCUUUGAUGGGUCUACCUGUGACCGGGGAGCAGGAAUCGGCAUUAUAUUAGUUUCUCCUAAGGGGAGGAAGUAUGAAUUUUCCUUGCCGAUUGUUGCUACAUCAACAAAUAAUCAGGCUGAGUAUCAAGCUCUGAUCAAGGGAUUGGAGUUGUUGAGGGAAGUUCGUGCUGAUGCUGUUGAAGUAUUCGGAGAUUCCAUGUUGGUUAUAAAUCAAUUGGCUGGAAGCUAUGAGUGCCGAAGUGAAGUUCUCAUAACCUAUUUCGAGAGAAGUAUACAACUGUUGAAGGAAUUCAAGAACUUCCGAUUGGAGCAUAUUCCCCGAUUGCACAAUGAAGACGCUAAUCGGUUAGCCCAGCAUGCCUCGGGAUAUCAGCCAAUGGUUAAUGCGACAUCGGUAGUCACUGCCGGUGAUUGGAGGGAAGAAAUUAUUGAUUAUCUAAAAAAUCCGUCCAAAAAGGUUGAAAGACGGGUUCGAUUUCAAGCAACCAAGUAUGUGAUCCUUGAGAAUGAGUUGUAUUAUCGAACUAUCGACGGAAUUCUUCUCCGAUGCCUGGGUGAUGAUGAAGCCAGAAGUUUAAUGGGAGAAAUCCAUGAAGGAGUGUGUGGAGCGCAUCAAUCAGCCUUUAAGAUGAAGUGGAUGAUUCGAAGGAAUGGAUAUUUUUGGCCAACCAUACUUGAAGAUUGUUUUAAAUAUUUCAAGGGAUGUCAAGGUUGUCAAAAGUUCGGUAAUAUCCAGAGAGCACCCGCAUCGGCUAUGAAUCCUAUAAUAAAACCUUGGCCGUUCCGGGGGUGGGCCAUCGAUCUGAUCGGUCAAAUUUGUCCACCAUCUAGCAAAGGGCAUAAGUUCAUUCUAGUUGCCACCGACUAUUUCACUAAGUGGGUCGAAGCUAUUCCUUUGAAGAAGGUCACAUCGGCCAAUAUGAUUGAUUUUGUGAAGGAGCAUAUUAUUUACCGAUUUGGGAUUCCCCAAACGAUUACUACCGAUCAGGGCACCAUGUUCACGUCGGGGGAGUUCGAUGAAUUCGCAAUCGGUAUGGGAAUUAAAGUGUUGAAUUCUUCUCCUUACUAUGCUCAAGCCAAUGGGCAGGCCGAAGCGUCUAACAAGGGAAUUAUCAAGCUUAUUAAGCGGAAGAUUGAAGAAAAUCCUAGGCGGUGGCAUACAUUGUUGAAUGAAGCACUGUGGUCUUAUCGGAUGGCUUGUCAUGGAUCAACCAAGGUGUCACCUUAUCAAUUAGUGUAUGGACAUGAUGCAGUUUUGCCUUGGGAGAUUAAGGCUGGAUCUAGGCGAUUAUCUUUUCAAGAUCAGUUGGCUGCCGAUGAUUAUGCCACUUUAAUGACCGAUGAGUUAGAUGAUUUAGCAGGGCAUCGGUUAACGGCUUUAAUGAGUAUAGAAGAAAAUAAAAAGAGAGUUGCCAGAUGGUAUGAUAAAAAGGUGAAGGCUAAGGAGUUUGCCGAUAAGGAUUUGGUAUGGAAGUUGAUUUUGCCAGUCGGGACUAAAAGUUCAAAGUUUGGGAAGUGGUCUCCUAAUUGGGAAGGUCCUUAUCGGAUAAAACGCUCAGCUCCUGGUAAUGCCUAUAUUCUAGAAACUCUCGAAGGAGUUGAAUUUCCCAGAGCAUUAAAUGGCAAAUAUUUGAAGAAGUACUACCCCAGCAUAUGGAUCGAUGCAUAAAAAGUUAAGUGCCGAUAACAUUCCUAUCGGCUGAAUUUAAAUGUUCAAGGGCAAACUUAAUGUUUCAAAAGAUGCCGAUAACAGUCUUGUCGGCUAGACUAAAAGCUAAAAACGGAGAGACAAAGGUGUAUCGCCGAUGGAAGCUUCAGAUGUUCAGCAAUGCCUGGAUUGCAGAUAUGGCGCGCAGCCGAAUCUGGUUGGCUGUCUCUAUCUCUUUAAUGUCGUCAUCGGCAGAACCUUCAAUCGGCUUCAAUUUCCUCUUCAGUUGCAGCGCUUUACGGCCAUGGACGUUUCGUUCCUGUUCAAGAUGCUUGAUGGUCUCCGGCAGUUGACUAUCUUCUUGUUGGACUUGGGACAGGGCGUCCUCUACCUGCUUGAGUUCAGCCAGCAGAGCUUCUCUUUUUGCCGAUAGAUCAGAUAUUUUCUGCUUCAGUGCAUCACCUGAGGACUUUAAGAUGCCGAUGUUCUUAUGUUUCUCAUCGGCUAAGAGUUUUUCUUUUAUCAUCUCCUCAGAGAGCUGGGUUUGAGCAGCUCUGUCGGCAAGGCGUUGAGUAGCUCUCUGGUACUGUAGCUGACGGCUUUCUAGAUGUGCGGCGUGGAAGAGUGCUUCUUCGGCAUCGGCAGGAAUUUGGCCUCUAAGAGUCUUGAACAGGGCCUUGGCUGGGUCAGAAUCGUCGACCAGUUGAGUUGUGUCUUGAUGAAGUAUGGCCGAUAGCUCCUCCAGCCUAGCUUUGGUUUCUGCCGAUACAAUUCCAACUGCCCGAGAGGAGCUUGCUUCCUCGCCUUCUUCUUCAAAGAUAUCAAUGGCGAAGGAGAAUAGGCUAUCGGGAGAAUCUUGUUCCUGAAAAUGGAAUUGAGAUAGGUCAAUUUUAUAGUCAGAACGUCAACAGAUGAUACCGAUGGAAAAGUGGAUGACUUACUUGCUUCAGGGCAAUUUCCUGCCUUUGACUUAGAGAGGCCGAUGGAGCUGCAGGUUGAUCGGCAGAUGUUGCCGAUAGAACGAUAUCGCCUGAAAGAAGACAGGAAGCAUUAUAAGAAAAAAUGAAAGUAAGUUUAUCGGUAGGAGUAUUGUUGGAAUAUGUUACCCGGAAGAGGAACAACAGUUGUUUGAAUUGAGGAAACCGCCGAUGACAUAACUGGAUCUGCCGGGCCAGUUGUUUGUUCGCCUACGUCAGAUAACGCACCCGCCGUUUGAGGUUCUUCUUGCUGAGGCUCUUCAGUCUGUAGUGCUUCCUGUAUGGAUUGAGGGGAUAUUCCUUGCUGUGCUUGGACUCCUGGAGGAGAAGGGGAAGAUUCCACCGGGAUUGGAGACACCGGGGGAGGAGGAGGAGUUGCCACUUUAUGGCGCUUUGUUCCAGUCUUAGUGCCAUGGACGCCUUUCCUCUUUGGCUGGCUAGACUGGGGGAGAUCGGCACCUUGGCGUUUGGCUUUUGCCGAUGCACCAGUUUGCUGCAACAACGAUAAAGAGUUUGUGAGCACAGAUAACCGAUAUAAAGAUAGUCAGCAUGAAUAAAAAAGGGGGUUUUAACAGAUUGCCUUGAAAGCUUGCGCCAGAGUGGAAGCAGUUACCGUUGGUGAUGUCUGAGUUUUCCUAGUGGUAACUUUCUUGAGACGCGCGCCCCGGUGCACGAUGGAAGCCAGAGUGGGAGCAUUGUGGCCGAUUGAGGAAAUCGGGCCUGAUGGGAAUAAGUCGAUCGGUUUGCCACUCCUGCUGACCGAUGGAGGGGUGUUGUCGAUCUGCAAAAAGAAUACAGGGGUAAGUUACCGAUGGAAAUAGUAUUGAAAAAUGGGACAUCGGUUCAGAAAUACUUACAGUGCCGUCAGGGACUUCGUAUUCGGGGUCGAUCAUGCCGCGGUAUGAGAGGGCCGAUCUGCAGAAUAGAUUCUCCUUCCAUUCUGCCCACCAUAGCUUGUAUGCUUGAGUAAUGAAGGCAGCUGGAACCCAUUCUGACAGAUCUACAUCUGUAUCGGCAUUUGGUGGUAACUGGGCUACUCGAGUCCACUCGAGGAGGUUAGCGAUGGGUUCUCUGGGCUUUAUUACAUCGGCAUAAGGAAGUGCGAUCGGCAAUUGGCCGAAAGCCAGCUGGCGAGCUAAUGCCGAUGGAUUAUAAAACUCAUAGGUUUGGGGAGAGGUUUUCGUGCUGCCGAAGAAGUUCACUGGUAUGGCUCUGGGAGUCACGAUUGCCAUCAUCACCUCAUUGUCCCUGUCAAGAGCGUCGUCGAACGGAUUGAAGGUCAGAGGGAGCAUGCUGUCUGGGUCGUCAUAAGCUAGCCAUGGUCGUUCAUCUCUGGCCAGACCCUCAUACAGCGUUUCGAAGAAUCGGCCGAUCUGAUCCGGAGUGUUCCCUGAACCGGGUAAAACUAUAACAGCUUCGCCAAAGUUCAGGGGGGCACGUGUUGCCGAUUCCUCUUCGCCCAACACAUGGUUCUCGGCUAUAUCUCUUGGGAAGUGCUGAGAGAAUAAGUUGAGGUCAAGGCGCUUGUGCAGGUGCAGGUUGAGCCACAUAUUAAUAAACCACCAAGGACCUCCCAAGUUGCCGAUAGGUUGGCCGAGCAGGAGUUUCUGGACUACCUGAUGAAGGAGGUGAUAAACAGCGCCGAGCAGAUAACGGCCGAGAGGAAAUUGACCACCGCUAGCCAGUCUUUCUGCUGCCGAUAGGUAGACAGAAGUCGGUCCUGCCGAUCGACCACAGAAUACAAACUUGUCUAGCCACAUGUUCAGAAAAGUGGUUUGUUCCUUUAUGGUGACAGGCCCUCUCCCGCGGUACUUCUGGAUGUACCCUGACCAGCCGCCGAUAGCGCGAGUCUCCACUUUGGCGCUGGGGGCGGUAUCAAAAAAGUGGGUGCUAUCGGCAGAAGAUAUGUCUAACCCAGUGAGCAUGGCUACAUCGGCAAGGGUAGGAGAAGCAGGGCCGUGGCCGAAAACAAAAGCGUUGAGAGUAUCUGACCAAAAGUAAGAUGCGGCUAUCAGCAAUGACUCGUUCCUGUGCAUAUCGGCAAUGGACAGCCUAAUGCAUUGAGCCAAUUUCCUCUCACCCCAUUGAACUUCAUAAGAGUUGCUGACCCUCAAGAACCAGUCUUUCCACCCUACCGUAGGGCUAGGCCAAGAGCGAAAGGUGUCUUUCCAUAGAUCUAGAGCAAAGUUUUCAGCUCUAAAGGGAAUCCUGUUGGUUUCUGCGUUGAUAAGGCUGGUUGGAUCUGGAUCCCCUAGAGGGCCGAGGCAUUGAAGAUGUGGUUGAUCGGUAGGAAUGACAAUUUUGUUGGAUAACUCCUGGUGUUUUGGGGAAUAAAGAUACAAAGAAAAAAGGAGAAGGAAAAUAUUCGGUAAGGUAAAUCGCAGAUGAACAGGGAUGCAGGAAGAAGGUACAGCGGAUGAGAUGAAAGUCUGACCUCAGGGACGACGAAGCCGACGGCCAUCUUGUCGUAAGGGGGACGCUGGAAGACGCCGGAAUUGAUGAAGAAGGAUGCUUGUCGGAGAUCUUGAGUAUUGAGAAUGGCGCCGCCGCUGGAAAAGUGAAGUUGGAUGGCAGAAUGAUGUAAUGGGGGAGGAGUACCCAAGAAGGAACUAUUUAUAAGGCAAGAUGGACAAGGGCAAAUCUGACCUAUUUCUUUGCCGCGUCCGAGAAACCCGAAGCUACUCAAGUAGAUAUGGUAACUGUUCGCACGAUAAUCCAGGGAUUGUGCAGGUGAUUUGACAGGAAGCGGUCAUUAUCUAAAGAUAUUUUACUGUGCACGAUCUCCUGGUCGGUCCGUCGGUAAUAUUCUAUAACGGUCGUCCUGCCGAUGGGCGGAUAGAGGGGAAGUAACCGUUUUGCGAAUAUCCUGGGCAGAGCAUCGGCAGAUCUUUGUAACGGUAUUGUUGCCGAUGUACGACUAGGAGAGAUGCCCGUUGGGGAGUUGUGGAUUUCGAGGGAUCUGCGGAGGAUUAGGAUCAGAGUUGCCCAGAUUGAGGUUGUCGGUUACCAGAAUAGGAGCAUUGGUUGCGGAAAAGACAUCAUUACUGCAGAGAAUUUCGGAGCAUUAAUAGUUUCAUACUCCGAAACUGGGGGGCAUGUGUUGACACCAUUUUUGGGCACGUGUCCAGGAUGGCAGGACAGAGUGGCAGUACGAUACGGGUUGCUGGUAAGGAUGGUUGCCGAUGAGGGGAAGGUUGAAUGUGACUAAGUCCUCAGACAGUAACAUGGUACCGAUGACCAAGUAAAGGGGUCUGCCGAUGACUAUGGCAAGGAGGUUGCCGAUGACGCGAAGGAGGAGUCCGGAAGCUGCCAGUUGUCAUGUGGAGGAGUUUCGGUUUGUCACGAAGGAUGGUUUUAUUAUUUCCUUAUGUUAUUCGUAUCGUUUUAUAUACGGGUUCCGUGUAAUUUGGAAUUCGAAUUCUAAUCGUGUCUGGUCGUAGCUCUUUGAGCAGGGUAUAAAUAUAAGCCCUAAGGCCUUGUAAACAGAUAUGAAGAAAUCAAUAAAACAUACGUUUUUACUCAUAUUCCAGCAUCUACUUUUCGACGACUUCGUCAUACUUUUUUCUUUUUAUUACGAGUUCUUAGGAAUUCGUCGACUUAAGCUCGGCGUGUUCUCAAGUUCCGCGUGAGUACCUCUUAGCCGUGACAUCCGGGCGCAUCGCUGUUGUCAGGACUAAAGUAUUCGAGUUAUCACCUUUGCCGAUAGCAAGGUCAAAUCGGCUGGCACGCCUUAACGUUUGAAUCGGGUAUUAGCCCUUUGUGUUUGCAGAUCAAUUUUGCAUCAACAAUAGGCUUUUUCUUUAAAUGAUAUAAAAGUCUCGGUAGUCGUUCUUUUGAACCGUAGCUCCGAUUAGCGUGCUUUUUAUAUCCGUAUGCUCGAACGAUACGUAGAUUAGUUUUCAAACUUUUCUAUUGAUCGGUGUACUGUUUUAAUUUAUUUCUAUUGUUUGCUUCGUGUAUGUUUGGUCCCGAUUAUUUAUGUGUUGAUGUUUGAUGAUCGGGAAUAGACGGUGAACAAUCGUGAGUGACCAAGCGUGCUACAACAAACAAGAUCAGUACUUGGACAACUAGCAAGAUCAGCAAGAGCAAUUGGAUCAAGGCAAGUAUAGCAUUUGGGUUUUAUAUUCUGUGACCAUGAUCCUGUGACUAGAUUAAUGUUAAGUAAUAAAUGAUAAAAAUGACUUUUUAGCAACUUGAUGAUUUGCCUGUAAGUGAUAACCGGUACAACAGUGCAACCACGAGGGCUAUAAUGGCUCUGACUUUAGCUCAGUAUGAAGACCUUUUCUAGCUUGUUAGCGGUUACCUGAAAGGGCGCUAGAGGGGCUGAACCGUUUUGGGUAUAGUGCGAGCCCCUGUCUUUAUGUGUAUAGGCUGCGCGUCAUUGUGCCAUUUGGAAGGAGAGCAUCUAUAUCUGCGCGCGAAGGAAACCUUGCGGCCCUAACAUGUUAGAAGAACUUUUGAAAGGCUUCAUAGUGAUCCCUGCCGACCUUCCUUGGUAGUGGGUUAAGAGGUCGAUGGGCCUCGGGCGAAAGGGUAAAUCAUGACUCAUGGGUAAAGAUGUGCAACCUCUGCAGAGUGUUAAAAACUGGUAUACUAGCCGCGCUCACGGUCAAGAGCGGCCUUGGGGAUUCUUGCAUCAACGGUGAUGAUUCUUGUGUGUUAAAUAUGCUCAUUAUUUAUUAUUUAAUGCUCUACAUUAUUUAUGUCACAUUGAUCAUGAGAUUGUGGGAUCUAUAAAAUCUAGUUGCUAUACUUGUGGAGUUCGACAUGGACUCACUCUUGCUAUUUCCCCCAAACCUCAGGAGAAGUUUAGGCUUGUGAUCAACCAGUUAGUUGGAUCCUGUAGAGUGAAGUUAAUACCCGAAGGUUGGAGUUGUCUAUCCGUUGUUUGCUAUCAAAGGUUAUAUCUUUUAUAUUAAGUACGUUAUAUACUUAUGCAUUGUCUUUUGAUAUUACCCUUUAUUUGUAGCUAUAUGUGGGAUUUGACUUCUAAAACUCACAUAUGGUGUGUAUCUGAUUUUGUCCUUAAAAUCGGGUAUUAUAGCUUUGCACUGUGUUUGCGAAGCCACCAAGCUUUCCCUCUCGUGAAUUCAUGCUUUGAUUCACUCAUCUUAGGUCACCGAAGUUCUUAGAGAGCUCACCAUCUUCCAAAUCACGACGCCGAUCAUCCUUGGGUCUUCCCUACCUCGUAUUUUGCCGCUGCUGAGUUUGCACGAAUCUCCACUACACCCCGGUGCCCAUCCCAUCGAAAACCAUGGCUCCUAGUGCCUUCUCUGUGGACUCUGGCAAGAUCCAGCAAUACCCCUUCGAAAGCCAUACCCCUUCGCUGGCAUUCUUCCUAAAGAGACCCUCCAUUUUUUCACUAUUCCAACCCACAGUCCUUAGGCGUCAUCCUAAAGUACGCUUUCUCCUUUCAAAAACGUAAAAGCCCGGGUUUGAAUUCAAAAUACAUUUUCACAAAUUACAAAAUUUCCACUAGUUUUAUUUAGCUCAUAAAAUAUUCAUUUUAACUCUGAUUUGACCAAUGCGUUAGGUUUGUUUUCACGACAUCUACAUGUUAGUAACUUUGGUUCAACAGUUUGUAACUUUUAAAUUUCAUGACCCUAUUUAAUUAAUUACUUUUAUAUAGAAAAUCUUAGAAAUUCCAUAUAUAUCUUCUCCGUUUUAGCUUUGAUUUUUCAUGAUCUUUACGUCUGUGUGAUCGUAGCAAUUGCAGAAUCAUUUUAUAAACUUUCUUAUUGUUUUACUACUGUUGGUGUAUUGUUCUAAUCAUAGCUUUGUUUGUUUUGUGUAUGCUUGGAUCUGGUUUGCUUGUGUGUUGAUGUUUGGUGAUGGAGUAUAGAUGGUGAGUAGUAUUUCGAUGAUCGAGACUUGUACCUUGAUGACCAGAAGGAUCAGUAGGAGCAAUUUGAUCAAGGAAAGUAUAACAUUUGAUUUUCUUUACGUCACUAUGAUCUUAUGACUUGAUUAAUGUUUAAGCAACAAACAAUAAAAGUGACUUUUUAGUAACUUGAAGACUUAUCUGUUCAUGAUCACAUGGGAUUAACAGUACAACCAUGAGGCGUAUAAUGGCUUUGGCUUUAGUCAAGUAUGAGUAUCUUUUACUAACUUGUUAGAGGUUGCCGUGUGGUGCAAAAGGGGGAUAGCAGACCGUGGAUCCCAGUGAGUGGUUGUAUCACACAGACUAACUAAUGAAACCUAACGGCCCUAACUUGUUAGAUGAACCUUUGAAAGGCUUCAUAGUGAAUCCUGCCAACCUCCCUAGGGUGGUUAAGAGAUUAGCUACCUCGGGCAAAAGGGUAAAUCAUGACUCAUGGAUAAAGAAGUACAACCUCUAUAGAGUGUUUAAUAGACUGGUAUACUAGUCGUGCUCACGGACGCGAGUGGCCUUGGGGACAUCUACAUUAAAGAUGAUGUUUUUGUUAUGUUAACAUGCUCAUGUUUACCGUUUUAUGCUCUAUAUUAUUUAUGUUACGUUGAUCAUGAGUUUAUGGGAUCUAUACAACCUUGUUGCUAUACUUGUGGAGUUUGACAUGGACUCGCUCUUGCUAUUUCCCUCACACCUUAGGAGAGUUUUAGGCCAGUGAUCAACCGGUCAGUUUGGAUCCUAUAGAGUGAAGUUAAUACCCUAAGUUUGAAGUUAUCUUGUGUUGUUUGCUGCCUGAGGUUAUCUUUGAUUUACUAUAUAUGUUAUAUAAUUUAUGCAUUGUCCUUUGAUAUUACCCCCCCAUUUGUAGCUAUAUGUGAGAUUUGGCUUCUAAGACUCACAUAUGGUGUAUAUCUAGGUUUGUCCUUAAAAUCAGGUAUUAUAGAUCACAGAUUCACUAAAACUCGUAGAAUAUAGUUCAAAUCUUAAACCUUUCUUAGUGAUCUCAAAUAUGUCCCUAUGCAUGUUUAUUUGACUAUAAAAUAUUGACAUUAACUACCAUCGAUAAGCUCCCCCAAGCUUAACCUUUGCUAGUCCCUUAGCAAAACUUAACUUUAGCAAUGGAUUAGGAGUUGCUAUAAUGUUUUUACGCCUCCAAAGUACACAUUCGUUCAAUCAAAAAUUCUUCUUUGGAUUAGAAUAAAUUGAUCAUACCUUCAAACUAUCCAAUAUUACCUUUAACCAUGGGGCUUCUUAGCCUUCUCUUGGGUCUUGAGCAACUGAAAGACAGAACAAUCAAGUCAAGCACUAUGUCUCAAGCUCUUUGUUUCACCAUUGUUCCAGAGUUUUUAUAAGUUUAUAAAAUUAAACUCAGAGAUUCAAAUGUAUGACACUCUCAAGUCUCUCAAUAUAUGUGGUAUUUGUGGAUCCUCACCAAGGCAUUAAAGAUGUAUACCUUUUCUAUUCCUACUAUUAAAGCUUUAUGUGAAGUUCAUAGGUAGGGAGAAAGCUAGAGCCUACAUGCAAAGCAUAUAUUGUAAAGUUAAAUAAUGGAUCCAAAGAGAGUUAAGUCAUACAAUCAAAUCCAGAUGUGCAUGUGUGUGGAUAUAUGACGUGGAUAUAUAUGUUGGCUAAUCUAAUUCUACUUUGCUCCUUGAAAAACUUAUCUCUCUUUUGAAAUUUGGAAACUCUUGCUAGAGAACAGGGGCUAUCUUAUUCAUCUUUUUUCAGGCGAGCAUCUAAUGUACCUAUUGUUUUAGAUAUCUCAGACACUUGUCGAUUUUUUCUUAUCUCUUCUUUUUUUAAGAAUAACUUUUGCAUAACCCCAUACCUAUUUUCCGCAGCAAACCUUUGAGCGAUAGCAACAAGUAUUUGGAGCAUUUAUUUGGUGGGUGGAAAACCUAACAAACAUAUUUUCGUGUUCACUCCCAGAGUAGGAGUACAACAUUUUUGGGUGGAUCUAGAUGGAAUGGCAUGUUUGUGACUACCCCCAGUGCAGGAUUAGUGCAUAUGUAGGUCGUGUGUACGUGACCUUGAUUUUCAGAGCAUGACAAACCUCUCAUAUGGCAUCAACAAAGCCUGACAAAAUUCAAUGCAAGUAACAUAUAUGUGAAAGAUUUCCUAGCCUAAAUGACAAGUAUGGCUCUAGUGGGAAUUCAAGCUUUGUCAUAUAGGAACUCAUAUGUGAUAUUUUUGUGUUUUUUCAAAAGAUAAAUCUCCUGAAUUUUAGUGUCACUAGGAAAAAUAUAAACAAUAGCUCAGACCUUGUCAUAUCAUAUCCACAUAUGCUAACCAUAAGUUUCAAGUUCAAAGUAAGUCCUUAUGUCUAAAUAAUAUUAUCUAAAACUCGAGAGAAUUCAGGAAUGAAACUAGGUACUUGAAAGGAAUUACAACAGAGAAACUAUUCAUCAUUUCCAUUUAAGAGAUUAUCCUAAGUUCUUUAUAUUUUAUUCAACUCUUAAAAGCAAACUAGACACACCUUUUAUUUAAGAUCACACCGUACUAAUAUAUACAUAACUAGCUAAGAUAAAUUUUUAUUUUGUUUUGUUUGUUAUGUGUCUUUUUAUUUAUUUAGCAAAUAUAUAGCAGACUAUAAAAUAGUAACACUAUAAAGGGAAGUGAAUACUUAGCUGGAUACAUGGGGGAUGCUCCUCCCCCAAGCUGGAUAUUGUCAUGGUCAAACAUUGAGAAGUUGAGUGAUCCUUCUUAGAGCAUGCUGCAAAUGGAUGUCCUUAUCCAUAAGUGGAGUGAAGACGACUAGAUAAUCUCGCUCUUAAUCAUAUGUGUCAUCCUUUUGGCCUCGGAGAUGCAGACCUUAAUGGUUGCAUCUAUUGUAAUGGUGAUUCUAAUGAUGGUGCCACCCUUGUUCUUUUUAUACCCUUGUACUUUUCUUGACUAGUAGGUUCAAGUAGAGCAUUAAUGGUGGAAGCUACUGGCAUCUUGCUUAGUGUGCAUGUUCACAAGUUUAGAACUUUCACUUGUAGAAUUUUGGGAAAUUAACAAACUCCUCCGUAUUUUGCUCGAAGCAUGUCCUGCUUCUAAAGACUAGGUAGAGAUCAAGUGCAUGUGCCUUGUUGGUAGAAAAACACAAACAAAACCAUAACACUUUUUUAUUUAUUCUUCUCUAACCUCAACCAUUGAAUAAGACAAAGCUAAUGUUUGCAUAAUUUGUUUAAUUAUGACAUGAGUGGUAAGAUCAAAAGAACUAGCAUGAAUGUAGCAAUUAUGUACGUUGUAGGAAAGAUUUAAAUUGCUUAACCCAUGAAUGGUUUUCUAUCUAUACAUAAUGUGUCAAUCUUUACAUGAUUAUGACUAUCAUCUUCUAGAAUUAAAAUGUACACUUUUAGCUCACUUGAUUAAGACUAUGGGAUCAAGAAUGUAAAUGCUAGAAAUAAGCUUAAAGAUCUAAACAUGUUGAGUUUAUCAAGUUGGAUCAAGUGAAAUUGUAACUCAAACAUGUUUGUGUCUUCAUUUAUGUGCAUACUAAAAUCAAGAGGAAAACAAUGACUACUUACCUUAAAAUGUUACCUUCAUCACUAGAGUGCGAUGACACCAUGUGAUGAAGGGUAGACGACUCAUAGUGGUCUUCUCUUCCUACUUGAAGCUUUCCUUGCUUGAGCUGUUUAUGAGCAUCUUGUCUCCUAUGUUGCACUCCUUAAAUAUCCUUUUUUUCACGCCAUCUUUUUGAUUCUUUGAUCUUGUUAUUCUUUCCACUUUGUUCAUUUUUAUGCAUUCAACAGAUUAGUAGACAACACAUACUUGAAGUAAUAUACAAUUUUGAAACACAUGUUGUUUGUCCAUAGUCUUAUUGUGUUGCUUCUAUGCUAAUGAAAAGAUGGUGUUGGAUUAUUUUGGCAUAGAUUUCAUUUAUCAUGUUAUACAAGCAUAGCUCAAGACAAAUAGUAACUUGUAGUAGAAGAUAAAGGGAAUGAACAUUGAUACUUACACCUCUUCCAUCCAUGUUGAAUAUGUAGUUAUUACAUCUAUGAUGAAUGAGUUGUUUCUUCUUGCGCAAAGUUAUUGGAGUUCAUCAUGUGCCUUCCUUCAUCUUUGAUUUCAACUCAUCUCAUGACUUAUCCAGAUUGGAUUGGAAAUUUCCUAUAGGAGUUAGUCCAACAAAAUAUUUAGUAGCUACUACACAUAUUCUUGGUCCAAACAAUCAAACUAGACACCAUGUCUACUUUAAUCUAGCAAAGCAUUUUUAACCUAAGAACCAUGCCUAAUUUAAAAACCCUUUGAAACAAAGAUCAAGACUACUAAGCUAAGCACCAUGCUUAAUUUAUGAGAUGUGUAAACAUACUCCAAACCUCAAAUAUACUAUACUAAACAAAGGUAACAUAAAAGCGUGUAGAGAUUUAUUCAAAUAGAGAUGAAAGAACAUGAUUGUUUUAUAUCAAAUUAAACAUGGAUGAAUGGUAAAAAAACCAAAAUAGCAACAUGGCAUUUGAGUUUUCAAGGAGGCUUAUUCCCCAGCAUUGAAUUUUGCAAAGUAAAGUUAAUUUUGGUUGGAUGCAAUUCAAUGUUGCAUAAUAAUUGGUUGGACAUACCUUGAGUCAUCGGUGUUCAUCUUUUUUUCUUUUAUUUUAGACCUACAAUGGUCAGUUACAAAUAUACCCGAAGGAAUAUUUUCAACUAUGUUACUAGGCUUAUUUCACAAGGUCAAUAUAAUGAAAGGUGCAAGUUUGUAUUAUCUCCUAAAAGUGCUUGCUUUAGGACACAAGUUUGUCCUUGGGAAACCUUUGAAUUGCAUUUCUUAUUAGUUAAGUGGUUUUCCCUCCAACACCAAUCUUUAAGUAUUUAUCUCAAGAUUCACAUAACAAGAUCUACAAUUUUUAUGAUAAACAUAUGCAUCUACAACCACCAUUCUAAAGUCUUUAUGAGUAGGGAGAAUGAGGGGGUUGAAAAUUUCGUGUGAGGCAAUGUAAGAGUGACCAAUUAAUGCAGGAGAUUUCUCAUAUGAUCAUGGAUUCGAUGAGGUGUUUAUGAAAUAGCUUCCAUUCUGAUCGAUGAUACAAUCUCCCAUUUCAAGCUCUGGGGGUGUUUCUUCAUGGAUGUCUAUAGUCAAAAAUUUUGUCUUAAUUGUUCUAUGCCUAUGACAGGCAUUGGAUAUUUAAUUGUUCAAGAUUUCCCAUGGAUUGGUUUAUCUAUGGUUGGUCUCAUCUAUGGUUUCCAAACUUAGGUGAGUCAUUUUUAUUUAAGAGAUUGAUUUAAGCUCACCAUUUGAAUUUUGGCCAAGUUCUAACCAUAAGGCUUCGUCCUUGUCUGUCCAAUUUUUAGCACUGACAUAUGUAUUCUUAAUGUGUUCUAGACAAUUAUCAAUAUAUUUCGGGCAUUGUUGUAGCUCUUCUUGGUCAUCUUUGUGGUCUUCGUAACUCCUAUAGUUUGUUGUCUUAGUGAAGUUCUAGGGUCAUUAUGAGACUUAGGAUAGAGCAUAAGAAGGAUCAUCAGAGUCAAGGAUGGGUUGAAAAUGGGUUUAGGUGAGACAUUUAGUGUGGGCAUAGAAGGAGAGUAGAUAGAAUUGACUUCUAAGUGGCUUGACUCUCCUUCUAUGGCAUUACUAUACAUGCCAUCCCUACAUUCUUAGUAAUGUCCUUUAGGGAGGAAAGGAAGUUGAGGACACUUUAUAAAAGAUGCCAUUCUGAGAAGAUCUGUUUACACAAGCAUCUUAGCAAGCUGGAAGUCCAAACGACCAACAUGUGAAAGGUCCUAAUAUGGCUAGAGGGGGGGUGCCUAGCCUAUUUAAAAACUCUACAAAGCACUAGAGCAAAGGAUUAAUAUAUCAAAAGGCGUAAAGCAAUUUUGCUCUAGCUCUAUAAGAGUUGCAGGCCACCUAUAUAAUAAUUCUAGUUGCUAUGAUCACUGGGCACAAGCAAUGGCUAUGUCACUACUCUAUACAACUAGUUACAACUAGCAAAAAUUAGGAACUACUGGUUACAACUAAUUUGCAAGAAAGUAAAGAGGUGAGUGAUAAUUAUACCGAUGUGUAGAGGACGAACCAAUCACAAUGUAUAUUAAUAUAUUCAGCAGGAGAAUACCAAUUAAAAUAUUGACACCAAUAUUUUUCUCCCGAGGUUCACGUGCUUGCCGGGACGCUAGUCCCUGUUGUGUCGAGCAACACUUGGUGGUUCGACGGCUAAUAGGUGUUUCACAAACCUAGCCCAACAAAUGGGCACCGCAAGAAUCUACACACAAGUGAGGUAGCUCAAUCACACGAGAAAUCCAAUAGAGUGGCUUUCGGCACUCUGCCGAGCAAUAAACCCAAAAACUCCUCACGAAUAUCACCUUGAUUGGGGAUGGACACAUUCACCAAAUCCCCUCACCAAUCAACAAAUCCACAACCGUUUAGGUGAUGGCAAUCGCCAAGAGUAAUAAGAAAUCUACAAUUGCAAUCACCACCUAGUGCCACAAGAAUUAAAUCACAGAUGCACAAUACUCCUCCCAAAUCCUCUCACCAGAGAACGCCAAGCUAUGGAGAUGAAGAGAAGAGAGAGGAGAUGCUUUUGAAGCUCUUAAAUCAAUCACUAGAGUCCGAUCUCUCACUCGAAGGAGAGGAGGAGUGUCUGCUCGAUGUACUACCGAGAGAGGAGGGGCUCAGACUUGACCAGCCCCCCAGGCCAGCCGCUCUCUCCAACGGGAGGAAGGGCAACACAACGGGCAAAAACCGAGCACGGGAAGCUUCCGCGUUCCUUCCUGAGUACGACAGCGGCAAUAUGCGCUUCUGCACGGGAACAGCACAACACAACAGCUGCACCCUUUUCUUACCAGUGUGGGUCCCACACUGGCAGCAAACCUCCUUUAUUAUGGUGUGGGCCCCCAAGACUUACCUUCUCAAACAAGAGUGAACGAGCUGGUGGAUAGCUCCGGCCACAUGGCCAACACCUCUCCUACAAGCACCCUUCCAAAGAAAAGAAAAACUUUGGAGCCCACAACAAUUUUUUUUUGACAAAAUGUAAGAAAAUUUAUUAGCCGCAGCAAGAAGCUGCAAUAAUGGAUACAGAGUUAAAGUCUACUUGAAGUAGAGCUUGAAACAAAGAGCAAAUGGACCCGUAAAGAGGCCUGAUACAAUUACAAUUUUGUGUUGUGAGCGUGGAAUUUCGGGCCUGUUUAGCCAAAGUGUCUGUUGUUGUGUUUUGAGUUCUGUUGAUCUUGAAGAGCUGAGUUUGAAGACUGGCUGCAAUGUUGGAGUAAACCUGCGUGAAAGGUUUGAUCCUCCACUGGGACGGGUUCUGUUGUUGCUCCUGAUGGAGGAAGUGCACCAGCUGUUGGGAAUCUAAAAGAAAGUUGCAGGAUUGUAUUUGGAGGGCUCUGACAAUAGUUGCUCCAAGAGCGAGGGCUGCCGCUUCACCCAUGAGCACAGAUUGACAAUUGUGAAGUUGCGCCUUGACAUAGAUGGCUUGAAGUGGCUGAACCUGAAAAUUGAUAAUAAAAAUGCCUAGGCCUGCAUUGUUAGUGUUUAUGUUCUGGUUGUCUGGAACCACCGCAACAUCAACAUAACAUCUUGAGCCUUGGAGGCUUGCAGGGUAGGGGCAGAAGUGCGUGGGUGCUUCUUGGAUUUGAGCCUGCAAAACCGAAAGGUGAUUACCUGGGGUUGAGCAAACUACGUCGAUGACUGAGGAGGAUUGUGCUCGUUGUAAGUCAUAUAGGCUUGGACUGCAUGAUGAACUUGAGGGGGUGUCCAGUCCUUUAUGUUGAAAUGGUAGUCGUUCCUGGCUUUCCAAAUGAACCAUAGAGUAUAAAGAAGUUUGCAGAGUAAAGGUUCAGGAGUAUUAUCUGUGAUAAUAAGGGCCAAAGUUGAUUAGACACCAUGAAAUUCUGAGGCAAGAUUUGCUGUAUUAAUGGAGGGGUUGGCUGUGAGCCAUACCUGUCGUGGUAGGGUACAUUGGAAAAACAGAUGGAAGUCAUUUUCAAUCAUGUUGCAUUUGUCACAUGUAUUGUUACCUGAAGAAGAGAAUCUGGUGGCUCUGUCAGCUGUGGCUAACGCUCUUCAUAUGAGUCUCCAGGUGAAAGUUUUAAUGAUAGGAGGGAUAGUUUUGCAUUUCCAAACCCUACAUAGAAUUGUGUUAGCCUGGGAGGUGAUGCUUCUUGUACCUGUAGCAGGAAUUUGCACAGUGUUAUUAGUAGAGAGAUGUUUACCUCUCCUUGCUUGCAUGCGCAGGCUACCCCUCACGGAGUCAAAGCGAGGUUGCACGCACCAGCUCGACCUCAGCAGAAAUUCUGGGAGAGCUUAGGCCUUGUUUAGUUCACCCCGAAAUUUAAAAAACUUUUUUAAGAUUCCUCAUCACAUCAAAUCUUAUGAUACAUGCAUGGAGCACUAAAUAUAGACGAAAACAAAAACUAAUUACACAGUUUGUCUGUAAUUUACGAGACGAAUCUUUUGAACCUAGUUAGUUUAUAGUUGGACAAUAAUUAUCAAAUACAAACAAAAGUGCUACAGUGUCAAAAUCCAAAAUCUUUUCACAAGUAAAACAAGGCCUUAGUAGAAAUUCCGGCACAACUUAGAGAAUUUUCGCUAGAACCUCCUCUGUCCAAGUGCAUGCCGACAUACAUACUUGCACUUGCACCACUACUGGCCAAGAGAAGCACCUUUUCUCCUUAUCUAUUUUAAGCUUUUGACUACUUAUAAUUUGUUGCAACUACUUGCAAGUAGAGAAAUUCUUGCAUCAUUUCAAGCCUUUUUAAUUAAGGCCUUGUUUAGUUCUAAAAAUUUUUAGAAAAUCAACACUGUAGCACUUUCGUUUGUAUUUGACAAAUAUUAUCCAAUAAUGGACGAACUAGGCUCAAAAGAUUCAUCUCGUCAAUUUCGACCAAACUGUACAAUUAGUUUUUAUUUUCACUUAUAUUUAAUACUCCAUGCAUACGUCUAAAGAUUCGAUGUUACGGGGAAUUUGAAAAAUUUUAAAUUUUUUUUUGGGAAUUAAACAAGGCCUAACUAACUUCACCAAAAUAUUCCAAAAUAAAUUGGACACUUAGGUUAGCUUUUCACAAAUAUUUUUAUAGACUUUCUUAUACAUCUCACCACGUCACUAAGCGCUAAGUAAAUGCAAAUGAGAUUCAUACUUAGUGGCACUAGAUAACCAUUACAAUUAAAGAUUUCCCCUCUUUAUAGUAGGGUUAUCUAUCCUAAAUCCACUCACACCCACUUGGUGUCUUGAGUGGCAAAACAAAAUGACCCUAUUAAAAAAUACCUUUGCCUUGAGCCUAUUUUGUUUUUCUCUUUCUUCUUUUCAAAGUUGGAGCACUUGAUAUUUUCUUUUGGUCACCUCUAUCACCAUGACCAUCAUCUAGCUCCAUCACUUGGUGUGUACGAACCUAUCUUUAUAUUUUACUCAUGACAAAGCUUAGUACACAUAGGUUUCAUCAAUUAUCCAAAACCAAACUAGGGCUUUCAACAUCAUAGGGUAUUGAUGGUUUAGGGUUGAUAGCUCAAUCUUGGAAUUUGAGUGGUUGUGAUUUAGCUAUCGAAACUUCUCUUCUAGUUCAGGUGAUGAUUCCUUCUCUUCCUCGAGGAGCUCAUAAUAUAUGCUAGUGCAAGGAGUCGCUUCACUAAUCUUUUCAAGCAUAGACCUUGCCUCACUAAUAGGUAUAUGAAGAAAAGCUCCUCUAAAGGCUAAAUCAAGGAAUUCCCUAGAAUCCUUGCUAAGACCCAAGAAAAAAUGUUGAAGAAGUAUUGGGUCUAGAAUAGGAUGAUCUGGGCCAAUGGUGAUGAGUUCAUUAAAAUGAUCUCAUGAUGUUCCAAGAGAUUAUUCCUCUAGUUGUCUAAAAGAUAGACCUCUCUUCAAAGGCUAGAUACUUUACUAAUGGGAAAGAAUUAUAAACAAAAUUCACACCUGUGGACACCAUAAAUUUAUUUUGUGUUGACGCAAAUUUCUGCAGAUUUUUCGGUUGACUCCACGUCAGCACAAGAGGACCUGGGAGAUCUGCUUAGCUCCAGUGCAGGAUCCGUAUCGGCGCGGUGUGCGCGGGUGUGCCAGUCAGUUUGACCAUUCAACUGACAAGGUAUAGAUGAUCUUCGUGAAGCACAGGUGAUUGGCCGAAACGUCAGCCGAUGCAGGCUAUCGGCCCGACGGCCGAUAGGAGACAGGGUUCCGAUGGGCUCUCGUUCCACCAUGACCAGAGCCGCAGACCGAUGAGAUCUAGACCAGUACCGCCACCAGUAUCUCUAGGUGUGACGACAACGAUGCGCCCGGAAGUCACAGUCUGGAAACACUUAGCAGGAUGAUGAUCUCGACCGCACCAGCCGCAAAUCCAGACGAAAGCAAUGUGCCAUAAGUCGAAGAUCCACGAUACUCGAUAACUGUGAACAGAUCUGGAUGAGGCGACAGCGAUGCGCCCAGAAGCCAAAGCCCAGAACAUGCUCGAUAGACGGGGAACUCACAACUUGCUGGAGAUCGAACUGAAGCGAUGCAACCCAGCUUGCAUGAAGAAACUCGUCGAGAAACUACAUUAAUCCUACUCAUAGUGCUGAUAAAGUACAUACGAUAAUGUAAAGGUAUUGAUAAGAUAGAUUGUAUUGAUAUGUGGAGAUAACUUGAUACAAUAGUCGGGGCUUAUAUUUAUACCCUGAGCUGACCCACAAUCCUACCCAAACUUGACUAAACAAUACUUGUAUAAAAAGAAAUAUCUAACAAACCUGCCUAAUUAUAAAGAUACACGGACUCUAAUUUCCCUUGUAUAGAAUCCUUGCUAAUGAAGUUUCCUUCUCUGGACAAAUAUAACCCACACAUGCGUGAUUAACAUGUACUCUUUUGGUUACUUGCCAUACGUGACAUACAACUACACGUGGAGCCGAUCACCUUCCUUGCAUGUGGAUUUAUCUCUAAGUACAAAGCAUUGACAUGUCCUUCCAAAGUUAGAUUAUUUUAAUCUCUAAUAAAUUAAUUACGCACAUGCAUGCAUAUUCAUCGCAAGUGAGCCCUACCAAUGCUGCCAAUAGCCGAUGCUCCGAAUUAUCUAGAUUUGCGAAAAUCUGUUGUCAACAACACCAUAACGUUUCCCAAUCUCCUUUCGUACUCCCUAUGUUUCAAUUGUGCCAAUGUUUAGCUAUUCCCGUCAAAGAGAAUAGAAAUAAUUUCCAUCUUAUAGUUUUGUCAGAAAUGCCAGCGAUAUGCAAGCAUGCAUAGGUCAAAAUCCCGUAGGUGAGAGUAUGGGUUUUUGUUGCCUUCUCUAGAGAAGGGUUUAUCCUAAAUCAUUUUUAUAAAACAUGGGCGCAGCUCCUAGCUACAUGUUAGGACAGGCUCUGAAGUUUGUUGUAGGCUAAAGUUCAUGCUCAUGCCAUAUCCAUAGAUAGGAGUGGAAUUCAUAAUGAAAAGAAAAAAUAAAAAGAAAGAAUAAAACUAAAAUGUUAAGCUAGGCUCGAAGUUAAUUGAGCAACUGUUUCCCCAGCAAUGGCGCCAGAAAGCUUGUUCAUAUGUUUAAUACGCACAGAAUAAUCACAGAGACUAAUCCACAAGCACAUGGAUGUUGAUAUUUGGUAACGCAAUAAGGAAAUGAUCCGCAAGCGCACGGAUAUCGUUGAGCAUUUCAGCCGGGAGGUUACCCAGAGUAUCGUAUUUAUAUUUUUACCACUGGGAGAAAGCGUGCAUCUGACUAACCAAAUCUAUUGCUACUACCCUUUAGGAUACAAAGAAUGUUUUUCGAUGUGAGCGAUGUAUAGAGAAGACUGCAACCGUAGUCUCGUUCUAACCUUGGUAAGGAUGAUCUACUAUUCUAUUGGGGAGGCUCACGGAAUCUAGACACCACAGAGGAUGUUCAACCCACACCUAUAAACCCUAUCCUUCCUGCUAACGAGAUAUGGUUUGCAAAGGUAACUCGGAAAUGUCACGUUCCUUGCUACUACCACGGUCCAGCUAGUCAGGGGAUAUCUAUGAGUACUCUAGCCCAAACACCACGUUUACGCUAGCAAUGAUUACUCUAAACUCAAUCGGAAGAGAUUAAAGUAAACUCAUAAACCAAAGAACAAUAAAACAAGAACUUACUAGAAUUAGAAGUCGAAUUACUGAAGAAUCCUAGGAGCAAGCCUCGGGUUAGAAGACUUGAUCCCGCAGGUACAACCUCGGAGUAGACACCGACAGGCCGGGCUUCCUCCGAUCUACACCUCCACUCUAUCUCUCUCAAUCUAGUAGAAACUAGAAGAUCUAAUUCUACUCACAUUGGAUGCUAAGCAUAAAAGAAAUUUUAUUUAGAGGAGAGGUAUUCCUUCGAGGGCUCCUCUCAACUCUAUGAUGAACUUGUCUCCUCCAGGGGCCAGGGGGUCUGGUUUUAUAGUCCCCUCAAGUGAACGUGAGCCGUUGGAUCAAACCGACAUUGAUUGGACGGUUAUCCUUGAUCCUUUAGGUCGGUGGAGCUUGGUCCCCGAAAAGAGUUCUGAUUGGACUCUGGGACAGGGCGGGCGCCCAAGGGGGGAGGGCGGGCGCCAUGCCCCCGGGCCCGUUCGCCUUCCCGUUCAUUCCCGUGGCUUCUAGAGUCUUCUAGAUGACAGAAAAUUGCGCGGCACGUUAAUAUCUCUAUGUAAACCCGACGUGUGGGCCUUUCUUCCAUAUUUCCUGAUAACCCCCUGCAGAAAUAGACAAACACCAAAACUCGUGGAAUUCUGUCAGAUAAAACCCUAAGUCUGGGUGUUGGUUGCAUUUGGAUCCUUUUCUUUAUUUAUUUGAUGAUUAUAUUUGGUACUUAAGGACCGUCAACAAUGGAUACCGUUGUAGCUUUCACCCAGAGGUUUCAAAUAUCAUAUCCAUAGGGAAACGUGUGAAACUAACUAUGAUCUAACUAACCAAAAGGAGUGAUAACUAGGUGGAGAUGGAUGAUAACUAAGAGUAGCAACAAGGUUAGGAUAAAUAGGAGCAUAAAAAGGAUAACUAUGAAUCCUCUACUUCUAAAUUAGGUAAACUAUAUUUUCUAUUGUCCAACUUUGGCGGAUGUCUUAUAAUUAAAGAACAUAUGAAAUUUCUUCUCUACAAGCACCAUAAAACCUGUCAAUCGUAUUAAUGGAAUAGUGGACUACAGAGGACUCAACGGGUCUAUCACACCCGUGAUCUACCAUAGAAAUCCAAAAAAUAGGGGACCUUUAUGAUUAACCUAAGCCCGAGCACCACACAUACACCUAACCUUAAUACUCUACUCUCUUUAGUUGCACAAAUAAAGCACUCAAAAGAGUCACAAACAAUUGAACAAUAUAGACAAAGUAAACUUAGAUCAAAAGUUGAUUACUAGAGAAUCUCAAAGAAAAGCUCAAGUACAACUUCGAUCCACUGAAGUAGAGGUUGUAGAGGGAGCACCUACAGGCCGGCACAUCCUCUAAACUCUUCCCUCACUCUUCAUCUCUCUAUUUCUAUUCAUAAGACUAGAUCUUAUGAAGAUCUAAUCUUCUCUUGAUGGCUAACUCUAGGAGGUAGAUCCAUUCAUGGGACCCCUCUCUUGAUCCUAAUAGACGAAUAUGAAUUAGCGUUUUGGGACUGCUCUAGGGAGGGGGACAGGGGUCUGAUUAUAUAGCCCGGUGGGAUGAACGUGAGCUCUUGGAUCAAACGAACUUUGAAACAUGGUGGAGAUGCAUCGUAGGAGGCGGUGGAGGAAGCUUUUGGAAGCAGGAGGCGAGACGGUGCAGGGAUAGGCUGGCCGACUCUUGGGUGGGACCGACUGGCCCAACUUUGGGCUCUUUCGGGGCUCGCAUUGGCAUGGUGUCUUCUUGAUCCUUCUAGAGUCUUCUCUCAUAAUUUUCAUAGAUUAAAUCGGUUCGUUUAUUUGAUGAAUAGAUCCUCCUUGAUUGUUUUUAGAAAAAUCCUAUAGAAAAUAAUAAUUCACCAAAACUCAUGGAAUCUAUCAGUUCAAACCCUAAACUUACGUAGAUUCAUUCUAUUGUAUCAUUUAUCAUGUUUAUUCAAUUAUAAAUUGUUGACAUUAUCCACCGACAACAUUUACGUCACACUUCCUUUCUUCAAGUGAACGUGAGCCGUUGGAUCAAACCGACAUUGAUUGGACGGUUAUCCUUGAUCCUUUAGGUCGGUGGAGCUUGGUCCCCGAAAAGAGUUCUGAUUGGAGUCUAGGACAGGGCGGGCGCCCUGCCCCCCGGCCCGUUCGCCUUCCCGUUCGUUAUCGUGGCUUCUGGAGUCUUCUAGAUGACAAAAAAUUACGCGGCACGUUAAUAUCUCUAUGUAAACCCGACGUGUGGGCCUUUCUUCCAUAUUUCCUGAUAACCCCCUGCAGAAAUAGGCAAACACCAAAACUCGUGGAAUUCUGUCAGAUAAAACCUUAAGUCUGGGUGUUGGUUGCAUUUGGAUCCUUUUCUUUAUUUAUUUGAUGAUUAUAUUUGGUACUUAAGGACCGUCAACAACUCCCCCAAGCUUACCUCUUGCUCGUCCCUGAGCAAGGAUGAGCUCAAGAGUUUCUGCAGUGGUUUCAUGCCUUAAAAGUAAGAUCUCAUUUCUGAGUUAGAGUAAACUGUUAAAACUUAAAACUUACUCAUUUUACCUUUCACCAUGGGGCUUGUAACCGUCACUUGUGUCUUGAGUAGUUAAAAGAUAGAACAGUCUAGUCAAGCGCCAUGUCUCUUGUUCUUUGAUUAACUAUAGCUCUGGAGUUUUUUGCAGAUUUUCAAAUAAAACUCAGAGAUUCCUUGUAUGACUCUAUCAAAUAUCUCUUUUGUGGUAUUUCUGGAUCCUUACCAAGGCAGUAAUGAUAUAUGCCUUCUCUCAAAGUAUGUGGUAUUUUUGGUAUGAGGCAUAGUGAUAUUGCCUUCUCUCUCACCCUACUCUAAUAAGGUUUUGAUAUCUGGAGCUCAUAGGUGGGAGACAGAUAAUACAUACUUACAAGACAUUUAUUGCAUAGUCAAACCAUGGAUCCAGAAGGACAAGUCAAUAAGUCAAAUCAAGAUAUGCAUGUGUAGCGAGUGAAUGGUGUAUGGUGAUGAUGGUGAUAACAAUGGUGAAAGUCUAAUUCUACUUUUACUCUUUUAAGGGGAUACAUACCUUUCUUGCACUUUGAAGCAUUUUGAGGAGAAUGAGAUGCUCUAUAUUUUCUUUUUCUUUUCUCUCAGGUGGGUAUCUUGUACCCCUAAUUCUAUGUAACACCCAAAAUUUGAUUUUUAAAUAAUAGGAUUUAAUUUGAUUUAUUUAAGUAUUUUUGUGACCAUUUAAUCUAGAAAAUAAGUAAUUUUUGGUGGAAAAUAAAAUUUAUCAUAAGUUUAGAAACUUGAAUUUUGCAUUUCAUGCUGGAGCAUAUUUAAUUCUGUGUUGUUGCCCUUUUUGUUUGAAUUCAUUUGAUUCAAAUUUCAUUUGAAAAAUGCUUUAGAAAAAGGAAUAAAAGAAAAAAAAGAAAAGGGGAAGGACCCCAGCCGAACCCCAGCUUUUCCCCCCUCCUGCGCGCGGCCCAUUUCUCUCCCCCGGCCCGGUUUCCUUUCCCCCCCCCGCGCGGCCCAGGCUCGCGCCUCCCCCCUUCUCCCAUCCGCUGACGGCCGGACCCCACCUCUUCUUUCACCGCCAGCCGGGUCCCGCAUGUCAGCGCACUGUUUAUCCCCUUCCUUUCUUCUUCACGUAACCUAGCCGGCUUCUCUCCCUCACCGAUUUGGAAACAAACCUCCAAUCUCAGGAUUCCUUGCCAAAUCACGCGCAACUGAGCCCUAUAAAGCUCUCUAUCCACCCCGAAUCCCUAUUUUCGCAUCCAAAUCGCCCUAAUACACCCUACCUUCGCUGUUUGGAUCUUGCCGUGAGCCACGCGAAGCCGCCGCCGUGACGCGACCUCCCCACCCUCUUUCGGCUCGAGUAAACCAUCUAGGUGGGUUCUCCUCCUCCCCCUCGACCCCCCGGUGCUUUUCCUUCAAGAAACGGUGUUCGGAAUCGGCCAGGUAGCAAGCUCCGGCGAGCUCGGUCUCCCCGGCCAUGGCGCCACCGCGCUGGAGGCCAGAGAGCCGGCCGGCCCGCUGCCCGGUGACCCCUGGAGAAAUCUCGGCCGUCGGAUGGAGAUCGGAUGGCCCGCAAAUGAAGAUACCCCUUCGUUAGAAAUCUUUCUAAAGAGUCCCUGUGUUCUUUUGCAAUUUAACCCACGGUCCUUUACGUACUUUCCCGUUUACGCUUUCCAGUUUUAAAAGCGUAAUCCUGUCCGGUUCAAUUCAAUUUACGCUUUCGAUUAUUUACAGUUUUGCCAUCAAUUUUAUAUUGCUCAUAAAAUACUCAUUUUAAUUCUGUUUUUGUCCAUUCAAAUUUCGUUAGAUUCGUAUUUAUGAGCUCUACAUGUUAGAAGUAUUUAUUCUCUGUAUUGGAACUCUUUAAUUCUGCAGUAGCAUUUAAUUAAUUAUUUCUCUAUAGGAAAUCUUAGAAAAUUCAUAACUUCUAAGUUUAAAUUCCGAUUUUCGUGAACUUUACGUUUGUGUGAUCGUAGCGCUGCUAGAAUAUUUUCAUAAACUUUAUCUUUGGUUUCUCAAUGUUGGUGUAAUGUUCUAAUUAUAGCUUGUUUGCUUUGUGUAUGAUUGACUACAUUGGAUUGCGUGUUGUUGACUGAUGUUUGGGAAUAGACGGUGAGCCGUACGUUGGUGAUCAAGACCAAGCUUUCGAAGACCAGUAGGCUCAGGAGAGCUUUGAUCAAGGCAAGUAUAACUUGGGAUCAUCCUUGUUGCCUAUUCACUUAUAACUACACAUAUAUGUCAUAUGCAUGCUAUCACCUUGUCGACCUUAGCAAAAUCAUAGAUGAUUGUUACCUGGAUUCCUUGCUACCUACUUGAUAUGCAUUUGUUGUAGAUGUGCUAGUGCUUGAUAUAAUCCAUGAUCUUGUAAGAUGAUUAAUAGCUAUGCAAUGAACAUAAAAGAAUGACAAAUAACUGUAUGAGAUCUUGUCUGUAAGUGACCACCGGGACAACAGUGCAACCAUGAGGGCUAUAGUGGCUCUGGCUUUAGCUCAGUAUGAAGACCUUUUCUAGCUUGUUAGAGGUUACCCGAAAGGGCAGAGGGGCUGAACCGUUUUGGGUAUAGUGCGAGCCCCUGUCCCUAUGUGUAUAUGCUGCGCGUCAUUGUGCCAUUCGGAAGGGGGUAUCUAUAUCUGCGCGCAAAGGAAACCUUGCGGCCCUAACAAGUUAGACAAACUUUUGAAAGGCUUCAUAGUGAUCCCUGCCGACCUCCCUAGGAAGGGGGUUAAGAGAUUAGCUACCUCGGGCGAAAGGGUAAAUCAUGAUUCAUGGGUAAAGAUGUACAACCUCUGCAGAGUGUUAAAACUGGUAUACUAGCCGUGCUCACGGUUAUGAGCGGCCUUGGGGGUUCUUGCUGCGCCGACGAUGAGCUUAUUAAGUUGUUAUGUCCAUUUGAUUAUCGUUUAUGCUAUGGAUUAAUUAUGCUUACACUUGAUCAUGUGAUUAAUGGAUUAUUUAUGCUACCUUGACAUUUGCUAUUUAAUUAUGAAUAUGCUAUCCACUAUUAAAAGCUAAAUGCAGUCAAACCAGUGUAACAUCCCUGAUGUUACGGUUACUAAACUGGACCAUGUCAUCAUAAGCAUUGCAUAGCAUAUUGUUUAAGCACAACUUGAUGCACCAACUUAAAACAAGUUUAUUUUGAUUGAUUGUGCUUAGGGAAUUAAAGUGUGCUUACAUUGUGUACUGAUGCUUGUGUUGGUUGCUACAACCCUAGGGUGAAAGAUUUCCGAAAGAUUAGGGGGGAAAACCCUGAUUUUAAAACCCUAGAUUUACCCCCUUUUGUGCAAUUUAAAAACCAAGCAAAAUUUGAGGUUGAGUUCAAAAGCAAAGUUGUAGAUCUUGUUAAGAUGUACAACUUUUGUGUUUUGAGUUUUUGAAGUUUCAAUAUAAAAUUCAAAUUAAUUUUGAAAAUACAGAUUUCCAAAAAGUGUCCCCUUUUCCAAUUUGAACCUCCAAUUCAAAAUCUAUUUGGAAUUUUGAAAAGUGACCAACAUGAAAAUUGUAGAGCUCAAAAAGAUGAACAACUUUCAUGUUGGGAGUUUUUCAAGUUGUUAUGGAAAAUCAAAAGUAACUUUGGAAAUUCUGAUCUGCCCCAACUCAAAAAUUUGAAUUUCCCCAAAUUGAAAUUUGAACUUCAAACUGUUUGGUCAAAUUCACCAUGUUCCACUCAAAAUUAGCUUUGGUCACCAAAACAUGUUUUGUACCUUAUAAAAUUCUGAACAACUUUUGUUUUGGUGGAAUUUUGGCUCCAGUUCAAAUUAUAGGCGAAUUUUGCAAAACAACAGAACAAGUGGAUAUGGCUUGCUAUAGUGCUGAGCAGGGGGGGUGCUCUGCCGCCGGAACAGAGCCGCUGCGUCCGGCGCCACCACGCGCCUGGCCACGCAGCUGCUUGCUGCUGUGCCUCGCUCGGACGUCCUCAUCCGCAGCGCGCACUCCGUCGCGUGGAUAAAGCCCCGGGUGGCCGGGGUAUUUCCUUUCCUUUUUCUGAACCUCACCGCCGACGGCCACCAGUCGACACCAAAAUCCACCGUUGCCUUAGCUUCUUCAUCCACGAGCUCUUGCUCCCAACUCUGCCAAGAACCCCGCAACCGUUUGCGCCCCUGAGCGCAAGCUCUACCCUACCGUAGCUCCAACCCGAGCCGUUCUUCUCCAACCCCGGCCAAAACGCCGCCGCGGACACUCCACCGUGGCCAGCUUCACUCCAAGCCUCUCCACUGCCGCUUCUUGCUCCGUUGGAAUCGCGAUGAGCCACCGAUGCUUUUGCGCUGGUCAAUUCGCGCUCUACUCGAUCGUAGAGGCCGGCGUCUGCUCGGCCGAGGUAGCCGCCCGCCGCGCCCGUGGCCAUGGGAGCUAGACUAGGAGAGAGCGAGGGUUUAGGGGGUCCAGAGGUGCGCCUUGAAGUGGAGAACGCGACCAGCGAGUCGCGAGGAGCGAUGAUGGCGCGGAUGGCUCGGUCGCGCCGUCGAUUCGGCCGGCCGGAGCUUGAAGACGAAGCUGACAGCGGGGGCCCGCUGUCAGCGACGCCUGAGUGGAGGCGAGGGCGCGCGCAGUGCCCGCGUGGGCCGAGCGCGGACAGGCCGGCAUGCGGGCCGAGUUCCUGGGCCGCUCGUGGCAGUGUUGUUUUUCUUUUUCUGUUUAUGCAAAAUUUGAUGUAUGUUUGAAUUUGAAUAGAAAAUCAUAUGUUGAUUCAAAAAUAAUGAAACUUUUUGUGUAAGUUCUAUAAAAUAAAUAGAACAUAGGAAAAAUAUUAGGUUCUAUUUUCUGGUAGUUUGCCUGUGUAUAAAAAUUGCCUCUCUAAUUUAGUGCAUAAAACUUCUAGGAAUUUUAAUAAUUUAUUGAUAUGUCCAAAAAUCACCAAAAUUUGUGAGAUGCCUCUGAAUAUUAUUCCAUGGCUUCACACAAAAUUUGGUGGCAUUUGGAUAAUGUUUGAAUAAAAUAAUAUUAAACCCUUAAUUAGUAAUUAAAUAAUAAUUCUAGAAUAAUCAGAUAAUAAUUAGUUAAAUUCUCAAAAUUAGGGUUUUAGUGAUUUUGGGAUUAUGUGAUGACCUGAGGUCAUUAACCUAAUGACCUUUGGCAUUUAAUUAUUGUUUGGCUUUAAUACUCAAUUGUUGUUAUUAAUAUUUAAUUAAGAAUUAUUUAAGAUAAAAGGGUUAAUAAUUAGUUAAUUAAGAAUAAUUAUGAAUUAAGAAAAGUCCUAAUUUACAGAUGCAACCUCUUGGGUAGAGACACUAAGAUGUUAGACAACUUUAAUUAUUGUUUAUUCUGUGUUGCACCGAGGAGGCCAGUUAUACCUAACUUGGUCCCUUUUUGCAUAUUCGUCAUACGCAUAUCAUGAGCAUUCAUCAUUUUGCGUAUAGUGCCGGUGACCGAAGGAGCGACCGUUGAACCGAACCCCGAGGUCGGUGCUCCGUUCGAGGAAGUAGGAUCCGAGACUUGGGAAGUCUCCGAGGGUCCCUCUCAGCUCUGCAACCAAGGCAAGCCCCGGAUGCAUUAACCCUUCCUUAAAUGUUUUAAAUCUUUUAUCACUUAUGAAUUGAAAAUGCUGCAUUAGGUAGACGAGAAUUGGGUUAACCUACUUGCUGCAUUUACUACCUUGAUAUUUGUUAUCUUGUCCUUUGCACCUGUUUCAAUUGAAAACCGCGUAGUAAUGCUUAGCCCUGCUACUAGAUAGGUUUUCAAACAAAGUUUGAAGGGUUGUUGUGGAAUACACGUAUGAUCAAUGAUGUUUCAAUUUGAGACCGGUCGGUGGACUUGCUUUAAGAAUGGAGUCUUAAAGUAGUGUCUCCAACUGUGUCGAUUAAGGACCGUUCCGUUGAUGGCCUGCUAGGUUGAGAAUUUAUAGUACUAGCCACUUGCCCUCGGUAAGCCCGAUCUUGUAAUCCCUCGACGCGAACAGCUACUCGCGCACUGGGCGUGGAGCGAUGGCGAGAGUAGCGUGUACCCACCUUACGGAUCUGAGAUGACUGGGAAACGUCUAGAUCGGCGGUAGGAUGGUGGGGUACUGUGCUCUCGGGUGCCGCGAACCUGGUCAAAUUUGGGGAGAGCUAGAGUUGGGUUGACAUAUGCAAGAUUUGGUUCUACAUAUGUCGGGUGGUUAGGAACUCCAGCUGGAUUGCUAAGCGAUUCGAAUCGUCGUUGCUCCCCGAUUGGGAGACUCAAUUCCUUCGACCCUCAUCGUAGUUAAUUAUGCAACUAAAGGAUAAAAUAAGAAAGGGGAAAAUGUCUCAUGAGGUUUGGAUCCCAAUUCCCGGACUCAGAGUGACAUGAAGCUAUGGCCGUUGGAUAAAUAAUACUUUGAUUACGGAUUAGGAACUUAUAGACUUGUCUGUGAGAAGCAACUAGAUAGACUGUCCUCGAACUCCUCGGCCUCUUUAGGAGAGGAAUUCGCGGGUAAAACUUGAAAGUAAGGAUGCACUAUUAGUAAGCUUUUCCGCAAAACACUUUGGCUCCUUGCUCAACCACCCCUUGUCUACCCUAAGCCUGCAUCCCUAAUUUCUCCUCUUUUUCUACCGGGUAAGUCUUGUUGAGUACUCCCGUACUCAGGGUUUUAUAACCCCUGUUGCAGGUGAAGCUCAAGAGCCGACUUGUUUCGGACCCUGUUGUGUGUCCGUCGUCGAGGUUGACGACGAGGAAGAGUGAGCGUGACCCAUGGGCAGGGUCUGUAAAUUUGUAAUCUCUGUAUUAAAGUUUAAGUUGCUCCGCUGGACCUGGCUUGUAAUAACACUCUACUAUUUGGAAGAACUACUCUUGUAAAUUAAGUUAUGCAAUACUUCCGCUGUUUACUCUGAAAGCUUAUUUUGGUCUUGUGUCGUCUGUGAUACUGCAUUGUCUUCGCAACGAAUGAUCCUAGUGUUAAGGUGGCCACUUGCUAUCCUGUAAGGGAGAGAAGAAGAAGUUCUCGUUAAUUGACCAUCGCUAGUGGUCAGGACGAGUUCGCUUGAUACUCCACAGGUAGCGGUGGGAUGAGCGUCCUGAGAUGCUCAUCGGAUUCCUAGAGUGGGAGGAUCCCCGGCAUCACCGUCAGAGGUCCUUGGGACAAUGACAGGUGUCGGUGGGCCCAAACACUUAGGAGGUUCUACCACAGCUGGUAUCGGAGCAUUCGUUGCUAGGAUGACUGCUGUAUCCUUUGAAAAACUUCAAAACGCAUUUGGAUCCAAUACUAUAAACUUGCCUAUUUUGAGUCCAAGUGCUUUAGUCCCAUCUUACCCCUGUCUGUAGGCCUUCUUAGAAUUUUUGAAGUGGUACGGAGGAGCAACAUAAGGUAUUGCCCUGUGUUAUAAAGUUUUAAGUAAUAUUGUUACGAAUUCCUAGUACGACUCGUAAAUUCGUGCAUGCAUCAUGAUAUAUUACUUGGUUAUAGUUCCUUCCUCCUUGUUUGGGUUGGGUUGCAUAGAAUCAAUCCCCUUCUUGCUAACCCGUAAGGUCUCUCUUACUAAUCCAAACUUACCCUCUAUAGGAUGGGCCGUUGGAAACAGACCCCGCGCAAGAGGACUGGUCCAAAAGGGGUUCCUAAACACCAGAUGGCCCCGCGAAGCGAUCAAGCAAGCAGUAGCUGUUCACCAUCUCAGCAGGAGGUGGAAAGAUUGUCCACCGAGCUGACCGAAGUGAUGAGAGAAAGGAUGUACAACGUCAUGGAGAUCGGUGAACUUAAAGCUCAACUAACCAAAGAAAAACAAGCCACAGAGAACUGUGAGGCCAUGCUGUCCCGUAGGGUGGAGGAGAGGAAUGCCGCUAUUGCCCGAGAAGAGGAAGCCAGGAGUGCACACAGGCACGAGCUGACCAGGAUGAAGGCAAAGCUGGACAAAACCAAGUACCUUAAAGAUCUGUACAUGAAGAUGAUGGCCACGGUCACCGCGCAGCGGGAUGUUGCGUGGCAGCGGGAGGACCAUCUCCAGUUGGAGAAGCUAGAGCUGGCACAUCAUUUAGACACCGUCAACGACUUGGCAAUGCAAUAUCAUGAUAUUGCAUUUGACCUUUAUCAUCAGCUCCAUCCACCUCCAAGCGAAGGAGAGAUGGAUACGGAUGGAGAGUUGGCGGAUGCUGGGGAACCCGACCAAGACCUCAGUGACAGGGAGGAAUCUGACUCCGGUGAUGACAACCCGGGGGGUAAUCAUGACGAUGGCAAUGACGACCCGGGCUACAGCUCUUGCCACACCGACUAGUUCGGUGAAGCUGCGGGCAACGUCGUUGUAGGAUUCCUAGUUUACCGUAGUGGGGUCGGGUUUGUAGUAUAGAGUUUUCUUUCAGUCUAAGAAGUUGUACUCGUUUGUUUCUAGUGUGUUGAACUGAUGUUUGAUAAAUAAAUGGAAGUAUGUAAGAUAUGUUCUAAGUUAUGAAUUUCAUGUAGUAACAAGUACUUAUAACUCUUGUAGCAGAUGCCGAUGCGUACACGAGGAUCUGAUAGAGCCGGGACGUCUCAGGGAGGGGAGGACAUCCCCAACCCUCCACCUGCUCCACCUUCUCUGGCUGAUGCCAUUGCUGUCCUUUUGUGUGCCACUACUGACAACGCUCGCUUGCUGCGCGAGUUAGCACAACGCCAACCACACCCCGCCCCAAACUUCAGGGCACAGCACAAUGGGGACGGAGAAACUCGGUACGUGGACUUUACCGAGACAAGGCCCCCGGUAUUCACCAAGGCUGAUGAGCCGUUAGAAGCGGAUGACUGGCUCCGGACCAUGGAGCACAAGUUCAGUCUGAUCCGAUGUUCGGAAACUCAGAAGCCCCUGUUCGCAGCUCAACAGCUUCGGGGAGCUGCGCGUGCCUGGUGGGAGAACUUUCUAGCUAUCCAAGCUCUGGGACACCAGGUUACCUGGACAGAGUUUAAGGACGCGUACCGCGCCCAUUACAUCCCUGAAGGGCUUAUGGCCAUGAAGGCCGAGGAGUUUCUCGCCUUGCAGCAAGGCGAUAAAAAUGUCAUGGAGUACGUGGCAAAAUUUAAUCAUCUUUCUCAAUAUGCCACAGACCAUGUGAACAUGGAUAGAAAGAAGAAGGCCUGUUUCAUGUGUGGUCGAAAUACCAAACUUCAGACCAUGAUGACCACCUGUCAAAAUGCUACCUUCUAUGAGGCAGUAAAUAUUGCCAUCGCCUCAGAAGAAAAGAAUAGAAAGCACAAAGAAGCCAAGAAGAAGGCUGCUUCUUCCUCCUUCUCUGGUCGUGGUCAAAAGCGCCAGAGAAUCAUUUAUCAUCCACAGGGCCACGGACGCUUUCCAGCGCCGUCACCUUAUCGUGGUCCCUUUUCCCCACCACAAUAUAGACCAGGGCAGCAGGUAUACCCUCGACCUACUGCCAUCACCACUGCACCACGCCAGCCGAACGCCCUAGGUGUUCGUCCCACUGCUCCGCCCAGCCACAAUUAUCCUUGUUUCAAUUGUGGUAAGCCUGGGCAUUUUUCUAAGGAAUGCCCUUACCCCCACCAAACCAACCCCACCUUCCAAAGGCCACCCACUGGCCAACCCCAGCCAAGCCAAUUCAGGACUGGGGCUCAGAAAGGACAACAUGUGCAAAGGGGUAAACCCGUAAAGAAAGCGGGACAAGUCUUCCAUACAGAGGUGGAGACGAUCCCGGAGGGAGAACCAGUAAUGAUGGGUACAUUUCCUGUUGCGAAACAUCCUGCUUUAAUGCUUUUCGAUUCUAGUGCAUCUCAUACAUUCAUCAACCGCACCUUUGUGAUAAAGCAUGGCAUACCCAUUGGGGAAACACAAGAUCAUUUUUAUAUACAUUCGCUAGGAGGACGGCUGAGUUCUAAAGAAAUGGUUCACCAGGUACCCAUCAAAUUUGGUGGGCAUAGUUUUCCCACUAGCAUGAUUGUUCUUAAAGACCAAGAGAUUGAUGUCAUACUAGGCAUGAACUGGAUGGCACAACGAGGGGUUGUGCUAGACACUUUGCAUCGAACCAUUAAAAUACCAUUGCCCAAUGAAAAUUCUUAUUUGCUAAUUCAAUUAGUUACUCCCAAGCGGGCAAUUGGGCAAGUUCAUGCCACUAAUGUGUGUGCAGUCCAAGAUAUCCCGGUAGUUCGGGAUUUUCCGGACGUGUUUCCUGAAGACCUACCAGGUCUGCCCCCGGACGGAGAUGUCCAGUUCAGUAUAGAAAUGAAACCAGGGACAGCCCCAAUAUCUCGAAGGGCCUACAGAAUGGCACCGAAAGAACUGGCCGAAUUAAAAACCCAACUACAAGAGCUGUUGCAGAAAGGUUUUAUUCAGCCUAGUUCUUCUCCAUGGGGUUGUCCAGCCUUGUUUGUGAAAAAGAAAGAUCAAACACUAAGGCUGUGUGUUGAUUAUCGUCCCCUAAAUGAGGUGACGAUUAAGAACAAGUACCCAUUGCCCCGUAUUAACUUACUAUUUGACCAGUUGGCCGGGGCCAAAGUGUUCUCAAAAUUUGAUUUGAGAUCAGGGUACCACCAAAUUAAAAUUAGGCCGGAGGAUGUACCCUAGACGGCUUUUACAACCCGUUAUGGGCUGUAUGAAUACUUGGUGAUGUCUUUUGGGUUGACCAAUGCACCGGCCCAUUUCAUGUACUUGAUGAACUCUGUCUUCAUGCCAGAACUGGACAAAUUUGUGGUCGUCUUCAUUGAUGACAUCUUGAUCUAUUCAAAGACUAAGAAAGAACAUGCUGAACAUCUGAGAAUUGUGCUAACCCGUCUCAGGGAGCAUCAGCUAUAUGCCAAGUUCAGCAAAUGUGAGUUCUGGCUGGACAAAGUCCAUUUCCUGGGUCAUGUAUUAUCAGCGGAGGGAGUCGCUGUAGACCCAGGUAAAGUAGAAGAAGUGUUGAAUUGGAAGCCCCCGACUACGGUACAUGAGGUCCGUAGUUUUCUGGGUAUGGCGGGAUACUACCGUCGUUUUAUCCCGGACUUUUCCAGAGUCGCUAAACCAAUCACGACCUUGCUCAAGAAUCAAACAAAAUUUGUUUGGUCACCGCAAUGUGAGCAAGCCUUCCAGACUCUGAAAAGAUUAUUGACAACUGCACCUGUCUUAGCCCAGCCAGAUAUUGAAAACCCCUUUGAUGUGUAUUGUGAUGCAUCAGGGAUAGGGAUAGGCUGCGUGCUAAUGCAGGAGGGUCGCGUAAUUGCAUAUGCUUCCAGGCAGCUCAAACCACAUGAGGAGAAUUACCCGACCCAUGAUCUAGAAAUAGCCGCCGUAGUACAUGCAUUAAAGAUCUGGCGCCAUUACCUGUUGGGAAGCACUUGUCAUCUAUACACAGAUCACAAGAGCUUGAAGUAUAUCUUCACUCAAGCUGAAUUGAAUAUGCGCCAGCGAAGGUGGCUAGAGUUGAUUAAAGAUUACGACCUUGAGGUGCAUUAUCACCCUGGCAAGGCGAAUGUAGUAGCUGAUGCCCUCAGUCGUAAGGCUCACUGUAAUUGCUUAACAGUGACGCCUAGAGAUAUAACCUUGUGCCAAGAGCUAGAGAACUUGGGGAUAGAAAUGAUUUCCCAAGGAAGCCUUGCCAAUCUAAAGAUUGAUUUCAAUCUCGAAGCUCAAAUCAUAGAGGCACAAAAGGAAGACAAAGGUAUGAAAUAUCUUAAAGAGAAAAUUUCUAAUAGAGCACCCACAGACUUUAAGGUGGAUGAUGCAGGAGUAAUCUGGUUCAAAAACCGGUUAGUGGUUCCAAAGGUACCUGAGCUACGUCAGCAAAUCCUGGAUGAAGCUCAUACUACCAGAUAUUCUAUUCAUCCGAGGAGCAAUAAAAUGUAUCAGGACCUAAAGCAAAGGUUUUGGUGGACGAAGAUGAAGAUAGAAAUAGCCCGCUAUGUGGCCCAAUGUGACACCUGCCGAAAAGUCAAAGCUAUUCAUCUCAAAUCCGCUGGAGAGUUGCAACCUUUGCCUAUUCUAGCAUGGAAAUGGGAUGAUAUUAGUAUGGAUUUCAUAGUGGGAUUGCCCAAGACGGCCAAAGGCUUUGAUUCAAUUUGGGUCAUUGUGGAUCGUCUCACCAAAACAGCACACUUCUUGCCUGUAAAGACAUUAUGUCCUACCUCCACCUAUGCUAAGAUUUAUUUCGAUCGUAUACUAAGUCUACAUGGGGUGCCAAAGACAAUAGUGUCAGAUAGAGGCACACAAUUUGUCUCCCAGUUCUGGAAAUGUUUACAUGAAUCUUUGGGCACCAAACUUUUAUACAGAACAGCCUACCACCCUCAAACAGGUGGGCAAACAGAGAGGGUAAAUCAAACCCUAGAAGAUCUAUUAAGAUCUUGUGCCCUGAAUUUUCCAGAUAAGUGGGAUGACUGCUUGCCUCUAGCAGAGUUUUCUUACAACAAUAGCUACCAAGAGAGUAUCAAGAUGGCUCCUUUUGAGGCACUAUAUGGCCGUCGAUGUCGAACUCCGUUACACUGGUCGGAACCCGGAGAAAGAUGGUUCUUCGGGGUUGACUUAGUGAAAGAAACUGAGAACAAAGUUAGACAAAUCCAAAAUAACUUGAAAGUUGCUCAGUCCCGACAGAAAAGUUAUGCUGAUAAAAGACGUCGACCCUUAAGAUUCGCCAAAGGUGACCAUGUAUAUCCGAAAGUAUCCCCAAUGAAAGGAGUAAAUUGUUUUGGCGUUAAAGGCAAGUUAGCACCUCGUUACAUUGGUCCAUUUCCAAUUCUUGACCGAUGUGGACAGGUAGCUUACCGCCUUAAACUGCCCGAACGAUUAUCCGGGAUACAUAAUGUAUUCCAUGUAUCUCAACUAAAAAAGUGUCUUCGGGUACCAGACCAAGUUCAAGAUAUCAAGGAUGUGGAACUUGAACCGGAUCUGACUUAUGCAGAAUACCCUAUCCGAGUAUUGGACCAAAGAGAUAGAGUUACUCGAAGAACAACUACCAAGUGGUACAAGGUGCAAUGGAGCCAGCACUCUGAAGAGGAAGCCACAUGGGAAUCUGAAGAUUAUCUAAUGGAGAAUUUUCCUGAGUUCUACGCUUCUCUUCAAGACAACAUCUGAUAAAUAGGAAGUGUACUCUAGUGAAGGAACAGAGUAGCCAAAGCCAUGUACUUAGUGUACAUACAUGUUUAUAAUUGAGUAGUCUUCCCCAGCUUCUUGUCUUAUGAAAAGGUUGGAGACGAAAUAGUUUGACACAUUUCCUUUUCCAUUACAUACCCUAAGGCUUUAAAUCUCGGGGACGAGAUUUCUUUAAGGGGGAAGGGCUGUAACAUCCCUGAUGUUACGGUUACUAAAACUGGACCAUGUCAUCAUAAGCAUUGCAUAGCAUAUUGUUUAAGCACAACUUGAUGCACCAACUUAAAACAAGUUUAUUUUGAUUGGUUGUGCUUAGGGAAUUAAAGUGUGCUUACAUUGUGUACUGAUGCUUGUGUUGGUUGCUACAACCCUAGGGUGAAACAUUUCCGAAAGAUUAGGGGGGAAAACCCUGAUUUUAAAACCCUGGAUUUACCCCCCUUUUUGCAAUUUAAAAACCAAGCAAAAUUUGAGGUUGAGUUCAAAAGCAAAGUUGUAGAUCUUGCUAAGAUGUACAACUUUUGUGUUUUGAGUUUUUGAAGUUUCAAUAUAAAAUUCAAAGUAAUUUUGAAAAUACAGAUUUCCAGAAAGUGUCCCCUUUUCCAAUUUGAACCUCCAAUUCAAAAUCUAUUUGGAAAUUUGAAAAGUGACCAACAUGAAAGUUGUAGAGCUCAAAAAUUUGAACAACUUUCAUGUUGGGAGUUUUUCAAGUUGUUAUGGAAAAUCAAAAGUAAUUUUGGAAAUUCUGAUCUGCCAUAAUUCAAAAAUUUGAAUUUCCCCAAAUUGAAUUUUGAACUUCAAACUGUUUGGUCAAAUUCACCAUGUUCCACUCAAAAUUAGCUUUGGUCACCAAAACAUGUUUUGUAGCUUAUAAAAUUCUGAACAACUUUUGUUUUGGUGGAAUUUUGGCUCCAGUUCAAAAUUAUAGGCGAAUUUUGCAAAACAACAGAACAAGUGGAUAUGGCUUGCUACAGUGCUGAGCAGGGUGUGCUCUGCCGCCGGAGCAGAGCCGCUGCGUCCGGCGUCGCCACGCGCCUGGCCACGCAGCUGCUUGCUGCUGUGCCUCGCUCGGACGUCCUCAUCCGUGUUGGGUAUUCUUAACAUCAUUACCAAAAGUAGACUAAGUUCUCUAAAUCUAGUAACGGUGCCAAAAAUGCCAAACCUAUCCCUUACACCACUUAAGCCAAGUUGUCAUCCCCAGCAUGAUAUAAGAGACGCGGUAUUGAAAUAUGCAAUUGCUCUUCUAAAUAAAUAAUGAAUGGGAUCUGCAAGCGCACAGAUUAAUACCGAUGCAGCAUUUUAACCGGGAAGUAUUCCAGGUAUCGUUAUUUAUAUUUUUACCACUGGGAAGGGAUUAGCAAUCAUCACUACUGAUUACAGAAUAGAAUAUGAGAUUGAGCAUCUAUCACUGCAUGUAUAAUUGAGAACAUUAUAUCUAACUCUUCACACAGGGAUAAGUGUCACAUAAAAGAUAUAUGAAAUAAUAAUAGUGACAAGGAUAACUAAUAUGAUCUAGCCACAUAAUAAAUAUGAUAAGCACCUCAAUUAGAUACUCUAGAAAGUCAUUAGCAUGGUAUUAGAACGAACUACAAGAAUAUUCCCUAAGUUAUUCUCAACUAUAUAGUCUAGCAUAUCAUAGUUAGUGCAAGCAUACUUAGCAAUCAUUGUGAGACAAGACUACGCCCAUGCAUAGUGAUAUUAGCAAGGAAUAUGAGAAACAUAGCAAUCACUCCCCUGUAAUAAUGUUGCUCUGCCAGCCCAAUACACGAGAGGGGGACUAUAUAAGAAUCAAUGAAGCUGUCACUAUCACGAACCACCCCACGAUCUGGCAUAUUGGGUACAAUCGCAGAUAAAUACGGUAUAAGCACCACGCCUACACAAUAUCUAUCAUUUACCCAUGGAUCCAAUGGAUAAACGCUAUACGAUCCUAAGCAUGUAUAUAGAUCCAAUCUAACUAAGCCAAGUACAUAACUAUGAUAAACUAAGAACAAUAUAAUCUUGAAUAUAAGCAAGUAGAGCAAAGUCAUAAGCAAUAUAUUGAAGUAGAACAAAGUCAUAUUCAUAAUAUUGAAGAACAAAGAUAAUUAGAAAGCAAUUAGAAGCACAAUUAGAGAAUUACCAAGAAUCCUCCUGACAGAUCCGGAAACCAAUCGAAGAUUGACUCCUUCUAGUUCUAAUCCUAUGUAGCUAUGCUAAUCUAGAUAUCUAAUUGAUGUGGUGGCUCUAAUCUUGAUCAGAGGCUUCUUCUCCCUUGAUGGAACAAUGAAUUAGGGUUGUGAGGCUCCCUCCUCUAGGGGCCAGGGGGUCUGGUUUUAUAGUCCCUUCAAGUGAAUAUGAGCCCUUGGAUCAAACCGACAUAGAUUGUAUGGUUUAGAUUCAUCCUUUAGGUCGGUGGAGACUUUCCGCAAAGCAGAGUCCUGUUUGGACUUGGGGGUAGGGCGGGCGCCCAGUAGGACAGGGCGGGCGCCCUGUCUCUGGCCCCGUUUCGCCUCCGCUUCGGUCUCGUGGCUUCUGGAGUCUUCUAGAUGUAAGAUAAUUGCGCGGCACGUUAAUAUCUUUACGUAAUCCUGACAUGUGGGCCUUUCUUCCAUAUUUCCUGAUAACCCCCUGCAGAAAUAGACAAACACCAAAACUCGUGGAAUUCUGUCAGAUAAAACCCUAAGUCUAGAUCUUGAUUUCAUUUGGAUCCUUUUCUUUAUUUAUUUGAUAAUUAAAUUUGAUACUUAAGGACCGUCAACAAACUCCCCCAAGCUUACCUCUUGCUCGUCCCUGAGCAAGGAUAGACUCAGCUAUCGAUCAGAAGUUGCUGCAAUAUCUUUAAAAAUUGACGGUACACAUGCUUUUAAAUAAGAUCUCAUCUCUGAGUUAGAGUAAACUGUCAAGACUUAAAACUUACUUACUUUACCUCCACUAUGGGACUUGUAACUGUCACUUCUGUCUUGAGUGGUUAAAAGAUAGAACAGUCUAGCCAAGUGCCAUGUCUCUUAUUCUUGAUCAGCUAUAGCUCUGGGGUUUUUGCAGAUUUUCAAAUAAAACUCAGAGAUUCCUUGUAUGAUUCUCUCAGGUCUCUCUUUUGUGGUAUUUAUGGAUCCUUACCAAGGCAGUGAUGGUAUAUGCCUUCUCUCAAGAUAUGUAGUAUUUGUGGUAUAAAGCAUAGUGACAUUGUCUUCUCUCUCACCCUACUCUAAUAAGGCUUUAAUAUCUAGAGCUUAUAGGUGGGAGAUAAAGUAUACAUACUUACAAGACAUUUAUUGCAUAGUCAAACCAUGGAUCCAAAGAAACAAAUCAAUAAGCCAAAUCAAGAUGUGCAUGUGUGGCGAAUGAAUGGUGUAUGGUGAUGAUGGUGAUAACAAUGGUGGUGGAAGUUUAAUUCUACUUUUCCUCUUUGAGGGGAUACAUACCUUCCUUGCUUUUUGAAAUUUUAUGAGGAGAAUGAGAUGCUCUUCUUUUUCUUUUCUUUUCUCUCAGGUGGGUAUCUUGCACCCCUAAUUCUACUGUCGGACACUUGUCCAUUUUUACCUCUCGUCUCACUUUUUCUUUUCUUUCGAGGUUCCGAGCACUUGCUCCUUUUUAUUUCCUCGUAUCUUUUUUUCUCUUUUUUUUUCCAGAGCAUUCAUCUCUUGAGAUAAUAUAGCAAGUGGUAGUAACAAGAUAACUUGAGCAUUUAUUUCACAAAGGGAAAACAGAAAUAUUUUUGGUUAUUCUCUCCUGGAUUAGGAGUAGAAUAUUUUUGGGUGAUUCUGGAGAUGGAAUGGGUGGAUAUAUGUGGAUGGUACUUCCGGAGUAGAAGUAGCAUAUAUGAGUGAACGUGCAAGUGAAAUCUUGAUUUAACCACAUGACAAGCUCCUAAGGGUCUACACAGCUUGACCACACUCAAUGCUCAUAAGCAGUAAAUAAUAAAUGUGUGGCUCAAAGUCUAGCAAGCAUGUAUAUAUGGCUAUGGUAGGAAUUUAAAACUCUCAUCAUACAGGAACUCAUCAUGCAACAUUUUUAAAGAUUUUCAAAGAUAAAAUUCUCCAGAAUUCUAGCAUCUCUAGGAACAGAUAAACAGCAGCUCAACCUUCCCAUAUCAUAUCCGUUAACAACUUAGACUUUAGAUCAAGUUUUCAUCCCACAAGUUUAGGUCUAGAGCAAGCUUUAAAUUAUAACAGUUAUAUCUAAACUUGAGAGAAAACUUAAAAUGUGCAAAUUAGGCAGAGCAACUAUUCAUCAUAUCCAUGCUUAAGUUUUAUUUAGAUACAGAUUAGCAUAGCCACUUUAUUUAUUUAUUAAACACACUAAACAAAAGAUAUAUAUAUAAGCAUAAAAUCUUUAUUUGGUUUUCCAUAGUUAUGUAUUUUAAUAUUCUAAAAUAAUAUAAAUAUAAAGAUAGAUAGAUAGAAAUACUUAUCGAUAUAAAUGGAGGUGCUCUCCCCCAAGCUGAAUUUUGACGUAAUUUCUCUUGAUGUAGCUAGCAGGUGGCAGAGGUGUAUUUGAAAGUCAGCAGCAUUCUGACAGCGAUUAGAAUGUCCUUCGUCUGCUAGUCUUCUUGUUUCUUAAAUCCUGUGGAGCUCAAAUAGACAACAAAGCUUGUGGAACUAAUUAAGUGUUAGCAUAAAUAUCUAGCCUUCAUCAUCGUGAGACUCCUUAAUAAUUAUUACUCCCUGUUUUUAUAUUUUUGUUUUAUAAAGCAGAAAAAUAUUUAUUUUAUUUUUAUGCCACCACAGUGAAUGUACUUAUGGGUUUUACUCCACUCGUCUACUCACAUGGGGCUUACUGUUUUUCACAAUUUUAUUUUCUUUUGAGAAUAGCACGAACAUAGUAAACUAGUUGAAAUAAUUUGAAAAGGAAAGGAUAACUACCAAGUUUACCUCUUGGUAAGGCGUUCGGUGUUUUUAAGUCCUCCGAACGGGACUCUCCAUUUUCUCAAUCGUCCUGAGGUUCGUUGAGUGGCGUAGUCGGUACUUCCGGCAGCGCCUCCUCUUCUUGUAUAGUUAUCUUCAUUUUCCAUACCUGACUCGGUGCUUCAAUCUCCUCUGGAUAAUUCUGUUUAAACUCUACGUCUUCUGACCUUACAACUUCUCCUUCAUAGUCUGCCCAUCCGUCCUUGAUGAUCUGCCUCCUCUGGUUGUGGUUGCGUCUCUUCCUGACCUGCUUAGAUUCUUCAACGAUAUAGUUAGGGUCAGUAAAAUAACGGCGUACCUUCUCUGAGGGGAAGUGCAUAUGGACUUCUCCGGUUCCAAUGUAGAUAAUUGUUUUAACGGUGCUGAGGAACGGUCUUCCAAGGAUGAUGGGUGGAUCAUACUCGUCUUCUCCCAUGUCAAUAACUUGAAAGUCUGUGUAGACAAAGUGAUCGUCUAUUUUGACUGGGACAUCAGAUACUAUUCCUUUAACUUCUCGAAAUGUUUGAUCUGCCAUCUGAAGCUGAAUGUAUGUUGGUCUUAGUGGCAUGGUCCCGAACAAGAGCCGAUAGGUGACUGCAGCCAUUAUAGGCAUUCUUGGGUCGUCCUUCUUGGUCAAAAACGGUGACUUAAGUUGGUGAUCUUGGCCUCCAUGAACUACAGUGACCAUCUUAGCUGACUUGGUCCACACUUGCUCGUUCCUGUUCCUCCUGUUGGUCCUCUUCCUUGAUUUACGUCUGGAUUGAUCUGGAAUUUGUGUAGUCUUGUUCUUGAAGAAAAAUGUCUCCUUCUUCCCUUUGACGUAGAAACUGAUCUUGGCAGCACUGGCGUAGAUGAUAGCUCCCGUGGUGUUCAAGAAUGGCCUCCCUAGGAUGAUAGGUGCUCUCUCAUCAUUUCCGGUCUCUACCACUACGAAGUCUGCUGGGGCAUACAAGGUACCAACUCGGACACAAAGGUUCCUCACGAUUCCUUUUGGGAAAGUUAUCGUCUGAUCUGCAAACUGCAAACACAUGGUUGUCUCUAAUAAAGGAUAUGUAAAGAAUUUUUCAUAGAGUACCCUGGGUAUAAUGUUGACACUGGAGCCAAAGUCACAGAGUGCUUCUGGGACAUCCACCAUGCCGAUGGAGAUCGGAAUGACGGGGCGUCCUGGAUCGCCUCUCUUGACCGGCAGAAGGUCAGUAGAGAAUUCAUUGACGGGGUUACUCCAAUUACCUGCAUCAAACAUGUCUACAAGAUUUGCAGAUUCUAAUCCUUCCGGUUGUGAUGGUAUACCGGGAUUAGUAGCAGGAACAGCAGCAGCUAUUUGAUUUACUGAGAUUCAAUCAUUUUAUUAAAGCUAAUUUGAUUCUUGAUGGCAGUAGAGAAAUUAUCCAUUCUAUUAUUUAUAUUUUCUAGCAUUUUAUCAUUAGAUGCCACUUUCUUAGAUAGGUUAUCCAUUAGCUUUCCUUGAUUAGACACUAACUCUCUCAGAGGUGGAAAAUUAUUAUUGUUGUAAGAAUUGUUACCUUGAUAAUUACCUGAGUAGUUAGGCCUCUGUUGAUUCCAACCUUGAUUUUGUUGAGGACGGUUGUAGUAGUAGUUGUUGUUGUUGUUGAUGUAGUUCACAUCCUCAAGCAUCUCAGGGCAGUGGUUGCCUGAGUGUCCAGUGUCUCCACACUCCUCACAAGUCAUGUGAGAGUCGUAGAUGUGCAUAACUUCUUUCUUGUCUCCAGCUCUAUCAUCGAGCUUCUUCAUGAGUAGGUCUAGCUUUGCAGACAACAUGUCUACCUCCUUCAGCUGAUGCAUACCUCCACCUCUCUUGCGUGUCUGGGUCCUCUCUUCAUUCCAACUUUGAUUGGACGCCAUCUUCUCCACAAGAGCUGUGGCUUAUGGUAUAGUAAGUGAUAAGAAUGCUCCUCCAGCUGCAGCAUCCAUGGUUUCUCGAGCACUGUUGCUGAGCCCAUGAUAAAAUGUCUGCAUCAAUAGCCAACUCUCCAUUCCAUGAUGGGGACAUUCUAGGAUGUAGUCUUAAAAGCGCUCCCAUGCUUCUGGAACAGAUUCAUCAUUUUGUUGCUGAAAACUUCUAAUCUUCCCACGGAGAGCAUUGGUCUUGCCCAUGGGAAAGAACUUUGCCAGGAAGUUUGUUGAGCAGAGUGCCCACGUAGUAUUCUUCUCCUUUGUAGCGUAGAACCACUGCUUCGCUCUUCCUAACAGUGAGAAUGGGAAGAGGCGAAGUAGUAUAGCGUCUUUGGAAACUCCUGCUAUAGUGAAUGUGUUGCAAAUCUCUAGGAAGUGUUGUAAAUGAGCACUAGCAUCUUCGUGUGCCUUCCCACAGAACUGGUUGGAUUGCACCAUGUUGAUAAGUCCAGGCUUGAGCUCAAAGUUGCCAUCGAUCUCUGCAGCAGGUCCAGUGCGGAUGUUGUCCGUAGUGGGAGCUGAGAACUCGCGGAUUGAUUUGUUCGCCAUGGCUUCGAACUCUGAAGACAAGUUCCGGUGAUCUUCUUGAUUAGAUGAAGCUUCUUGCUGAAGUGUUGAUGAUUUCUUGAGCUUGGCUCUCGUCUUCUUGAAUAAUGCUUCGGGAUUGUCAACAAAAUUUCCUGGAAGAUGUCUUCUAUUCAUACAUUCCCCUGCAUAAGAUAAAAUAGAAAAAUAUCGGGGUAAAACUGUAUGAGAGAAUAGAUAAGCUCAAUCAUAUUAGUGAUGCGAAUGAUAACUCAAAAUCUUUUAUUCCAUUCCUGAUUGGUAAUCAACCUUCCCCGGCAAUGGCGCCAAAAAAUGCUUGUUGGGUAUUCUUAACAUCAUUACCAAAAGUAGACUAAGUUCUCUAAAUCUAGUAACGGUGCCAAAAAUGCCAAACCUAUCCCUUACACCACUUAAGCCAAGUUGUCAUCCCCAGCAUGAUAUAAGAGACGCGGUAUUGAAAUAUGCAAUUGCUCUUCUAAAUAAAUAAUGAAUGGGAUCUGCAAGCGCACAGAUUAAUACCGAUGCAGCAUUUUAACCGGGAAGUAUUCCACGUAUCGUUAUUUAUAUUUUUACCACUGGGAACGGAUUAGCAAUCAUCACUAUUGAUUACAGAAUAGAAUAUGAGAUUGAGCAUCUAUCAUUGCAUGUAUAAUUGAGAACAUUAUAUCUAACUCUUCACACAGGGAUAAGUGUCACAUAAAAGAUAUAUGAAAUAAUAAUAGUGACAAGGAUAACUAAUCUGAUCUAGCCACAUAAUAAAUAUGAUAAGCACCUCAAUUACAUACUCUAGAAAGUCAUUAGCAUGGUAUUAGAAUGAACUACAAGAAUAUUCCCUAAGUUAUUCUCAACUAUAUAGUCUAGCAUAUCAUAGUUAGUGCAAGCAUACUUAGCAAUCAUUGUGAGACAAGACUACGCCCAUGCAUAGUGAUAUUAGCAAGGAAUAUGAGAAACAUAGCAAUCACUCCCCUGUAAUAAUGUUGCUCUGCCAGCCCAAUACACGAGAGGGGGACUAUAUAAGAAUCAAUGAAGCUGUCACUAUCACGAACCACCCCACGAUCUGGCAUAUUGGGUACAAUCGCAGAUAAAUACGGUAUAAGCACCACGCCUACACAAUAUCUAUCAUUUACCCAUGGAUCCGAUGGAUAAACGCUAUACGAUCCUAAGCAUGUAUAUAGAUCCAAUCUAACUAAGCCAAGUACAUAACUAUGAUAAACUAAGAACAAUAUAAUCUUGAAUAUAAGCAAGUAGAGCAAAGUCAUAAGCAAUAUAUUGAAGUAGAACAAAGUCAUAUUCAUAAUAUUGAAGAACAAAGAUAAUUAGAAAGCAAUUAGAAGCACAAUUAGAGAAUUACCAAGAAUCCUCCUGACAGAUCCGGAAACCAAUCGAAGAUUGACUCCUUCUAGUUCUAAUCCUAUGUAGCUAUGCUAAUCUAGAUAUCUAAUUGAUGUGGUGGCUCUAAUCUUGAUCAGAGGCUUCUUCUCCCUUGAUGGAACAAUGAAUUAGGGUUGAGAGGCUCCCUCCUCCAGGGGCCAGGGGGUCUGGUUUUAUAGUCCCUUCAAGUGAAUAUGAGCCCUUGGAUCAAACCGACAUAGAUUGUAUGGUUUAGAUUCAUCCUUUAGGUCGGUGGAGACUUCCCGCAAAGCAGAGUCCUGUUUGGACUUGGGGGCAGGGCGGGCGCCCUGUCUCUUGCCCCGUUUCGCCUCCGCUUCGGUCUCGUGGCUUCUGGAGUCUUUUAGAUGUAAGAUAAUUGCGCGGCACGUUAAUAUCUUUACGUAAUCCUGACAUGUGGGCCUUUCUUACAUAUUUCCUGAUAACUCCCUGCAGAAAUAGACAAACACCAAAACUCAUGGAAUUCUGUCAGAUAAAACCCUAAGUCUAGAUCUUGAUUUCAUUUGGAUCCUUUUCUUUAUUUAUUUGAUAAUUAAAUUUGAUACUUAAGGACCGUCAACAAUCCGCAGCGCGCACUCCGUCGCGUGGAUAAAGGCCCGGGUGGCCGGGGUAUUUCCUUUCCUUUUUCUGAACCUCACCGCCGACGGCCACCAGUCGACACCAAAAUCCACCGUUGCCUUAGCUUCUUCAUCCCCGAGCUCUUGCUCCCAACUCCGGCAAGAACCCCGCAACCGUUUGCGCCCCUGAGCGCAAGCUCUACCCUACCGUAGCUCCAACCCGAGCCGUUCUUCUCCAACCCCGGCCGAAACGCCGCCGCGGACACUCCACCGUGGCCAGCUUCACUCCAAGCCUCUCCACUGCCGCUUCUUGCUCCGUUGGAAUCGCGGUGAGCCACCGAUGCUUUUGCGCUGUUCAAUUCGCGCUCUACUCGAUCGUAGAGGCCGGCGUCUGCUCGGCCGAGGUAGCCGCCCGCCGUGCCCGUGGCCAUGGGAGCUAGACUAGGAGAGAGCAAGGGUUUAGGGGGUCCAGAGGUGCACCUUGAAGUGGAGAACGCGACCAGCGAGUCGCGAGGGGCGAUGAUGGCGCGGAUGGCUCGGUCGCGCCGUCGAUUCGGCCGGCCGGAGCUUGAAGACGAAGCUGACAGCGGGGGCCCGCUGUCAGCGACGCCUGAGUGGAGGCGAGGGCGCGCGCAGCGCCCGCGUGGGCCGAGCGCGGACAGGCCGGCCUGCGGGCCGAGUUCCUGGACCGCUCGCGGCAGUGUUGUUUUUCUUUUUCUGUUUAUGCAAAAUUUGAUGUAUGUUUGAAUUUGAAUAGAAAAUCAUAUGUUGAUUCAAAAAUAAUGAAACUUUUUGUGUAAGUUCUAUAAAAUAAAUAGAACAUAGGAAAAAUAUUAGGUUCUAUUUUCUGGUAGUUUGCAUGUGUAUAAAAAUUGCCUCUCUAAUUUAGUGAAUAAAACUUCUAGGAAUUUUAAUAAUUUAUUGAUAUGUCCAAAAAUCACCAAAAUUUGUGAGAUGCCUCUGAAUAUUAUUCCCUGGCUUCACACAAAAUUUGGUGGCAUUUGGAUAAUGUUUGAAUAAAUUAAUAUUAAACCCUUAAUUAGUAAUUAAAUAAUAAUUCUAGAAUAAUCAGAUAAUAAUUAGUUAAAUUCUCAAAAUUAGGGUUUGAGUGAUUUUGGGAUUAUGUGAUGACCUGAGGUCAUUAACCUAAUGACCUUUGGCAUUUAAUUAUUGUUUGGCUUUAAUACUCAAUUGCUGUUAUUAAUAUUUAAUUAAGAAUUAUUUAAGAUAAAAGGGUUAAUAAUUAGUUAAUUAAGAAUAAUUAUGAAUUAAGAAAAGUCCUAAUUUACAGAUGCAACCUCUUGGGUAGAGACACUAAGAUGUUAGACAACUUUAAUUAUUGUUUAUUCUGUGUUGCACCGAGGAGGCCAGUUAUACCUAACUUGGUCCCUUUUUGCAUAUUCGUCAUACGCAUAUCAUGAGCAUUCAUCAUUUUGCGUAUAGUGCCCGUGACCGAAGGAGCGACCGUUGAACCGAACCCCGAGGUCUGUGCUCCGUUCGAGGAAGUAGGAUCUGAGACUUGGGAAGUCUCCGAGGGUCCCUCUCAGCUCUGCAACCAAGGCAAGCCCCGGAUGCAUUAACCCUUCCUUAAAUGUUUUAAAUCUUUUAUCACUUAUGAAUUGAAAAUGCUGCAUUAGGUAGACGAGAAUUGGGUUAACCUACUUGCUGCAUUUACUACCUUGAUAUUUGUUAUCUUGUCCUUUGCACCUGUUUCAAUUGAAAACCGCGUAGUAAUGCUUAGCCCUGCUACUAGAUAGGUUUUCAAACAAAGUUUGAAGGGUUGUUGUGGAAUACACGUAUGAUCAAUGAUGUUUCAAUUUGAGACCGGUCGGUGGACUUGCUUUAAGAAUGGAGUCUUAAAGUAGUGUCUCCAACUGUGUCGAUUAAGGACCGUUCCGUUGAUGGCCUGCUGGGUUGAGAAUUUAUAGUACUAGCCACUUGCCCUCGGUAAGCCCAAUCUUGUAAUCCCUCGACGCAAACAGCUACUCGCGCACUGGGCGUGGAGCGAUGGCGAGAGUAGCGUGUACCCACCUUACGGAUCUGAGAUGACCGGGAAACGUCUAGAUCGGCGGUAGGAUGGUGGGGUACUGUGCUCUCGGGUGCCGCGAACCUGGUCAAAUUUGGGGAGAGCUAGAGUUGGGUUGACAUAUGCAAGAUUUGGUUCUACAUAUGUCGGGUGGUUAGGAACUCCAGCUGGAUUGCUAAGCGAUUCAAAUCGUCGUUGCUCCCCGAUUGGGAGACUCAAUUCCUUCGACCCUCAUCAUAGUUAAUUAUGCAACUAAAGGAUAAAAUAAGAAAGGGGAAAAUGUCUCAUGAGGUUCGGAUCCCAAUUCCCGGACUCAGAGUGACAUGAAGCUAUGGCCGUUGGAUAAAUAAUACUUCGAUUAAGGAUUAGGAACUUAUAGACUUGUCUGUGAGAAGCAACUAGAUAGACUGUCCUCGAACUCCUCGGCCUCUUCAGGAGCGGAAUUCGCGGGUAAAACUUGAAAGUAAGGAUGCACUAUUAGUAAGCUUUUCCGCAAAACACUUCGGCUCCUUGCUCAACCACCCCUUGUCUACCCUAAGCCUGCAUCCCUAAUUUCUCCUCUUUUUCUACCGGGUAAGUCUUGUUGAGUACUCCCGUACUCAGGGUUUUAUAACCCCUAUUGCAGGUGAAGCUCAGGAGCCGACUUGUUUCGGACCCUGUUGUGUGUCCGUCGUCGAGGUUGACGACGAGGAAGAGUGAGCGUGACCCAUGGGCAGGGUCUGUAAAUUUGUAAUCUCUGUAUUAAAGUUUAAGUUGCUCCGCUGGACCUGGCUUGUAAUAACACUCUACUAUUUGGAAGAACUACUCUUGUAAGUUAAGUUAUGUAAUACUUCCGCUGUUUACUCUGAAAGCUUAUUUUGGUCUUGUGUCAUCUGUGAUACUGCAAUGUCUUCGCAACGAAUGAUCCUGCUGUUAAGGUGGCCACUUGCUAUCCUGUAAGGGAGAGAAGAAGUUCUCGUUAAUUGACCAUCGCUAGUGGUCAGGACGAGUUCGCUUGAUACUCCACAGGUAGCAGUGGGAUGAGCGUCCUGAGAUGCUCAUCGGACUCCUGGAGUGGGAGGAUCCCCGACAUCACCGUCAGAGGUCCUUGGGACAAUGACAGGUGUCGGUGGGCCCAAACACUUAGGAGGUUCUACCACAACCAGUGUCAGCUUUUGGAGCCUCAUGAACCCCUGGUUAUAAUUGUUGAGUACGAUAUGUGCUCACUCUUGCAAUUUCCCAACACCCCAGGUUAUGCUAAUGAAGAUGACUGGAAUGAGGAUUACCGUUAUGAGUACUAGGUUUGGAGUCAACCAGUCAAUAGUGUCCCUGUGUGGAGCUUCCGUCGAGAGCGUUGUUUACUUUAUGCUAUCAUUUUUGUAUGAGACUAUGUGAUAUCUUAUAUUCUGCUAUGUAAUAAACAAUGCAAUGGUACAUUUGAGAUUUGUCUACUUAUGUGUGCGACUGUUUCUGGGGCACAUAUGAGUGUUUUAUGCAUCCUAUUUUGUUCUCAAAAUAUGGGUGUGACAAAUUGGUAUCAGAGCUUUGUUUACUGUCGGACACAAGCCUAGUUAGAAAUUGGUCGUAUUAAGGUUUUGAAAUUGCUGUAAAAUCCUUGUUCUAUAAACCUUGAUAUUUUCCUCUAUACUAUAUCCUUUUCUUUGCUAUUCAUCCUCACUUUGAUGCUUAUUUUAAAGACUUGUUCUCACCCCACUCCUUGCUUUGAAUAUGCUUUUAGAACUUUUCUUACCACCUUCUAACGUCAUUGAAAUAGGAACUAUAGGAUCUUUGCCCUUAAUAGGAAGAGAACGUUAGUACCGCAAGUUGAGUCAAUUCUUGAAGUGUGAACUUUUGAUGCUUGGUUUGGUUUGUUAUUAUGCUUAUGCUUGAUUUUGAUUUUUGUAAUGAGUGCUGGAACCUUGUGGGCAUAUCCACAAGUUCCCUAGUUAAGAACCUUAAGUAAGAACAUGAAUAAAUAGUGGUUUGGGGGCAUAUCCUGCUUCUGUCCUUGCUGAUCUCUGGAGCAGUCUGCAAUAAAUCUGGUACAUCUCAAAAUCUGUUCGUGCAAUGUUCAUCACAUUUUUCUGGAGACAAGUAGACUUUCAUAUCUUUCUAAUGCCGCAAGAAUGACACUAAAAUCUGUUAUGGUCUGUGAGAUACAACUGUUCAAAGUUGAAGUUUCUGCGCAGUCUGGAAUUCUGGAACAGUUUUGGUUAUGACCAGUUUUGACUAAUUUAACAACAGAAUCUGUUAAAAUGAUCUAAAUGAAAGUUGUAGAUAAUUGCUUUAUCUUUCCAACGGUGUAUAGAAUGUAUCCUUUUGGAUUAUGGAACUUGAGAUAUGACUGGUUUUCUGAUCUGCUGAUGUUGGAUAUUCCCCAGAAAAUUUCAGAUUCCGUUAACUCUUGUAAUUGUCAUGUUGGACAUUACUAAGAUGUGUUUGUAUACCUUGGAAUGCAUAUGGCAGCAAGGGGAAGAGGCAGAGGCAGAGGCCGUGGCAAUGACAAUGGUGGCAAUGCCCCAAUCGCAGUGAGGAACUCAUGCAAACCCAAAAUGAGAUGAUGCACGUUUUCAUGCAGCACCUACAGCAGCAACCUCCACCAACACCACCACCUGUUCAUGUGAGGGAUAAGCGUAGGGAGUUUAUGAAGGGAAGACCUCCGAUAUUUACACACUCAGCUGAUCCCAUGGAGGCAGAUGAUUGGUUACGUGCUAUGGAGAGGCAACUGAACAUAGCACAGUGCAAUGACUUGGAGAAGGUGUUGUAUGCUUCUAGACAGCUUCAGGGGGCAGCUCAGACAUGGUGGGAGUCAUAUCAAGUUGCUCGUCCCAACAAUGCUCCUCCUAUCACAUGGCUGGAAUUCUGUAGAGACUUCAGAGCUCGACAUAUAAAUGAAGGAAUGAUGGAGCUCAAGCAAGAAGAAUUCAGAUCUCUUAGGAUGGGUUCUAUGUCUGUGGCUGAGUAUCAUGACAUGUUUGAGCAGUUGGCUCGCUAUGCCCCAAACGAAGUUAGAGAAGAUGCUGACAAACAACGUCUCUUCAUGAAAGGUCUCUACUAUGAACUUAGGUUGCAACUAGCUGGAAACACAUAUCCUACCUUCCAGGCUCUGGUAAACCGUGCUAUUGUGUUGGAUAACAUGCGUAAAGGUCAAGAUAAUAAGAGGAGGAUGCUGGCACAAGGUUCUGGAGGCAACAACCGCCAACGUUUCAAUUCUCAGCAGGGCGAUCAACAGAGGUACCAGGGACCGGUUGGUCAAUGGGAUCGCAACCAACAAUCCCAGCGUAAUCCUAAUCAACAACAGAGUGGACAGCAGACUUCCCGCUCAGGAAAUUCAAAUGCCACCUCUAUGAAGAGAAGUGCUCCCAAUACCCCUACUAGGUGUUUUCGCUGUGGAAAAGAAGGUCAUAUGUCAUAUGAUUGCCCGAAGAGAUCCAACCAGCAGAACAACAAUAAAAAGUCUAAUUCUCAUGGAGCAAAGGUGAACCAUGUGGCUGCAGAGACAGUACAAGAGGGACCGGAGAUUAUGAUGGGUACGUUCAGUAUCAACUCUAUACCUGCUACAGUUUUAUUUGAUUCUGGAGCUUCGCAUACAUUCAUAUCACAAGCAUUUGUUAGAGUUCAUAGCAUACCACUAGUUGCCAUGAAAACCCAUAUGCUAGUAAACUCACCGGGAGGGACUAUACCAGUUUCAUAUUGUUGCCCCUCAGCAAGUCUUUCUUUAAGGGGGUAGAUUUCCCGGUUAGACCCAUGGUUAUGAGAACCUCAGGCAUAGAUGUGAUAUUGGUUUUGGAUUGGAUGAAGAAAUAUGCUACGAAAAUUAAGUGCAAAGAGAAAGUAGUAGUUGUGACAACACCUAAGGGAGAGAGAAUCAGUGUGGAUGUAGCAGUGCAGGCUCCACCCACAGCUACAGUGAAUCAGCUGGAUGAUGGUGUUGAUCUUCAGGACUGUGUAGAGAAUAAAUUUUUAGAUAAGUUACCAGGUAUGUUACUUGACUAGAGACAUGAAUUUGCUAGUGCAAUGGAAUCGGUUGUUAGAGGCAGAAGCAACUUGGGAAAGAGAUGAUGAUCUGAGGAAAUCAUACUCAUACUUGUUUGAGUAAACACCUUUCAAUCUCGAGGACGAGAUUCUUUUAAGGGGGGUAGAGUUUGUAACACCCAAAAUUUGAUUUUCAAAUAAUAGGAUUUAAUUUGAUUUAUUUAAGUAUUUUUGUGAGCAUUUAAUCUAGAAAAUAAGUAAUUUUUGGUGGAAAAUAAAAUUUAUCAUAAGUUUAGAAACUUGAAUUUUGCAUUUCAUGCUGGAGCAUAUUUAAUUCUGUGUUGUUGCCCUUCUUGUUUGAAUUCAUUUGAUUCAAAUUUCAUUUGAAAAAUGCUUUAGAAAAAGGAACAAAAGAAAAAAAAGAAAAGGGGAAGGACCCCAGCCGAACCCCAGCUUCCCCCCUCCUGCGCGCGGCCCAUUUCUCUCCCCCGGCCCAGUUUCCUUUCCCCCCCGCGCGGCCCAGGCGCGCGCCUCCCCCCUUCUCCCAUCCGCUGACUGUCGAACCCCACCUCUUCUUUCACCGCCAGCCGGGACCCGCAUGUCAGCGCACUGUUUAUCCCCUUCCUUUCUUCUUCACUUAACCGAGCCGGCUUCUCUCCCUCACCGAUUUGGAAACAAACCUCCAAUCUCGGGAUUCCUUGCCAAAUCACGCGCAACUGAGCCCUAUAAAGCUCUCUAUCCACCACGUAUCCCUAUUUUCGCAUCCAAAUCGCCCUAAUACACCCUACCUUCGCUGUUUGGAUCUUGCCGUGAGCCACGCGAAGCUGCCGCCGUGACGCGACCUCCCCACCCUCUUUCGGCUCGAGUAAACAAUCUAGGUGGGUUCUCCUCCUCCCCCUCGACCCCCCGGUGCUUUUCCUUCAAGAAACGGUGUUCGGAAUCGGCCAAGCAGCGAGCUCCCGCGAGCUCGGUCUCCCCGGCCAUGGCGCCACCGCGCCGGAGGCCAGAGAGCCAGCCGGCCCGCCGCCUGGUGACCCCUGGAGAAAUCUCGGCCGUCGGAUGGAGAUCACAUGGCCCGCAAAUGAAGAUAGCCCUUCGUUGGAAAUCUUUCUAAAGAGUCCCUGUGUUCUUUUGCAAUUUAACCCGCGGUCCUUUACGUACUUUCCCGUUUACGCUUUCCAGUUUUAAAAGCGUAAUCCUGUCCGGUUCAAUUCAAUUUACGCUUUCGAUUAUUUACAGUUUUGCCAUCAAUUUUAUAAUGCUCAUAAAAUACUCAUUUUAACUACGUUUUUGUCCAUUCAAAUUUCGUUAGAUUCGUAUUUACGAGCUCUACAUGUUAGAAGUAUUUAUUCUCUGUAUUGAAACUUUUUAAUUCUGCAGUAGCAUUUAAUUAAUUAUUUCUCUAUAGGAAAUCUUAGAAAAUUCAUAACUUCUACGUUUUAAUUCCGAUUUUCGUGAACUUUAUGUUUGUGUGAUCGUAGCGCUGCGUAGAAUAUUUUCAUAAACUUUAUCUUUGAUUUCUCACUGUGGGUGUAAUGUUCUAAUUAUAGCUUGUUUGCUUUCUGUAUGAUUGACUACAUUGGAUUGCGUGUUGUUGACUGAUGUUUGGGAAUAGACGGUGAGCCGUACGUUGGUGAUCAAGACCAAGCUUUCGAAGACCAGCAGGCUCAAGAGAGCUUUGAUCAAGGCAAGUAUAACUUGGAAUCAUCCUUGUUGCCUAUUCACUUAUAACUACACAUAUAUGUCAUAUGCAUGCUAUCACCUUGUCGACCUUAGCAAAAUCAUAGAUGAUUGUUACCUGGAUUCCUUGCUACCUACUUGAUAUGCAUUUGUUGUAGAUGUGCUAGUGCUUGAUAUAAUCCAUGAUCUUGUAAGAUGAUUAAUAGCUAUGCAAUGAACAUAAAAGAAUGACAAAUAACUGUAUGAGAUCUUGUCUGUAAGUGACCACCGGGACAACAGUGCAACCAUGAGGGCUAUAGUGGCUCUGGCUUUAGCUCAGUAUGAAGACCUUUUCUAGCUUGUUAGAGGUUACCCGAAAGGGCGGAGGGGCUGAACCAUUUUGGGUAUAGUGCGAGCCCCUGUCCCUAUGUGUAUAGGCUGCGCGUCAUUGUCCCAUUCGGAAGGGGGGUAUCUAUAUCUGCGUGCAAAUGAAACCUUGCGGCCCUAACAGGUUAGACAAACUUUUGAAAGGCUUCAUAGUGAUCCCUGCCGACCUCCCUAGGAAGGGGGUUAAGAUAUUAGCUACCUUGGGCGAAAGGGUAAAUCAUGACUCAUGGGUAAAGAUGUACAACCUCUGCAGAGUGUUAAAACUGGUAUACUAGCCGUGCUCACGGUUAUGAGCGGCCUUGGGGGUUCUUGCUGCGCGGACGAUGAGCUUAUUAAGUUGUUAUGUCCAUUUGAUUAUCGUUUAUGCUAUGGAUUAAUUAUGCUUACACUUGAUCAUGUGAUUAAUGGAUUAUUUAUGCUACCUUGACAUUUGCUAUUUAAUUAUGAAUAUUCUAUCCACUAUUAAAAGCAAAAUGCAGUCAAACCAGUGUCAGCUUUUUGAGCCUCAUGAACCCCUGAUUAUACUUGUUGAGUACGAUAUGUGCUCACUCUUGCAAUUUCCCAACACCCCAGGUUGUGCUAAUGAAGAUGACUGGAAUGAGGAUUACCGUUAUGGGUACUAGGUUUGGAGUCAACCAGUCAACAGUGUCCCUGUGUGGAGCUUCCGUCGAGAGCGUUAUUUACUUUAUGCUAUCAUUUUUGUAUGAGACUGUGUGAUAUCUUAUAUUCCGCUAUGUAAUAAACACUGCAAUGGUACAUUUGAGAUUUGUCUACUUAUGUGUGCGACUCUUUCUAGGGCACAUAUGACAAGCUCCUAAGGGUCUACACAGCUUGACCACACUCAAUGCUCAUAAGCAGCAAAAAGUAAAUGUGUGGCUUAAAGUCUAGCAAGCAUGUAUAUAUGGCUGUGGUAGGAAUUUAAACUCUCAUCAUAGAGGAACUCAUCAUGUGUUAUUUUAAAUAUUUUCAAAGAUAAAAUUCUCCAGAUUUCUAGCAUAUCUAGGAAUAGAUAAACAGCAGCUCAACCUUCCCAUAUCAUAUCCGUUAACAACUUAGACUUUAGAUCAAGUGCUCUUCCCACAAGUUCAAGUUUAGAGCAGGUUUAAAUUAUAACAGUUAUGCCUAAACUUGAGAGAGAGCACAAACUUGAAAACUAGGUACAUGGCAAAGCAACUAUUUAUCAUUUCCAUAUGAGAGCUUAUCAUGAGGGUUGAUAGCAAACUUUAUUUAUUUAUUUAUUUAGCAAACUAAGCAAAGAUAUAUAUAUAAGCACAAAAUCUUUAUUUGGGUUUUUUAUGAUUAUGAAAUUUUUUAUUAUUUGAGUAAAGUAUAAACGCGAGUAGAAACACUUAGCUGGAUAAAUGGGGGUGCUCUCCCCCAAGCUGGAUUUUGACGUAAUUUCUUCUGAUAUAGCUAGCAGGUGGUGGAGGUGUAUUUGAAUGUCGGCAGCACCCUGACAGCGAUUACUAUGUCCUCCGUCUACUAGUCUUCUUUGAUCCUUGAAUUCUGUGGAGCUCAAAUAGACAACAAAGCUUUGUGGAACUGGUUAAGUGUUAGCAUAAAUAUCUAGCCUUUAUCAUGUUGAGCCUCCUUAAUAAAUGUUAUUUAUUUAGCACGAUCAUGCACUUAUUAUUUUUAUAUUUUUAUUGUAAGAUGAAAACAUAUUUAUUUUAUGCCACCACAGUCAAUAUACCUAUGGGUUUUUAAACCACAAGUCUACUCACAUGGGGCAUACUAUUUUUAACAUUUUUAUUUUCUUUUCAAGAUAGCAUGAACCUGAUUAACUAAGCAAACUAUUGAAAGGAAAAGGAUAACUACCAAGUUUACCUCUUGGCAAGGCGUUCAGUGUUUUAAGUCCUCCGAAUGGGACUCUCCGUUUUCUCAGUCGUCCUGGGAUUCGCUGGAUAGCGUAGUCGGUGGUUCCGGUGGCGCCUCCUCUUCGUGUAUAACUAUCUUCUCUCUCCACACCUGACUCGGUGCUACGGUCUCCUUAGGACAAUCCUGUUCAAGAUGUAUAUCUUCAGACCUUACCACUUCUCCUUCGUAGUCUGCCCAUCCGUCCUUGAUGAUUUGCCUCCUCUGGUUGCGGUUGCGUCGUCUUCUUCUUGUCCUCACUUGCUUAGAGUCUUCAACUAUAUAGUUAGGGUCAGUAAAAUAGUGGCGUACCUUCUCGGAGGGGAAGUGCAUGUGGACUUCUCCAGUUCCAAUGUAGAUGAUAACUUUGAUAGUGUUGAGGAACGGUCUUCCAAGGAUGAUGGGUGGAUCCUACUCGUCUUCUCCCAUGUCAAUGACCUGAAAAUCAUCUGGAGCUGAAUGUAUAUUGGUUGUAGGGGCAUGGUUCCAUGCAGGAGCUGAUAAGUGACUGCGGCCAUUAUGUUGACGUCAGAUCCGGUGUCGUAGAGUGUCUUCUGAAAAGAGUAUCCGUUGAUUGUGCACUCGAUGCUUGGAACACCAGGGUCACCCUUCUUGAUCAGGAAAGGUUACUUGAGUUGACGAUCUUGACCUCCUCUGACAAGGAUCUAAUGUUUUAAGUCUUCUGGACAAGACUUUUCACCGUCUUCAUCCUUUAGGUGCAUCAUUUGAUUAGUUGUGGACCUUGACGUCUGCACCUCUUGAUACGGAGUCACCCAUGUUCUUCGUUUGCCUAGCAGUUCGAAGUGUCGUGUUGGCAAUAUCCUGCUCAUUGUGUUUGUGCUCGUAGAUCCAGGUCCUUCACUUGGUGGAGUCUAGGAGUUGUAAAACUUCUCCAUGUUUUGCUUGAAGUGUACCUGUUCAUAGAGACAAGGCAGAGAUCAAGUGCAUGGGCCCUGUUGGUGGAAAACACCAACAGAACCAAAAGUGUAUUUGUUCUUCUCUAACCUUAAGCGUAGUGAGCAAGACAAAGUUGAUGGAUCAUGAGUGUAGCAUUUGAAACAUUUGUCAGAUCAGAUGGCUCAACCUAAUUGAAAGAUAAUCUAUCUAUAUUUAUGUUUUGUUUAUAUCUUCCAAAGAUUGAAUGUGCAACAUUUUAGCUUAUAUGAUUAGGAGUGUGGGAUCACGAAGGUAGUACUUAAGAACAAAGAUUAAAGGACUAACAUGUUGAAUUAACUGGGUUGGUUAAUUUAUGUUUGUCUCUUUAUUCAUCUGUAUGCCAGAACCAAGGAGAAGCUUAUAAAAGUGAUAGUCAAGUACCUUAAGGUGUUACCUUACUUGAAGAGUGAUGGUAUAGUAUCACCUUGUGGAAGCUUUCCUUUCUUAGCGGUUGUGCAUCGUGUUUGUGGCAUUCUUUGUCUCGUUCCAUGGAUCAUCUCUCUAUGACGAAUGAGCUAUGUCUUCCUUGUGCAAAUUGUUAAACUUCAUGUGUCUCCUUUAUCUCCAAUAUGUUUGUAUAUCAGGACUUCCCAGGUUGAUAUUGAAAGUUUUCCUGCAGGGGUUAGUCCGACAACAUAUACCAGUGCCUACUCAAGCAGUUUUUAGUUCAGUUACCAAACUAGACUCCAUGUCUAAUCAGAUUAAGGAAGGCUAUUUAACCUAAGCACCACGCUUAAUUUAAAAGCCAAUAGAAGUAUGUACAGUACUUCCAAACUAACACUUACUAAGAUAAACAUAGGUAGCAUGAUGGCUUUUAUAGAGAUCUACUCAAGUGGAGAUGAAGUAGUGUGGUUAGUAUUUAACAAAUUGAGCAUGUCUCAAAGGUAAGGACAACCAACAUAGCAACAUGGCAAAAGAUGUUUUUAUGUAAAGUACUCCCCCAAGCUUGAAUUUUGCAAAAUUCAAGAUUGGAUGAAUUUAAUUCAAUGUUGUGUGAUGGUUGGUUGGACAUACCUUGUGCUUGUCAUUCAUCCGAUCUUCUUGCUCCAAUCCUAGAAAGGUUAGUGACAAGAAUACCUGAAGGAAUAUUUAUACAAUUAUCUUUAUAUGCUCAAUACACAAGGAAAUGUUGCAAAUAAUUAAAAGUUUAUGUUACAAUCUGAUCAGUGCUUGUUUUAGGACACUAAGCUUGUCCUUGGGAAACCAUCAAUUUAUGUCAGCGAAGUGGUUUCCCUUCCAACGCUGACCUAUAUCAAGAUCAACUGAACGAGAUCUACAAUAUUUAUUAUAGGCACAUGCAUCGACAACCUCCCUUUUAAAGUUUUUAUAAAUAGAAAGGAAGAGGGGGUUGGAGAUCUCAAAUGUGGUGAUGUUGGAGAGACCAAUUGAUUGGGGAGAUGUUUUAUAUGAGCAAAGACUUGGUGAGGUAUUUAUGAAAUAACUUCCAUGCUCACUGUUGUUUCUCUCAUUCUCAAACUCCAAGGAUGAUUCUUCAUGAAUGCUUAAAAUUCCUCUAGGAUUGUCUCUCAAGUUUUUUUUAUCUAUCCAUUCAAUGGUGAUAGCAUAUGGAUUUUUAAUGCCCUCUAGCCAUUGAUGUUGCUCUUCUCGAUCCUCCUUGUGGUCUUGGUGACUCUUAUGCAUGGGAUGUCUAGAGAGAUUCAUAGGAUUAUCGGAAGGUUCAAGAGAAAGAGCAUAGUAGAAAUUAUUAGGCUCAAGGAUGGGUUGGAUAGCUGAAUCAUGGGAUUGGAAUGUUUGGAAAUCAGCUAUUGAAACUUUCUUUCCUCGUUUGGGAGAUGAUUCCUUCUCUAUCUCUAAGAUUUUUCUAUGAAGACUAGUACAAGAAGGAUGUCCACGAAUGAAGUCAUACCUUGGUUUACUAACAGAUAAAGAAAAAAAACUCUACCAAAGGUUAUAUGAUUAAGACCAGUGUGAAAAUAUCGAGAAAAACCAUGGUCUUGUAGGGCUAGGUCUAAACCAGAAUUUAUAGAAAGAUUAAAAGAUUCCCUAAGUGUAGCUAAAAGUUCAUUAUCUUCUUGAUUAAAAGAUAGGACCUCUGCUAUAGAAAAGGGUUGGUUUUGACCUAUUGCAAUCAACUCCGGAUAUAGAUCAUAACUAGGGGUAGGACUUGUUGACUCCCAUGGUCAAUGGCGGGUCUCCGAAGUUGCAAGGAAUUCAACAGUAGGUAUGGAAUUUGAGUUAUCCACAAAGAUGGAAAAAAUAAAAAGAUAAAAGAAUAAAAGUAUAAAAGUAUAAUACAAGAUAAUAGCAAGACUUAAAGUUAUCUCAGCAAACCGUCUUUCUCCCCGGCAACGGCGCCAGAAAUGCUUGUUGAUAUUUGGUAACACAAUAAGGAAAUGAUCCGCAAGCGCACGGAUAUCGGUGAGCAUUUCACCCGGGAGGUUAUCUAGAGUAUCGUAUUUAUAUUUUUACCACUGGGAGAAAGCGUGCAUCUGACUAACCAAAUCUAUUGCUACUACCCUUUAGGCUACAAAGAAUGUUUCUCGAUGUGAGCGAUGUAUAGAGGAGACUGCAACCGUAGUCUCGUUCUAACCUUGGUAAGGAUGAUCUACUAAUUGGAGAGGCUCACGGAAUCUAGACACCACAGAGGAUGUUCAACCCGCACCUAUAAACCCUAUCCUUCCUACUAACGAGAUAUGGUUUGCAAAGGUAACUCGGAAAUGUCACGUUCCUUGCUACUACCACGGUCCAGCUAGUCAGGGGAUAUCUAUGAGUACCCUAGCCCAAACACCACGUUUACGCUAGCAAUGAUUACUCUAAACUCAACCAGAAGAGAUUAAAGUAAACUCAUAAACCAAAGAACAAUAAAACAAGAACUUACUAGAAUUAGAAGUCGAAUUACUGAAGAAUCCUAGGAGCAAGCCUCGGGUUAGAAGACUUGAGCCCGCAGGUACAACCUCGGAGUAGACACCGACAGGCCGGGCUUCCUCUGAUCUACACCUCCACUCUAUCUCUCUCAAUCUAGUAGAAACUAGAAGAUCUAAUUCUACUCACAUUGGAUGCUAAGCCUAAAAGAAAUUUUAUUUAGAGGAGAGGUAUUCCUUCAAGGGCUCCUCUCAACUCUAUGAUGAACUUGUCUCCUCCAGGGGCCAGGGGGUCUGGUUUUAUAGUCCCCUCAAGUGAACGUGAGCCGUUGGAUCAAACCGACAUUGAUUAGACGGUUAUCCUUGAUCCUUUAGGUCGGUGGAGCUUGGUCCCCGAGAAGAGUUCUGGUUGGACUCUGGGACAGGGCGGGCGCCCAAGGGGGGAGGGCGGGCGCCCUGCCUCCGGGCCCGUUCGCCUUCCCGUUCGUUCCCGUGGCUUCUAGAGUCUUCUAGAUUACAGAAAAUUGCGCGGCACGUUAAUAUCUCUAUGUAAACCCGAUGUGUGGGCCUUUCUUCCAUAUUUCUUGAUAACCCCCUGCAGAAAUAGACAAACACCAAAACUCGUGGAAUUCUGUCAUAUAAAACCCUAAGUCUGGGUGUUGGUUGCAUUUGGAUCCUUUUCUUUAUUUAUUUGAUGAUUAUAUUUGGUACUUAAGGACCGUCAACAAUGGAUACCGUUGUAGCUUUCACCCAGAGGUUUUAAAUAUCAUAUCCAUAGGGAAACGUGUGAAACUAACUACGAUCUAACUCAACAAAAGGAGUGAUAACUAGGUGGAGAUGGAUGAUAACUAAGAGUAGCAACAAGGUUAGGAUAAAUAGGAGCAUAAAAAGGAUAACUAUGGAUCCUCUACUUCUAACUUAGGUAAACUAUAUUUUCUAUUGUCCAACUUUGGCGGAUGUCUUAUAAUUAAAGAACAUAUGAAAUUUCUUCUCUACAAGCACCAUAAAACCUGUCAAUCGUAUUAAUGGAAUAGUGGACUACAGAGGACUCAACGGGUCUAUCACACCCGUGAUCUACCAUAGAACUCCAAAAAAUAGGGGACCUUUAUGAUUAACCUAAGCCCAAGCACCACACAUACACCUAACCUUAAUACUCUACUCUCUUUAGUUGCACAAAUAAAGCACUCAAAAGAGUCACAAACAAUUGAACAAUAUAGACAAAGUAAACUUAGAUCAAAAGUUGAUUACUAGAGAAUCUCAAAGAAAAGCUCAAGUACAACUUGGAUCCACUGAAGUAGAGGUUGUAGAGGGAGCACCUACAGGCCAGCACAUCCUCUAAACUCUUCCCUCACUCUUUAUCUCUCUAUUUCUAUUCAUAAGACUAGAUCCUAUGAAGAUCUAAUCUUCUCUUGAUGGCUAACUCUAGGAGGUAGAUCCAUUCAUGGGACCCCUCUCUUGAUCCUAAUAGACGAAUAUGAAUUAGGGUUUUGGGACUGCUCUAGGGAGGGGGACACGGGUCUGAUUAUAUAGCCCGGUGGGAUGAACGUGAGGUCUUGGAUCAAACCAACUUUGAAACAUGGUGGAGAUGCAUCGUAGGAGGUGGUGGAGGAAGCUUUUGGAAGCAGGAUGCGAGACGGUGCAGGGAUAGGCUGGCCGACUCUUGGGUGGGACCGACUGGCCCCACUUUGGGCUCUUUCGGGGCUCGCAUUUGCAUGGUGUCUUCUUGAUCCUUCUAGAGUCUUCUCUCAUAAUUUUCAUAAAUUAAAUCGGUUGGUUUAUUUGACGAAUAGAUCCUCCUUGAUUGUUUUUCAGAAAAAUCCUAUAGAAAAUAAUAAUUCACCAAAACAAACCCUAAACUUAUGUAGAUUCAUUCUAUUGUAUCAUUUAUCAUGUUUAUUCAAUUAUAAAUUGUUGACAUUAUCCACCGACAACAUCUAUGUCACACUUCCUUUCUUCAUUACUCUUACGCACAUCUAGAGUCGAGAGAUAAUUUGUAACUUAGUGCUUAGAAUCCAUAUGAAUCGAUCAUCUUUGUAACUUAGUACUCAAAAUCCAUAUCAAUCAAUCAUCUUAGUCAUACGCUUUCCUUGAACAUAUAAAUAUGGUGCCUAUACUCCUAAGUGAAGUGAUGCAUCGAUUUUAUUAUCUUGGGGAAUUAUCAUUUUGAGAAUAAGACAUACCAACAUCUUGACCUUUCAGAGGCAUAGGCUUGUCAUGGCUCGUAGACGUAGUGGCUACUCCACCCCCUUUGAUACGCUGUUGCACCUUUUGUAGAUCCCACGAUGGUGCUAGAACAGUAUUUGUGUGGUGAUUAUAUUAAAAUGUGUUUAUAGAUUAUGAUGCUAACAUUAGCCUAGUCAAAGAAAGGGGUACCUCUUUCUUGAAAAGCUCUUUGUUAUCGUAUAUAAGUUUUAUUCUAAGGUCUUUGUUAUCUAUCAUGUAUGUAAUUUUAUUUUAAGGUCCUCAAAAUGAUUCUAUGUCUAAAAGUUUGGAUGGACAUAUCUAAAAGUAAGACAUAAAUGGCUACAAAACCUAACCUUGUGAUCUGGACCUAUAGAAGAUGUGGUCAUAGUUGGGACUGCCUUGCUUCUUCACCUUGAACUUCAACAAUGUGUGGCGCCCACACUUGUUGCACUCAGUGAGAGGGAACUACAGCCUCAAUCGCUAACCAUUGGAGGCAAAUGGCCUGGACAGGUACGCCAUCUAUGGCAAGGAACACUAACUGGGUCUCCCUUUGAAUCCACGAUGACAAGGGUGACAGCUGCCUUGCUUCAUUGUGAUAAGGUGAUAAGGAUGAGAGAUUGAGGAUAAAUUGGUCAACAUCGUACACAUUGGCAAAAAUAAAAGGCAUAGACUGGUUGUAUGUCACACCCAAUUUCAAGGAAGAAAUUGAAUGCAUAAACUUAUGUGUGCCCAGGGAUCAAUCACACACAUAAAUUACAAAUUAAAUAUUAUCUUCGUAGUGUUUACAUCAAAUGUAGUCAUAACAACAUAAAGUGUGGUACAACAAAGGAAUAUAAAUAAGAUAAAUCUAAGAUAACUCUCUCUUGGCCCCCACACACUGAAGGUCGACUGAUGAAGCACAAGCCUAAUAAUCCUCCACGUAGUCCUCAUAGCUACCAUCAUCUAUUACCCAUCCGGGAUUUUUAUCCACAAAGAAGUAUAAACAAGCGUGAGUACAUCUCGUACUCCAUAAGCAUAGCAUGAGGAUUCAUGAUGCUCAAAAAGGCUAAACUAGGUUUACUACAUCAGCAUUUUAGUAGGUCAGUAUUUUAACAUUAAUUAUUAUUAAGUUACGCUUAAGCUCCGAAUUAACCCAUAUGAUCAGUUGUUAGAACCAUAGUAAAUCUGUUGAUGCAAAAGCUGAUCUGCAAACACAAAGGGCUAAUACCCGGUUUAAAUGUUAAGGCGUGCGAGCCGAUUUGACCUUACUAUCGGCAAAGGUGAUAACUCGAAUACUUUGGUCCCGACAACAGCGAUGCGCUCCGAUGCCACGGCCAAGAGGUAUUCACGCGGAACUCGAGAAUACGCCGAGCUUAAGUCGACGAACUUCUAAGAACUCGUAAUGAAAAGGAAAAUAUGACGAAGUCAUCGAAAAAGUAGAUGCUGGAAUAUGAGUAAAAACUUGUGUUUGAUUGAUUGAUAGAUUGUCCCAUUACAAGGCCCCAGGGUCUACAUUUAUACCCUGCUUAAAGAGCUGUAAUCAGACACGACUAGGACUCGAAUUCCAAAUUAAACAGAAUCCGUAUACAAAACUAUUUAAAUAACUAAGGAAAGCACAAAACUAUCCUCCCGUGACAAACUGGGACACCACCAUGGACCAAUCGGGAACCUUCACGUUCUCCUUCCGAGUCAUCAGCAGACUCCUCAUCACAGCCAUCGGCAAAGGCUAAUGCUGAUCAUCAGCAUGAACGCGUCACCACUUAUGGACUUAGCCAUAUUCAGCUGUCUCUUCAUCCGCAACCACCUUCAUCGGCAACUCCCCUGCAAACCAUUUACUGUUGUCCUAUCUUGCCGAUCUGUACUCUACCGAUUCCUGGGUACGUGUCCAAAAACGGUGUCAACACAUGCCCCCCAAUUUCGGAGUAUAAAAUCAUUAAUGCUCCCAAAUUCUCUGCAGUAAUGAUGCCUUUCCGCAAUUAAUCCUCUCAAUUUGGUAACCGACCGUUGAAGCCGAACAACUCUGGCCCGAUUCUUCCGCAGAUUCCUCGAAUUCCUCAACCUCCCAAACUGGACAUCUCCACUUUAUUCGCCCAUUGGCAAUAUUACCAUUAGAGGGAGCUGCCGAUGGACCGACCAGGAAAUCCCGCACAUUGAAAUAUCUCCAGAUUAUGGAUGCUUCCUGUCAAAUCACCUGCGCAAUCCCUUGAUUACCGUGCGAACAGUUACCAUAUCCACCUGAGUAUCCUCGGAUUUCACGGAUACGGCAAAGAGAUAAGUCAAAUUUGCCCUUUGCCCGUUUUGUCCUAUAAAUAGUUCCUUCUCGGGUACUCCUUCUCCAUCGCAUCAUUCUACAGCCCAACUCUGCUUUUCUGGCGGCGGCACUGUUCGAGAGCUCCAAAAACUCCAACAAGAACCUCCUCCAACAACCCCAAGUUCUCAAUCUUCUCUCCUGCGAGGAGAUGGCCAUCAACUUCGUCGUUCCUGAGGUCAGCGUACUGCUCUUUUUCCUGCACUUUCAUUGUAUCCCCGUUUAUCCGCAGUCUAUCUUACCGAAUUCUUUUUUCUUUUUGUUCUUCUUUUCGCUCCCAAAAAUUUCUAGGAUUUGGCCAAUAAAAUCGUUAUUCCUACCGAUCAACCCCACCUUCAAUGCCUUGGUCCACUAGGAAACUUGGAUCCCACCGAUCUUAUAAAUGCGGAGACAAACAGAAUCCCUUUUAGAGCCGAGAAUUUCUCUUUAGAUCUAUGGAAGGAUGCUUUUUGUUCCUAGCCCAAUCCUAUCAAGGGAUGGAAGGAUUGGUUCCUGAGAGUCAGUAACUCAAAUGAGGUCCAAUGGGGUGAACGGAAACUGGAUCAAUGCAUUAGAUUGUCUCUUGCCGAUAUGGAGAGAAACGAGUCGCUAGUGAUAGCUGCCUCAUACUUUUGGUCAGACACACUUAACGCUUUUGUUUUUGGCCAUGGCCCUCCUUCCCCCACUCUUACCGAUGUGCCUAUGCUCACUGGCUUAGAUGUAUCCACUGCUGAUAGUAGUCACAUAUUUGACACCCAACCUAGCGCUAAGGUGGAAACUCGCUCUAUCGGUGGCUGGUCUGGGUACAUUCAGAAGUACCGUAAAACAGGGCCUGUCGACAUAAAGGAACAGACCACCUUCCUAAACAUGUGGUUAGACAAAUUUGUAUUCUGCGGUCGAUCGGCAGGACCAACCUCCGUUUACCUAUCGGCAGCAGAGAGAUUAGCCAAUGGUGGCCGAUUUCCCCUCGGCCGAUACCUGCUUGGUUCUGCCUAUCAUCUUCACCACCAAGUAGCCCAGAAACUACUGCUUGGUCAACCCAUCGGCAACUUAGGGGGCCCUUGGUGGUUCAUCAACAUGUGGCUUAGCCUCCAUAUGCACAAGCGACUGGAAUUUGACCUCUUUGCACAGCGUUUCCCCAGGGAUAUAGCAGAGGAUCAUGAGUUAGAUGAAGAAGAAUCGGCAACCCGUCCUCCCUUAAACUGUGGUGAAGCCAUCACAGUUUUGCCUGGUAUUGGAGGCAAAGGAGAUCAACUCAGCCGAUUCUUUCAGACUCUUUACGAGGGUCUGAACAAAGAACAGCGAGAAUGGAUGCCUUAUGAAGACUCAGACACCAGAUUUCCUCUGACCUUUCACCCCUUCGACGAUGCUCUCAAUAAAGAUCAUGAUGUGAUGAUGGCUCUUAUCACUACCAGAGCUAUACCAGUAAACUUCUUUGGUAGUGGGAAAGCCUCCAACCAGACCUAUGAAUUCUACAACCCAUCGGCACUAGCCCGUCAGCUAGCUUUCGGUCAGCUGCCGAUUGCACUCUGUUAUGCCGAUGUGAUAAAACCCAGGGAAACCAUCACUAGUCUUCUCGAGUGGACCAGAAUAGCUCAACUGCCACCAAAUGCCGACACAGAUGCCGAUCUAUCAGAUUGGAUCCCGGCCCUCUUCAUUACUUAGGCAUACAAGCAAUGGUGGGAAGAAUGGAAAGAGCAUUUGUUCUGCAAAUCGGCUCUCACGUACCUCGGCAUGAUCGACCCCCAGUACAAAGUCCCUGAUAAUACUGUAAGUAUUUCUAAACCGAUGUUUCAAUCCUUUCACUUUUAUUUCCAUCGGUAACUCACUUUUUGUGUUAUAUUAUAGGUUGAUAACACACCCCCUUCGGUAAGCAGGAGUGGUAAGCCGAUUGAGCUCCUUCCAUCGGGUCCGAUUUCUUUGAUCGGCAACAACUCUCCAUCCCUGGCCGCUAUAAUGCAUCGGGGUGUACGUCUCAAGAAAGUCACUACCAAGCGGACGAAGGCAUCUCCGUCGGUAGCUGCCUCUACCUUAGCACAAGCCUUCAAGGUAAAUUUUCAAAUUCUUUUACCCAUACUGAUUCCAUUCUUACAUCUGUUACACUUGUACUCACAAAUUUUCAUUGUUGUAUUAGCAAACUGGCACAUCGGCAAAGACCAGAGGUGUGACUGCGAUGCCCCCCAGUCCAGCCAACCAAAGAGGAAAAGCUCCAAGAGUACCAGAACCCAGGCGAAGCGCCAGAGAACAGCAAUACCUUCUCCUCCCCCAGUGUCUCCAAUCCCAGUAGCAUCAUCCUCCUCUUCUCCAGAAAUCCAGACACAGCAGAUUCCAUCUCCUCCUCAGUCACAAGAAGAACUCCAACUGGAAGAGCUCCAGCCAGAGGUACCUCAGCCAGAAGAAAUACCGGCUGAUGUACACGAGCAGACCACCGAUUCAGCAAACCUAGUCACAGCAUCGGUAGUCUCCUCGAUUCAAACAAGCACUGCACCCCCUCCAGGUAACAUACUUUCCAUUUACUGCCGAUGAACCUGUUUUUCCACUUUAUUAAUCACUUCUGUCAAUCUUUCAGCUGACAAAGUUUCAUCGGCAAUCUCAGCCGAUCAGCCCAUGAUUCCAUCGGCGUCAUCCAGUCAGAGGCGAGAGAGGGCCUUGAAGCAAGUAAGUUACCUAAUCUCUAUCUGUAUUGUUUAUCAGUGCUUGAUCAUAGAAUAACUUAUUUUAUUUUCCUUUUCAGGAACAGGACUCUCCUGAUAGCUUGUUUUCUUUUGCCAUCGACAUCUCUGAGGAUGAAGGCGAGGAGGCAAGUUCUUCUCGAGCUAUCGGAAUCUCAUCGGCAGAAAUCGGAGCAAAGUUAGAAGAAUUGUCGGCCCUCCUUCAUCAAGACACGGCCCAAUUGGUUGACGAUUCCGAUCUAGCCAAGGCCUUGUUCAAGACUCUCAAUCGAAACUCUUGAACAAGAGCGAAACAUCCAGGCUCGUAAAGCACUGCAGAUGAAGAAGAAGCUGAAGCCGGUGGAGGGCUCUGCCGAUGAUGACAUGAAGGAGAUAGAAGAAGCCAACCAGAUCCGUCUACGCGCCAUAUCAAUGAUCUAGGCUUUGUUAAACAUCUGAAUUCUUCAUCGGCGGCAUAUUUGCCCUUUUCUUUUGAACACUCCUAAUAUUUUGCUCUAGCCGAUAGGACUGUUAUCGGCACCUUUUAAACGUUAAGUCCGGCCCCAGAUAUAGUUUAAUCCAGCCGAUAGGAAUGUUAUCGGCACUUAAUACUUUCAUGCAUCGACCCAUAUGCUCGGGUAAUAUUUCUUUAGAUAUUUGCCAUUUAAUGCCCUCGGAAAUUCAACUCCUUCGAGAGUUUCUAAGAUAUAGGCGUUGCCAGGAGCAGAUCGAUUUAUCCGAUAGGGACCCUCCCAAUUAGGAGACCACUUCCCAAAUUUUGAACUUUUAGUCCCGAUCGGUAAGACUAGCUUCCAUACUAAGUCUCCAUCGGCAAACUCCUUAGCUUUUACCUUCUUAUCAUACCAUCUAGCAACUCUCUUCUUAUUUUCUUCUAUACUCAUCAGAGCCCUUAGCCGAUGCCCUGCUAGAUCAUCCAACUCGUCUGUCAUCAAAGCAGCAUAAUCAUCGGCAGCCAAUUGAUCUUGAAAAGAUAGUCGCCUAGACCCAGUCUUAAUUUCCCAAGGUAACACUGCAUCAUGCCCAUACACCAACUGAUAAGGUGAAACUUUGGUCGACCCAUGACAAGCCAUCCGAUAUGACCAUAAAGCUUCAUUCAACAAUGUAUGCCACCUCCUAGGAUUUUCUUCAAUCUUCCGUUUAAUAAGCUUGAUGAUUCCUUUGUUAGAUGCCUCGGCCUGCCCAUUAGCUUGAGCAUAAUAAGGAGAAGAAUUUAAUACUUUAAUUCCCAUACCGAUUGCAAACUCAUCACUCCCCUGAUGUAAACAUAGUACCCUGAUCGGUAGUAAAUGUUUGAGGAAUUCCAAAUCGGUAUAUAAUAUGCUCUUUCACAAAAUCAAUCAUAUUGGCCGAUGUAACUUUCUUCAAAGGAAUAGCUUCAACCCAUUUGGUCAAAUAAUUAGUGGCAACCAAAAUAAACUUAUGUCCUUUGCUGGAUGGUGGAUAAAUCUGGCCGAUCAAGUCAAUAGCCCAUCCUCGGAACGGCCAAGGUUUAAUAAUGGGAUUCAUGGCCGAUGCGGGUGCCCUUUGAAUGUUGCCAAACUUCUGACAUCCUUGACACCCUUUGAAAUACUUAAAACAAUCCUCAAGUAUAGUCGGCCAAUAAUACCCAUUUCUUCUCAUCAUCCACUUCAUCUUAAAUGCCGACUGAUGUGCUCCACACACUCCCACAUGGAUCUCUCCCAUCAAACUUCUAGCCUCAUCAUUACCUAAGCACCUAAGAAGAAUUCCAUCAAUAGUCCGAUAAUAUAACUCAUCUUCAAGGAGCACAUACUUGGUAGCUUGAAACCGAACACGUCUCUCAACUUUCUUGGACGGGUCCUUUAAAUAAUCAAUGAUUUCUUUUCUCCAAUCAUCGGCACUGAUUGCCGAUACUGCGUUUAUCAUGGGCUGAUAUCCCGAGGCAUGCUGAGCCAACCGAUUGGCCUCAUCAUUAUGCAACCGAGGAACAUGCUCUAAUCAGAAAUCCUUGAAUUCCUUUAACAGUUGCAUACUCCUUUCGUGAUAAGUUAUCAGGACUUCGCUUCGGCACUCAUAGCUUCUAGCCAAUUGAUUUAUAACCAGCAUAGAAUCCCCGAAGAUUUCAACAGCAUCAGCAUGAACUUCCCUUAGUAAUUCCAACCCCUUUAUCAAAGCUUGAUACUCAGCUUGAUUAUUUGUUGACGUGGCAACAAUCGGCAAGGAGAACUCAUACUUCCUUCCCCGAGGGGAAAUUAACACUAUGCUGAUCCUUGCCCCCCGGUCACACAUGGAUCCAUCAAAGAAGAGCGUCCAAGGUACAAUUCCCAAAGUCUCCACUGUACCGCAAUGUUGAGUUACAAAAUCAGCCAUAAUCUGUCCCUUAACCGCUUUAGCCGAUUCGUAACGCAAAUCGAAUUUCGAUAGCGCCAAAAUCCACUUACCGAUCCUGCCACUCAUAAUCGGCAUAGACAGCAUAUAUCGGACCACGUCAUCUUUGCAUAUGACAGUGCAUUCAGCCGAUAACAAAUAGUGUCUCAACUUAAUACAUGAGAAAUAAAGACACAAACAUAACUUUUCAAUGGCCAAAUACCUGGUCUCAGCAUCAACCAAUCUCCUGCUUAAAUAGUAAAUCACACGUUCCUUCCCUUCAAAUUCUUGAAUUAAAGCCAAACCGAUGACCAUCCCAUCGGUAGACAAAUAUAACUUGAAGGGCUAUCCUUGUUGAGGUGGAAUUAGAACUGGAGGAUUUACCAAAUAAUUCUUGAUUUCAUCUAAGGCCAACUGUUGCUCUUUCCCCCAGACGAACUCUUGAUCGGCUUUCAUCUUAAGUAAAGGACUGAAAGCAUGAAUUUUACCAGACAAAUUAGAUAUAAACCUCCUGAUAAAAUUUACCUUGCCGAUCAAGGAUUGGAGUUCAGUCUUGUUGGUAGGAACAACUAUUUUGUUGAUAGCAUCAAUGGAUCUCCGGCUAAUUUCAAUCCCCCUUUGAUGCACCAUGAAACCAAGGAAUUGUCCUGCCGAUACACCAAAUGCACACUUAUUGGGAUUCAUCUUUAAACCAUGAUUCCUUGUGCAUUCUAACACCUUUCGCAAAUUGGCGAGAUGCUUUGUGAAGUCUCCAGACUUAACCACCACAUCAUUAAUAUAAAUUUCCACCAGUUUGCCGAUGAAUUCAUGAAAUAUAAAAUUCAUAGCCCUCUGAUAAGUAGCACCAGCAUUUUUCAAGCCAAAGGUGAUGACUAUCCAUUCAAACAACCCAACAUGACGAGGACAUCUAAAUGCAGUCUUUGGAAUAUCCUCUUCAGCCAUGAAUAUCUGAUUGUAUCCUGCAUUGCCAUCCAUAAAGCUGAUGAUCCGAUGUCUAGCCGCAGCAUCAACUAGUAGAUCGGCAACUGGCAUUGGAUAGCCAUCCAUCGGUGUAGCUUUAUUAAGAUUUCUGAAGUCAAUGCAGACCCGAAGCUUCCCAUUUUUCUUGUAAACCGGAACAACAUUGGAAAUCCACUCGGCAUACCGACACUGCCGAAUAAAUUUAGCUUCAAUAAGUUUGGUUAUUUCAGCCUUAAUAUCAGGAAGAAUAUUAGGAUUACAUCGGCAAGCUGGCUGUUGAUGUGGCCGAAAUCCAGACUUGAUAGGCAACCGAUGUUCAACAAUCGAUUGGUCCAAACCAGGCAUCUCAGUAUAAUCCCAAACAAAGCAAUCUUUAUAUUCUUUUAACAAAUCGGUUAAUUGCCGCUAACACUCACAUUAACUUAGCACUAAUAAAAGUCGGUCUAGGCUUAUCACCACUACCUAUAUCUACUUCUACCAAAUCAUCGGCCGAUGUGAAUCCCUGGCCCAAUUUUCCAUCAUCGGCGAACCUAUCCAUUAAAAACCUUCAUCAGAACCGACUGCUUGGAUCGGUGGAAUUUCAUAAUCGGCAACUUUGAGAAAAUCCUUCUCCCAAAUUUCUCCCGAGAUACACCUAGUCCUUUCAUAAGUGUCUGCUUCUGCCGAUGCAAUGACAUAAGAAGAAUCCCCCGGGACAAUCUCAAUCUUGUCACCUACCCACUGGACCAAGCACUGGUGCAUUGUAGACGGAUGCAACAAUUGGCAUGAAUCCAAUCUCUCCCUAACAGCAAGUUAUAAGCACCUUUUUCGCUGAUCACGAAGAAAGUUGUCAGCAAGGUUUUGCUACCGAUGGUCAACUCGACGCAUAUUGCCCACUUAACCGGAGACACGUUUCCCUCGAAAUCCUUUAACAUCAUAUCAGUCUUGGUCAAAUCUUGAUCCCCUUUUCCAAGCUUCCGAUAUACUGCAUACGGCAUGAUGUUGAUAGCGGCUCCACCAUCAAUUAAUAUCUUCGUCAUUGGCUGACCAUCAACCCUUCCUUUGACAAACAAAGCUUUAAGAUGCUGCCUUUCAUUGUCGGCAGGCUUUUCAAAGAUAGCCGUCAUCGGAUCUAGAGCCAACUGAGCUAUCUGGUCUGAAAACUCCAACUCCUCAUCAUCGCUGGACGGCGCAAGGAAUUCCAUCGGCAACAUAAAUACCAUGUUGACAUCUGCCGAUGGCCCUUUCCCCUUAGGAUCUAAUUGUUGCUGAUCCCCAGACUGGCCAGAGUUCUCGCCCUUGCUUAGCUCUUCUCAUCUUUCGCGCUGCAGUCUUCUUUUCUGUGUUUUAGUCAACCCCUCUGGACACCAGGGGGAAGUGGUGACUGCCUUUCCGAUGGACGACGAUGUUCCCUUGACUCCAUCCGAUAAGUGUUAGCGUCCCUGCAAAAUAUGAACUCAUCGGGAACCCGUGCAUUAGCCAUCUCCUCAAGCUCUUCCUAGUUACUGGGAAAAUAUUCAACACGAUCACCAAGUCUAUCGUGCACACUGAGCCUGCCCCCUAGUCGAUCAUGAACCGACGCUUUUCCCCUAAUCGGCCUAUUAAAUCACCGAUCAUCAUUAUGAUAGCGCCGGUCGUAUCUGUCAUACCGAUCACAACCGUUGCACUCAGGGCAAUCCCUAACAGUAGGCAACUUGAUGUUCUGCUCCCAGCAAUGGAUAAAGAAUGGGCAGUUCCAAUGAUCCUUGUGCCGAUUCCACUCCUGUCGGUGUCUUUCUUCUUCCUGAUGAUAGUUUUCUUGCUAGCGCCGAUACCGAUGCUCACGUUGCUGCCAAGUUUUCCGAGGCCUUCUGUGAGUUAUCAGAAUACCAGAUCGGGGAGGCCUUCCCGAGUUAAUCCCCUCCUGGAUCAAGCCUUUUCCUUUUGCAUUGGCAGUAGUAAUCUGAUGCUGAGGAUCCACCGAUGCACUUCUUUCAGCUGCUUCCGAUGUCAAGACCUUGGCCUUUCCCUUAGCAUCCAGCAUAUUUGUUGGGAAAGGAUGUUGAUCAAUCUUCAUCGGCUUCUGAGUUUUGGAGCUAUCAAAUUUGAUCCUCCCAGAUUCUGUAGCCGAUUCCAGCUGUUGUCUAAAAACUUUUGCACUGCAUUGGUGCUGUUAGAGGUUGCAUUAUGCCACUUGCAGUAUUUCAUCUUCUUUAACUCUUCAGCCGAUGGAAUCACAUGAUUGGGCGACAACUUGAUCUGGCCUUCCUAAAGUAGAAAGUCAAACAUCCUAUCGGCCUUGGUGAUAUCAAAUGCAAACUUCUCUGGCUCCUUAUGCCCGAAAGGACAAGACAUCGGCUUCUUAUUCUUUACCCAUUCUGCCAAGCCGAUGACUGGUUCUUCAUCAGAAUUUGAGCUUGCUGCCUCAUCAACAAAUGACACCUUUUUGUUCCAAGCCCUCUUAGGUUCAAAGGGCUUAAUAUCCUGGUCGGAAAUCCUCUGGACCAAGUGACUCAGGCUCUCGAACUCUUGAGAAGCAUAUUUGUCUCCGAUAUGUGGCAACAAACCUUGGAAAGCCAAAUCAGCUAGCUGCCGAUCAUCUAAAACCAGACUAUAGCAUUUAUUCUUGACCUCCCGCAACCUCUGCACAAAACUUUCAAUCGAUUCAUCAUUACGCUAUUUCAAUCUAACCAAAUCAGUUAUCUUCUUCUCAUGAACUCCAGAAAAGAAGUACUUGUGGAACUGCUUCUCUAGAUCGGCCCAAGUAAUCACCGAGUUGGGACGUAACGAAAUAAACCAGGUAAAAGCCGAUCUAGACAAAGACGAUGAAAACAAAUGAACCCUGUUUGUAGCUUCUCCACACUGGAUGAUGAACCUGUUGACAUGCUCCAUGGUUGACGUAUCAUCCUGCCCAGAAAAUAUAGUGAAAUCCGGUACCUUGUACCGAUUUGGAAGUGGAAUCAAAUCGUAUGCAGGAGGAUACGGUGUCCGAUAAGAGUAAGUGUUGACUUUGGGUUUUAUCCCAAAUUGGUCCCUCAUUACUUCAGCUAUCUUAUCGGCCCAAUAGGCAUCAGUAUCUUGUCGAUGGGGCGGUUGUGGAUCUGGUGCCUGCGGAUACACUUCCACAUGUCGAUGAGGCGCACGAUCUGCAUGGAACAUGGGGUUGAUUGUCUGACCACCAAACUGUUGACCAAGAUUCAUCGGCUGGUUGGGCAACCCUUGAUUGUGGAACCCGGGGUAGAUCUGGCCUUGCUGGAACCCUGAAGCUUGAUGAUUCUGUUGGGGCAUUUGUGGAAAGACUUGCUGCACAGGCCAUCCACUAUUGGCAUUCAUCGGUAUAGGUCCUGCCGAUGACUGGUAAUUGGGCAUCAUCAUUGAAUUGAUAUACCCUGGCUGAGUCAUAAACCUCUGCUGCGUCGGCAUUGAAUCUGCUGAUGCGUUAGGCAUCUAGAAUGUUGGAGCUUGAGAAUUCCCAGUGUAAGGUCUCGUAGUAGUAGUUGUAGUAUACUGGGGACUCUGGUUCAUCGGCAUAUUUGGAGGUGCCGAUGCCAUAGGAGCCUUGCCUCUCAUAUCAGCCGUUUGAGAUGUAUAGGUGUCUUCAACAUGAACUCUAGAGGCAUACCAAAACCCCACCAAUUAGGAGGAAUAGAUCCCAACAUUGCCGAUGCCAAUAGGUCUGUGGUGAGCUUGAUCGACUCAUCUGAUGUUGAUGUAUUGGCCGGCAUUGGCGUGGAUUAAGCGUUAGUGACUCCUAACGUGCUUGGAGGAACAGCUGUUUCUGCGCCCGCAGCGGCUGUCGCAGCCGAUGGAGCUGUGACAACUGGUGACCCCGGCUGAUGAUGAGAAGGACUGUUGGGUAUUUUAAACGCAAACAGAAAAAUCCGCAAGCGCACGGAUACCGAUGUAGCUUUCACCCGGGAGUAUUCCAGAGUAUCGAUUUUCCACAGAGAACGUGAGUGUACUAAUUAAGAUCCAAGAUCGCCCAAGGAUAACUAUAUAAGUAUUUUUGGUGGGAAGAGAGGAAGUUUCCUGAGAGUUCUCUAGUUGAUCUAAGAAUCAAGAAUUACUUCAAGAUUAUCUAUAUCGGGACAUCAGAGCACUAACCACAGAAAGAAAUGAGAAGGGGGCUAGGAAGGUCUGACUACGGUCCUACAAACACCGAUCCGAACGAGGUGGAAUACGUCGACCGUUAGGGUUGUCACUACCCUAAGGCUACCACAACAAUCCGCAGGAUUGGGUGCAAUUCCAGGUAAUCGCAAGACUAAACACCACGUCUAAUCUAUUAAUUACUACUCUAGCGUUAUAAAGACUAGAGCACUUGAUGCAAGCGGGAAUCCAAUAAAUAACUUGAAUGUAAAUAAAAGUAAUUAAAGAACUCAGGAAUUAUGAAUUGAAGAACUUGGAGAACGAUGAAGAACGAACCAGUUGCUGCAAAAGUAUAAUGUUGAGGAAGAUCCGACAGAUCCGGCUCCUCCUCCGCUCUCCUCUUCUCUCUCCCUAUUUUCUAGAUUACAACUAGAACUAACUAGAACUAGAACUAGAGGAACUAGAACUAGAACUAGAUGAACUAGAACUAGAUCUAGAUGAACUAGAGGUAGAACUAGAAGAACUAGAGGGAUCCUCUCUACUUGGAUGAAGAAUUGAAACCCUAGCUUUUCUGUAGAAGAGGUAUGAUCUCCAGGGGCCAGGGGGUCUAGUUUUAUAGUCCCUUCAAGUGAAUCUGGGCUGUUGGAUCAAACUGACAUUGAUUGAACGGUUAUUAUUGAUCCUUUAGGUCGGUGGAGCAAUAUCCUGAAAGAGAGUCCUGAUUGGACUCUGGCUGAGGGCGGGCGCCCUCAGAACUAGGGCGGGCGCCCUGUCCCUGAGGCCUCUCGUCUUCCGCUUUGUUCCCGUGGCUUCUGGAGUCUUCUAGAUGAUAGAAAAUUGCGCGGCACGUUAAUAUCUUUAUGUAAACCCGACGUGUGGGCCUUUCUUCCAUAAUUCCUGAUAACCCCCAGCAGAAAUAGACAAACACCAAAACUUGUGGAAUUUUGUCAGAUAAACCCCUAAGUCUAGGUGUUGGUUGCAUUUGGAUCCUUUUCUAUGAUUAAUUGAUGGUUAAUUGUGAGCAUUAAGGACCGUCAACAAGCUCCCCCAAGCUUAACCUUUGCUCGUCCCUGAGCAAAGAUGGACUCAAGAGUUUCUGCAGUGGUUUCAUGCCUUAAAGAUACACAUGUGUUCAAACAAGAUCUCAUCUCUAGGUUAGGGUAAACUGUUAAGAUUUAAACUUACUCAUUUUACCUUCCACCAUGGGGCUUGUAACCAUCACUUGUGUCUUGAGCAGUUAAAAGAUAGAACGGUCUAGUCAAGCACCUUGUCUCUUGUUCUUCGAUUAACUAUAGCUCUGGAGUUUUUGCAGAUUUUCAAAUAAAACUCAGAGAUUCCUUGUAUGACUCUCUCUAGUCUCUCUUUUGUGGUAUUUCUGGAUCCUUACCAAGGCAGUAAUGGUGUACGCCUUCUCUCAAAGUAUGUGGUAUUUGUGGUAUAAGGCAUAGUGACAUUGCCUUCUCUCUCACCCUACUCUAAUAAGGUUUUGAUAUAUGGAGCUCAUAGGUGGGAGACAGCUAAUACAUACUUACAAGACAUUUAUUGCAUAGUCAAACCAUGGAUCCAAAGUAACAAGUCAAUAAGUCAAAUCAAGAUGUGCAUGUGUGGCGAAUGAAUGGUGUAUGGUGAUGAUGGUGAUAACAAUGGUGAAAGUCUAAUUCUACUUGUGCUCUUUUGAGGGGAUACAUACCUUUCUUGCUCUUUUAAAACUUUUUGAGGAGAAUGAGAUGCUCUAUAUUUUUUUUCUUUUCUCUCAGGUGGGUAUCUUGUACCCCUAAUUCUACUAUCGAACACUUGUCCAUUUUUACCUCUCGUCUCACUUUUUCUUUUCUUUCGAGGUUCCGGGCACUUGCCCCUUUUUAUUUCCUCGUAUCUAUUUUUUUUUCUCUCUUUUUUUUUAUAUUAGAGCACUCAUCUCCUGAAAUAAUAUAGCAAGUGGUAGUAACCAAGAUAACUUGAGCAUUUAUUUCACAGGGGAAAACAGAAAUGUUUUUGGUUAUUCUCUCCCUGAUUAGGAGUAGAAUAUUUUUGGGUGGUUUUGGAGAUGGAAAUGGAUGGAUAUAUGUGGAUGCGUACUUCUAGAGUAGAAGCAGCAUGUAUGAGUGAACGUGCAAGUGAAUCUUGAUUUAACCACAUGACAAGCUCCUAAGGGUCUACACAGCUUGACCAUACUCAAUGCUCAUAAGCAGUAAAAAGUACAUGUGUGGUUCAUAGUCUAACAAGCAUGUAUAUAUGGCUGUGGUAGGAAUUUAAACUCUCAUCAUACAGGAACUCAUCAUGCAGCAUUUUAAAGAUUUUCAAAGAUAAAAUUCUCCAGAAUUCUAGCAUCUCUAGGAACAGACAAACAGCAGCUCAACCUUCCCAUAUCAUAUCCGUUAACGACUUAGACUUUAGAUCAAGUACUCUUCCCACAAGUUCAGGUUUAGAGCAAAUUUUAAUUCAUAACAGUCAUGCCUAAACUUGAGAGAGAUUUCAAUUUUUAGAACUAAUCAUGCCAGAGCAACUAUUCAUCAUUUCCAUGUGAGAGCUUAUCAUGAGGGUUCAUAGCAGACUUUAUUUAUUUAUUUAUUUAGCAAACUAAGCAAAGAUAUAUAUAAGCACAAAAUCUUUAUUUGGGUUUCUAUGAUUAUGCAUCUUUUUAUUAUUAGAGUAAAGUAUAACCAUGAAUAGAAACACUUAGCUGGAUAAAUGGGGGUGCUCUCCCCCAAGCUGGAUUUUGACGUAGUUUCUCCUGAUGUAGCUAGCAAGUGGUGGAGGUGUAUUUGAACGUCAGCAGCACCGUGACAGCGAUUAGGAUGUCCUCCGUCUGCUAGUCUUCUUUGAUCCUUGAAUUCUGUGGAGCUCAAAUAGACAACAAAGCUUUGUGGAACUAGUUAAGUGUUAGCAUAAAUAUCUAGCCUUUAUCAUGUUGAGCCUCCUCAAUAAAUGUUACUCUCUUUAGUAGGAUCAUAAAUUUAUUUUUAUAUUUUCAUUUUUAUAGGACAGGAAUAUAUUUAUUUUAUUUUUACGCCACCAUAGUGAAUGUACUUAUGUGUUUUAUGCCAUGAGCAUACUCACAUGGGGCUUACUAUUUUUAACAUUUUUAUUUUAUUUUCAAGAUGAUAUGAACCUGAUUAACUAAAAUAAUUGAAAGGAAAAAGAUAACUACCAAGUUUACCUCUUGGCAAGGCGUUCGGUGUUUUUAAGUCCUCCGAACGGGACUCUCCAUAUUCUCAGUCGUCCUGGGAUUCGCUGGAUGGCGUAGUCGGUGGUUCCGGCGGCGCCUGCUCUUCAUGUAUAACUAUCUUCUUUCUCCACACCUGACUCGGUGCUACGGUCUCCUCACGACAGUUCUGUUCAAGUUGUAUGUCUUCAGACCUUAUCACUUCUCCUUUGUAGUCUGACCAUCCGUCUUUGAUGAUUUGCCUCCUCUGGUUGCGGUUGCGUCGUCUUCUUCUUGUCCUGACCUGCUUAGAAUCUUCAACUAUAUAGUUAGGGUCAGUAAAAUGGCGGCGUACCUUCUCAGAGGUGAAGUGCAUGUGGACUUCUCUAGAUCCAAUGUAGAUGAUUGCUUUAACAGUGCUGAGGAACAGUCUCCCAAUGGUGAUGGGUGGAUUGUACUCGUCUUCUCCCAUGUCAAUAACCUUAAAAUCUUUCGGAAUGUCUGAUCUGCCAUCUGGAGCUGAAUGUAUGUCGGUUUUAGGGGCAUGGUUCCGAACAGGAGCUAAUAGGUGACUGGGUCGUCCUUUUUGGUUAGGAAUGGUGACUUAAGUCGCCGAUCUUGACCUCCUUAAACUGUAGUGACCAUCUUAGCUGACUUGGUCCACAUUUGCUUAUUCCUGUUGCUCCUGUUGGUCCUCUUCCUUGGUUCAUGUUGGGAUUGCUCUGAGAUUUGUGUAGUCUUGUUCUCGAUGAAAACGUCUCCUUCAUCCCCUUGAUGUAGAAACUAAUAUUGGCAGCACUAGCGUAGAUGACAGCUCCCGAGGUGUUCAGGAAUGGCCUCCCUAAGAUGGGUGCCCUCUCAUCAGUACCAGUCUCUAUCACCACAAAGUUUGCUGGGGCGUACAAGGUACCAACUCAGACGUAGAGGUUCUUCAAUAUUCUCUUUGGGAAACUUAGCGUACGAUCUGCAAGCUAAAAACACAUGGCUGUUUCUAAUAAAGGAUGUGUAAAGAAUUUUUCAUAGAGUACCCUAGGCAUAAUGUUGACGCUCGAGCCAAAGUCGCAAAAUGCUUCUAGGAAGUCCACCAUGUCGAUGGAGAUCGGGAUGACGCGGCGUCCUGGAUCGUCUCUCUUGACCGGCAGAAGGUCAGUAAUUACUUCCACAACGGGGUUACUCCAGUAGUUACGUCCUCAAGCAUCUCAGGGCAGUGAUUGCCUGAGUGUCCAGUAUCUCCAGUGUGUUUAUGCUCGUAGAUCUAGGUUCUUCACUUGGUGGAGUCUAGGAGUUGUAAAAGUCCUUCAUAUUUUGCUCAAAGUGUACCUGCUCAUAGAAAGAAGGCAGAGAUCAAGUGCAUGGGCCCUGUUGGUGGAAAACACCAACAGAACCAAAAGUGUAUUUGUUCUUCUCUAACCUUAAGCAUAGUGAGCAAGAUAAAGUUGAUGGAUAAUAAGAUCAUGAGUGUAGCAUUUAAAACAUUUGUCAGAUCAGAUCACUCAACCUAAUGGAAAGAUAAUCUAUCUAUACUUAUGUUUUUUUUAUAUAUAUAUCUUCCAAAGAUUGAGUGUGCAAUAUUUUAGCUCAUAAGAUUAGGAUUGUGGGAUCACAAAGGUGGAAGGACUAAACAUGUUGAACCGAUUGGGUUGGUUAAUCUAGAGUUGUAAAUCAUACAUGUUUGUCUCUUUUAUUCAUGUGAACGCCAGAACCAAGGAAAAGCUUAUAAAUGUGAUAGUCAAGUACCUUAAGAUGUUACCUUACUUGAAAAGUGAUGGUACAGUAUCACUUUGUGGAAGCUUUCCUUUCUUUGUGGCACCCUCCAUGGAUCAUCUCUUGUGAGCUAUGUCUUCCUUGUGUAAAUUGUUAAACUUCAUGUGUCUCUCUCUUUAUCUCCAAUGUGAGUUUAUCUCAGGACUUCCCAGGUCGAUAUUGAAAGUUUUCCUACAGGGGUUAGUCCAACAAAAUAUCCAAUACAUACUAUAGCAUACUAUCGGCUCAAAAAUCAACCUAGACACCAUGUCUAAUUUGAUUUAGGAGGGCAUUUUAACCUAAGCACCAUGCUUAAUUUAAAAUCCUUUGGAGGUAAGAUCAUCAUUCCUAAACUAAGCACCAUGCUUAAUUAAGAGAUAAAUGAAACUACUCCAAACCUAAACAUAUACUAAAGCAAAUAAAGGUAGCAUGAGAGCAUUUAUAGAGAUCUACUCAAGUGGAGAUGAAGUAGUGUGAUUAGUAUUUAACAAAUUGAGCAUGUCUCAAAGGUAGGGACAACCAACAUAGCAACAUGGCAAAGGAUGAUUUUAUGUAAAGUACUCCCCCAAGCUUGAAUUUUGCAAAAUUCAAGUUUGGAUGAAAUUAAUUCAAUGUUGUAUGACGAUUGGUUGGACAUACCUUGUGCUUGUCAUUCAUCCGAUCUUCUUGCUCCAAUCCUGGAAAGGUUAGUGACAAGAAUACCCGAAGGAAUAUUUUUACAAUUAUCCUUAUAUGCUCAACACACAAGGUAAUGAUGCAAAUAAUUAAAAGCUCAUGUUACAAUCUGAUCGGUGCUUGUUUUAGGACACUAAGCUUGUCCUUGGGAAACCAUCAAUGUAUGUCGGCGAAGUGGUUUCCCCUCCAACGCUGACCUAUAUCAAGAUCAACUCGACGAGAUCUACAAUAUUUAAUAUAGACAUAUGCAUCGACAACCGACCUUUUAAAGUUUUUAUAAAUAGAAAGGAUGAGGGGUUGGAGAUCUCGAAUGUGGUGAUGUUGGAGAGACCAAUGGAUUGUGAAGAUGUUGCAUAUGAGCAUGGAGUAAAUGAAGUGGCUAUGAAAUAAAUUCCAUGCUCAUUAAUGCUUAGAGUGAAAAUCCAUGUGGUGUGGUGAAAAUGGUAAGGUGAAUGUGGUAAAAAAAGGAAAAGAAAAAGGAUACACGGACGACUUGGUUCGAAACUAGCACAGCUACCGUUCCCCGGCAACGGCGCCAGAAAGCUUGUUGGGUAUUUUAAACGCAAACAGAAAAAUCCGCAAGCGCACGGAUACCGAUGUAGCUUUCACCCGGGAGUAUUCCAGAGUAUCGAUUUUCCACAGAGAACGUGAGUGUACUAAUUAGGAUCCAAGAUCGCCCAAGGAUAACUAUAUAAGUAUUUUUGGUGGGAAGAGAGGAAGUUUCCUGAGAGUUCUCUAGUUGAUCUAAGAAUCAAGAAUUACUUCAAGAUUAUCUAUAUCGGGACAUCAGAGCACUAACCACAGAAAGAGAUGAGAAGGGGGCUAGGAAGGUCUGACUACGGUCCUACAAACACCGAUCCGAACGAGGUGGAAUACGUCGACCGUUAGGGCUAUCACUACCCUAAGGCUACCACAACAAUCCGCAGGAUUGGGUGCAAUUCCAGGUAAUCGCAAGACUAAACACCACGUCUAAUCUAUUAAUUACUACUCUAGCGUUAUAAAGACUAGAGCACUUGAUGCAAGCGGGAAUCCAAUAAAUAACUUGAAUGUAAAUAAAAGUAAUUAAAGAACUUAGGAAUUAUGAAUUGAAGAACUUGGAGAACGAUGAAGAAUGAACCAGUUGCUGCAAAAGUAUAAUGUUGAGGAAGAUCCGACAGAUCCGGCUCCUCCUCCGCUCUCCUCUUCUCUCUCCCUAUUUUCUAGAUUACAACUAGAACUAACUAGAACUAGAACUAGAGGAACUAGAACUAGAACUAGAUGAACUAGAACUAGAUCUAGAUGAACUAGAGGUAGAACUAGAAGAACUAGAGGGAUCCUCUCUACUUGGAUGAAGAAUUGAAACCCUAGCUUUGAUUUUGUAGAAGAGGUAUGAUCUCCAGGGGCCAGGGGGUCUGGUUUUAUAGACCCUUCAAGUGAAUCUGGGCCGUCGGAUCAAACCGACAUUGAUUGAACGGUUAUUAUUGAUCCUUUAGGUUGGUGGAGCAAUAUCCCGAAAGAGAGUCCUGAUUGGACUCUGGCUGAGGGCGGGCGCCCUCAGGACUAGGGCGGGCGCCCUGUCCCUGAGGCCUCUCGUCUUCCGCUUUGUUCCUGUGGCUUCUGGAGUCUUCUAGAUGAUAGAAAAUUGCGCGGCACGUUAAUAUCUCUAUGUAAACCCGACGUGUGGGCCUUUCUUCCAUAAUUCCUGAUAACUCCGUGCAGAAAUAGACAAACACCAAAACUUGUGGAAUUUUGUCAGAUAAAACCCUAAGUCUUGGUGUUGGUUGCAUUUGGAUCCUUUUCUAUGAUUAAUUGAUGGUUAAUUGUGAGCAUUAAGGACCAUCAACAAGGACCAACAUAAUUUGGUGGCAAUUGUCCUUCUUUGAAAGUUCUAGCCACGGCAUUGAAAACCGUAUUGGACAGCACACCAGCUUGAUUGAUCAAGGCACGGUUAAUAAAACUAUCAACCAUGUCUUGAAGUUUACCACGAUUGGCUUCAAAAGUAACCUGCCGAGGCAUCGGUAGUGCUUCCUUCUGGAUCACCUCGCCACUCCUGUUAAUGCUGAAGGACUUGAGACAUUGUUGCUUGUAAUCCUCCAUAGCCUUUGCAAUAGCUUGCUUCUACUCAUCUUUGAGAUUAGCUUCCGUCACGGGGAUGACAUUCUCCAAGUCGAAAUCGCUAGUCGCCAUGUCGAUCUUGGUCUUGAAUCUGGUCCCACUGGGUGUGCCAAAAGAUGUGUUGAUGCAAAAGCUGAUCUGCAAACACAAAGGGCUAAUACCCGGUUUAAAUGUUAAGGCGUGCCAGCCGAUUUGACCUCACUAUCGGCAAAGGUGAUAACUCGAAUACUUUGGUCCCGACAACAGCGAUGCGCCUGGAUGCCAAGGCCAACAGGUAUUCACGCGGAACUAUAGAAUACGCCGAGCUUAAGUCGACGAACUCCUAAGAACUCGUAAUGAAAAGGAAAAUAUGACGAAGUCGUCGAAAAAGUAGAUGCUGGAAUAUGAGUAAAAACUUGUGUUUGAUUGAUUGAUAGAUUGUCCCAUUACAAGGCCCCAGGGUCUACAUUUAUACCCUGCUCAAAGAGCUACAAUCAGACACGACUAGGACUCGAAUUCCAAAUUAAACAGAAUCCGUAUACAAAACUAUUUAAAUAACUAAGGAAAGCACAAAACUAUCCUCCCGUGACAAACUGGGACCCCACCAUGGACCAAUCGGCAACCUUCACGUUCUCCUUCUGAGUCAUCGGCAGACUCCUCAUCACAGCCAUCGGCAAAGGCUAACGCUGAUCAUCAGCAUGAACGCGUCACCACUUAUGGACUUAGCCAUAUUCAGCUGUCUCUUCAUCGGCAACCACCUUCAUCGGCAGCACCCCUGCAAACCAGUUACUGUUGUCCUAUCUUGCCGAUCUGUACUCUACCGAUUCCUGGGUACGUGUCCAAAAACGGUGUCAACAAAAUCAUUAAGUCACAUUAUAACAUAACUAUACAUCAUCGAGCACCACAUAAUCAUUAGUAGCCAGCUAUUUUGUGAGUUUUUUGGGCCGCUCGUAACCGUGAGCAUGGCUGUUAUAACAAUUAUACACUCUGCAGAGGUUGUGCACUUUCACCGUGAGUCAUGCUGCCCAUAUGCCCGAGGUCCAUCAACCCCCAAACACUACCAAGGUGAAUGGGUAGGGUACACUAUGAAGCCUUCCAUAGGCCUAUUCUAACAAGUUAGGGCUGCGAGGUUUCCUUGGCACGUAGAUGUAGAAAACCCCCCUUUUCUAUGGCACAUUUCCAUCGUGGCUAAACUCAUAGAAACAAGGGCAGCACUACACCCAAAGUGGCAAGCCCCUCUUGCGCCCUUUCGCAUAACCUCUAAUGAGUUAGAAAAGAUCCUAUUACUAAGCUAAAGUCAGAGCCAUGUGACUCUCCCGGUUGCACUGUGAAUCCCAGCUUUUGCUGACAGAUAAGUCCUUAUGGAGGGUCUAGGACAACAUGACCAACAGUCAUUUGUACCAUAGCCCUAAGUUCAAUUUACCAUAAUCAUGUUUAAUCAAUUAACCAUGGUUACAUAACUGAUUUCAGAUCAUAUAUGUAAGUAGAGUUAGAGCGCUAGCACUUCUACCAACAUGCAAUUAAACCCUUAGGUAUCAAAGUGAUUGUCAUCAACAACUAGGAUAUCCUUAUAAUAGGCAUAAUAGACACAUGCAGUAUGAAAUGGUUAAAGUGAGUGGGACAUCAAGGUAAGCCCAUGCUAUACUUGCCUUGGUUCACGAACUCCUGCUGGUCCUCGUAGAACUCCGGACUCCUGAAAUACUCCUCACCGUCUGAACUCAAUCAACACAUUACAACCAACACGCAUUACAAGAUAGACUUGGAAGAAAUCAAUUCCUAGGGUUAGAACAAUACACCAGCAGUAAAUAAACUAAAAUAAAAGUUUUAUAAAGACAUCUAUGCGCUGCAAUGAUCACGUCAACACGAAAUUCAUGAAAAAUGGACUUACUGUUGGGACUUCUUAACGUCACUACCAAAAGUAGACUUAGUUUUCUAAUUUUGAUAACGGCGCCAAAAAUGCCAAACCUAUCCCUCAUGCCUCUUAAGCCAAGUUGUCAUCCCCAGCAUGACAUAAGAGACGCGGUAUUGAAAUAUGCAAUUGCUCUUCUAAAUAAAUAAUAAAUGAGAUCUGCAAGCGCACAGAUUAAUACCGAUGUAGCAUUUUAACCGGGAAGUAUUUCAGGUAUCGUUAUUUAUAUUUUUACCACUGGGAAGGGAUUGCUAAACAUCAAUGUUGAUUAUGGAAUGGAAUAUAGAAUUGGGUAUCUAUCAUUGCAUGUAUAAUUGAGAGCAUUUAUCUAUCUCUUUCAUACAGGGAUAAGUGUCACAUAAAAGAUAGAUAAAGUAUGAAUGGUGACAAAGAUAAUUAAUCUGAUCAGCAUAACUUAGCCACAUAUAAAUAUGAUAAGCACCUCAAUAGAUAUUCUAGCAAGUCAUUAGCAUGGAAUUAGGACGAACUACAAGAAUAUUUCCUAAGUUAUUCUUAACUAUAAAGUCUAGCUUAUCAUAGUUAGUGCAAUUAUACUUGGCAAUCAUUGCGAGACAGGACUACGGCCAUGCAUAGUGAUAUUAUCAAGGUAAAUGAGAAACAAAGCAAUCACUCCCCUGUAAUAAUGUUGCUCUGCCAGCCCUAUACACGAGAGGGGGACUAUAUAAGAAUCAAUGGAGCUGUCACUACCACGAACUACCCCGCGAUCUGGCAUAUAGGGUACAAUCGUAGAUAAAUACGGUAUAGGCACCACGCCUACACAAUACUUAUCAUUUACCCACUGUACACAUGGAUAAACGCUAUAUGAUCCUAAACAUGUAUAUAAAUCCAAUCUAACUAAGCCAAGCGUAUAACUAUGAUAAACUAAGAACAAUAUAAUUGCAAAUAUAAACAAGUAGAGCAAAGUCAUAAUCAAUAUACUGAAGUAGAACAAAGUCAUAUUCAUAAUAUUGAAGAACAAAGAUGAACAAUUGAAGAAGAGUAGAGGAAUUACCAAGAAUCCUCUUGACAGAUCCGGAAACCAAUCGAAGAUUGACUCCUUCUAGUUCUAAUCCUAUGUAGCUAUGCUAAACUAGAGAUCUAUUGAUGUGGUGGCUCUAGGGCUUGAUCAGAGGCUUCUUCUCCCAAGAUUAAUAAUAAAUUAGGGUUCAGAGGUCCUCUCCUCCAGGGGCCAGGGGGUCUGCUUAUAUAGUCCUUCCAAGUGAAUGUGGGCCAUUGGAUCAAACCGACAUUAAUCGCACGGUUUUCCUUGAUCCUUUAGGUCGGUGGAGCAUGAUCCGCGAAGUUGAAGCUGAUUGGCCCCGAGGCCAGGGCGGGCGCCCUGCCCCCGAGCCCGUCCGGUCUCCCGUUCGUUCCCGUGGCUUCUGGACUCUUCUAGAUGUUAGAUAAUUGCGCGACACGUUAAUAUCUCUAUGUAAACCCGACGUGUGGGCCUUUCUUCCAUAAUUCCUGAUAACCCCUGCAGAAAUAGACAAACACCAAAACUCAUGGAAUUCUGUCAGAUAAAACCCUAAGUCUGGGUGUUGAUUUCAUUUGGAUCCUUUUCUUUAUUUAUUUGCUGAUUAUAUUUGAUACUCAAGGACCGUCAACACUUACGACGUGAAAGUUACACAUUAAACGUGACUUCAAAAGCAAUCUACGGACUCAUAAUUAUCUAGGAAAUCUAAGAGUGGUAAACCUAGACAACAGUGGUACCAACACAAAGCUUAUAAAAUUAUGAAACUAACACAACUUGAACGGAUCGAAUCAGAGCUAAAAUGAUGAUUUUACAAGCAAAACAGUGCAGUGGCAGUUCUAUAAAUAUUGCAAAUAUUAAACAUUUUAAAAUAAAUCAAGAAAUUCUGGAAUUUCCCUAGCCAGGGACCGUGGGCACGAAAUCUAGGAAACUAGGGGUUUCUUUAUCAAUUUGACCCGCGAAGGGGUAUGGGGUGUUUCUGGCCAUCGAUCUAGCGAUGGGCGGCUAGGAUUAAAAGAAAGAGAAGAGAUAUGGAGAAGAGAGGUGCGGCUGCUAGAGGGGAGAGAGGAGACGGUAGUGCUGCCAAUGCCGGCGACGCGGAGCUCACCGGCGUGACCCGUUCGGUAGCUAUGGUGCACCGAUUUCCAAUCUGUUUGAACCAGGAGAAAGAGGAGAGCAAGGCGAGUCUGAUCCCCUCCCUUGCGUGGCCGGGGGUGAGCCCGCGCUGGGUGCGGCAAGGCCGGGGGCCAUGGAGCUCACCAGAUAUCAUGGUGAAGGCACUAGAGGGCUUCAAAUCACACAAAAAUUGACCGGAAGAAAGCGGGAGAGGAGGAGAGCUCACCACGACGAAGAAUGGAGGCGGAAACGGCUCAAUGAUGGCUGACCACGUGGAACAGUGGUGGUGUCGCUCCUGCGCACAUUGGCGAUGGUUAGCGAACAAACCAAAACAGGAAAAAAAAGAGGGGAAAAUACUUGGCGACUUUGCGGGGCCGAAGCAAAGCUCAGCAAGGAGCUCAUGGAGGGAGACUCGACGAAUCGGGAGCUCAACCACGGCGGUGAUCUCGGCGGGUUCGGCGAGUUCACUACGUGCUCGAAAGCGAGACAGAGUGGGGAAGGGGCAGAAUGGGAGCGAGGGGUUGCGGCACUGGCUAUUGCCUAUUCAAAAGAGAGCGAGGCGCGGGGGCGUGGGGGAGAAAGUGGGGAGCGGGCAUGCGGUCGAACCGCACGGGCGGUUGCCGAAGCCACUGGAGAGAGAGGAGGGGGAGGAAAGGCGCUGGCGGGCUGGAGCUUGGGCCACGGUGCUAGGCCAUGCAGGCCAAAAGAGAGAGAGAGAGAGAGAGAGAGGAGAAAUAAUUUUUUUUUCAAACCACAUUUUCAAAUUGAAUUUGAAACAAAUUUGACCUUUGGAUUUUUUAUUUAAUCAUCACAAUAAAAAUACACCAGCAUGCAUGCAUAAAAAAUGUUUUCUAAACUUAUAUUAAAUUUUUUAUUUCCCCAAAAUUUAUUAUUUUCCUAUUUGUAAUGCUUCAAAAAAUAUUUAUUUUAAACAAUUUCAUCUAUUUAAAAGAAGUAAAUUAUUGGGUGUUACAAUUCUACCCCCCUAAAAAUAAUCUCGUCCUCGAGAUUGGAUGGUGGCUUACUCAAAGAGUUGUGGGUACUGUUGACGGUCCUUAAGUAUCAAAUUUAAUUAUCAAAUAAACAAAGAAAGGGAUCCAAAUGAAAUCAACAUCUAGACUUAGGGUUUUAUCUGACAGAAUUCCACGAGUUUUGGUGUUUGUCUAUUUCUACAGGGGGUUAUCAGGAAAUAACGAAGAAAGGCCCACAUGUCAGGAUUACAUAGAGAUAUCAACGCACCGUGCAAUUUUCUACCAUCUAGAAGACUCCAGAAGCCACGAGACCGAAGCGGAGGCGAAACGGGGCCAGGACCUGGGCGCCCGCCCAGUUUCCUUGGGCGCCCGCCCACCUGCCAAGCCCAAUCAGGACUCUUUCUCUCGGGAGAUCUCCACCAACCUAUUGGAUCCAGAAUAACGUAGUACCACCUCGCCUACCGACCCAAAAACGCAUAGAAGGGGAGGACUAUAUAAGGAGAACCCCCUGGCCCCUGGAGAAGACAUGAAGAAAUUAUCAUAGAGAUUGAGGGGUGCCCUCGAAGGAAAACCUCUUCUCUAAAUAAUAUUUCUUUUUAGGUUUAGCAACCAAUGUAAAGUAGAAAUAGAUCUUCUAGUUUCUACUAGAUUGAGAGAGAUAGAGUGGAGGUGUGGAUCGGAGGAAGGCCGGCCUGUCGGUGUCUACUCCGAGUUGUACCUACGGGAUCAAGUCUCCUAACCAGAGGCUUGCUUCUAAGAUUCUUCAGUAAUUCGACUUCUAAUACUAGUAAGUUCUUGUUUUAUUGUUCUUUGGUUUAUGAGUUUACUUUCAUCCUCUUCCGGUUGAGAAUUAGAGUAAUCACUUGCUAGCAUAAACGUGGUGUUUAGGCUAGGGUACUCAUAGAUAUCCUCUGACUAGCUGGACCGUGGUAGUAGCGAGGAACGUGACAUUUCCGAGUUACCUUUGUAUCCCACAUCUCGUUAGCAGGAAGGGUAGGGUUUAUAGGUGCGGGUCAAACAUCCUUUGUGUUGUCUAGAUUCCGUGAGCCUCCCCAAUAGAACAGUAGAUCAUCCUUACCAAGGUUAGAACGAGACUACAGUUGCAGUCUUCUCUAUAUAUCACUCACAUCGAGAGACAUUCUUUGUAGCCUAAAGGGGUAAUAGCAAUAGAUUUGGUUAGUCAGAUGCACCCUUUCUCUCAGUGGUAAAAAUAUAAAUACGAUAACUCUGGAAAACCUCCCGGGUGAACUGCUCACCGAUAUCCGUGCGCUUGCGGAUCAUUUCCUUAUUGCGUUAUCAAAUAUCAACAAGCAUUUCUGGCGCCGUUGCCAGGGAGAAAGAUGGUUUGCUGAGAUAACUUUGAGUCUUGCUAUUAUCUUGUAUUAUACUUUUAUACUUUUAUUCUUUUAUCUUUUUAUUUUUAUGGAUAACUCAAAUUCCAUACCUAUUAUUGAAUUCUUUGCACCUUCGGAGACCAGCCAUAGACCAUGGGAGUCAACAUGUCCUGCCCCUAAUUAUGAUCUGUGUCCGAAGUUGAUUGCAAUAGGUCAAAACCGACCCUUUUCUAUAGCCGAGGUCCUAUCUUUUAAUCAAAAAGAUAAUGUACUUUUAGCUACACCUAGGGAAUCUGUUAAUCUUUCUAUAAAUUCUGGUUUAGACCUAGCCCAACAUGACCAUGUUUUUCCUCGAUAUUUUCAUAUUGGUCUUAAUCAUAUACCCUUUGGUAGAGUCCUUUUUUCUUUAUCUAUUAGUAAAGGAAGGUAUGUCUUCAUUUGUGGACAUCCUUCUUGUACUAGUCUUCAUAGAAAAAUCUUAGAGAUAGAGAAGGAAUCAUCUCCCAGACAAGGAAAGGAAGUUUCAAUAGCCGAUUUCCAAACAUUUCAAUCCCAUGAUUCGGCUAUCAAACCCAUCCUUAAUAAAUUCUACUAUGCUCUUUCUCUUGAACCUCCCGAUAAUCCUAUGAAUCUCUCUAGACAUCCCAUGCAUAAGAAGGAGGAUCGAGAAGAGCAACACCAAUGGCUAGAGGGCAUUAAAAAUCCAUGUGCUAUCACCAUUGAAUGGAUAGAUAAAACAAACUUGAGAGACAAUCCUAGAGGAAUUUUACAUAUUCAUGAAGAAUCAUCCUUGGAGUUUGAGAAUGAGAAACAACAGUGAGAAUGGAAGUUAUUUCAUAAAUACCUUACCAAAUCCUUGCUCAUAUAAAACAUCUCCCCAAUCAAUUGGUCUCUCCAACAUUACCACAUUUGAGAUCUCCAACCCCCUCUUCCUUUCUAUUUAUAAAAACUUUAAAAGGGUGGUUGUCGAUGUAUAUGUCUAUAAUAAAUAUUGCAAUAUUGAAUUAAAUUCAUCCAAUCUUGAAUUAUGCAAAAUUCAAGCUUGGGGGAGUACUUUACAUAAAAACAUCAUUUACCAUGUUGCUAUGUUGGUUGUCCCUACCUUUGAGACAUGCUCAAUUUGUUAAAUACUAAUCACACUACUUCAUCUCCACUUGAGUAGAUCUCUAUAAAUGCUCUCAUGCUACCUUUAUUUGCUUCAGUAUAUGUCUAGGUUUGGAGUAGUUUCAUUUAUCUCUUAAUUAAGCAUGGUGCUUAGUUUAGGAAUGAUGAUCUUACUUCCAAAGGUUUUUUAAAUUAAGCGUGGUGCUUAGGUUAAACAGCCUUCCUUAAUCUGAUUAGACAUGGAGUCUAGUUUGGUUAUUGAACUAAAAACUGCUUGAGUAGAUAUUGGUAUAUUUUGUCGGACUAAACCCUGCAGGAAAACUUUCAAUAUCAACCUGGGAAGUCCUGAGAUAAACUCACAUUGGAGACAAAGAGAGAGACACAUGAAGUAUAACAAUUUACACAAGGAAGACGUAGCUCGUAAGAGAUGAUCCUUGGAGGGUGCCACAAACACGAUACACAACCACUACGAAUGGGAAGUUUGCACAAGGUGAUACUGUACCAUCACUCUUCAAGUAAGGUAACAUCUUAAGAUAUUUGACUAUCACUUUUAUAAGCUUCUCCUUGGUUCUGGCAUACACAUGAAUAAAAGAGACAAACAUGUAUGAUUUGUAGCUCCAAAUUAACCAACCCAAUUAAUUCAACAUGUUUAGUCCUUUAAUCUUUGUUCUUAGUACUACCUUCGUGAUCCCACGCUCCUAAUCCUAUAAGCUAAAAUAUUGCACAUUCAAUCUUUGGAAGAUAUAAACAAAACAUGAAUAUAGAUAGAUUAUCUUUCCAUUAGGUUGAGCCAUCUGAUCUAACAAAUAUUUUAAAUGCUACACUCAUGAUCCAUCAACUUUGUCUUGCUAUGCUUAAGGUUAGAGAAGAAUGUUGACGGUCCUUAAGUAUCAAAUUUAAUUAUCAAAUAAAUAAAGAAAAGGAUCCAAAUGAAAUCAAGAUCUAGACUUAGGGUUUUAUCUGACAGAAUUCCACGAGUUUUGGUGUUUGUCUAUUUCUGCAGGGGGUUAUCAGGAAAUAUGGAAGAAAGGACCACAUGUCAGGAUUACGUAAAGAUAUUAACGUGCCGCGCAAUUAUCUUACAUCUAGAAGACUCCAGAAGCCACGAGACCGAAGCGGAGGCGAAACGGGGCCAGAGACAGGGCGCCCGCCCUGCCCCCAAGUCCAAACAGGACUCUGCUUUGCGGGAAGUCUCCACCGACCUAAAGGAUGAAACUAAACCAUACAAUCUAUGUCGGUUUGAUCCAAGGGCUCAUAUUCACUUGAAGGGACUAUAAAACCAGACCCCCUGGCCCCUGGAGGAGGGAGCCUCUCAACCCUAGUUCAUUGUUCCUCAAGGGAGAAGAAGCCUCUGAUCAAGAUUAGAGCCACCACAUCAAUUAGAUAUCUAGAUUAGCAUAGCUACAUAGGAUUAGAACUAGAAGGAGUCAAUCUUCGAUUGGUUUCCGGAUCUGUCAGGAGGAUUCUUGGUAAUUCUCUAAUUAUGCUUCUAAUUGCUUUCUAAUUAUCCUUGUUCUUCAAUAUUAUGAAUAUGACUUUGUUCUACUUCAAUAUAUUGCUUAUGACUUUGCUCUACUUGCUUAUAUUCAAGAUUAUAUUGUUCUUAGUUUAUCAUAGUUAUGUACUUGGCUUAGUUAGAUUGGAUCUAUAUACAUGCUUAGGAUCGUAUAGCGUUUAUCCAUCGGAUCCAUGGGUAAAUGAUAGAUAUUGUGUAGGCGUGGUGCUUAUACCGUAUUUAUCUGCGAUUGUACCCAAUAUGCCAGAUCGUGGGGUGGUUCGUGAUAGUGACAGCUUCAUUGAUUCAUAUAUAGUCCCCCUCUCGUGUAUUGGGCUGGCAGAGCAACAUUAUUACAGGGGAGUGAUUGCUAUGUUUCUCAUAUUCCUUGCUAAUAUCACUAUGCAUGGGCGUAGUCUUGUCUCACAAAGAUUGCUAAGUAUGCUUGCACUAACUAUGAUAUGCUAGACUAUAUAGUUGAGAAUAACUUAGGGAAUAUUCUUGUAGUUCGUUCUAAUACCAUGCUAAUGACUUUCUAGAGUAUCUAAUUGAGGUGCUUAUCAUAUUUAUUAUGUGGCUAGAUCAGAUUAGUUAUCCUUGUCACUAUUAUUAUUUCAUAUAUCUUUUAUGUGACACUUAUCCCUGUGUGAAGAGUUAGAUAUAAUGUUCUCAAUUAUACAUGCAAUGAUAGAUGCUCAAUCUCAUAUUCUAUUCUGUAAUCAAUAGUGAUGAUUGCUAAUCCCUUCCCAGUGGUAAAAAUAUAAAUAACGAUACCUGGAAUACUUCCCGGUUAAAAUGCUGCAUCGGUAUUAAUCUGUGCGCUUGCAGAUCCCAUUCAUUAUUUAUUUAGAAGAGCAAUUGCAUAUUUCAAUACCGCGUCUCUUAUAUCAUGCUGGGGAUGACAACUUGGCUUAAGUGGUGUGAGGGAUAGGUUUGGCAUUUUUGGCACCGUUACUAGAUUUAGAGAACUUAGUCUACUUUUGGUAAUGAUGUUAAGAAUACCCAACAAGCAUUUUUGGCGCCGUUGCCGGGGAAGGUUGAUUACCAAUCAGGAAUGGAAUAAAAGAUUUUGAGUUAUCAUUCGUAUCACUAAUAUAAUUGAGCUUAUCUAUUCUCUCAUACAGUUUUACCCCGAUAUUUUUCUAUUUUAUCUUAUGCAGGGGAAUGUAUGAAUAGAAGACAUCUUCCAGGAAAUUUUGUUGACAAUCCCGAAGCAUUAUUCAAGAAGACGAGAGCCAAGCUCAAGAAAUCAUCAACACUUCAGCAAGAAGCUUCAUCUAAUCAAGAAGAUCACCGGAACUUGUCUUCAGAGUUCGAAGCCAUGGCGAACAAAUCAAUCCGCGAGUUCUCAGCUCCCACUACGGACAACAUCCGCACUGGACCUGCUGCAGAGAUCGAUGGCAACUUUGAGCUCAAGCCUGGACUUAUCAACAUGGUGCAAUCCAACCAGUUCUGUGGGAAGGCACACGAAGAUGCUAGUGCUCAUUUACAACACUUCCUGGAGAUUUGCAACACAUUCACCAUAGCAGGAGUUUCCAAAGACGCUAUACUACUUCGCCUCUUCCCAUUCUCACUGUUAGGAAGAGCGAAGCAGUGGUUCUACGCUACAAAGGAGAAGAAUACUACGUGGGCACUCUGCUCAACAAACUUCCUGGCAAAGUUCUUUCCCAUGGGCAAGACCAAUGCUCUCCGUGGGAAGAUUACAAGUUUUCAGCAACAAAAUGAUAAAUCUGUUCCAGAAGCAUGGGAGCGCUUUCAAGACUACAUCCUAGAAUGUCCCCAUCACGGAAUGCAGAGUUGGCUAUUGAUGCAGACAUUCUAUCAUGGGCUCAGCAACAGUGCUCGAGAAACCAUGGAUGCUGCAGCUGGAGGAGCAUUCUUAUCACUUACUAUACCACAAGCCACAGCUCUUGUGGAGAAGAUGGCGUCCAAUCAAAGUUGGAAUGAAGAGAGGACCCAGACAUGCAAGAGAGGUGGAGGUAUGCAUCAGCUCAAGGAGGUAGACAUGCUGUCUGCAAAGCUAGACCUGCUCAUGAAGAAGCUCGAUGAUAGAGCUGGAGACAAGAAAGAAGUUAUGCACAUCUACGACUCUCACAUGACUUGUGAGGAGUGUGGAGACACUGGACACUCAGGCAACCACUGCCCUGAGAUGCUUGAGGAUGUGAACUACAUCAACAACAACAACAACAACUACUACAACCGUCCUCAACAAAAUCAAGGUUGGAAUCAACAGAGGCCUAACUACUCAGGUAAUUAUCAAGGUAACAAUUCUUACAACAAUAAUAAUAAUUUACCACCUUUGAGAGAGUUAGUGUCUAAUCAAGGAAAGCUAAUGGAUAACCUAUCUAAGAAAUUGGCAUCUAAUGAUAAAAUGCUAGAAAAUAUAAAUAAUAGAAUGGAUAAUUUCUCUACUGCCAUCAAGAAUCAAAUUAGCUUUAAUAAAAUGAUUGAAUCCCAGUUAAAUCAAAUAGCUACUGCUGUUCCUGCUACUAACCCCGGUAUACCAUCACAACCGGAAGGAUUAGAAUCUGCAAAUCUUAUAGACAUGUUUGAUGCAGGUAAUUGGAGUAACCCCGUCAAUGAAUUCUCUACUGACCUUCUGCCGGUCAAGAGAGGCGACCCAGGACGCCCCGUCAUUCCGAUCUCCAUCGGCAUGGUGGAUGUCCCAGAAGCACUCUGUGACUUUGGCUCUAGUGUCAACAUUAUACCCAGGGUACUCUAUGAAAAAUUCUUUACAUAUCCUUUAUUAGAGACAACCAAGUGUUUGCAGUUUGCAGAUCAGACGAUAACUUUCCCAAAAGGAAUCGUGAGGAACCUUUGUGUCCGAGUUGGUACCUUGUAUGCCCCAGCAGACUUCGUAGUGGUAGAGACCGAAAAUGAUGAGAGAGCACCUAUCAUCCUAGGGAGGCCAUUCUUGAACACCACGGGAGCUAUCAUCUACGCCAGUGCUGCCAAGAUCAGUUUCUACGUCAAAGGGAAGAAGGAGACAUUUUUCUUCAAGAACAAGACUACACAAAUUCCAGAUCAAUCCAGACGUAAAUCAAGGAAGAGGACCAACAGGAGGAACAGGAACAAGCAAGUGUGGACCAAGUCAGCUAAGAUGGUCACUAUAGUUCAUGGAGGCCAAGAUCACCAACUUAAGUCACCGUUUUUGACCAAGAAGGACGACCCAGGAAUGCCAAGCAUUUACUGCUCCAUAAAUGGAUACAACUUUUACAAGACGAUUUGCGACACCGGAUCGGGCGUCAAUAUAAUGGCUGCAGUCACCUAUUGGCUCUUGUUCGGGACCAUGCCACUAAGACCAACAUACAUUCAGCUUCAGAUGGCAGAUCAGACAUUUCGAGAAGUUAAAGGAAUAGUAUCCGAUGUCCCAGUCAAAAUAGACGAUCACUUUGUCUAUACAGACUUUCAAGUUAUUGACAUGGGAGAAGACGAGUAUGAUCCACCCAUCAUCCUUGGAAGACCGUUCCUCAGCACCGUUAAAGCAAUUAUCUACAUUGGAACCGGAGAAGUCCAUAUGCACUUCCCCUCAGAGAAGAAUCUAAGCAGGUCAGGAAGAGACGCAACCGCAACUAGAGGAGGCAGAUCAUCAAGGACGGAUGGGCAGACUAUGAAGGAGAAGUUGUAAGGUCAGAAGACGUAGAGUUUAAACAGAAUUAUCUAGAGGAGAUUGAAGCACCGAGUCAGGUAUGGAAAAUGAAGAAAACUAUACAAGAAGAGGAGGCGCUGCCGGACGUACCGACUACGCCACUCAACGAACCUCAGGACGAUUGAGAAAAUGGAGAGUCCCGUUCGGAGGACUUAAAAACACCGAACGCCUUACCAAGAGGUAAACUUGGUAGUUAUCCUUUCCUUUUCAAAUUAUUUCAACUAGUUUACUAUGUUCGUGCUAUUCUCAAAAGAAAAUAAAAUUGUGAAAAACAGUAAGCCCCAUGUGAGUAGACGAGUGGAGUAAAACCCAUAAGUACAUUCACUGUGGUGGCAUAAAAAUAAAAUAAAUAUUUUUCUGCUUUAUAAAACAAAAAUAUAAAAACAAGGAGUAAUAAUUAUUAAGGAGUCUCAAGAUGAUGAAGGCUAGAUAUUUAUGCUAACACUUAAUUAGUUCCACAAGCUUUGUUGUCUAUUUGAGCUCCACAGGAUUUAAGAAACAAGAAGACUAGCAGACGGAGGACAUUCUAAUCGCUGUUAGAAUGCUGCUGACUUUCAAAUACACCUCUGCCACCUGCUAGCUACAUCAAGAGAAAUUACGUCAAAAUUCAGCUUGGGGGAGAGCACCUUCAUUUAUAUCGAUAAGUAUUUCAAUCUAUCUUUAUAUUUAUAUUAUUUUAGAAUAUUAAAAUACAUAACUAUGGAAAACCAAAUAAAGAUUUUAUGCUUAUAUAUAUAUCUUUUGUUUAGUGUGUUUAAUAAAUAAAUAAAGUGGCUAUGCUAAUCUGUAUCUAAAUAAAACUUAAGCAUGGAUAUGAUGAAUAGUUGCUCUGCCUAAUUUGCACAUUUUAAGUUUUCUCUCAAGUUUAGAUAUAACUGUUAUAAUUUAAAGCUUGCUCUAGACCUAAACUUGUGGGAUGAAAACUUGAUCUAAAGUCUAAGUUGUUAACGGAUAUGAUAUGGGAAGGUUGAGCUGCUGUUUAUCUGUUCCUAGAGAUGCUAGAAUUUUGGAGAAUUUUAUCUUUGAAAAUCUUUAAAAAUGUUGCAUGAUGAGUUCCUGUAUGAUGAGAGUUUUAAAUUCCUACCACAGCCAUAUAUACAUGCUUGCUAGACUUUGAGCCACACAUUUAUUAUUUACUGCUUAUGAGCAUUUAGUGUGGUCAAGCUGUGUAGACCCUUAGGAGCUUGUCAUGUGGUUAAAUCAAGAUUUCACUUGCACGUUCACUCAUAUAUGUUACUUCUACUCCGGAAGUACCAUCCACAUAUAUCCACCCAUUCCAACUCCAGAAUCACCCAAAAAUAUUCUACUCCUAAUCCAGGAGAGAAUAACCAAAAAUAUUUCUGUUUUCCCUUUGUGAAAUAAUUGCUCAAGUUAUCUUGUUACUACCACUUGCUAUAUUAUCUCAAGAGAUGAAUGCUCUGAAAAAAAAGAGAAAAAAAAGAUACGAGGAAAUAAAAAGGAGCAAGUGCUCGGAACCUCGAAAGAAAAGAAAAAGUGAGACGAGAGGUAAAAAUGGACAAGUGUCCGACAGUAGAAUUAGGGGUGCAAGAUACCCACCUGAGAGAAAAGAAAAGAAAAACAAGAGCAUCUCAUUCUCCUCAUAAAAUUUCAAAAAGCAAGGAAGGUAUGUAUCCCCUCAAAGAGCAAAAGUAGAAUUAGACUUCCACCACCAUUGUUAUCACCAUCAUCACCAUACACCAUUCAUUCGCCACACAUGCACAUCUUGAUUUGGCUUAUUGAUUUGUUUCUUUGGAUCCAUGGUUUGACUCUGCAAUAAAUGUCUUGUAAGUAUGUAUACUUUAUCUCCCACCUAUAAGCUCCAGAUAUUAAAGCCUUAUUAGAGUAGGGUGAGAGAGAAGACAAUGUCACUAUGCUUUAUACCACAAAUACUACAUAUCUUGAGAGAAGGCAUAUACCAUCACUGCCUUGGUAAGGAUCCAGAAAUACCACAAAAGAGAGACCUGAGAGAAUCAUACAAGGAAUCUCUGAGUUUUAUUUGAAAAUCUGCAAAAAAACCCCAGAGUUAUAGCUGAUCAAGAAUAAGAGACAUGGCACUUGGCUAGACUGUUCUAUCUUUUAACUACUCAAGACAGAAGUGAUAGUUACAAGUCCCAUGGUGAAGGUAAAGUAAGUAAGUUUUAAGUCUUGACAGUUUACUCUAACUCAGAGAUGAGAUCUUAUUUAAAAGCAUAUGCACCGUCAAGUUUUAAAAUAUUGCAGCAACUUCUGAUCCAUAGCUGAGUCUAUCCUUGCUCAGGGACGAGCAAGAGGUAAGCUUGGGGGAGUUUGUUGACGGUCCUUAAGUAUCAAAUUUAAUUAUCAAAUAAAUAAAGAAAAGGAUCCAAAUGAAAUCAAGAUCUAGACUUAGGGUUUUAUCUGACAGAAUUCCACGAGUUUUGGUGUUUGUCUAUUUCUGCAGGGGGUUAUCAGGAAAUAUGGAAGAAAGGCCCACAUGUCAGGAUUACGUAAAGAUAUUAACGUGCCGCGCAAUUAUCUUACAUCUAGAAGACUCCAGAAGCCACGAGACCGAAGCGGAGGCGAAACGGGGCCAGAGACAGGGCGCCCGCCCUGCCCCCAAGUCCAAACAGGACUCUGCUUUGCGGGAAGUCUCCACCGACCUAAAGGAUGAAUCUAAACCAUACAAUCUAUGUCGGUUUGAUCCAAGGGCUCAUAUUCACUUGAAGGGACUAUAAAACCAGACCCCCUGGCCCCUGGAGGAGGGAGCCUCUCAACCCUAAUUCAUUGUUCCUCAAGGGAGAAGAAGCCUCUGAUCAAGUUAGAGCCACCACAUCAAUUAGAUAUCUAGAUUAGCAUAGCUACAUAGGAUUAGAACUAGAAGGAGUCAAUCUUCGAUUGGUUUCCGGAUCUGUCAGGAGGAUUCUUGGUAAUUCUCUAAUUGUGCUUCUAAUUGCUUUCUAAUUAUCCUUGUUCUUCAAUAUUAUGAAUAUGACUUUGUUCUACUUCAAUAUAUUGCUUAUGACUUUGCUCUACUUGCUUAUAUUCAAGAUUAUAUUGUUCUUAGUUUAUCAUAGUUAUGUACUUGGCUUAGUUAGAUUGGAUCUAUAUACAUGCUUAGGAUCGUAUAGCGUUUAUCCAUCGGAUCCAUGGGUAAAUGAUAGAUAUUGUGUAGGCGUGGUGCUUAUACUGUAUUUAUCUGCGAUUGUACCCAAUAUGCCAGAUCGUGGGGUGGUUCGUGAUAGUGACAGCUUCAUUGAUUCUUAUAUAGUCCCCCUCUCGUGUAUUGGGCUGGCAGAGCAAUAUUAUUACAGGGGAGUGAUUGCUAUGUUUCUCAUAUUCCUUGCUAAUAUCACUAUGCAUGGGCGUAGUCUUGUCUCACAAUGAUUGCUAAGUAUGCUUGCACUAACUAUGAUAUGCUAGACUAUAUAGUUGAGAAUAACUUAGGGAAUAUUCUUGUAGUUCGUUCUAAUACCAUGCUAAUGACUUUCUAGAGUAUCUAAUUGAGGUGCUUAUCAUAUUUAUUAUGUGGCUAGAUCAGAUUAGUUAUCCUUGUCACUAUUAUUAUUUUAUAUAUCUUUUAUGUGACACUUAUCCCUGUGUGAAGAGUUAGAUAUAAUGUUCUCAAUUAUACAUGCAAUGAUAGAUGCUCAAUCUCAUAUUCUAUUCUAUAAUCAAUAGUGAUGAUUGCUAAUCCCUUCCCAGUGGUAAAAAUAUAAAUAACGAUACCUGGAAUACUUCCCGGUUAAAAUGCUGCAUCGGUAUUAAUCUGUGCGCUUGCAGAUCCCAUUCAUUAUUUAUUUAGAAGAGCAAUUGCAUAUUUCAAUACCGCGUCUCUUAUAUCAUGCUGGGGAUGACAACUUGGCUUAAGUGGUGUGAGGGAUAGGUUUGGCAUUUUUGGCACCGUUACUAGAUUUAGAGAACUUAGUCUACUUUUGGUAAUGAUGUUAAGAAUACCCAACAAAGAACAAAUACACUUUUGGUUCUAUUGGUGUUUUCCACCAACAGGGCCCAUGCACUUGAUCUCUGCCUUGUCUCUAUGAGCAGGACACAUUUUGAGAAACAUGAAGGCGUUUUACAACUCCCAGAUUCCAUCAAGUGAAGAACCGGGAUCUAUGAGCACAAACACAAUGGAGAUCAGACACUUAGUUUCCCAAAGGAAAUAUUGAAGAACCUAUGUGUCCGAGUUGGUACCUUGUACACUCCAGCAAACUUUGUGGUGAUAGAGACUGGUACUGAGGAGGGGGCACCCAUCAUCUUAGGGAGGCCAUUCCUAAACACCAGAGCUGUCAUCUACGCUAAUGCUGCCAAGAUCACUUUCUACAUCAAGGGGGAAAAGGAGACUUUCCUUCAAGAACAAGACUACACAAAUUUCAGAGCAAUCCCGACAUGAACCAAGGAAGAGGAUCAACAGGAGGAACAGGAACAAGCAAAUGUGGAAAGAGUCAGCUGAGAUGGUCACUGCAGCUCAAGGAGGUCAAGAUCGUCGACUCAAGUCACCUUUCUUGAUCAAGAAGGACGACCCUGGUGUUCCAAGCAUUGAGUGCACAAUCAAUCGAUACUCUUUUUAGAAGACACUCUACGACACCAGAUCUGACGUCAACAUAAUGGCCGCAGUCACUUAUCAGCUCCUGAAUGGAACCAUGCUCCUACAACCAAAAUACAUUCAGCUCCACACGAUUUUCAGGUCAUUGACAUAGGAGAAAACUAGUAUGAUUCACCCACCAUUCUUGAAAGACCGUUCCUCAACACUAUCAAAGCAAUCAUCUACAUUGGAACCGGGAAAGUCCACAUGUACUUCCCCUCUGAGAAGGUACGCAGCUAUUUUACUGACCAUAACUAUAUAGUUGAAGACUCUAAGCAGGUCAGGACAAGAAGACAACGCAACCGCAACCAGAGGAGGCAAAUCAUCAAGGACGGAUGGGUAGACUACGAAGGAGAAGUGAUAAGGUCUGAAGACAUAUAGCUUGAACAGAACUGUCCUGAUGAGACCGUAGCACCGAGUCAGGUGUGGAGAGAGAAGAUAGUUACACACGAAGAGGAGGCGCCGCCGGAACCACCGACUACGUCAUCCAGCAAAUCCUAGGACGACUGAGAAAACGGAGAGUCCCGUUCGGAGGACUUAAAAAUACCGAACGCCUUGCCAAGAGGUAAACUUGGUAGUUAUCCUUUUCCUUUUAAUUAUUUAAAAUAGUUUGCUUAGUUAAUCAGGUUCAUGCUAUCUUAAAAAGAAAAUAAAAAUGUUAAAAAACAGUAAGCCCCAUGUGAGUGUACGAGUGGCAUAAAACCCAUAAGUACAUUCACUGUGGAGGCGUAAAAAUAAAAUAAAUAUAUUCUUGUCCCAUAAAUAUAAAAAUAUAAAAAUAAAUUUACGAUCCUACUAAAGAGAGUAACAUUUAUUGAGGAGGCUCAACAUGAUAAAGGCUAGAUAUCUAUGCUAACACUUAACCAGUUCCACAAAGCUUUGUUGUCUAUUUGAGCUCCACAGAAUUCAAGGAUCAAAGAAGACUAGCAGACGCAGGACAUCCUAAUCGCUGUCGGGGUGCUGUCGACUUUCAAAUACACCUCCAUCACCUGCUAGCUACAUCAGAAGAAAUUACGUCAAAAUUCAGCUUGGGGGAGAGCACCCCCAUUUAUCUCGCUAAGUAUUUCUACCUAUCUUUAUACUUAUAUUAUGUUAGAAUAUUAAAAUACAUAAACUAUGAAAAACCCAAAUAAAGAUUUUGUGCUUUUAUAUAUAUAUCUUUGCUUAGUUUGCUAAAUAAAUAAAUAAAUAAAAUUUGCUAUGAUCCCUCAUGAUAAGCUCUCUCAUGGAAAUCAUGAAUAGUUGCUCUGCCAUGACUAGUUCUUAAAAUUGAAAUCUCUCUCAAAUUUAGGCAUAACUGUUAUAAUUUAAAGCUUGCUCUAAACCUAAACUUGUGGGAAGAGUACUUGAUCUAAAGUCUAAGUCAUUAACGGAUAUGAUAUGGAAGGUUGAGCUGUUGUUUAUCUGUUCCUAGAGAUGCUAGAAUUCUGGAGAAUUUUAUCUUUGAAAAAUCUUUAAAAUAUCACAUGAUGAAUUCCUGUAUGAUGAGAGUUUAAAAUCCUAUCACAGCCAUAUAUACAUGCUUAUUAGACUUUGAGCCAAACAUUUACUUUUUUACUGCUUAUGAGCAUUGAGUGUGGUCAAGCUGUGUAGACCCUUAGGAGCUUGUCAUGUGGUUAAAAUCAAGAUUCACUUGCACGUUCACUCAUACAUGCUGCUUGUACUCCGGAAGUACGCAUCCACUUACAUCCACUCAUUUCCAUUUCCACAUUCACCCAAAAUUAUUCUACUCCUAAUCCGGGAGAGAAUAGCCAAAAAUAUUUUCCUAUCCCUGUUAUUCCCUGUGAAGUAAAUGCUCGAGUUAUCUUGGUUACUACCACUUGCUAUAUUAUUUAAGGAGAUGAGUGCUCUAAAAAAAAGAGGAAAAAUACGAGGAAAUAAAAAGGGGCAAGUGCCCGGAACCUCGAAGAAAAAGAAAAAGUGAGACGAGAGGUAAAAAUGGACAAGUGUCCGACAGUAGAAUUAGGGGUACAAGAUACCCACCUGAGAGGAAAGAAAAAGAAAAUAUAGAGCAUCUCAUUCUCCCCAAUAAGCUUCAAAGUGCAAGAAAGGUAUGUAUCCCCUCAAAAGAGCAAAAAUAGAAUUAGACUUUCACCAUUGUUAUUACCAUCAUCACCAUACACCAUUCAUUCACCACACAUGCACAUCUUGAUUUGACUUAUUGACUUGUUUCUCUGGAUCCAUGGUUUGACUAUGCAAUAAAUGUCUUGUAAGUAUGUAUUAGCUGUUUCCCACCUAUGAGCUCCAGAUAUCAAAACCUUAUUAGAGUAGGGUGAGAGAGAAGGCAAUAUCACUAUGCAUUAUACCAAAAAUACCACAUACUUUGAGAGAAGGCAUAUACCAUUACUGCCUUGGUAAGGAUCCAGAAAUACCACAAAAGAGAGAUCUGAUAGAGUCAUAUAAGGAAUCUCUGAGUUUUAUUUGAAAAUCUGCAAAAACCCCAGAGCUAUAGCUGAUCAAGAACAAGAUACAUGGUGCUUAACUUGACCGUUCUAUCUUUUAACUGCUCAAGACACAAGUGACGGUUACAAGCCCCAUGGUGAAAGGUAAAAUGAGUAAGUAUUAAGUCUUAACAGUUUAUUCUAAAUCAGAGAUGAGAUCUUGCUUGAAUGCGUGUGUACUUUUAAGAAAUGAAACCACUGCAGAAACUCUCGAGUUCAUCCUUGCUCAGGGACGAGCAAGAGGUAAGCUUGGGGGAGUUUGUUGACGGUCCUUAAGUAUCAAAUUUAAUUAUCAAAUAAACAAAGAAAGGGAUCCAAAUGAAAUCAACAUCUAGACUUAGGGUUUUAUCUGACAGAAUUCCACGACUUUUGGUGUUUGUCUAUUUCUGCAGGGGGUUAUCAGGAAAUAAGGAAGAAAGUCCCACAUGUCAGGAUUACAUAGAGAUAUCAACGCACCACGCAAUUUUCUACCAUCUAGAAGACUCCAGAAGCCACGAGACCGAAGCGGAGGCGAAACGGGGCCAGGACCUGGGCGCCCGCCCAGUUUCCUUAGGCGCCCGCCCACCUGCCGAGCCCAAACAGGACUCUUUCUCUCGGGAGAUCUCCACCGACCUAUUGGAUCCAGAAUAACGUAGUACCACCUCGCCUACCGACCCAAAAACGCAUAGAAGGGGAGGACUAUAUAAGGAGACCCCCCUGGCCCCUGGAGAAGACAUGAAGAAAUUAUCAUAGAGAUUGAGGGGUGCCCUCGAAGGAAAACCUCUUCUCUAAAUAAUAUUUCUUUUUAGGCUUAGCAACCAAUGUAAAGUAGAAAUAGAUCUUCUAGUUUCUACUAGAUUGAGAGAGAUAGAGUGGAGGUGUGGAUCGGAGGAAGGCCGGCCUGUCGGUGUCUACUCCGAGUUGUACCUACGGGAUCAAGUCUCCUAACCCGAGGCUUGCUUCUAAGAUUCUUUAGUAAUUCGACUUCUAAUACUAGUAAGUUCUUGUUUUAUUGUUCUUUGGUUUAUGAGUUUACUUUAAUCCUCUUCCGGUUGAGUAUUAGAGUAAUCACUUGCUAGCGUAAACGUGGUGUUUAGGCUAGGGUACUCAUAGAUAUCCCCUGACUAGCUGGACCGUGGUUGUAGCAAGGAACGUGACAUUUCCGAGUUACCUUUGUAUCCCACAUCUCGUUAGCAGGAAGGGUAGGGUUUAUAGGUGCAGGUCGAACAUCCUUUGUGUUGUCUAGAUUCCGUGAGCCUCCUCAAUAGAACAGUAGAUCAUCCUUACCAAGGUUAGAACGAGACUACGGUUGCAGUCUUCUCUAUAUAUCACUCACAUCGAGAGACAUUCUUUGUAGCCUAAAGGGGUAAUAGCAAUAGAUUUGGUUAGUCAGAUGCACCCUUUCUCCCAGUGGUAAAAAUAUAAAUACGAUAACUCUAGAAAACCUCCCGGGUGAAAUGCUCACCGAUAUCCGUGCGCUUGCGGAUCAUUUCCUUAUUGCGUUACCAAAUAUCAACAGGUACGACUUUCUCAAAUCCUGUUCUCUUUCCUAGGUGGCUUCAUCUUCGGUAUAGCGAUUCCUGUGUACUUUGCACAUCUUUAUGGUUCUACUUCUUGUAACUUUGUCUGCAGUUUCCAAGAUCUUUAUUGGGUACUCUUCAUAUGUGAGAUGUUCUCUAAUGGUCAACUCUUCUAUAGGAAUAUGCUCUUUCGGUACUCGCAAACACUUCUUCAACUGAGAAACAUGGAAUACAUCAUGUACACCUAAGAAAAGCUCUCGAAUUUCCGUGUCGUUUCAUAUACUAGUCGCUUUGGUGUAGACUGUUAAGUUGAACUUCCACCUAGAGUACAUACUACACUUAGUCACAACUUGAACAAUGGACUAUGCCUUGAAUUGCAAGUUUUGUGUGAUAUAAGUUUCAUCUAAACUCAUAACUGAUAUCGGGUUGCAUGAACAUCCCCUUUGGUUGAAGCAUAUAAGUCAUACUUCUAGCCCAUUCAUGAGUAUCUUAGAGAUCACCCAAAUCUCAUAGACUGUGCCUAGCAGUCAAACUCGUAUAGGUGUAUUCCUUAAAGAUGUUCUGUAGGACAACAUCUAUCGCUUCACAAGCCGCUUUGGAAUACAUUAAGGUAUAUAACCAGCCUUCCUUACAGACAUAGGAAAGAAGUGCAAUUGAGAUGAGUUAAGUAACAGGUCUUUCCUCACAAUCUACUUCUGGCUUGUUUCACCAUUCUACUUCACGGGAUCUCCGAUCAUAUAGAAUAGGUUGCCACCAUGGUAGACCUCACGUGGGUCUCAAACCCAUCUCACUCGAUGCACUAUCUAUCACAUUACGUGAUAGUCCCUUUGUGAAUUGAUCUGCCAGAUUCUUAGACGUAUGGACAUAGUCCAAGCUAUAACUCCAGAGUUUCUCAAUUUUGACAGUCUUCAAACGCCGUUUGACAUGCCUAGUAGACUUCAUGUUGUCCUUAGGACUUUUGACUUUUGUGAUCACCGUUUGAUUGUCACAGUUCAUGGAAAUAGCCGGCACAAGUUUUUCAACCACCGGUAGAUCCAUCAGGAGUUCACGAAGCCACUCGGCCUCAGCGCCGGCGGUGUCUAAUGCUGUGAGUUCUGCUUCCAUGGUUUACUUUGUUAAGAUAGUCUGCUUGCUAGACUUCCAUGAAACAGCACCACCUCCAAGCAGAAACACAUAUCCACUUGUGGCCUUUAACACAUCAGCAUCAGAUAUCCAAUUUGCAUCACAAUAACCCUCUAAUACCUUCGGGUAUCCGGUAUAGUGAAUGCCAUAGCUCACAGUACCUUUCAGAUAGCGCAUCACUCUCUUAAGAGCUUGCCAAUGAAUAUCUCCUGGAUUUGACACAAACCGGCUAAGUUUGCUCACUGCAAACGAGAUAUCAGGCCUCGUUGCACUUGCAAGGUACAUCAAUGAGCCUAUAAUUUUGGAGAAUCUUAGUUGAUCCCUUGUUAUUCUUCAAUUUUUCCUCAAUAGCACACUAGGAUCAUAAGGCGUAGGAGCAGAUUGACAGUCACUGUACCCAAAGCGACUUAAAAUCUUUUCCACAUAGUGGGAUUGCACAAGUGUAAUCCCACCAUUACCUUCUCUUGAAAGCUUAAUGUUUAAAAUAACAUCAGCUUCUCCCAAAUCUUUCAUCUCAAAGUUAUUAGACAAAAAGUCUUUAACUUCCUUGAUCACAUCAAGGCUUGUCCCAAGGAUCAGUAUGUCAUCCACGUACAGACAAAGGAUCACACCUUCACCCCCACCAAACCGAUAGUACACACAUUUCUCAGCUUCAUUAACAGCAAAGCCGGCAGAAGUUAAAGUUCUGUCAAACUUCUGAUGCCAUUGUUUUGGAGCUUGUUUUAGGCCAUAUAGGGAUUUUAAUAAAUUACACACCUUGCCCGUUUGACCACUUGUUACAAAUCCAUCAGGCUGAUCCAUAUAGAUCUCUUCCUCUAACUCUCCAUUUAGGAAAGUUGUCUUCACAUCCAUCUGAUGAAUGAGAAGACCAUGAGAGACAGCCAAGGAUAAUAACACUCAAAUUGUUGUCAAACGGGCAACUAGUGAAUAAGUAUCAAAGAAAUCUUCCCCUUCUCUUUGGGUAUAACCCUUAGCCACAAGCCUAGUCUUGUACCUCUCAAUUGUACCAUCAGGCCUAAGCUUUUUCUUGAACACCUAUUUACACCCUAUAGGUUUACACCCAUAAGGCCGUUCAACCACUUCCCAAGUUCCAUUAGACAUUAUUGAAUCCAUCUCAUUCCUUAUUGCUUCCUUCCACAAGUCACCAUCAGGAGAGGAAAAUGCCUCUUUAAUGGUUGUUGGGGUAUCAUCCAUGAGGUACAAAAUAUAGUCAUCUCCAAAAGACUUCACUUUUCAUUGUCUUAUGCUCGUUCGAGUGACUACAUUGUCAUCCUCCUCAGGAUAAUGAACAUGGGGUUCCUGAGAUUGUUCUAUCGGAAUAAAUUGCUCAUGGGAAUUUAUAGACUCAUGACUAGAAAUAUUAGGUGUACUUGUCAUAGGGAACUCAUUUUCAAAGAAUGUUGCAUCUCUGGAUUCUAUUAUAGUACCAACAUUCAUAUCUGAUACUCCAAAAUUUGUAAUUAAAAACCUAUACCCUACGCUGUGAGUAGCAUAACCAAGGAAAAUACAAUCAACUGUCUUAGGUCCAAGUUUGUGUUUCUUGUUUAUUGGCACAUUCACUUUAGCCAAACAACCCCAAGUACGCAAAUAGGAGACAUUUAUUCUUUUCUUUUCCCAUUCCUCAAAUGGUGUGAUUUCUUUAUUCUUUGUAGGAACUAUAUUCAGGACAUGACAUGCUGUCAAUAUCGUCUCACCCCACCAUUCCUUAGAUAGUCCCAAAGUUCUCACAUGGCGUUAACCAUCUCAGUUAGAGUACGGUUCUUUCUUUCGGCAAUCCCAUUGGACUGUGGUGAAUAUGGCGGUGUCCUCACAUGAAUAAUACCAUGUUCUACGCAGAAAUCAGAAAAAUCGCUUGAAAAAUAUUCUCCACCACGGUCGGACCUUAAGUGUUUAAUUUUCCCCUCAAGUUGAUUUUCUACUUCAGCUUUAUAGGCUUUAAAAUAUUAUAAUGCUUCAUCCUUUGUUUUAAGCAAGUACAUAUGACAAAAUCUAGUACAAUCGUCUAUAAUGUAAUGAAGUAUCGUUUACCACCUUUAGUCAACUCACCAUUCAUCUCGCAUAGAUCAGAAUGGAUUAGUUCUAAUGGUGCCAAGUUCCUCGCCUCCGCAGCCUUGUGUGGCUUGCGAGGUUGCUUGGAUUGCACGCAUACAUGACACUUAGAACCUUUGACUAAAUUAAAUUUCGGGAUUAAAUUCAUAUUUGCUAGCCGCGUUAAACAACCAUAAUUAACAUGACAAAAACGCGAAUACCAAAUAUUCGACUCACUCGAACUAACAGUAUGGUUCACGAUUUUAUUACACACAUCAUGCAUAGAUAAGCGGAAAAGCCUCUGCAGUCAUAACCUUUACCAAUAAAAGUUCUAAACUUUGAAAGUAUAACUUUAUUCGCCUCAAAGACUAUUUUGUAGCCAUCUCUGCAAAGCUGUGAGCCGCUAACUAGAUUCUUUUUGAUGGAGGGGACAUGCUGCACGUUCUUCAACAGCACCGUCUUUCCCGAAGUGAACUUAAGAAUGACCGUACCAACACCAAGAACACGCGCAUGAGAGCCGUUCCCCAUCAGUAAGGCUCCAGUGUCGCCGGCCUGAUAAGAAGAAAAUAAAGAGAUGUCAGCACAUACAUGAACAUUAGCCCCAGUAUCCAUCCACCACUCAGUUGAAUUUACCAUACCCAGAUGUUCCUCCUUCAGCCUCGCUAAUGACCAUGUUCACUGAUUUUUUCUCUUCUCGUUUGAAUUUGCGGUUUGGACAAGCACUUGCCCAGUGGUCAUCGCUACCGCAAACAAAGCAGCCUCCAUCUACCUUUUUCUUCUUAAAGGUUGCAGUUUCCUUUGGCUUCGGAUUUGUCCCUUGCUUGUUCUCUUGCUUGUUCUUUUCUUAUUACAGAAUGCAAAUUGCUUUUUCUUUUGCACCACAUUGGCACUAGAAGACUCAACGCCUUUCCCAUGUGUAUCUUUUGCUCUCGCCUUCUCCUCAACAUCAAGAGUUUCCAUGAGUUUGGCAAGACCAAACUCUUUCCUCUGAUGUUUUAGAGAAGUAGCAAAAUCCUUCCAAGAAGGUGGCAACUUAGCGAUUAUACUGCCGGCCACAAACUUUUUAGGCAACACAUUAGGGAAUUGUUCUAGUUCCUUAGCUAGUGCCUGUAUCUCAUGUGCUUGUUCAAUCACAGAACGGUUAUCCACCAUUUUGUAAUCAAACAGUUGCUCCAUGAGGUACAGCUCGCUACCAGCAUCAGAAACCCUGAACUUGGCCUCAAGCGCAUCCCAUAAUUCCUUAGCAGUGGUGCAAAUGAUAUAGUUAUCAACAUACUUUUUAUCGAGCGCACUAAUCAUGGCACCUCUGAAGAGGUUAUCGGCUGCCACGAACGUUCGCUCCUCCUCAGGAGUAAGCUGUUCCGGCUUCCACAUCGCGGUGUGAUAGCAACUCAUAGCAGUUAACCACAAUAUCAUUCUCGCGCGCCACCGCUUAUAGUUUGAACCAUCAAACAGAUCCGGUUUUAACGCAGCAGCAAAACCACUAACAGAAAAAUGCCUAAUAUCAGGUUUUUAGAUUGUUAGAAAAUUAGACAUUUUAAUGUUUGAUUUAAUCCAGAAAAUUACACAUAAUAUUUUGGUGGCAUAGAUGUGCACGUGUGCAAUUUUAUCACUACUCAGAUUAGAGAUAAACAUUGCAAAUAUUAAUGCAACUACUGCAGACAUAUUAAAAAUAAAAGGCAAUCAUUUAAGAUUGUACCCCGAGGAGGGACCAGUGCCGAAGGCACCGGCGGCUCCAUUCGCACUAGUCGACAUAGUGCGUUGCUUGCAGUAGUGGACCACAGUCAAUGCAGGAAGAUGAUCGCAGUGCAGUCCCACAAACAUCCAUCAGGAAGAAGACAAAGUAGUUGCAGUUCUGAACUCGACCGUCCACCAGGAAGAAGACGAUCUCGUCGGUGAGCAGUCGCGGAAGACGCUCCCCAAAAACCUGAUUGCCUGCACACCCGAGCCGGUGUCUCGAUGCAGGGCGUCGGGUUCCGGAGGCCUGCUCUCCUGAUCUCUGUGCGCGCAGAGGUGCGGCACGGGGACGAACAAAGAGCAACUCGACAGGAGAUGAGAGGACUGAGUGUUGUGUCUCGCAGGUAAGGAAAGAGUGUCUGCGUAUGGAAUAUAUAGGCUCUAGGAGGAAAAGUCUGGUUAAUGGCAAUCAAUCACAACUAAUUGCCAUUAAGGAGUCAAUCAAUUAGCAAUUAAUUGCCAUUAAUUGCACAACGGUCAGAUCCCGUUUUCCUCCCUUUCCUUAUUCACCACGUGAGUGCCACGUCACGUCUGGUCUGGUCCUCGUGUGUCAUGUCAUGCACGUCUCGACAAGACAAGACAACAAGACAAGACACGCACGCACGCCACGCCACGCCACGCCACGGCUCGGCUUGGCGGCGACACGCGCGCGCGUGUGGCACCCCUUUUCCCUUCCUCAAAUUAUCCAUAGGGGCUAUCAAAGGCCACCUAUUUAAGUUGAGUUAACACAUGGUCAAUCAUCAAUACGGUACUAAAUCGUUUUUAUUAUAGCAUUUAUUAUGGGCCCUUGAAUUAAUCAUCGAAUAUAACUAUGGGCUAAAAGCCCAUUAUAUUCAACAUUACCCUGCAAGAGAGAUAGAUAAAGACAUGGUUAAGAUCUCCAUGACUAACAUGCAGUGCUCAUUGCUCAUUAUCCAUUGCAAGUACCUUCCUAGUGGUAAAAAUAUAAUAACGAUACCUCGAAUACUCGUGGUGAAAAUGCUACAUCAGUAUUAUCUGUGCGGUUGCGGAUCCUUUAUUUAUUUAUUCCUAGAAAAACAUAUAGAUUUAAUACCAGCACUUCUAUAUCAUGUUAUGGCUGACAACCUAGCUUAAGUGAUAUUAAGUAAUUUUACGCUGUUGCUAGGGAUAGGUUUAAAAGUAUAUUUUUAGUAGUUGCGAUAAGAAGUGUCAACAAGCAUUUUUUGGUGCAGUUGCCGGGGGUAGGUUUAAUAGUCUAUUUUUAGUAGUUGCGUUAAGAAGUGUCAACAAGCAUUUUUGGUGUCGUUAUUGGGGAAGGUGAAAGCAUCAAAGGAUAAUGAGCAUCACUACAUCAACUCAUGGAUUGAGCACCAUCCACCCUUCUCACUCAUCCAGCUUUGCCCUUGUCUUUUUGUCUAUUUUUGUCAUAUGCAGGGUAAUGUAUGAACAAGUUUGAUCUCCCAAAUAACUUCAUUGAUAAUCCGAAGACAUUGAUUAGGAAGACAAAGGCUAAGUUGAGAAGGAAUCUAUCAACAUCAUCAACACAUCUCAGCUUGCUAAUCCUCCUGAGUCAGAAGGUCAACCUACUCAAAGUUUGACACCAGAGAUUGACAUCAUGGUUGUGUUGACAUCGUUUUUGGACACGUACCCAGGAUCGGUAGAGUGUAGAUUGGCAAGAUAGGGCAACAGUGACUGGUCUGCAGGAGAGUUGCCGAUGAGGGUGGUUGCCGAUGAAGAGACAGCUGAAUGUGGCUAAGUCCAUGGGUGGUGAUGUGUUUGUGCUGAUGGCCAGCAUUAACCUUUGCCGAUGGCUGCGAUGGAGAGUAUGCCGAUGACGUGGAAGGAAGGCUUGGAGGUUGCUGAUUGGUCUAUGGUGGCGUCCUAGUGUGUCACGGGGGGAUAGUUUUAUGUUUUCCUUAGUUAUUUAGAUCGUUUUGUAUACGGAUUCUGUUUGAUUUGGAAUUUGAGUUCUAGUCGUGUCUGGUUGUAGCUCUUUGAGUAGGGUAUAAAUGUAGACCUUAGGGCCUUGUAAUGGAGACAUCUAUCAAUCAAUCAAAUAUAAGUUUUUACUCACAUUCCAGCAUCUACUUUUUCGACGACUUCGUCAUAUUUUCCUUUUUCAUUACGAGUUCUUAGGAGUUCGUCGACUUAAGCUCAGCGUAUUCUCAAGUUCCGCGUGAAUACCUCUUGGCCGUGGCAUCCGGGCGCAUCGCUGUUGUCGGGACCAAAGUAUUCGAGUUAUCACCUUUGGCGAUAGUAAGGUCAAAUCGGCUGGCACGCCUUAACGUUUACAUCGGGUAUUAGCCCUUUGUGUUUGCAGAUCAGCUUUUGCAUCAACACAUCUUUUGGCACGCCUGGUGGGACCAAAUUCAAGAUCAAGAUCGACAUGUCGACUACUGAGUUUGAUCAGGAGAAUGCCAUCCCUGUGACGGAAGCCAAUCUCAAGGAUGAGCAGAAGCAAGCUAUUGCGAAAGCCAUGGAGGAUUACAAGCAGCAAUGUUUGAGAUCCUUCAGUAUCAACAGGAGCGGUGAAGUGAUCCAGAAGGAAGCACUGUUGAUGCCUCGGCAGGUUACUUUUGAUGCCAAUCCUGGUAAACUUCAAGACAUGGUUGAUAAUGCUAUUAACCGUGCUUUGAUCAAUCAAGCUGGUGUGCUGUCCAAUACGGUUUUCAAUGCCGUGGCUAGAACUUUUAAUGAAGGACAGUUGCCACCAAAUUAUGUGGGCCCUUCUCAUCAUCAGCCAGGAUAACCGGUGGUCACAGCUCCAUCGGCUGCUACAGCCGCUGCGGGCACAAAAACUGCUGUUCCUCCAAGCACGUUAGGAGUCACUAAUGCACAAUCUAGGCCGAUGACGACUAAUCCACCGACUUCAGAUGAGCAGAUUAAGAUUACUACAGAUCUAUUGGCAUUGGCAAUGUCAGGGUCAGCCCCUCCUCCAAACUGGUGGGGUUUCGGUAUGCCUCCGGAAUAAUUGUUGAAGACACCUGGCACGUCUCAGGCGGCUGAUAUGAGAGGCAAGGCUCCUAUGGCAUCGACACCUCCAAAUAUGCCGAUGAAUCCGAGUCCCCAGAAUACUACAACUACUGCUGCAAGACCUUACACUGGGAAUUCUCAAGCUCCAACGUUCCAGAUGCCUAACGCAUCGGCAGACUCAAUGCUGAUGCAACAGAGGUUUAUGACUCAGCCAAGGUAUGUCAAUUCAAUGAUGAUGCCCAAUUACCAGUCAUCGGCAGGACCUAUGCCGAUGAAUGCUAAUAGUGGAUGGCUUGGGCAGCAAGUCUUUCCGCAAAUGCCCCAACAGAAUCAUCAGGCUACAGGGUUUCAGCAAGGCCAGAUCUACUCCGGGUUCCAGAAUCAGGGAUUGCCCAACCAGCCAAUGAAUCUUUGACAGCAGAUCAGCGGACAGCAGAUCGGCGGGCAACAACUUGGUGGUCAGCAGAUAGGUGGCCAAAUGAUUAACCCAAUGUUCCAUGCAGAUCGUGCACCGCACAGACACGUGGAAGCUUACCAGUAGAUGCCAGAUCCGCAACCGCCUCAUCGGCAAGAUGCCGAUGCUUAUUGGGCCGACAAGAUUGCUGAAGUAAUGAGAGACCAAUUUGGGAUAAAACCCAAAGUCAACACUUACUCUUAUCGGACACCGUAUCCUCCCGCAUAUGAUUUAAUCCCGCUUCCAAAUCGGUACAAAGUGCCGGAUUUUACCAAGUUUUCUGGGCAGGAUGAUACAUCAACCAUGGAGCAUGUCAACAGGUUCAUCAUCCAAUGCGGAGAAGCUGCUAACAGGGACGAGUUAAGGGUUCGCUUGUUCUCGUCAUCAUUAUCUGGAUCGGCUUUCACUUGGUUUAUAUCGUUACCUCCUAACUCAGUAAUUACUUAGGCCGAUCUAGAGAAGCAGUUCCACAAAUACUACUUAUCUGGAGUCCAUGAGAAGAAGAUCACCGAUUUGGUCAAAUUGAAGCAACAUAAUGAUGAAUCGGUUGAAAGUUUUGUGCAGAGGAUACGAGAAGUCAAGAACAAAUGCUAUAGCCUGGUUCUGGAUGAUCGGCAGCUAGCCAAUUUGGCUUUCUAGGGCUUGUUGCCACAUAUCAGGGACAAGUAUGCAUCUCAGGAGUUUGAAAGCUUAAGUCAUUUGGUGCAGAGAAUCUCUGAUCAAGAUAUCAAACCUUUUGAACCCAAGAGAGCAUGGAAUAAAAAGGUGUUAUUCGUUGAUGAGGCAGCAAGCUCGGAUUCUGAUGAGGAACCAGUCAUCGGUUUAGCAGAGUGGGUGAAAAAUAAGAAACCGAUGUCUUGUCCUUUUGGGCACAAAGAGCCAGAGAAGUUCGCAUUUGACAUCACUAAGGCCGAUAGGAUAUUUGACUUUCUACUUCAGGAGGGUCAGAUCAAAUUGUCACCUAAUCAUGUAAUCCCAUCGGCUGAAGAAUUAAAAAGGAUGAAGUACUGCAAAUGGCACAAUGCAACUUCUCACAGCACCAAUGAGUGCAAAGUUUUUAGACAACAGUUGCAAUCGGCUAUAGAAUCUGGAAGGAUCAAAUUCGAUAGCUCUAAGCCGAUGAAGAUUGAUCAACAUCCUUUCCCAACAAACAUGCUAGAUGCUAAGGGAAAGGCCAAGGUCUUAACAUCGGAAGCAGCUGAAAGAAGUGCAUCGGUGGAUCCUCAGCACCAGAUCACUACUGCCGAUGCGAAAGGAAAAGGCUUGAUCCAGGAGGGAACUAACUCAGGAAGGCCUCCCCGAUCUGGUAUUGUGAUAACUCACAGAAGGCCUCGGGAGACUUGGCAGCAACGUGAGGAUCGGUAUCGGCGCUAGCAAGAGGACUAUUGUCGGAAGAGGAAAGACACCGACAGGAGUGGAAUCGGCAUAGAGAUCACUGGAAUUGUCCGUUCUUCAUCCAUUGUUGGGAGGAAAAUAUCAAGCUUCCUACUGUCAGAGAUUGUCCUGAGUGCAAUGGUUAUGAUCGGUAUGACAGAUCCGACCGGCGCUAUCGUGAUGAUGAUCGGCGAUUCAAUGGGCCGAUUAGGGGGAGAGCGUCCGUUCAUGAUCGGCUGGGGGGCAGGCUCAGUGUGCACGAAAGACUCGGCGAUCGUGUUGAAUAUUUUUGUAACAUCCCCGAUGUUACGGUUACUAAAAUUUGGAUCAUGUCAUCAUGAGCAUUGCAUUGCAUACCUGUUAAGCACAUUAUUAUGCAUCCACCUAAAACAAGUUUAUUUUGAAUGGUUGUGCUUAGGGAAUUAAAGUGUGUAUAUGUGGUGUAUGGGUGCUUGUGUUGGGUGCUAAAACCCUAGGGUGAAAGAUUCCCGAAAGAUCAGGGGGGAAACCCUGAUUUUUGAACCCUAGAGUUGCCCCCUUUUGUGCAAUUCAAAAACCAAGCAAAGUUCUAGAUCUUGUCAAGAUGUACAACUUUAGUGUUUUGAGUUUUUGAAGUUUCAUUAUAGAAUUCAAAGUAAUUUUGAAAAUACAGAAUUCAAGAAAGUGUCCCCUUUUCCAAUUUGAACCUCCAAUUCAAAAUCUAUUUGGAAUUUUGAAAAGUGACCAAUAUGAAAGUUGUAGAGCUCAAAAAGUUGAACAACUUUGAUGUUGGGAGUUUUUCAAGUUCUUUGGAAAAAUCAAAAGUAAUUUUGGAAAUCCUGAUCUGCCCCAAUUCAAAAAUUUGAAUAUUCCCAAAUUGGAUUUUGAACUUCAAACUGUUUGGUCAAAUUCACCAUGUUCCACUCAAAAUUAGCUCUGGUCACCAAAAUAUGAUUUGUAGCUUAUAAAAUUUUGCACAACUUUCAUUUUGGUGGCAAUUUGGCUUUAGUUCAAAUUUUAGUCGAAUUUCACAAAAAACAGAGAAGAGGGGAUAAGGGCCAGCUACAGUGAUCCGAUGAGGAUCACCGGUCCCUGUCCAGCGCAGCCGCCGCGCAGGCAGCGCCGCGCGCAUGCGUGCGAGCACGCAGCUGCUUGCUGCCAGUGCCGCCAGGCGACAUGGACGCCCCGGGCUCGCUUCCUCCUCCACUUGAGCCCCAGCGUGGACGACGCCGCCCGAUUUCUCUGCCCACGACCAUGGAACCCCGACGGCUCUCUCUUUCAAAUUCACCGUGCUCAGUCCCUCUCGAGCCAAAUUGAGCACUCCACUGCGUUCGCCACCUCCUUGCGAACCCAGUGCACCCUCGAGCUCACUCCCUAGUCCACUCAAUCGCCGGAGCCCCUCUGUCUUCUCCAACUCCGGCCGGAACCGCCGCCGUGGAGCUCUUCCCGUGGCCACGGUGUUCCCGUCGGUACCACGCCUAUCUAGCGGCCGUUUCAAGUUCUUUCCGUGCUCCAGUUGCUCAUGCGCUCGCUCCUUCUCCCUGGGCGUGAACAGGUCCACCGAAACGACAUCGCCAAGGCUAGAGCGCCCGCCCGACGACACCGCCUCCGUCGCCAGCGACCUUGGCUACUCCCGCGAGCCUUGCAACGUGAGCACCACCCUCUCUAACCUGCGUGGAAGCUCUCUAGCUCAUCCGUUUGCGCUCUACCGAGCUCUAGUGGCCGGUCUACGGGUGACCGCCAUGGCCGCCCGCCUCUCGCGUGGCCGAGGUGGAAGGGAAAGGGUAGAACGAGAGUAGAGGAUGCCGACAGAGUCGCAAAGGCGAGGCGAAGCCGAUGCGCACGCGCGCGCGGGCCGGGAACCACGCUAGCGGCGGCCAGAACCGUGGCCGAGCCGCCGUGCGCGGUAGAGACGAAGCUGACAAGUGGGGUCUUCCUGUCAGCGUCUCGCAGAGAGGAGAGGAGGGGGAGCCUGAUGAGCGGGACCCGCCCGUCAGCGACCGCCUGAGGAAGGAGGAGGCGCGCGCAGCGCCUGUGUGGGCCGAGCGGGAGCGGGCCGGCCUGCGGGCCGAUUUCCCGGCUGCUCGCUGCGCAGCAGUUUUUCUUUUUCUUUUUGUGCAGUUUUUGCUUUAAGUUUGAUUUGGUGUAGAAAAUUGUAGAUUAAUUCAAAAAUCAUGGAAAUUUUUGUAUAGCUUCCAUAAAAUGAAUAGAACAUAGGAAAAAUAUUAGGUUCUGUUUUCUAAUAGUUAGCAAGUGUAUAAAAAUUACAUCUUUUAUUUAAGGAAUAAAACUUCCAGGAAUUUUAAUAAUUUACUGAUAUGUCCAAAAAUCACCAAAAUUUGGGGAAUGUCUCUGAGGAUUAUUCCCUGGCUCCACACAAAAUUUGGUGGCAUUUGGAUAAUGUUUGAAUAAAAUAUUAUUAAACCCCUAUUUAGUACUUAAAUAAUAAUUCUAAAAUAAUUAGAUGAUAAUUAGUUAAAUCCUCCUAAUUGGGGUCGAGUGAUUUUGAAAUUGUGUGGUGACCUAAGGUCAUUAACCCUAACGACCUUUGGCAUUUGGUUAUUGUUUGGCACUAAUGCUUAAUUACUGUCAUUAAUAAUUAAUUAAGGUAAAUAGGAUUAAUAAGUAAUUAAUUUGGGAUAAUUAUGAAUUAAGAGGAGUCUUAGUUUACAGAUGCAACCUCUUGGGUAAAGACACUGAGUUGAUAAGAAACUUUAAUUACUGUUUAGUCUAUGUUGCACCAAGAAGGCAAGUUGUACUCGACUUAGUCCUUCUUGCAUAUUUGUCAUACGCAUAUCAUGAGCAUUCAUCCUUUUUGCGUAUAGUGCCCGUGACCGAAGGAGCGACCGUUGAACCGAACCCCGAGGUCGGUGCACCAUUCGAGGAAGUCGGAUCCGAGACUUGGGAAGUCUCCGAGGGUCCCUCUCUGCCCUGCAACCAAGGCAAGCCCCGGAUGCAUUAACCCCUCCUUGAAUGUUUUAAAUCUUUUAUCACUUAUGAAUUGAAAAUGCUGCAUUAGGUAGUUGAGAAUUGGGUUAACCUACUUGCUGCAUUCACUACCUUGAUUUUUGUUAUCUUGUCCUUUGCACCGUUUAUUUUAAAAAUUGCGUAGAGAUGCUUAGCCCUGCUACUAGAUAGGUUUUCAAACAAAGUUUGAAGGGUUGUUGUGAAAUACACUUAUGAUCUAUGAAAUUUCAAUUUGAGACCGGUCGGUGGACUUGCUUUAAGAAUGGAGUCUUAAAGAAGUGUCUCCAACUGUGUCAGUUAAGGACCGUUCCGUUGAUGGCCUGCUAGGUUGAGACUUUAUAGUACUACCCACUUGCCCUCGGUAAGCCCGAUCUUGUAAUCCCUCGACGCGAACAGCUACUCGCGCAUUGGGCGUGGAGCGAUGGCGAGAGUAGUGUGUACCCACCUUACGGAUCCGAGAUGACCAGGAAACAUCUAGAUCGGCUGUAGGAUGAUGGAGUACUGUGCUCUCGGGUGCCGCGAACCUGGUCAAAUUUGGGGAGAGCUUGAUUUGGGUUGACAUAUGCAAGAUUUGGUUCUACAUAUGUCGGGUGGUUAGGAACUCCAGCUGGAUUGCUAAGCGAUUCGAAUCGUCGUUGCUCCCCGAUUGGGAGACUCAAUUCCUUCGACCCUCAUCGUAGAUAAUUAUGCAACUAAGUGAUAAAAUGAGAAAGGGGAAAUUGUCUCAUGAGGUUCGGAUCCCAAUUCCCGGACUCAGAGUGACAUGAAGCUAUGGCCGUUGGAUAGAUAAUACAUUGAAUAAGGACUAGGAGCUCAUAGACUUGUCUGUGAGAGGCAACUAGAUAGACUGUCCUCGAACUCCUCGGCCUCUCAAGGAGAGGAAUUCGCGGGUAAAACUUGAAAGUAAAGAUGCACUAUUAGUAAGCUUUUCAGCAAAACACUUUGGCUCAUUGGUUAUCCACUCCUUGUCUACCCUAAGCCUGCAUUCCCUAAUUUCUCCUCUUUUCCUACCGGGUAAGUCUUGUUGAGUACUCCCAUACUCAGGGUUUUAUAACCCCUGUUGCAGGUGAAGCUCAAGAGCCGACUUGUUUCGGACCCUGUUGUGUGACCGUCGUCGAGGUUGACGACGAGGAAGAGUGAGCGUGACCCAUGGGUAGGGUCUGUAAAUUUGAAAUCUGUGUUCUAAAGUUUAAGUUGCUCCGCUGGACCAGGCUUGUAAUAACACUUCACUAUUUGGAAGAACUCCUUUUGUAAAUUAAGUUAUGUAAUACUUCCGCUGUUUUACUCUGAAAUGUUAUUUUGAUCGUAUAUCGUCUGUGAUACUGCAACGUCUUCGCAACGAGUGAUCCUGGUGUUAAGGUGGCCACUUGCUAUCCUGUAAGGGAGAGAAGAAGAAGUUCUCGUUAAGUGACCAUCGCUAGUGGUCAGGACGAGUUCGCUUAAUACUCCAUAGGUAGCGGUGGGAUGAGCGUCCUGAGGUGUUCAUCGGACUUCUGGAGUGGGAGGAUCCCCGGCGUCACCGUCAGAGGUCCUUGGGACAAUGACAGGUGUCGGUGGGCCCAAACACUUAGGAGGUUCUGCCACAGCUGGUAUCAGAGCAUUCGUUGCUAGGAUGACUGCUGUAUCCUUUGAAAAACUUCAAAAUCAUUUGGAUCUAAUGCUAUAAACUUGCCUAUUUUGAGUCUAAGUGCUGUAGCCCUAUCUUACCCCUGUCUGUAGGCCUUCUUAGAAUUUUUGAAGUGGUGUGGUGGAGCAACAUAAGGUAUUGCCCUAUGUUGUAAAUUUUUAAGUAAUAUUGUUACGAAUCUCUAGUACGACUCGUAAGUUCGUGCAUGCAUCAUGAUAUAUUACUUGGUUAAAGUUCCUUCCUCCUUAUUCGGGUUGGGUUGCAUAGAAUCAUUCCCAUUCUUGCUAACCUUUAAGGUCUCUCUUACUAAUCCAAACUUACCCUCUACAGGAUGGGCCAUUGGAAACAGACCCCGCGCAAGAGGACUGGUCCAAAAGGAGUCCCUAAACACCCGUUGGCCCCACGAAGCGAUCAAGCAAGCAGUAGCCGUUCACCGCCUCAGCAGGAGGUGGACAGGUUGUCCGCCGAGUUGACCGAAGUGAUGAGAGAAAGGAUGUACAACGUCAUGGAGAUCGGUGAACUUAAAGCCCAACUAACCAAAGAAAAACAAGCCACAGAGAACUGUGAGGCCAUGCUGUCCCGUAUGGUGGAGGAGAGGAAUGCCGCUAUUGCCCGAGAAGAGGAAGCCAGGAGUGCACGCAGGCACGAGCUGACCAGGAUGAAGGCAAAGCUGGACAAAACCAAGUACCUUAAAGAUCUGUACGUGAAGAUGACGGCCACGGUCACCGCGCAGCGGGAUGUCGCGUGGCAGUGGGAGGACUAGCUCCAGUUGGAGAAGCUGGAGCUGGCACAUCAUUUAGACACCGUCAAUGACUUGGCAAUGCAAUAUCGUGAUAUUGCAUUUGACCUAUAUCAUCAACUCCAUCCACCUCUAGGCGAAGGAGAGAUGGAUACGAACGGAGAGUUGGCGGAUGCUGGGGAACCCGAUCAAGACCCUAGUGACGGGGAGGAGUCUGACUCCGGUGAUGACAACCCGGCGGGUAAUCUUGACGAUGGCAAUGACGACCCGGGCUACAGCUCUGGCCACACCGACUAGUUCGGUGAAGCCGCGGGCAACGUCGUUGUAGGAUUUCUAGUUUACCGUAGUGGGGUCAGGUUUGUAGUAUAAAGUUUUCUUUCAGUCUAAGAAGUUGUACACGUUUGUUUGCAGUAUGUUGAACUGAUGUUUGAUAAAUAAAUGGAAGUAUGUAAGAUAUGUUCUAAGUUAUGAAUUUCAUGUGGUAACAAGUACCUAUAACUUUUGUAGCAGAUGCCGAUGCGUACCCGAGGAUCUGAUGGAGCCGGGACGUCUCAGGGAGGGGAGGAUAUCCCCAACCCUCCACCUGCUCCACCUUCUCUGGCUGAUGCCAUUGCUAUCCUUUUGAGUGCCACUACCGACAACGCUCGCUUGCUGCGCGAGUUAGCACAACGUCAACCACACCCCGCCCCAAACCUCAGAGCACAGCACAAUGGGGACGGAGAAACUCGGUACGUGGACUUUACCGAGACCAGGCCCCCGGUAUUCACAAAGGCUGAUGAGCCGUUAGAAGCGGAUGACUAGCUCCGGACCAUGGAGCACAAAUUCAGUCUGAUUCGAUGUUCGGAAACUCAGAAGCCCCUGUUCGCAGCUCAGCAGCUUCGGGGAGCUGCGGGUGCCUGGUGGGAGAACUUUCUAGCCAUCCAAGCUCCGGGACACCAGGUUACCUGGCCAGAGUUUAAGGACGCGUUCCGCGCCGAUUACAUCCCUGAAGGGCUCAUGGCCAUGAAGGCCGAAGAGUUUCUCGCCUUGCAGCAAGGCGAUAAAAGUGUCAUGGAGUACGUGGCAAAAUUUAAUCAUCUUUCUCAAUAUGCCACAGACCAUGUGAACACGGAUAGAAAGAAGAAAGCCUGUUUCAUGCGUGGUCUAAACACUAAACUUCAGACCAUGAUGACCACCUGUCAAAAUGCUACCUUCUACGAGGCGGUAAAUAUUGCCAUCGCCUCAGAAGAAAAGAAUAGAAAGCACAAAGAAGCCAAGAAGAAGGCUGCUUCUUCCUCCCUCUCUGGUCACGGUCAAAAGCGCCAGAGAAUCAUUUAUCAUCCGCAGGGCCACGGACGCUUUCAAGCGCCGUCACCUUAUCGUGGUCCCUUCUCCCCUCCACAAUAUAGACCAGGGCAGCAGGUAUACCCUCAACCUCCUGCCAUCGUCACUGCACCACGCCAGCCGAACGCCCCAGGUGUUCGUCCCACUGCUCCGCCCAGCCACAAUUAUCCUUGUUUCAAUUGUGGUAAGCCUGGGCAUUUUUCUAAAGAAUGCCCUUACCCCCUCCAAACCAUCCCCACCUUCCAAAGGCCACCCACUGGCCAACCCCAGCCAAGCCAAUUCAGGACUGGGGCUCAGAAAGGACAACAGGUGCAAAAGGGUAGACCCGUAAAGAAGACGGGGCAAGUCUUCCAUACAGAGGUGGAGACGAUACCGGAAGGAGAACCGGUGAUGAUGGGUACGUUUCCUGUUGCGAAACAUCCUGCUUUAAUGCUUUUCGAUUCUGGUGCAUCUCAUACAUUCAUCAACCGCACCUUUGUGUUAAAGCAUGGCAUACCCAUUGGGGAAACGAAAGAUCAUUUUUAUAUACAGUCGCCAGGAGGACGGUUGAUGUAAAAAGAAAUGGUUCACCAGGUACCCAUCGAAUUUAGUGGGCAUAGUUUUCCCACUAGCAUGAUUGUUCUUAAGGACCAAGAGAUUGAUGUCAUACUAGGCAUGCAUGAACUGGAUGGCACAACGAGGGGUUGUGCUAGACACUUUGCAUCGAACCAUUAAAAUACCAUUGCCCCAUGAGAAUUCCUAUCUGCUAAUUCAAUUAGUUACUCCCAAGCAGGCAAUUGGGCAAGUUCAUGCCACUAAUGUGUCUGCAGUCCAAGAUAUCCCGGUAGUUCGGGAUUUUCCGGAUGUGUUUCCUGAAGCCUUACCAGGUCUGCCCCCGGACCGGGAUGUCUAGUUCAGUAUAGAAUUGAAACCAGGGACAGCCCCAAUAUCUCGAAGAGCCUACAGAAUGGCACCGAAAGAACUGGCCGAAUUAAAAACCCAACUACAAGAGCUGUUACAGAAAGGUUUUAUUCAGCCCAGCUCCUCACCAUGGGGUUGCCCAGCCUUAUUUGUGAAAAAGAAAGAUCAAACACUAAGGCUGUGUGUCGAUUAUCGUCCCCUGAAUGAGGUGACGAUUGAGAACAAGUACCCAUUGCCCCGUAUUGACUUACUAUUUGACCAGUUGGCCGGGGCCAAAGUGUUCUCAAAAAUUGAUUUGAGAUCAGGGUACCACCAAAUUAAAAUUAGGCCGGAGGAUGUACCCAAAACGGCGUUUACAACCCAUUAUGGGUUGUAUGAAUACUUGGUGAUGUCUUUUGGGUUGACUAAUGCACCAGCCCAUUUCAAGUACCUGAUGAACUCUGUCUUCAUGCCAGAACUAGACAAAUUUGUGGUCGUCUUCAUUGAUGACAUCUUGAUUUAUUCCAAGACCAAGAAAGAACAUGCUGAACAUCUGAGGAUUGUGCUGACCCGUCUUAGGGAGCAUCAAUUAUAUGCCAAGUUCAGCAAAUGUGAGUUCUGGCUGGACAAAGUCCAUUUCCUGGGUGAUGUAUUAUCAGCAGAGGGAGUCGCUGUAGACCCAGGCAAAGUAGAAGAAGUGUUGAAUUGGAAGCCCCCGACUACGGUACAUGAGGUCCGUAGUUUUCUGGGUAUGGCGGGAUAUUACCGUCGUUUUAUCCCAGACUUUUCAAGAGUCGCCAAACCAAUCACGACCUUGCUCAAGAAUCAAACAAAAUUUCUUUGGUCACCUCAAUGUGAGCAAGCCUUUCGAACUCUAAAAGGAUUAUUGACAACUGCACCUGUCUUAGUCCAGCCAGAUAUUGAAAAGCCCUUUGAUGUGUAUUGUGACGCAUCAGGAAUAUGGAUAGGCUGUGUGCUAAUGCAGGAGGGUCGCGUAAUUGCAUAUGCUUCCAGGCAGCUUAAACCACAUGAAGAGAAUUACCCGACCCAUGAUCUUGAACUAGCCGCCGUAGUACAUGCAUUAAAGAUCUGGCGCCAUUACCUGUUGGGAAGCACUUGUCAUCUAUACACAGAUCACAAGAGCUUGAAGUAUAUCUUCACUCAAGCUGAAUUGAAUAUGCGCCAGCGAAGGUGGCUAGAGUUGAUUAAAGAUUACGACCUUGAGGUGCAUUAUCACCCGGGCAAGGCAAAUGUAGUCGCUGAUGCCCUCAGUCGUAAGGCUCACUGUAAUUGUUUAACAGUGACGCCUAAAGAUAUAACUUUGUGCCAAGAGCUAGAGAACUUGGGGAUUGAAAUGAUUUCCCAAGGAAGCCUUGCCAAUCUAAAGAUUGAUUUUAAUCUCGAAGCUCAGAUCAUAGAGGCACAAAAGGAAGAUAAAGGCAUGAAAUAUCUUAAAGAGAAAAUUUCUAAUAGCGCACCCACAGACUUUAAGGUGGAUGAUGCAGGAGUGAUCUGGUUCAAGAACCGGUUAGUGGUUCAACAAAUCGUGGAUGAAGCUCAUACUACCAGAUAUUCUAUUCAUCCGAGAAGCAAUAAGAUGUAUCAGGACCUAAAGCAAAGGUUUUGGUGGACGAAAAUGAAGAUAGAAAUAGCUCGCUAUGUGGCCCAAUGUGACACCUGCCGAAAGGUCAAAGCUAUUCAUCUCAAAUCCGCUGGAGAGUUGCAACCUUUGCCUAUUCCAGCAUGGAAAUGGGAUGAUAUUAGUAUGGAUUUCAUAGUAGGGUUGCCAAAGAUAGCCAAAGGCUUUGAUUCAAUUUGGGUCAUUGUAGAUCGUCUCACCAAAACAGCACACUUCUUGCCUGUAAAGACAUUAUAUCCUACCUCCACCUAUGCUAAGAUUUAUUUUGAUCGUAUACUAAGUCUGCAUGGGGUGCCAAAGACAAUAGUGUCAGAUAGAGGCACACAAUUUGUCUCCCAAUUCUGGAAAUAUUUACACGAGUCCUUGGGCACCAAACUUUUAUACAGUACAGCCUACCACCCUCAAACCGGUGGGCAAACUGAAAGGGUGAAUCAAACCCUAGAAGAUCUAUUAAGAUCUUAUGCCCUGAAUUUUCCAGAUAAGUGGGAUGACUGCUUGCCUCUAGCAGAGUUUUCUUACAACAAUAGCUACCAAGAGAGUAUCAAGAUGGCUCCCUUUGAGGCACUAUAUGGUCGUCGAUGUCGAACUCCAUUACACUGGUCGGAGCCCGGAGAAAGAUGGUUCUUCGGGGUUGACUUAGUGAAAGAGACUGAGAACAAAGUUAGACAAAUCCAAAAUAACUUGAAGGUUGCUCAGUCUCGGCAGAAAAGCUAAACCGAUAAAAGACAUCGACCGUUAAGGUUCGCUAAAGGUGAUCAUGUGUAUUUGAAAGUAUCCCCAAUGAAAGGAGUAAAUCGUUUUGGUGUUAAAGGCAAGUUAGCGCCCCAUUACAUUGGUCCAUUUCCAAUCAUUGACCGAUGUGGACAGGUAGCUUACCGCCUUAAACUGCCCGAACGAUUAUCCGGGAUACAUAAUGUGUUCCAUGUGUCUCAAUUGAAAAAGUGUCUUCGGGUACCAGACCAAGUUCAAGAUGUCGAAGAUGUAGAACUUGAACCGGAUCUGACUUAUGCGGAAUACCCUAUCCGAGUAUUGGACCAAAGAGAUAGAGUAACUCGAAGAACAACUACCAAGUGGUACAAGGUGCAAUGGAGCCAGCACUCUGAAGAGGAAGCCACAUGGGAAUCUGAAGAUUUUCUAAUGGAGAAUUUCCCUGAGUUCUACGCUUCUCAUCAAGACAACAUUUGAUAAAUAGGGAGUGUACUCUAGUGAAGGAAAGGAAUAGUUAAAGUCAUGUACUUAGUGCACAUAUAUGUUUAUAAUGGAAUAGUUUUCCCCAGCUUCUUGUUUUAUGAAGAGAGUCGAAGAUGAAAUAGUUUGACACAUUUCCUUUUCCAUUACAUACCCUAAGGCUUUAAAUCUCGGGGACAAGAUUUCUUUAAGGGGGAAGGGCUGUAACAUCCCCGAUGUUACGGUUACUAAAAUUUGGAUCAUGUCAUCAUGAGCAUUGCAUUGCAUACCUGUUAAGCACAUUAUUAUGCAUCCACCUAAAACAAGUUUAUUUUGAAUGGUUGUGCUUAGGGAAUUAAAGUGUGUAUAUGUGGUGUAUGGAUGCUUGUGUUGGGUGCUAAAACCCUAGGGUGAAAGAUUCCCGAAAGAUUAGGGGGGGGAAACCCUGAUUUUUGAACCCUAGAGUUGCCCCCUUUUGUGCAAUUCAAAAACCAAGCAAAAUUUGAGGUUGAGUUCAAAAGCAGAGUUGUAGAUCUUUUCAAGAUGUACAACUUUAGUGUUUUGAGUUUUUGAAGUUUCAUUAUAGAAUUCAAAGUAAUUUUGAAAAUACAGAUUUCCAGAAAGUGUUCCCUUUUCCAAUUUGAACCUCCAAUUCAAAAUCUAUUUGGAAUUUUGAAAAGUGACCAACAUGAAAGUUGUAGAGCUCAAAAAGUUGAACAACUUUCUUGUUGGGAGUUUUUCAAGUUGUUUGGAAAAAUCAAAAGUAAUUUUGGAAAUCCUGAUCUGCCCCAAUUCAAAAAUUUGAAUUUUCCCAAAUUGGAUUUUGAACUUCAAACUGUUUGGUCAAAUUCACCAUGUUCCACUCAAAAUUAGCUCUGGUCACCAAAAUAUGAUUUGUAGCUUAUAAAAUUUUGCACAACUUUCAUUUUGGUGGCAAUUUGGCUUUAGUUCCAAUUUUGGUCGAAUUUCACAAAAAACAGAGAAGAGGGGAUAAGGGCCAGCUACAGUGAUCCGAUGAGGAUCACCGGCCCCUGUCCAGCGCAGCCGCCGCGCAGGCAGCGCCGCGCGCAUGCGUGCGAGCACGUAGCUGCUUGCGGCCAGUGCCGCCAGGCGACGUGGACGCCUUGGGCUCGCUUCCUCCUCCACUUGAGCCCCAGCGUGGACGAUGCCGCCCAAUUUCUCUGCCCACGACCAAGGAAUCCCGACGGCUCUCUCUUUCAAAUUCACCGUGCUCAGUCCCUCUCGAGCCAAAUUGAGCACUCCACCGCGUACGCCACCUCCUUGCGAACCCAGUGCACCCCCGAGCUCACUCCCUAGUCCACUCAAUCGCCGGAGCCCCUCUAUCUUCUCCAACUCCGGCCGGAACCGCCGCCGUGGAGCUCUUCCCGUGGCCACGGUGUUCCCGUCGGUACCACGCCUCUCUAGCAGCCGUUUCAAGUUCUUUCCGUGCUCCAGUUGCUCAUGCGCUCGCUCCUUCUCCCUGGGCGUGAACAGGUCCACCGGAACGACAUCACCAAGGCUAGAGCGCCUGCCCGACGACACCGCCUCCGUCGCCAGCGACCUUGGCCACUCCCGCGAGCCUUGCAACGUGAGCACCACCCUCUCUAACCUGCGUGGAAGCUCUCUAGCUCGUCUGUUUGCGCUCUACCGAGCUCUAGUGGCCGGUCUACGGGUGACCGCCAUGGCCGCCCGCCUCUCGCGUGGCCGAGGUGGAAGGGAAAGGGUAGAACGAGAGUAGAGGAUGUCGACAGAGUCGCAAAGGCGAGGCGAAGCCGAUGCGCACGCGCGCGCGGGCCAGGAACCACGCUAGCGGCAGCCAGAACCGUGGCCGAGCCGCCGUGCGCGGUAGAGACGAAGCUGACAAGUGGGGUCUUCCUGUCAGCGUCUCGCAGAGAGGAGAGGAGGGGGAGCCUGACGAGCGGGACCCGCUCGUCAGCGACCGCCUGAGGAAGGAGGCGCGCGCAGUGCCCGUGUGGGCCGAGCGGGAGCGGGCCGGCCUGCGGGCCGAUUUCCCGGCUGCUCGCUGCGCAGCAGUUUUUCUUUUUCUUUUUGUGCAGUUUUUGCUUUAAGUUUGAUUUGGUGUAGAAAAUUGUAGAUUAAUUCAAAAAUCAUGGAAAUUUUUGUAAAGCUUCCAUAAAAUGAAUAGAACAUAGGAAAAAUAUUAGGUUCUGUUUUCUAAUAGUUUGCAAGUGUAUAAAAAUUACCUCUUUUAUUUAAGGAAUAAAAUUUCUAGGAAUUUUAAUAAUUUAUUGAUAUGUCCAAAAAUCACCAAAAUUUGGGGAAUGUCUCUGAGGAUUAUUCCCUGGCUCCACACAAAAUUUGGUGGCAUUUGGAUAAUGUUUGAAUAAAAUAUUAUUAAACCCCUAUUUAGUACUUAAAUAAUAAUUCUAAAAUAAUUAGAUGAUAAUUAGUUAAAUCCUCUAGUUAAAUCCUCCUAUUUGGGGUUGAGUGAUUUUGAAAUUGUGUGGUGACCUAAGGUCAUUAACCCUAACGACCGUUGGCAUUUGGUUAUUGUUUGGCUCUAAUGCUUAAUUACUGUCAUUAAUAAUUAAUUAAGAAUUAAUUAAGGUAAAUAGGAUUAAUAAGUAAUUAAUUUGGGAUAAUUAUGAAUUAAGAGGAGUCUUAGUUUACAGAUGCAACCUCUUGGGUAAAGACACUGAGUUGAUAAGCAACUUUAAUUAUUGUUUAGUCUAUGUUGCACCAAGAAGGCAAGUUGUACUCGACUUAGUCCUUCUUGCAUAUUUGUCAUACGCAUAUCAUGAGCAUUCAUCCUUUUUGCGUAUAGUGCCCGUGACCGAAGGAGCGACCGUUGAACCGAACCCUGAGGUCGGUGCUCCGUUCGAGGAAGUCGGAUUCGAGACUUGGGAAGUCUCCGAGGGUCCCUCUCUACCCUGCAACCAAGGCAAGCCCCGGAUGCAUUAACCCCUCCUUGAAUGUUUUAAAUCUUUUAUCACUUAUGAAUUGAAAAUGCUGCAUUAGGUAGUUGAGAAUUGGGUUAACCUACUUGCUGCAUUCACUACCUUGAUUUUUGUUAUCUUGUCCUUUGCACCGUUUAUUUUAAAAAUUGCGUAGAGAUGCUUAGCCCUGCUACUAGAUAGGUUUUCAAACAAAGUUUGAAGGGUUGUUGUGGAAUACACUUAUGAUCUACGAAAUUUCAAUUUGAGACCGGUCGGUGGACUUGCUUUAAGAAUGGAGUCUUAAAGUAGUGUCUCCAACUGUGUCGGUUAAGGACCGUUCCGUUGAUGGCCUGCUGGGUUGAGACUUUAUAGAACUAGCCACUUGCCCUCGGUAAGCCCGAUCUUGUAAUCCCUCGACGCGAACAACUACUCGCACACUGGGCGUGGAGCGAUGGCGAGAGUAGUGUGUACCCACCUUACGGAUCUGAGAUGACCGGGAAACAUCUAGAUCGGCUGUAGGAUGGUGGAGUACUGUGCUCUCGGGUGCCGCGAACCUGGUCAAAUUUGGGGAGAGCUUGAUUUGGGUUGACAUAUGCAAGAUUUGGUUCUACAUAUGUCGGGUGGUUAGGAACUCCAGCUGGAUUGCUAAGCGAUUCGAAUCGUCGUUGCUCCCCAAUUGGGAGACUCAAUUCCUUCGACCCUCAUCGUAGAUAAUUAUGCAACUAAGUGAUAAAAUGAGAAAGGGGAAAUUGUCUCAUGAGGUUCGGAUCCCAAUUCCCAGACUCAGAGUGACAUGAAGCUAUGGCCGUUGGAUAGAUAAUACAUUGAAUAAGGACUAGGAGCUCACAGACUUGUCUGUGAGAGGCAACUAGAUAGACUGUCCUCGAACUCCUCGGCCUCUCAAGGAGAGGAAUUCGCGGGUAAAACUUGAAAGUAAGGAUGCACUAUUAGUAAGCUUUUCAGCAAAACACUUUGGCUCCUUGCUCAGCCACUCCUUGUCUACCCUAAGUCUGCAUUCCCUAAUUUCUCCUCUUUUCCUACCGGGUAAGUCUUGUUGAGUACUCCCGUACUCAGGGUUUUAUAACCCCUGUUGCAGGUGAAGCUCAAGAGCCAACUUGUUUUGGACCCUGUUGUGUGACCGUCGUCGAGGUUGACGACGAGGAAGAGUGAGCGUGACCCAUGGGCAGGGUCUGUAAAUUUGAAAUCUGUGUUCUAAAGUUUAAGUUGCUCCACUGGACCAGGCUUGUAAUAACACUUUACUAUUUGGAAGAACUCCUUUUGUAAAUUAAGUUAUUUAAUACUUCCGCUGUUUUACUCUAAAAUGAUAUUUUGAUCGUAUAUCGUCUGUGAUACUGCAACGUCUUCGCAACGAGUGAUCCUGGUGUUAAGGUGGCCACUUGCUAUCCUGUAAGGGAGAGAAGAAGAAGUUCUCGUUAAGUGACUAUCGCUAGUGGUCAGGAUGAGUUCGCUUAAUACUCCACAGGUACGGUUGGAUGAGCGUCCUGAGGUGUUCAUCGGACUUCUGGAGUGGGAGGAUCGCCGGCGUCACCGUCAGAGGUCCUUGGGACAAUGACAGGUGUCGGUGGGCCCAAACACUUAGGAGGUUCUGCCACAAUUUUCCCAGAAACCAGGAAGAACUUGAAGAGAUGGCUAAUGCGCGGGUUCCCGAUGAGUUCAUCUUCUGCAGGGACGCCAAUACUUAUCGGAUGGAGUCAAGGGAAAAUCAUCGCCCAUCGGUAAGGCAGCGGCAACUUCUUCCAUGGUGACCAGAGGGGUUGACCAGGACACAGAAGAGAAGACUGCAGCGCGAGAGGCGAGAAGAGUUAAGCAAGGGCGAGAACUCUGGCCAGUCUGGUGAUCAGCAACAACCAGAUCCUAAGGGAAAAGGGCCAUCGGCAGACAUCAACAUGGUAUUCAUGUUGCCGAUGGAAUUCCUUGUGCCAUCCAGUGAUGAUGAAUUGGAGUUUUUCGACCAAAUACCUCAGUUGGCUCUGGAUCCGAUGACAACCAUAUUUGAAAAGCCUGCCGAUGAUGAAAGGCAACAUCUUAAGGCUCUGUUUGUCAAAGGAAGGGUUGAUGGUCAGCAGAUGACCAAGAUUUUAAUUGAUGGUGGAGCUGCUAUCAAUAUCAUGCCAUACACAGUGUAUCGGAAGCUUGGAAAAGGAGAUCAGGAUUUGACCAAGACCGAUAUGAUGCUUAAAGACUUUGAAGGGAAUGUGUCUCCGAUCAAGGGAGCCAUAUGCGUUGAAUUGACCAUCGGCAGUAAAACCUUGCCGACAACCUUCUUCGUGAUCAGUGGAAAGGGUGCUUAUAACUUACUGUUGGGAAGAGAUUGGAUUCAUGCCAAUUGUUGCAUCCCGUCUACAAUGCACCAGUGCUUGGUCCAGUGGGUAGGCGACAAGAUUGAGAUUGUCCCGGGAGAUUCUUUCUAUGUUAUUGCAUCGGCAGAGGCAGACACCUACGAGAGAACUAGGUGUAUUUCAGGAGAAGUUUGAGAAAAGGAUUUUCUCAAGGUUGCCGAUUGUUGACACUUCUUAACGCAACCACCGGAUAUCGGCGACGGCGCCAGAAGUGCCCUGGUAGGGUAACUCUAUUUACUAUUGGAUAAUUCCGCAAGCGCACAGAAUGUACCGCUGUAGCACUUCACCAAGGAGUAUUCCAAGGUAUCGUAAUUUAUAUUUUCCCAAGGGAAAGCGGCUAAGUGUGUUUAACAAAAAGGGGAAUGAGAUUCCUUGAGUUGUCUAGUAUCAACUAGUGAAUAAGGGUGGUAAAUAACGAAUAGGAAGGGUAGUGGUGAAUCCAAGGUCCUAUGCUAAAGGUAAAUGGUAGAGUUAGCUAGGUGGGAGGACAACGAGUGAGUAAAGGACUCCUAUGUAUCUAACUUGACUUCUGUGACUUACUUUAAUAGAUAAUUGCCUUAACUACGCUAGAGCCUUACUAACUGUGUGCGAGGGAUAGCCGAGCUGGUAAGACGCUUAGAAGGUUUUUCACCUAACCCCUUACCGAAAGCGACUAUUGGGCUUAUGGACGCCUUACCUUUUAAGAACUAGCCUGUACGUGAGGAGAACCUAAUGCCGCCCACGAUCUGUCACCUACUAGGGAGUGCGCUCCUACUUUCCGUUCAAGCCAGCGGUAAUCAAAGGUAAUCUUAAGUAUGAGCACCACGCUCACACUUAAUCCUACAACUCUAACUAGUUGCAGCUAGCUAGAGCUCCUAUACAAGAUAGGACGAUGAUGCACACACAGGAGUGGUUACAGGUCACUAACUUCACUAAGACAACUAUAUUACUAAAGUAAAUGCACAACAAGACUAAAAGACUUGCACUAAGUAAGAACUCAGUAAAGUAAAGUAAGAAUAAUAUAUUAAUAAAAGGAAAGUCUUACAAAAGUAGAAAGGUACAAGAGCUAUACCAGACUCUCCAGAAGACGACUCCGGAGACCCCGAGCUUCGCUCGACUCGACUCUAACUCCCACUCUAGACUAACUACUACUCUACUUGUAUGCUUGGAACUUGUAAUGCACUUGGCCUUGGAAUUGCACACUUGAAAUGAAGGGUGGAGGCUGCCUUUUAUAGAGGGAGAUGGAGUAGGGGUUACUCCAUCGCCACGUCAUCGAUCCGCGUGACAUCUUCUCUCCACCCUUGGAUCAAACCGACCUCACAACCGCCAUUUGAUCAACGGCAGGGGCAAAUCAACAUGUGGGACAUGUGGGGAAGGUCGGUGGGAGGCCACCGACCCUGGAACCGCCUUUGAUGUGGGGUCGGGCGACCCCACUUCUGGGCCUCUGGGCCCACCAGCAGUGUCCACAGGGGUCCCUUAUGUCGGUGGACUAGGUGGCACACCUGGGUCCCACCAAAGAGGGGUCGGGCGACCCCCUCCCUGUGGGCCCAGGGUGUCACCUGUUGUCCCCUCGAUCUCCUCUUGAUGAUUUUGAUGUUGGCUUUGUCAAAUAAUGUCUUGAAUUUGUUGUUCCUGCAUAAACAAGCUAAGAGUACAAGUGGAACUAGUUAUGGAUAAAAUAUGUUCAUGUCAUGUCAUUUCCCCUUGCAACCGAGGCAUGUUGACGGUGUUUUGUAUGUGGAUUUCUAUGGUAUAUCCACCGUCAACAAGAUCCCCCAAGCUUAACCUUUGCUCGUCCCGAGCAAACAAUCAAACUUAGCCUCGGUGGAUCAGGUAUUGUUACUAUGUUCACAUUUCAAGAGUACCAUGUGUACAACAAAGUUCUUCUCUUUGCAUGAAAAAUUUAGCUAUGUAAACUUACCCCUAUUACCUUAGUCCCUUAUGGGGCUUAUGGAUUUUCCUUUGUCUUAGGUGGUUGAGAGACAGAACAGUUUGACUUGAGCACUAACUUUCUCAUUCUUAGCAAGUUUCAUAUCAGAGGUUUUGUGAUAUUUUCAAAAGAAAGCUUAAAUGUUCCUCUUAUGGUUCUCUCAUGUCACUCAAAUGGUGUAUGAUUCCUCACCAAGGCAUAUGGUAAGAGUUGCCUUCUCUAUUUCAUCCUAUUUCUAAAAGGCUUAUGUGGAGUUCAAGGUAGGGAUGAAAGGAGAUAGCAUACUUACUUUGCAUGUAUUGCGAAGUCAAAGCUCGGAUCCUUGAAGAGAAGUGUCAUACUCCCAGAUCAAGAUGUGCAAGUGUGAUAUAUGGUGGACUAGGUUGCUCCUUUAUUUGAUAGACUCUCUAUGUAUUGAGACAUGGCUAGCAUUUUUUUCUUCUUUUUUUUUCUUUUUUUUUAUAUAUGAGCUUUCAUGUGCUCAAUUUUCUUUUUCUGUGGACUUGCACAUGUCCAUCUUUUUAUUUCAUUUUGCCUAGCCUUUUGAUGUCUCAUUUACCAAAUAAUGCUUAGAGAGAUGUUCUAACAUUUAGAGUAUGGAGCAACCUAUUUAGUGGAUGCGAAAUACAUGUGGUUGCGUACUUCCAGUGUAGAAGCAGCAUAUAUAUAUGUGGUGUGUACGUGAUCUUGAUCUUAGGAGCAUGAAAAGUCUCUUAACAAGGGUCAACAAGACUUGACGACACUCAACCCAAAGCAAAUAGCUUAUGUGGAAAGGUUGCAAUUAUGUAAAGUAGAUAUGGCUGUGGUAGGAAUUCAUCACCAUUGAGGAACAAUUAAGGUUUUGAUCAUUUUAAGAAUAAAUCUCUGAUAAUCAUGCAUGCUUAGAAAAAUAUUAUAGUAGCUCUUGUCUUACUAUCUCAUGUCCCACAACAACUUAGACUUAGUUCUAACACUUGCAACCCACAAAGUUUUUAGGUUCAUGGCAGUUUAAGUGAGCUAAGUGAUCCAUACUUAGUGAAAUACUAAGUUGUAUACUAGGCACUAGAGAAACAUUAACAAGCAACUAGUCAUCAUUUCCAUGAGGGAUAUAAACAUACAUGAAGCAUAUAUGCUAAAGGGAAAUGCUAAUAAAUAUUUUUUUUAAGUAAGAAUGAUAAAAUGCAUGAAAAUAAAUAGGAUAGAAUACUUACCUUAGUGGGGGAGAGGAUCUCCCCCAAGCUAGAUCUUCGCUCACUGUGGUGGCGGAAAAUUCUGGUACCAUCCAGCCCAGCGUUGUGCGUCUUCCUCUCGCACACGUCGGAUAUGUUGGCCGUUUUGUAACGCCAGUUGCAAUGUUGCUUCUUGCCCAAUCUGCAAUUCGCCCAUGUCAUUAAUGAGACUGUCCAUACCUGUGGGCUGGUGACGCCUAGCCUUGUCCCUUGGGCGUGGAGUGCGUUGUGGAGGUAGACCCAUGGAGUCUGAAGCAUCUACUGACAUCGCUUCAUCGCCCUCUUCAACGUCAUGGUGCGAGGAUCCUCCUUGCUCCAUCUGGGCGGCUUGCAUCAUCCUUCUUGUCACCCUGCGUGUCCCUGCAAUAUCUGGACUUGCCACUUGGGCUAGUCUAAUGGUAAGUGUGCGGACCCCAUACAACCGGCGCCUCGCACAUGGGAGAGGAAUUUCGGUUGUAUAGCCCGGAUAAAUCAUUUUAAGUUCACCAUUUGGAUUUCUUAUGAGCAUGUUAGCAUUGAUAAAGAAGUUCUCAUCUACCACUCCUCUAACAUAGCCAAUGUCUUCAAAAUAAUGUGAUUCAAGUAAUCCAAAAGUAUCGGCUAUUCGAGUAAUAAAGGAUGUGAAAUAGAUGGGCUUCCCAUACUCAAUAGAGUUAAGCCAAUAGUUCACUAGCAGUUUCACAGGGGAGACCUUGAUUUUACUAACCAUGGCAUAGAGAAUUUUAAGUUCAUCAUCAAUUAAAGUAUCAGUUCCCAUGCCAGGAUAUAGAGUGCACAUGAUCCAGAAGUGAAGAAAGCGCAAGGUUGGAUUAUGGAUUUCAAUGGGAGUAGGAUUUGAACAAUCAUUAGAGCCAGAAAUUGCUUUCCAGAAUCUAAAUUUAUCGAACAUUCUAGUGGCAUGAUCUAGAUCAAGUUCACAUUCAUGUUCACACCCUAAAGCAGUGUUUAGCAAACUCCAAUUUAAUUGAUGUUCUUGCUCACACAUGCGAAAAGAUAUUCCAUUAUUUGUGAGUUUUAGGGUGCAUAGAAAUUCCUUAGCAAGCAAUUCUUUUCCAAAUUCAGGCACUUGCCAAAAACUACUCCAACCAAUUGCUCUAAACACCUUAUCGAAUUCAACAUCCAUACCUGUGCGGGCCAAAAGGUCCGGAUCGAUGAUGCUAGUGUGUAGGAAGAGACCCUCUCGGAUGAUGUAGUACCUUUGCAACUCUUCUUGGCUUAACAUGAGGCCGCUCUCGGGCUCUCUCAUCCUUGAUGGAGGCUCGUAGGGUACCAUCCCAUGGUAACCUUCUUCUUCCUCCCUUCCAUGAGCAUGGUGAGAGCCUUGAGAAGAGCUCUCACCCUUUGCUUUCUUGAACUUGCCGAAGAUAUGCUUCUUCAUCCUCCUACACAAGUGAGGCAAACCAAGCUCCUACUACUACUACUAUGCAAGGGGAAUCUUUUUGGGUUUUUGUUUUGAUGACUAUUUCUAAACUAAACUUGAGAAAUGGCUUGUAACAAAGAGAGAAGAGAAAGGAUUGUGAGCUCGAAAUGGUUCUGGUGGUUUUGGGUGUGGAGUUGAGCUCACAAUGCUGUGGUAUUUAUAGGGGGAGAAGGGCAAGUAGUGGACCCACAAUAUAGGGGUCGGCCGACCCCCCCUAGAAGCACUUUGAAUUUGAACUUAGCUUUAUACAGGGAACCAUUCUGCAUGCUUUCAAGAUUUUGCAGAGAUGGUCCAAAAUGGGGGUCGGCCGACCCCCAUCCUAGCCCCUCCUCCACUUUAAACAUUGUGUCAUUGAUUGUCCAGAAAAGUAAAGGCUAGGUGUGGACCAAAAGUUUUCAAAUUGUUUCUGAGAUUCCCUGUUUUAGUGCUUUGUGAAAGGUAAAAGAUGAAUGGCAAAAGUGGAGACAUGUCUAAAGUGAUUCCUAUGGACCAUGGGAGCACUCAAGCAUGCCUAGGUGACCACUUUGCAGAAUUUAAGCUAGUGGAGUGGUCCCAAAAGAAUCAAAGAUGAAAGGAGCAUCUUAUGACUAAAGUAAAGGAUCAAGGGACCACUCUUUUUCAAACUUUAGCUAGUGUUACAAGCAUAGGACUCCAUUGUGAUUCAAAUGGUGGCCAGCAGGAGGCAAGUGGGGCCAAUAUGGGGGUCGGCCGACCCCCACAUUGGAGCUCCCAGAGCAUCCAAGUGCUGGGUUGGAACCUCUAUGACUAGCAAGGUUGAAAUGUGGUGAAGUGGGCCCCAAGGUGGGGUCGGGCGACCCCCCUUUGGGAGCUCCAGCAGCUCAAAUUUUUAUGACAAGUUAUUCUCAAGAUUUUAUUUAUUAUGGCUAAACAUUUUGUCGAGAUAAGAUAUGCAAAAUUCAAAGUAAGAAUGCAAUUGAAAAGUGAAUAGUAGAAAUUGAAAUGCAGAAAAUAAAUAUGGGAUAACUACUGAUUUACCUUAUCAGCAAGGGCUCCAUGUUUUAGGUCCGUAGAGCAGGACCUCUCCAUCUUGUUCAUUCUUCGGGUGCAUCAGAUGGUCCCGGAGACGUGGACCUUGAUUGCACCUCUUUCUCCCGCCAUACUUGCUUGGUAUUGAUUUUUGGUUCAGCGGGUUCCUCUUCUUUCUUUUCGGCCCUUUUGGCCGACUUACCUCUCUUGUCCCUUCGGCGUCGGAUGUGGCGAGGCUUAGUCGGAGGUUCUUUGUCCUUCACCUGCAUGUUAGCUUUAUAACCAUUGAAUGGACAUUUUACCUUCCAUCCUGGGAAUUGGAGGUGAAUCUGGCCGGACCCCACAUAGAUGACUGCAUUGACCGUGUUGAGGAAUGGCCUUCCCAAGAUGAUCGAGACAUCAUUAUUGGAUCCCAUAUCCAAAAUGAUGAAGUCGGCAGGGUCGUAGUCGUCUUGGACCUUUACCAGUAUGUCCCUUGCCAACCCCUCAGGGAACCUGAUCGUCUGAUCUGCCAUCUGCAAACGAACAAAUGUGGGGUGAAAAGGCCCCCCUAGCAAAUUAUCAUAAGUUACCUUGGCCAUGAUGUUGACACCCGAUCCAAGGUCGCAGAAGGCGUUGUGGAAGAUUUGCGGUCCGAUCUCACAGGUGAUGGUCGGCAGGCCUGGGUCGUCUUUCUUGGUGAUGAAGGGCGAAUCCAGAAGAUAGCUCCAGUUGGAUUGUACCGGAGGCUUACCGAACCUCGUAGUAACUAGUUUAACUCCUUCAAUUGGGUCCUCAGGUUUCCCUGGGAUCUUACCUUGCUCGAAGGAUGGGACAGCUGCUGCUAAUUGAGCUAAUUGUGUUUCUAGCAUUUUGUUAAAGCUCAACUGAUUUUUCAUAGCAGAGUUAAAGCUAUCCAACUUUUCACUUAAGUUUUCAAGGAUCUUAUCAUUAGCCAUCAUUUUCUUGUUAAUGCUAUCAUUGAUUUUAGAUUGGCCUAAGACAAGAUCUCUAAGAGAAGGUUGGUUACCAAAAGAAUUAUUGAAAUUUUGAUUGUAACCAUUACCUUGAUUACCUUGGUAGAAGGGGCGCGAGUUCCAUUGCUGUUGUUGGGGCCGGUACCCAUUGUUGUUGUUGUUGUUGAUGAAGCUCACUUCCUCCUUUGUUUCGGGACAAUUGUUUCCCGAAUGAUCAUCUCCUCCGCACACUUCGCACCAUGAAUCAGAUUCAAUGGCCCGUGUAGUGGCGUAAGGUUGAAUGGCCUCUUGCUUGGAACUUUCUUCCAUCUUCUUCAUUAAGAGGUCCAUCUUAGCAGAGAGCAUGUCCACCUCAUUCAAGGCAUGGACACCUCUUCUCUUGGGUUGGAGGCGUUCCUCAUUCCAUCCUUGGUUUAUAACCAUCUUUUCAAUGAGGUCCUUGGCAUCCUUGACAUUGUGUUGCAAGAAUGCUCCUCCAGCGGCAGCAUCAAGGUGACUACGGGCCAAACCGGUCAGGCCAUGGUAGAAACCUUGGAUUAGGAGCCACUCCUCUAUCCCAUGAUGAGGACAGGCGCGAAUGUACUCCUACAGACGUUCCCAUGCUUCGGGAAUCGUCUCAUCCGCUUGCUGUUGGAAGCUGGAAAUCUUUCCACGAAGGGCGCUGGUCUUGCCCAUCGGAAAGAACUUCUUGAGAAAUGCAUUGGCGCACCUCUCCCACGUGGUCACUUCACCCUUGUUGGCGUAGAACCAUUGCUUCGCCUUCCCCAAUAACGAGAAUGGGAAGAGGCGAAGACGGAUGGCGUCUGCGGCGACAUUCUUGAUGGUGAAGGUGCCGCACACCUCCAAGAAGUGUUGGAGAUGGGCAUUGGCAUCCUCGUGUGGCUUUCCACAGAAGGGAUUGGCUUGCACCAUAUUGAUAAGCGCAGGCUUCAACUCAAAAGUCGCAUCCCCCAAGUUAAGCUGCGGACCCGUGGCGACAUUGUCAGCCGACGGCGCAGAGUACUCAGAGAUGGUCUUCUGGGCCAUAGCUUCUUUGAUAACCGGUGCAGAUACUCCUUCCUCUAACGGAUUCAGGUUCGAGAUGAACCUUUGAGGUGGAACUUGACGACGUCUAGUUCUCCUCAACAGUUGCUCAGGAUCUUCAACGAAGUUUGACGGCAAUUGGAAACCGCUCAUACACUGUCAGGCUUCACAAUAAAGGAAGACAAGACAAGUGAUGGGUUAUCCCUAUCACUACUUGAUAACUAGCAAACUCUGGAUUCUCUUUUUGUUAAAACUCUUAGACAGACGCUCUCCCCGGCAACGGCGCCAGAAAUGCUUGUUGACACUUCUUAACGCAACCACCGGAUAUCGGCGACGGCGCCAGAAGUGCCCUGGUAGGGUAACUCUAUUUACUAUUGGAUAAUUCCGCAAGCGCACAGAAUGUACCGCUGUAGCACUUCACCAAGGAGUAUUCCAAGGUAUCGUAAUUUAUAUUUUCCCAAGGGAAAGCGGCUAAGUGUGUUUAACAAAAAGGGGAAUGAGAUUCCUUGAGUUGUCUAGUAUCAACUAGUGAAUAAGGGUGGUAAAUAACGAAUAGGAAGGGUAGUGGUGAAUCCAAGGUCCUAUGCUAAAGGUAAAUGGUAGAGUUAGCUAGGUGGGAGGACAACGAGUGAGUAAAGGACUCCUAUGUAUCUAACUUGACUUCUGUGACUUACUUUAAUAGAUAAUUGUCUUAACUACGCUAGAGCCUUACUAACUGUGUGCGAGGGAUAGCCGAGCUGGUAAGACGCUUAGAAGGUUUUUCACCUAACCCCUUACCGAAAGCGACUAUUGGGCUUAUGGACGCCUUACCUUUUAAGAACUAGCCUGUACGUGAGGAGAACCUAAUGCCGCCCACGAUCUGUCACCUACUAGGGAGUGCGCUCCUACUUUCCGUUCAAGCCAGCGGUAAUCAAAGGUAAUCUUAAGUAUGAGCACCACGCUCACACUUAAUCCUACAACUCUAACUAGUUGCAGCUAGCUAGAGCUCCUAUACAAGAUAGGACGAUGAUGCACACACAGGAGUGGUUACAGGUCACUAACUUCACUAAUACAACUAUAUUACUAAAGUAAAUGCACAACAAGACUAAAAGACUUGCACUAAGUAAGAACUCAGUAAAGUAAAGUAAGAAUAAUAUAUUAAUAAAAGGAAAGUCUUACAAAAGUAGAAAGGUACAAGAGCUAUACCAGACUCUCCAGAAGACGACUCCGGAGACCCCGAGCUUCGCUCGACUCGACUCUAACUCCCACUCUAGACUAACUACUACUCUACUUGUAUGCUUGGAACUUGUAAUGCACUUGGCCUUGGAAUUGCACACUUGAAAUGAAGGGUGGAGGCUGCCUUUUAUAGAGGGAGAUGGAGUAGGGGUUACUCCAUCGGCACGUCAUCGAUCCGCGUGACAUCUUCUCUCCACCCUUGGAUCAAACCGACCUCACAACCGCCAUUUGAUCAACGGCAGGGGCAAAUCAACAUGUGGGACAUGUGGGGAAGGUCGGUGGGAGGCCACCGACCCUGGAACCGCCUUUGAUGUGGGGUCGGGCGACCCCACUUCUGGGCCUCUGGGCCCACCAGCAGUGUCCACAGGGGUCCCUUAUGUCGGUGGACUAGGUGGCACACCUGGGUCCCACCAAAGAGGGGUCGGGCGACCCCCUCCCUGUGGGCCCAGGGUGUCACCUGUUGUCCCCUCGAUCUCCUCUUGAUGAUUCUGAUGUUGGCUUUGUCAAAUAAUGUCUUGAAUUUGUUGUUCCUGCAUAAACAAGCUAAGAGUACAAGUGGAACUAGUUAUGGAUAAAAUAUGUUCAUGUCAUGUCAUUUCCCCUUGCAACCGAGGCAUGUUGAUGGUGUUUUGUAUGUGGAUUUCUAUGGUAUAUCCACCGUCAACACCGAUUAUGAAAUUCCACCGAUCCAAGCAGUCGGUUCUGAUGAAGGUUUUUAAUGGAUAGGUUCGCCGAUGAUGGAAAAUUAGGCCAGGGAUUCACAUCGGCCGAUGAUUUGGUAGAAGUAGACAUAGGUAGUGGUGAUAAGCCUAGACCUACUUUUAUUAGUGCUAAGUUAAAUUCUGAGUGUAAGCAGCAGUUAACUGAUUUGGACCCUGGUUUGAUAGCUUUGCUUGGGCUUAUACCGAGAUGCCUGGUUUGGACCGAUCAAUUGUUGAACAUCGGUUACCUAUCAAGUCUGGAUUUCGGCCACAUCAACAGCCAGCUCGCCAACGUAAUCCUAAUAUUCUCCCUGAUAUUAAGGACGAAAUCACUAAACUUAUUGAAGCUAAAUUUAUACGGCAGUGUCGGUAUGCUGAGUGGAUUUCCAAUGUUGUUCCGGUCUAUAAGAAAAAUGGGAAGCUUCGGGUCUCCAUUGAUUUCAGGAAUCUUAACAAAGCUACACCUAUGGAUGGCUACCCAAUGCCAGUUGCCGAUCUGCUAGUUGAUGCUGCGGCUGGGCAUCGGAUUCUCAGCUUUAUGGAUGGCAAUGCAGGAUACAAUCAAAUAUUCAUGGCUGAAGAAGAUAUUCCAAAGACUGCAUUUAGAUGUCCUGGUCAUGUUGGGUUAUUUGAAUGGAUAGUUAUGACCUUUGGCUUGAAGAAUGCUGGUGCUACUUAUCAAAGAGCUAUGAAUUUUAUAUUUCAUGAGUUCAUCGGCAAGCUGGUGGAGAUUUAUAUUGAUGAUGUGGUGGUUAAGUCCGGAGACUUCACAAAGCAUCUUGCCGAUUUGCGAAAGGUGUUGGAAUGCACAAGGAAACAUAUAGAUUUAAUACCAGCACUUCUAUAUCAUGUUAUGGAUGACAACCUAGCUUAAGUGAUAUUAAGUAAUUUUACGCUGUUGCUAGGGAUUGGUUUAAAAGUAUAUUUUUAGUAGUUGCGAUAAGAAAUGUCAACAAGCAUUUUUUGGUGCAGUUGCCGAGGGUAGGUUUAAAAGUCUAUUUUUAGUAGUUGCGUUAAGAAGUGUCAACAAGUAUUUUUGGUGUCGUUAUUGGGGAAGGUGAAAGCAUCAAAGGAUAAUGAGCAUCACUACAUCAACUCAUGGAUUGAGCACCAUCCACCCUUCUCACUCAUCCAGCUUUGCCCUUGUCUUUUUGUCUAUUUUUGUCAUAUGCAAGGUAAUGUAUGAACAAGUUUGAUCUCCCAAAUAACUUCAUUGAUAAUCCAAAGACAUUGAUUAGGAAGACAAAGGCUAAGUUGAGAAGGAAUCUAUCAACAUCAUCAACAUAUCUCAGCUUGCUAAUCCUCCUGAGUCAGAAGGUCAACCUACUCAAAGUUUGACACCAGAGAUUGACAUCAUGGUUGUGUUGACACCGUUUUUGGACACGUACCCAGGAUCGGUAGAGUGUAGAUCGGCAAGAUAGGGCAACAAUGACUAGUCUGCAGGAGAGUUGCCGCUGAGGGUGGUUGCCGAUGAAGAGACAGCUGAAUGUGGCUAAGUCCAUGGGUGGUGAUGUGUUUGUGCCGAUGGCCAGCAUUAACCUUUGCCGAUGGCUGUGAUGGAGAGUAUGCCGAUGACAUGGAAGGAAGGCUUGGAGGUUGCCGAUUGGUCUAUGGUGGCGUCCCAGUGUGUCACGGGGGGAUAGUUUUAUGUUUUCCUUAGUUAUUUAGAUCGUUUUGUAUACGGAUUCUAUUUGAUUUGGAAUUCGAGUUCUAGUCAUGUCUGGUUGUAGCUCUUUGAGCAGGGUAUAAAUGUAGACCUUAGGGCCUUGUAAUGGAGACAUCUAUCAAUCAAUCAAAUAUAAGUUUUUACUCAUAUUCCAGCAUCUACUUUUUCAACGACUUCGUCAUAUUUUCCUUUUUCAUUACGAGUUCUUAGGAGUUCGUCGACUUAAGCUCGGCGUAUUCUCAAGUUCCGCGUGAAUACCUCUUGGCCAUGGCAUCCGGGCGCAUCGCUAUUGUCGGAACCAAAGUAUUCGAGUUAUCACCUUUGCCGAUAGUAAGGUCAAAUCAGGUGGCACGCCUUAACGUUUAAAUUGGGUAUUAGCCUUUUGUGUUUGCAGAUCAGCUUUUGCAUGAACACAUCUUUUGGCACGCCAGGUGGGACCAGAUUCAAGAUCAAGAUCGACAUGUCGACUACUGAGUUUGAUCAGGAGAAUGUCAUCCCUGUGACGGAAGCCAAUCUCAAGGAUGAGCAGAAGCAAGCUAUUGCGAAAGCCAUGGAGGAUUACAAGCAGCAAUGUUUGAGAUCCUUCAGUAUCAACAGGAGUGGCGAAGUGAUCCAGAAGGAAGCACUGCCGAUGCCUCGGCAGGUUACUUUUGAUGCCAAUCCUGGUAAACUUCAAGACAUGGUUGAUAAUGCUAUUAAUCGUGCUUUGAUCAAUCAAGCUAGUGUGCUGUCCAAUACGGUUUUCAAUGCCGUGGCUAGAACUUUUAAGGAAGGACAGUUGCCACCAAAUUAUGUGGGCCCUUCUCAUCAUUAGCCAGGAUCACCGGUGGUCACAGCUCCAUCGGCUGCUACAGCCACUGCGGGCAAAGAAACUGCUGUUCCUUCAAGCACGUUAGGAGUCACUAAUGCACAAUCUAGGCCGAUGAUGACUAAUCCACCGAAUUCAGAUGAGCAGAUUAAGCUUACUACAGAUGGUGAGGUCGUUGUCCCGAUCUUCACGACGUAGGAUAACUAGCUGAAGAUCAGCCGAUAACUUGCUGCAAGCAGCGAGGAUAACUAGUGCAACCUGACGACACGCACAAGGAGCCAACCACCGUCUCUAUACGGCAGCCUGAACCAAGGAUUCGCCCAACCACACUCUCAAAGAACCAACCUACGCAACCUGAACUCGAGGAUCAGGAGCACGGAUUGGGUGCCGAUGACGCGGCCGCUUCUGUAAUCUCCACGAAGGAAAACACAAGAGCAAAGGGGUAGAGAUCACUCUCUGAAUUUGUUAGGACGCAGCUGAACAAAGGGGUUCUGUAUUUCAAUUAUCAAAGUCUUUGAUUACAAUGAGUCUUAGGGGGUACUUAUACUAGCAACAGCCCUGCUAGAUAGGCAUGAAAACGAAAUAGAGUUUCUGAGGGAAGGCAAUGUGAAAGGUCCCCUCGAAAUGGAUUCCCGAAGUGGCUUCGCGUGACUGUUGGCCUCCAGAGCAGUUUCUAAUAAACUGACCAUAACUUUUUAUUGGGAAGUCCAAAUGAUGAUCCGUUUCUUGGGUGUGAAACUAGACUCCAAGAGCUUUCCAUCAAUGUAUUCCAUGCACCACGAAACGCUGUAGAUUGGUACAGUUUCACUUGGCAAGUUGUACCAACAUUCUGUCAUGACAGACUAUUGACCUUCUGAGCAGUCUGUACUAAUUCUGGUCUGCAGGCAAUAUGGAGUAUCCAAACUGGUCGCCACUAGACUCAUUGGAAAGUAGACUCGAAGGGCUUUCCAACAAAUGCUCAUGGGCCAUCAUAGCAUCUCGGAAGUGAAAGUUAUGAUCUUUUCUUUCAACUGGUCCGUUCUGCACCGCACUGGUCCGAUCUGCCCUUCUUUCAACUGGUCCGUUCUGCACCGUGUUGUUCCAAUCCUUGCGAUCCAGGUCACCUCCCUCCUCAUGUGUAUACCUAAGCACAACCAAAGUAGAACACUUAGGUAGUAUAAUAUUCUCAUUAACAUUAAUAGAACUCUCACAAAGUAGCGCGUUCACCUCUUGUUGUAGCUUCUUGGCCCGGCUACGUGUAAUUGCUCCAUCAAUGGCUUGGGCUGGUGCCGGCGUAGUCAGUGUAGAGGUUGGCGUGGAAUUAGAGGGAGCAUGCUUGGUUGGGAUGUCCUCAUCAUCCUCCCCCUCUUGAAAAGGAGUCGACCUCGACUUUGAUUCUUCUAAUCCGAAGAAUGGUGUCAAGUCAGCAACAUUGAAGGUUGUGCUAACACCAUAAUCUUCAGGAAGCUCAAUCUGGUAGGCAUUAUCAUUGAUCCUGGACAGCACUCUGAAUGGACCAUCUCCCCGUGGCAUCAACUUGGAUUUACACUUAUCAGGAAAGCGGUCUUUGCGAAGAUGUACCCACACUAAAUCUCCGGGCUCAAAUAUCACCUUCUUGCGAUGCUUGUUUGCCCAAUCAGCAUAGUACUUGGACCUUCUUUCGAUUGCUUCUUUGGUCUUCUCAUGAAUCUUCUUGACAUAUGAUGCACGCUUGGAUGCUUCCAUGUUAAUCCUUUCCUGCAAUGGUAGAGGCAACAAAUCGAUCGGAGCAAGGGGUUUGAAUCCAUACACAACUUCAAAAGGACACAUAUUAGUUGUAGAAUGUACUGCCCUGUUGUAAGCGAAUUUCACAUGUGGCAAGCACUCUUCCCACUCCUUCAGGUUCUUCUUUAUCAAGGCUCAUAGCAGCAUAGAAAGUGUUCUAUUCACAACUUCAGUUUGUCCAUCCGUUUGAGGAUGACAAGUGGUGGAAAACAGCAGCCUUGUUCCAAGCUUUGCCCACAAUGUCUUCCAAAAGUAGCUCAAGAACUUGGUGUCAUGGUCUGAAACAAUUGUUUUGGGUACGCCGUGUAAUCUUACAAUAUCCCUGAAAAAUAGAGAGGCUACGUGGGAAGCAUCAUCGCUUUUAUGACAAGGUAUAAAAUGUGCCAUUUUAGAGAACCGAUCAACAACAACAAAAAUUGAAUCCAUUCCCCUCUUUGUCCUAGGUAAACCCAAAACAAAAUCCAUGCUAAUAUCUUCCCAAGGGGUACUAGGAAUAGGCAAGGGAGUAUAUAAUCCAUGAGGGUUCAGUUUUGACUUAGCUUUGUGACAUGUGAUGCAUCUUUGCACAAGUCGUUGGACGUCUCUUCUCAUCUUUGGCCAGUAGAAGUGAUCAGCUAGCAUCUCAUAUGUCUUUCUCCAUCCAAAGUGACCCAUCAAUCCACCUGCAUGUGUUUCCUGUAGCAACAAAAGCCAAGGCAUACAAUUCUUUGUCAUACACCGAGUAGUUCAGUUGCGCACCUCCUAACUUUUCACUGAAGUAUGCAACCGGCUGUCCAUUUUGCAUUAGGACACCACCGAUUCCGAUCCCACUUGCAUCACAUUCAACCUCAAAGGUUUUAGUGAAAUCCGGUAACACCAGCAAGGGGGCUUCGGAUAGCCUCUUCUUCAAUUCUUGGAAUGCUCUCUCUUGUGGUUCACCCCAUUGGAAGGCAACACCUUUCUUUGUUAACUCAUUCAGCGGAGCAGCUAUGGUGCUGAAAUCUCUCACAAAUCUUCUGUAAAAACCAGCAAGUCCAUGAAAACUUCUCACCUGACUCACAUUUUCAGGAGUUGGCCAAUCCUUGAUUGCUUUCACCUUUGAUUCAUCAACCUGAAUUCCUGAACCUGAAACAACAAAACCAAGAAACACAACCUGAUCUGUACAAAAUAUGCACUUCUCAAGGUUAGCAAAUAAUUUUUCUUUUCUUAGCACAUCCAAAACUUGCUUAAUAUGAUCAACAUGUUCCUCCAAUGUCUUGCUGUAAAUUAGAAUAUCAUCAAAGUAAACAACAACAAACUUUCCAAUGAAUGCUCGCAAGACAUGGUUCAUCAAUCUCAUGAACGUACUAGGGGCAUUGGUCAAACCGAAAGGCAUAACUAACCAUUCAUACAGCCCAAACUUUGUUUUAAAAGCAGUUUUCCAUUCAUCUCCAAUCUUCAUUCUAAUUUGAUGGUAACCACUUCUCAAAUCAAUUUUAAAAAACAUCAUAGAACCACUCAAUUCAUCAAGCAUAUCAUCUAGCCUAGGAAUAGGAUGACGAUAACGAACGGUGAUAUUGUUUAUGGUUCUACAAUCUACACACAUCCUCCAAGAACCAUCUUUCUUUGGCACCAAAAUCACAGGAACAGCACAAGGACUUAAACUUUCUCGCACAUAUCCUUUAUCUAAAAGUUCUUGUACUUGCCUUUGAAUCUCCUUGGUUUCUUCCGGAUUGGUGCGGUACGCCGGACGGUUUGGAAGUGCAGCUCCAGGGAUGAGAUCAAUUUGAUGUUCGAUACCGCGCAAAGGAGGAAGUCCAGCAGGUGUUUCCUUUGGAAAAACAUCGUCAUAGUCCUGCAAAACAUGUGCAACAACACUAGGGACAGAUGUUAAGUCAUUAGCUGAAAGCAAUGUGUCCUUGCACACAAGUACAAAUAGUACUUGAUCUGGGUUUUUCCUCACAUCUCUCAGUUCAGAUUUGGUGGCUAUCAUCACGAAGUUCUCUCCCUCUCUUUUUCUGUCAUCUCUCAUGUUUGGCUUGUGGCUCUCACUCACUGAUUUGUGGAGGGCACUCAAAUUAUUUUUCUCUUUCUUUUGCACUCUCAUUCCUCACUUCGGAGCUCUUUUGCAAGUGCUCAGCUAGGAUUUGCUGCGGUGUCAUGGGUUUAAGAAUCAACUCCUUGUUCUUCCACUUGAUGGUGUAUUGAUUGGUUCUACCACAAUGUAGAGACGAUCGAUCAUAUUGCCAUGGUCUUCCCAACAGCAUGUGGCACACUGUCAUAGGCGCCACAUCACACUCUACAGUGUCAAUAUAUUCACCAAUCUUGAAUGGAACUUUCACUCUUUGUGCAAUCUUAAUAGAACCUGAAUUAUUAAGCCAUUGCACAUGAUAUGGAUGGGGAUGUUUCAGCAGCUUCAACCCAAGCUUUUCAACCAUUUCUUUGCUUGCAAGAUUGUGGCAACUGCCACCAUCAAUGAUUACUUUGACAACCUUGUCUUGCACUUUAGCUCUAGUCUGAAAAAGAUUGUGCCGCUGUCCAUUUUCAGCAUCACUCAUUUGUACACUCAAAAUCUGAGUUACAACAAGAGCAGCACCAGAUUCAAAUUCACAGAUGUCCUUCUCAAGAUUACUCUCACUUCCACUAUCUUCUUGUUCUUCCUCACUAGCAGAUUCAUACUCCCCGUGAUCAUUCACAAUGAUGGUUCUAGCGUUUGGACACUCUCUUGCAACAUGACCACGACCACCACACUUGAAGCACUGAAUUCCACUACUCUUGCUGGAAGAACCUACUGAGUUUGCUGAUUUGAAUUUCUCAUUUUGAGCAGCCAACUCUUUGCUACUAGAAGAACCAAGGUUGCUAGAUCGUGCACCACCGUUUGAGCUGGAAAAUGUACCUUUACUUCCACUUCCUUUGGGUGCAAAUUUACUUCCACUUGCUGCACUCUUUGUGCUGAAAGAAAGUCCUCUAGUGGACUUCAUAUCCUGCUGCAAUUGCCGCUCAGCUUUGCUAGCUUGAUGCACCAAUUCAACAAGAUUACGAUAUUGCUGAAAUUCAACAAUGCGCUGAAUAUUCCGAUGCAGCCCUGACAUAAAUCUUGCAAUUGUUUGCUCUUCAUCUUCAGUUACAUUGGCUCUAAUCAUCGCCUUCUCCAUCUCUUUAUAAUACUCAUCAACACUGAGGCUUCCUUGCUUCAGAUUCUGUAGCUUGUCAAAUAAAUCACGGCGAUAAUGUUUGGGGACAAAUCUUGCUCUCAAUUAUCUCUUCAUUUCAGCCCAUGAACGAACAUCACCUUGACCAGCUUCUUCUCUUUCAUUCAACAUUUGCUCCCACCAGAUUAGAGCAUACCCAUCGAACUCAAGAGCAGCCAUGGCCACCUUCUUUCUCUCAGAAUAAUUAUGCACACGAAAAAUUUUAUCCACCUUCAACACCCAUGUAAGAUAUGCUUCAGGAUCAGAUCCUCCUUCAAACUGGGGCAUGGUGAAUUUUAACUUGCCAAACUCUCUCUUCAUUGUGCUGAUUACGCCUACGAUUUCUGCGGUGACGACGAUCAUCAUAAUGGGGCUGUUCAUCCUCUUCUUCAGUUUCACUUUCUUCCAAUCCAAUACCUCUCCCAUGUCCAUGACCAGCACCUCUACCACCAUGAUCACGUCGUGGAAAAGGAGGUCUUCUUGCAUUGGCAGCAGCACGCUCUCUACGCCGUUCCCUUGCACGACGAGCAGCUUCUCCUUCGCUUUCUUCAACUUCAUCUUCAUGGUGACUGCCAUUUGCAAUAUCAUGAGGAUGAAUUUGCAACCGGUUUAUGAGUGCUUGAACAUUGUUUGUUAGCGUCUCCAUGCUUUGUUUCAUCUCAUUGAAUUGUGCCAUGGUGACACAAUCAUCAAUCUCCGGAUGCUCAGUCAUCUUGCUGUAAAAAAUUAGUGAAGGCAAAGCAACAAUAUAUGUAGAAUAGGGAAUUAUAUGUGGAAUCUCACAAUCUCACCUCUCUUGCCAACCGAAGCUCAUGUGAGUUCUCCGCAGAUUACAACGGCCAAUGCGAGGUGGUAACCGAGAAUGAUGGUUGGGAGAAUCCAAGAUCAGUAUUUUCCUAUGACAGUGGGUUAUUUAUGGAGCUUGGUGGGGAUAUAAUUCACAAGGAAUGCAGUCUGAAUUCUUGAUAUUGUAAAGUUAAACCACAAUCCAAACUAGAAGUUCAAUGCCUAGUGCUGACCACAAGAUAUGAGUGAUGUAAAUAGAUCAAACACACGCGCAAAGAUAAUUCAGAUUUGAUGCAAACAAGGAGUAUGUCUAGCAUGCAAGUGUUGCAAUCAAACCCAAGCAAAAUUUUAGACCAAAGAUGGAUAAUGACUGAUUGUGUGACUUGAUAUAAAAUUCAGAACUUGAGCACAUAAACAGAGUGAACUUUCUACUCUUUCUUCACAACUUUUCUUCCUCAACUCUCCUUUUUUUUCACUUUCCUUUUUUUGAUACUCUGUUUUUUUUAUAACUAAGAACAAGGGCAGAUAUAACACUUACACACACUUUUUUUUUGAAACAAGACACAACCGUCAGCGUUCUAACUUGAUAGGCUCAAAGUUUACGUGAAGGUUGAUACCGGUUUCAGAUUUUCUUUAGGGAUUUAUAGAUAUAAAAGAGGCACAAAGGACACACAAAGGAUAUGAUGAUCAGCAACUAAACAAAACUCUAAUGGACUGAAACUUAACCAAACUCACAAGAAAAACAGAUUGAAACAAAGGGCUAAUGCAAUUUUUUUAUGGCUUUUUGGUGGAUAGGACGAACAAGAUAUAUAUAUGUAGCUAAGGGUAAAAAUCCUACCGUGAAAACUUGAGCUUUGAUGCUAGAUGGUGAGGUCGUUGUCCCGAUCUUCAUGACGUAGGAUAACUAGCUGAAGAUCAGCCGAUGACUUGCUGCAAGCAGCGAGGAUAACUAGUGCAACCUGACGACACGCACAAGGAGCCAACCAUCGUCUCUAUACGGCAGCCUGAACCAAGGAUUCGCCCAACCACACUCUCAAAGAACCAACCUACACAACCUGAACUCGAGGAUUAGGAGCACGGAUUGGGUGCCGAUGACGCGGCCGCUUCUGUAAUCUCCACGAAGGAAAACACAAGAGCAAAGGGGUAGAGAUCACUCUCUGAAUUUGUUAGCACGCAGCUGAACAAAGGGGUUCUGUAUUUCAAUUAUCAAAGUCUUUGAUUACAAUGAGUCUUAGGGGGUAUUUAUACUAGCAACAGCCCUGCUAGAUAGGUAUGAAAACGAAAUAGAGUUUCUGAGGGAAGGCAAUGUGAAAGGUCCCCUCGAAAUGGAUUCCCGAAGUGGCUUCGUGUGACUGUUGGCCUCCAGAGCAGUUUCCAAUAAACUGACCAUAACUUUUUAUUGGAAGUCCAAAUGAUGAUCCGUUUCUUGGGUGUGAAACUAGACUCCAAGAGCUUUCCAUCAAUGUAUUCCAUACACCACGAAACGCUGUAGAUUGGUACAGUUUCACUUGGCAAGUUGUACCAACAUUCUGUCAUGACGGACUGUUGACCUUCUGAGCAGUCUGUACUAAUUCUGGUCUGCAGGCAAUAUGGAGUGUCCAAACUGGUCGCCACUAGACUCAUUGGAAAGUAGACUCGAAGGGCUUUCCAACAAAUGCUCAUGGGCCAUCAUAGCAUCUCGGAAGUGAAAGUUAUGAUCUUUUCUUUCAACUGGUCCGUUCUGCACCGCACUGGUCUGAUCUGCCCUUCUUUCAACUGGUCCGUUCUGCACCGUGUUGUUCCAAUCCUUGCGAUCCAGGUCACCUCCCUCCUCAUGUGUAUACCUAAGCACAACCAAAGUAGAACACUUAGGUAGUAUAAUAUUCUCAUUAACAUUAAUAGAACUCUCACAAAGUAGCGCGUUCACCUCUUGUUGUAGCUUCUUGGCUCGGCUACGUGUAAUUGCUCCAUCAAUGGCUUGGGCUGGUGCCGGCGUAGUCGGUGUAGAGGUUGGCAUGGAAUUAGAGGGAGCAUGCUUGGUUGGGAUGUCCUCAUCAACAGAUCUAUUGGCAUCGACAAUGUUAGGGUCAGCCCCUCCUCCUAACUGGUGGGGUUUCGGUAUGCCUCUGGAAUACUUGUUGAAGACACCUGGCACGUCUCAGGCGGCUGAUAUGAGAGGCAUGGCUCCUAUGGCAUCGACACCUCCAAAUAUGCCGAUGAAUCAGAGUCCCCAGUAUACUACAACUACUACUGCAAGACCUUACACUGGGAAUUCUCAAGCUCCAACGUUCCAGAUGCCUAACGCAUCGGCAGACUCAAUGCUGAUGCAACAGAGGUUUAUGACUCAGCCAGGGUAUGUCAAUUCAAUGAUGAUGCCCAAUUACCAGUCAUCGGCAGGACCUAUGCCGAUGAAUGCUAAUAGUGGAUGGCUUGGGCAGCAAGUCUUUCCGCAAAUGCCCCAACAGAAUCAUCAGGCUACAGGGUUUCAGCAAGGCCAGAUCUACCCCAACCAGCCAAUGAAUCUUGGACAGCAGAUCGGCGGACAGCAGAUCGGCGGGCAACAACUUGGAGGUCAGCAGAUGGGUGGCCAAAUGAUUAACCCAAUGUUCCAUGCAGAUCGUGCACCGCACAGACAUGUGGAAGCUUACCAGCAGAUGCCAGAUCUGCAACCGCCUCAUCGGCAAGAUGCCGAUGCUUAUUGGGCCGACAAGAUUGCUGAAGUAAUGAGAGACCAAUUUGGGAUAAAACCCAAAGUCAACACUUACUCUUAUCGGACACCGUAUCCUCCCGCAUAUGAUUUAAUCCCGCUUCCAAAUCGGUACAAAGUGUCGGAUUUUACCAUGUUUUCUGGGCAGGAUGAUACAUCAACCAUGGAGCAUGUCAACAGGUUCAUCAUCCAAUGCGGAGAAGCUGCUAAUAGGGACGAGUUAAGGGUUCGCUUGUUCUCGUCAUCAUUAUCUGGAUCGGCUUUCACUUGGUUUAUAUCGUUACCUCCUAACUCAGUAAUUACUUAGGCCGAUCUAGAGAAGCAGUUCCACAAAUACUACUUUUCUGGAGUCCAUGAGAAGAAGAUCACCGAUUUGGUCAAAUUGAAGCAACAUUAUGAUGAAUCGGUUGAAAGUUUUGUGCAGAGGAUACGAGAAGUCAAGAACAAAUGCUAUAGCCUGGUUCUGGAUGAUCGGCAGCUAGCCGAUUUGGCUUUCUAGGGCUUGUUGCCACAUAUCAGGGACAAGUAUGCAUCUCAGGAGUUUGAAAGCUUAAAUCAUUUGGUGCAGAGAAUCUCUGAUCAAGAUAUCAAACCUUUUGAACCCAAGAGAGCAUGGAAUAAAAAGGUGUUAUUCGUUGAUGAGACAGCAAGCUCGGAUUCUGAUGAGGAACCAGUCAUCGGUUUAGCAGAGUGGGUGAAAAAUAAGAAACCGAUGUCUUGUCCUUUUGGGCACAAAGAGCCAGAGAAGUUCGCAUUUGACAUCACUAAGGCCGAUAGGAUAUUUGACUUUCUACUUCAGGAGGGUCAGAUCAAAUUGUCACCUAAUCAUGUAAUCCAUCGGCUGAAGAAUUAAAAAGGAUGAAGUACUGCAAAUGCCACAAUGCAACUUCUCACAGCACCAAUGAGUGCAAAGUUUUUAGACAACAGUUGCAAUCGGCUAUAGAAUCUGGAAGGAUCAAAUUCGACAGCUCUAAAGCUCAGAAGCCGAUGAAGAUUGAUCAACAUCCUUUCCCAACAAACAUGCUAGAUGCUAAGGGAAAGGCCAAGGUCUUAACAUCAGAAGCAGCUGAAAGAAGUGCAUCGGUGGAUCCUCAGCACCAGAUCACUACUGCCGAUGCGAAAGGAAAAGGCUUGAUCCAGGAGGGAACUAACUCAGGAAGGCCUCCCCGAUCUGGUAUUGUGAUAACUCACAGAAGGCCUCGGGAGACUUGGCAGCAACGUGAGGAUCGGUAUCGGCGCUAGCAAGAGGACUGUCGUCGAGAAGAGGAAAAACACCGACAGGAGUGGAAUCGGCAUAGAGAUAACUGGAAUUGUCCGUUGUUCAUCCAUUGUUGGGAGGAAAAUAUCAAGCUUCCUACUGUCAGAGAUUGUCCUGAGUGCAAUGGUUAUGAUCGGUAUGACAGAUCCGACCGGCGCUAUCGCGAUGAUGAUCGGCGAUUCAAUGGGCCGAUUAGGGGGAGAGCAUCCGUUCAUGAUCGGCUGGGGGGCAGGCUCAGUGUGCACGAAAGACUCGGCGAUCGUGUUGAAUAUUUUCCCAGAAACCAGGAAGAACUUGAAGAGAUGGCUAAUGCGCGGGUUCCCGAUGAGUUCAUCUUCUGCAGGGACGCCAAUACUUAUCGGAUGGAGUCAAGGGAAAAUCAUCGCCCAUCGGUAAGGCAGCGGCAACUUCCUCCAUGGUGUCCAGAGGGGUUGACCAGGACACAGAAGAGAAGACUGCAGCGCGAGAGGCGAGAAGAGUUAAGUAAGGGCGAGAACUCUGGCCAGUCUGGUGAUCAGCAACAACCAGAUCCUAAGGGAAAAGGGCCAUCGGCAGACAUCAACAUGGUAUUCAUGUUGCUGAUGGAAUUCCUUUUGCCAUCUAGUGAUGACGAAUUGGAGUUUUUCGACCAAAUAGCUCAGUUGGCUCUGGAUCCGAUGAGAACCAUAUUUGAAAAGCCUGCCGAUGAUGAAAGGCAACAUCUUAAGGCUCUGUUUGUCAAAGGAAGGGUUGAUGGUCAGCAGAUGACCAAGAUUUUAAUUGAUGGUGGAGCUGCUAUCAAUAUCAUGCCAUACACAGUGUAUCGGAAGCUUGGAAAAGGAGAUCAGGAUUUGACCAAGACCGAUAUGAUGCUUAAAGACUUUGAAGGGAAUGUGUCUCCGGUCAAGGGAGCCAUAUGCGUUGAAUUGACCAUCGGUAGUAAAACCUUGCCGACAACCUUCUUCGUGAUCAGUGGAAAGGGUGCUUAUAACUUACUGUUGGGAAGAGAUUGGAUUCAUGCCAAUUGUUGCAUCCCGUCUACAAUGCACCAGUGCUUGGUCCAGUGGGUAGGCGACAAGAUUGAGAUUGUCCCGGGAGAUUCUUUCUAUGUUAUUGCAUCGGCAGUGGCAGACACCUACGAGAGAACUAGGUGUAUUUCAGGAGAAGUUUGAGAAAAGGAUUUUCUCAAGGUUGCCGAUUAUGAAAUUGCACCGAUCCAAGCAGUCGGUUCUGAUGAAGGUUUUUAAUGGAUAGGUUCGCCGAUGAUGGAAAAUUAGGCCAGGGAUUCACAUCGGCUGAUGAUUUGGUAGAAGUAGACAUAGGUAGUGGUGAGAAGCCUAGACUUACUUUUAUUAGUGCUAAGUUAAAUUCUGAGUGUAAGCAGCAGUUAACUGAUUUGUUAAAGGAAUAUAAAGAUUGCUUUGCUUGGGAUUAUACUGAGAUGCCUGGUUUGGACCGAUCAAUUGUUAAACAUUGGUCACAUCAACAGCCAGCUCGCCGAUGUAAUCCUAAUAUUCUCCCUGAUAUUAAGGCCGAAAUCACCAAACUUAUUGAAGCUAAAUUUAUUCGGCAGUGUCGGUAUGCCGAGUGGAUUUCCAAUGUUGUUCCGGUCUAUAAGAAAAAUGGGAAGCUUCGGGUCUGCAUUGAUUUCAGGAAUCUUAACAAAGCUACACCGAUGGAUGGCUACCCAAUGCCAGUUGCCGAUCUGCUAGUUGAAGCUGCGGCUGGGCAUCGGAUUCUCAGCUUUAUGGAUGGCAAUGUAGGAUACAAUCAAAUAUUCAUGGCUGAAGAAGAUAUUCCAAAGACUGCAUUUAGAUGUCCUGGUCAUGUUGGGUUAUUUGAAUGGAUAGUUAUGACCUUUGGCUUGAAGAAUGCUGGUGCUACUUAUCAGAGAGCUAUGAAUUUUAUAUUUCAUGAGUUCAUCGGCAAGCUGGUGGAGAUUUAUAUUGAUGAUGUGGUGGUUAAGUCCGGAGACUUCACAAAGCAUCUUGCCGAUUUGCGAAAGGUGUCGGAAUGCACAAGGAAACAUGGUUUGAAGAUGAAUCCCAACAAGUGUGCAUUUGGUGUAUCGGUAGGACAGUUCCUUGGUUUCAUGGUGCAUCAGAGGGGGAUUGAGAUUAGUCGAAGAUCCAUUGAUGCUAUCAACAAAAUAGUUGCUCCUACCAACAAGACUGAGCUCCAGUCCUUGAUCGGCAAGGUAAAUUUUAUCAGGAGGUUUAUAUCUAAUUUGUCUGGUAAAAUUCGUGCUUUCAGUCCUUUACUUAAGUUGAAAGCCGAUCAAGAAUUCGUUUGGGGGGAGGAACAACAGUUGGCCUUGGAUGAAAUCAGGAAUUAUUUGGUGAAUCCUCCAGUUCUGAUUCCACCACAGCAAGGGAAGCCCUUCAGAUUGUAUUUGUCUACCGAUGGGAUGGUCAUCGGUUCGGCUUUAAUUCAAGAAUUUGAAGGGAAGGAACGUGUGAUUUACUAUUUAAGCAGGAGGUUGAUUGAUGCUGAGACCAGGUAUUCGGCUAUUGAGAAACUAUGCUUAUGCUUGUACUUUUCAUGCAUUAAGGCAUUAUUUGCUAUCGGCCGAAUGCACUGUUAUUUGCAAAGAUGAUGUGGUCCGAUACAUGCUAUCUAUGCCGAUCAUGAGUGGCAGGAUCGGUAAGUGGAUUUUGGCACUGUCAGAAUUUGAUCUGCGUUACGAAUCAGCUAAAGCGGUUAAAGGACAGAUUAUGGCCGAUUUUGUAACUCGGCAUUGUGGUACAGUGGAGACUUUGGAGAUUGUACCUUGGACGCUCUUCUUUGAUGGAUCCACGUGUGACCGGGGGGCAGGAAUCGGCAUAGUGUUAAUUUCCCCUUGGGGAAAGAAAUAUGAGUUCUCCCUGCCGAUUGUUGCCACGUCAACAAAUAAUCAGGCUGAGUAUCAAGCUUUGAUAAAGGGGUUGGAAGUACUAAGAGAAGUUCAUGCUGAUGCUGUUGAAAUCUUCGGAGAUUCUAUGCUAGUUAUAAAUCAAUUGGCUGGAAGCUAUGAAUGCCGAAGUGAGAUCCUCAUAACUUAUCACGAGAGGAGUAUGCAACUGUUAAGGGAAUUCAAGGAUUUCCGAUUAGAGUAUGUUCCUCGAUUGCAUAAUGAAGAGGCCAAUCGGUUGGCUCAGCAUGCCUCGGGAUAUCAGCCCAUGAUUAAUGCAAUAUCAGCAGUUGGUGCCGAUGAUUGGAGAAAAGAAAUCAUUGAUUAUUUAAAGGAUCCAUCCAAGAAAGUUGAGAGACGUGUUCGGUUUCAAGCCACCAAGUAUGUGGUCAUCGAGGAGGAGUUAUAUUACCGAACUGUUGAUGGGACUCUUCUCAGAUGUUUAGGUGAUGAUGAGGCCAAGAAUUUGAUGGGAGAAAUCCAUGAAGGAGUAUGUGGAGCACAUCAGUCGGCCUUUAAAAUGAAGUGGAUGAUUAGAAGAAAUGGAUAUUAUUGGCCGACUAUACUUGAAGAUUGUUUUAAAUAUUUUAAGGGGUGUCAAGGAUGUUAGAAAUUUGGCAAUAUUCAAAGGGCACCUGCAUCGGCCAUGAAUCCUAUCAUCAAGCCUUGGCCGUUCCCUGGAUGGGCUAUUGAUUUGAUCGGCCAGAUUUAUCCGCCAUCCAGCAAAGGACAUAAAUUUAUUCUGGUUGCCACCGAUUAUUUCACCAAAUGGGUUCAAGCUAUUCCUUUGAAGAAAGUUACAUCGGCCAAUAUGAUUGAUUUUCUGAAAGAGCAUAUUAUCUACCGAUUUGGAAUUCCUCAAACAAUUACUACCGAUCAGGGUACUAUGUUCACAUCGGGGGAGUUUGAUGAAUUUGCAAUCGGCAUGGGAAUUAAAGUAUUAAAUUCUUCUCCUUACUAUGCUCAAGCUAAUGGGCAGGCCGAGGCAUCUAACAAAGGAAUUAUCAAGCUUAUUAAACGAAAGAUUGAAGAAAAUCCUAGGAGGUGGCAUACAUUCUUAAACGAAGCUUUAUGGUCAUACCGGAUGGCUUGUCAUGGAUCGACCAAGGUCUCACCUUAUCAGUUGGUGUAUGAACAUGAUGCAGUGUUACCUUGGGAAAUUAAGACUGGGUCUAGGCGACUAUCUUUUCAAGAUCAAUUGGCUGCUGAUGAUUAUGCUACUUUGAUGACUGACGAGUUGGAUGAUCUAGCAGGACAUCGGCUAAGGGAUUUGAUGAGUAUAGAAGAGAAUAAGAAGAGAGUUGCCAGAUGGUAUGAUAAGAAGAUAAAAGCUAAGGAGUUUACCAAUGGAGACUUAGUAUGGAAACUGAUCUUACCGAUCGGAACUAAAAGUUCAAAAUUUGGGAAGUGGUCUCCCAAUUGGGAGGGUCCCUAUUGGAUAAGUCGAUCGGCUCCUGGCAAUGCCUAUAUUUUAGAAACUCUCGAAGGGGUUGAAUUUCCGAGAGCAUUAAAUGGCAAAUACCUAAAGAAGUAUUACCCAAACAUAUGGGUCGAUGCAUAAAAGUUUAAGUGCCGAUAACAUUCCUAUCGGCUGGAUCAAAAUGUAUCUAGGGCCCGACUUAAUGUUUUAAGAAAGGUGCCGAUAACAGUCCUAUCGGCUAGACCAACAUGAUUGAGAGUGUUCAAAAGAAAUAAGAAAGUAUGUUGCCGAUGAAUGGUUCACAUGUUCAACAGCGUCUGGAUCGCUGAUAUAGCACGCAGACGGAUCUGGUUUGCUUCUUCUAUCACCUUCGUAUAAUCAUCGGCAGAGCCUUCCACUGGCUUCAGCUUCUUCUUCAUCUGCAAUGUCGUGCGGGCUUGGAUAUUUCGCUCUUGCUCAAGAAGCUUGAUUGUCUCCGAUAGUUGGCUUUCUUCUUGUCGGGCUUGGGACAAGGCACCUUGUACCUGUUUGAGUUCUGCCAACAGAACUUCUCUUCUUGCCGAUAGAUCAGAAAUCUUUUGUUUCAGUACAUCUCCUGAGGAUGUCAGGAUGCCGAUGCUCUUGUGUUUCUCAUCGGCAAGGAGUUUUACCUUCAUCAUCUCCUCAGAAAGCUGGGCAUGAGCAGCUCUAUCGGCAAGACGUUGGGCAGCCCUCUGGUACUGCAGCUGACGGCUCUCUAGAUGUGCAGCUUGGAAGAGGAUUUCUUCAGCAUUGGCAGGAAUUUGGCCUCUGAGGGUUUUGAACAAAGCCUUGGCUGGGUCGGAGUCAUCAACCAGUUGGGCUGUGUCUUGGUGAAGGAGGGCCGAUAAUUCUUCCAAUUUCGCCCUGAUUUCUGCCGAUGUGAUCCCAACUGCCCGAGAAGAGCUUGCUUCCUCACCUUCGUCUUCAGAGAUGUCGAUGGCAAAGGAGAACAAGCUAUCAGGAGAAUCCUGUUCCUGAAAGAGAAAUAAAGUAAGUCAUUUCAUGGUCAAGUAUUGACGAGUAAUACCGAUGGAGAUUGGAUGGCUUACUUGUUUCAAAGCAAUUUCUCGCCUCUGACUGGAAGAUGCCAAUGGAACUACAGGCCGAUCGGCUGGGGUUGCCGAUGGGACUAUGUCAGCUGAAAGAAUAACAGAAGUAAUUAUAAAACUGGGAAAAUAAGUUCAUCGGCAAUGAUUUUAUAAAAGGGAUGCUACCUUGAGGAGGAGCAGCACUUGUUUGGAUGGAAGAAACUACCGAUGCUAUGAUUGAACCUGCUGGAUCGGCAGUUUGCUCGUGUAUGUCAGCCGAUAUAUCUUUUGGCUGAGGUCCCUCUGGUUGUAAUUCUUCUACGAGAGCUUCUUCCUGUGGCUGGGGAGGAGAUGGUGCCUGUUGCAUCUGGACUUCUGGAGAGGAGGGAGAAGAUUCUACUGGAAUUGGAGACACUGGGGGAGGAGGAGGUGUUGCUGUCUUCUGGCGCUUCACUUGUGAUCUGGUGCUCUUGGAGGCUUUCCUUUUCGCCUGGCUGGACUAGGGGGCAUCGGCACCUGUGCUUCUAGUCCUUGCCGAUGCACCGGUAUGCUUUACCAAGGAUGAGAAUUCGUGAGUACAAGCAUAUUAGAUGGAAGAAUGAAAUCGGUAAAGAAAUUUGAAGAUUUACCUUAAAGACUUGCGCUAAAGCAGAGGCGGCCACCGAUGGAGAUGUCUUUGAACGCUUGGUGGUGACCUUCUUGAGGCGUACACCUCGUUGCAUUAUGGCAGCCAAGGUGGGAGCAUUGUUGCCGAUUAAGGAGAUCGGGCCUGAUGGAAGAAGUUCAAUCGGCUUGCCACUCCUGCUGAUCGAUGGGGGAACGUUAUCGACCUGCAAUAUAAUACAGAAAGUGAGUUACCGAUGGAAAUAAAAUUGAAAGAAUUGAGACAUCGGUUUGGAAUGCUUACAGUAUUAUGAGGAACUUUGUACUGGGGAUCGAUCAUGCCGCAGUAUGUAAGAGCCGAUUUGCAGAACAAAUGCUCCUUCCAUUCCUCCCACCAUUGUUUGUACGCCUGAGUGAUGAAGAGGGCCGGGAUCCACUCUGAUAGAUCUGCAUCUGUAUCGGCAUUCGGUGGCAGUUGAGCUACUCGGGUCCACUCGAGGAGGCUGGUGAUGGUCUCCCUAGGUUUUAUCACAUCAGCAUAACAGAGUGCAAUCGGUAGCUGACCGAAGGCUAGUUGACGAGCUAGUGCCGAUUGUUGAUAUUUGGGAACGCAAUAAGGAAUUGAUCCGCAAGCGCACGGAUAUCGGUGAGCACUUCACCCGGGAAAUUAUCCAGAGUAUCGUAUUUAUUUUUUUACCACUAGGAGAAAGAGUGCAUCUGACUAACCGGUCUAUUACUACUAACCUUUAGGCACAAAGAAUGUCUUUCGAUGUGAGUGAUAAAUAGAGAAGACUACAACCGUAGUCUCCUUCUAACCUUGGUAAGGAUGAUCUACUGUUCUAAUGGGGAGGCUAACGGAAUCUAGAACAACAAAGGAUGUUCAACCCGCACCUAUAAACCCUAUCCUUCCUGCUAACGAGAUGUGAUCUACAAAGGUAGCUCGGAAAUGUCACGUUCCUCACUACUACCACGGUCCAGCUAGUCAGGGAAUAUCUAUGAGUACCCCAGCCUAAACACCACGUUUACGCCAGCAAUGAUUACUCUAAACUCUACGCGAAGAGAUUAAAGUAAACUCAUAAACCAUAAGAACAAUAAAACAAGAACUUACUAGAAUUUAGAAGUCGAAUUACUGAAGAAUCAUAGGAGCAAGCUUCGGGUUAGGAGAACUUGAUCCCGCAGGUACAAGCUUGGAGUAGACACCGACACGCCGGGCUUCCUCCACUCUACACCUCCACUCUAUCUCUCUCAAUCUAGUAGAAACUAGAAGAUCUAUUUCUACCUUACAUUGAUUGCUAAGCCUAAAAAGAAAUAUUAAUUAGAGAAGAGGUUUUCCUUCGAGGACACCCCUCAGUCUCUAUGAUAAUUUCUUCAUGUCCUCUCCAGGGGCCAGGGGGGCCUUGCUUAUAUAGUCCUCCCCUUCUAUGCGUUUUUGGGUCGAUAGGCGAGGUGGUACUAUGUUUUUCUUGAUCCAAUAGGUCGGUGGAAUAUCCCGAGCGAAAGAGUCCUGAUUUGGCUCCAACAGGGGGGCGGGCGCCCAGGCUACCAGGGCGGGCGCCCUGGGCCUGGCCCAGUUUUGCCUCCGCUUCGGUCUCGUGGCUUCUGGAGUCUUCUAGAUGAUGUAAAAUUGUGCGGUGCAUUGAUAUCUCUAUGUAAUCCCGACAUGUGGGCCUUUCUUCCUUAUUUCCUGAUAACCCCCUGCAGAAAUAGAUAAACAACAAAACUCGUGGAAUUCUGUCAGAUCAAACCCUAUUUCUAGGUGUUGGUUGCAUAUUGGUCCUUUCUCAUGUUUAUUUGAUAAUUAAAAUUGAUACUUAAGAACCAUCAACAAAUACCCCCAUACUUAGGCUUUUACUCGUCCUCGAGAAAAGGAUGGUUAAGAACAAUAUCUGGGGUAAACAUUUAAAACAUUCUCUUUAUAAUUUGCAGGGUGUUAAAAAUUCCACUGUGUACCAUAGUCAGGGAAGUUUAUGAUCAAGAGUAAAGAUUCUUUCUUUUCAAUCCUGUCACUUGGAGUUUUUGUAUAUUUUUGAAAGAAAGUUAGCAUACCUUUUGAUCCUCAUAGCUUCUCUCAAAUCACUCAUUAUCUUUUAUAUAUAUCUCACUGAGGUUGUUUUAUUUUUUAUUUUAUUUUUUUUCGCAAAAAUUCUCAAGCAUUCUAACUUUGCAUUUAUUGCCUGAUCAAAAUGGGAUCCGAGGAGGGGAAUGUCAUACUCUUAGAUCAACGACUUUGGAAAUUAAAAAUCUUUGUCAACUCUUACUGGCAUAUUGCUUAUUAGAGGGACCAUGGGCUAUCAUUUUUUUCUCCUCUCUUUUUUUUAAGUGGAUACCGAGGUACCCCUAAUUCUAGUGCUGGACACUUGUCCAUUUUUUCUGCGAGGUUGUCGAGCACUUGCUCCUUUUUAUUUCCUCGAAAUAUCUCUAUUUUUGCAUAGCCCAUGCCUCUAAUGCAAUAAUACUUCGGAAGAGUGAAUCUUACUGAAUUAAUGUCUUGAUCUUAGGAGCAAGAUAAAUCUCUCAACAAGGGUCUAACUCAUUUUGAACAAACUCAAUACAGAGCAGAAAGCUUUUAUAGUUAUAAUUAAUAUUUUCAGUUUUAUCAGGCAUAUAAAACACUGAGGAUGGUAGCUAGAAAUUUGAAUAUUUUGAAAUAAAUUCUCCAAGUAACAAUGAUAUCAAGAAUAAGAAACUCAUACUCUACCAUCACAUAUUCCAUAUUGACUUAAGUAACACAGGGUUUUAAAAUGAUUUUAUAAUAAUUGCAAGUUUUCAGGAAAUAUCAUAGAUUGAGAUUAAUCAUGAUUAGAAAUAUUUUAAUCCUUUUAUGUCGGAAACAGUAUUCUGCAUAAUCCAAAAUGUGUAAAGUAAAGUGUGCAGAGUGUGUACCUGAAUCGUGGAGUGGUGUAGUCGGAGUGUGUUUGGCAUGUUGAGGGAUCUCCCCCAUACUUGUUUUUUGCUUUCUUGCACAAAAAAUAAAGUAGAGACACACAAGACAUAAUAAUACUAAUAAUAUUCUUUAUUGAUCUUGAGGCAUUUAUUACAAAAGACUGAUAGCAAACUAAUAAUAGCAAACUGAUAAUAGCAAACUUAAACCGAAUUUAAAGAUAGAUAACUAAGAUGCAUUGCCUCAAGGUCUAAUCUAGAUAACUUAGCAGCGCUCUAAUUCCUUGAUCUUCUUGUUGGCACUGGCAAGAUCCUGCCUAAGGCCUAGUAUAAUGGUGUUGUGGUUAGAGAGCUGCCUAGUGAGGGAGUUAAUCGAGGACUGGAGGUCUAUGAUAACUCUAUCUAGCCUGCGAACUUCCUCAUCAAUAUCCAUUAUAGUCUUGCGACGCUUGGGAGGUGUUUCAAAAGCAUUGAGAGAGUGCUUCGGGGCUGCCUUUGGAGGGAUGAAACGGACUUUGGCUGCUCUGAUCCCUUCAAAGUAAGGCCUUUCCUCCUCCGUAGUGUAGCGAACACUGCUGAUCUCGCCGCUCCGGUUGGUCUUGACUCCAAGGACCCUCUCAUUGGGUCUAGGUGGAAGGAUCCUCGUGCCGGUUGGCACCUUGAUAGUGGUCUUCGUCUUGGAUGAUGAUCCUUUGAGGAGUAGGGGUUGUGGUGGUGCGGUGAGAACUGGUUGAGCAUGGUAAGAUUGGGCGGAGCUGCGUUGGCGUAAUGGCAUGGCUUCUAGCUGAUGCUCUGUGUUGGCCGGGACGAGAGCACGGGCAUCGGGGUCUUCCACUGGCUCCAUGUUGAGGUUGAAGGGGACAACUUCCCAAUCGUCGUGGUACUUGUCGGCCAUUGGAGUAGCAAGGAACUAAUAAAACUUAAAUUGAAAGAGAGCUAAUCAAGCUCUAAUUGAAGGAGGGAAAGCUUGGUGGCUUGGUGUUUGAAAACUGAGGUCAGGGGUCUGUUUAUAUAGGGGUCAAAAGGGUGCCUCUAUGGGUUGUUCGGGUUACUCCCGUCGACGUGCGUGCGAAACUUUCCAUCCGAGGGAUUAUUCGGAUCACCCUAAGUGCAUUUUCCAUAACAGAGAAAGUCGGGACCGAGGGGGAACAGGGGCUGGGCGCCCGCCCACUUGAUCUGGGCGCCCGCCCUCUCUCUGGCCUCUCUGUGGGCCCACUUCUCCAAGCGCGUUUCUAGAUGCGAAAUUAUUUAGAAAAAUAUAUAUAUGACCCAAAACCAUCAGACCAAAAGUGUCGGGCUCUAAUUCUCCAUGGGAAGGUAAAAAUGGACUACGUCUAUUUCUUCAAAUUCCUCAUUGGGCUCUAAAAAUAAUUUAAGACGUUGACCAUUUACCUUGAAUAACGUACCUUCGCUAUUUUGAAGUGUGAUAGCUCCGUGGGAUGAUGAAUUGAUUACCUUGAAUGGUCCUUCCCAUUUGCUCCGGAGUUCUCCAUGCCCGAAAAGCUUCACCCUGGAAUUAAAAAGUAAUACCUUAUCUCCGGGUGUGAACUCCUUCUUCUUGAUUCUCUUGUUAUGCCACCUUUUGACUCUUUCUUUGUAGAUCUUUGAAUUGUGAUAUGCCUUCUCUCGCCAUUCUCCCGAAUUGUGAUAUGCCUUCUCUCGCCAUUCUUCCAAUUCUGAUAGUUGCAUUCUUCUAUAAUCUCCAGCAACAUCUAGGUCCAUAUUCCAUCUCUUUAUGGCCCAGUGUGCUUUGAACUCUAGUUCAACAGGUAGAUGGCAAGUCUUCCCGUACACCAAUUGGUAUGGAGACAUCCCAAUUGGGGUCUUGUAUGCUGUCUGCUAUGCCCAGAGUGCAUCAGGUAACUUGUCUUUCCACGCCGUUCCCAUUUCAUUUACUGUCUUCUGAAGAAUAUUCUUGAUUUGUUUGUUGGAAGUCUCUGCUUGGCCACUUGUCUGAGGAUGAUAUGGGGUAGCGACGUUGUGACGGAUUCCUUGUCUUGAUAGAUAUUGCUUGAAGCGUUUGUCAAUGAAGUGUGCUCCUCCAUCACUUAUCACUACUCUGGGGACUCCAAAUCUUAGAAAUAUAAUUUCUUCAAACAUCCUCUUUGAACUGACGUUGUCGGCAUGCUUGCAAGGUAAUGCCUCUACCCACUUGGAGACAAAGUCAACCACCACCAAGAUGUAUUCGCACUUCUUUGAUGGAGGAAAUGGACCAAUGUAGUCUAUUCCCCAGACAUCAAAGAGCUCAAUCUGAAGGUUGUGGGUGAGUGGCAUUGCAUCCCUUGUAUUUAUGUUUUCGUGCCUUUGACAUGGCCCACAUCUUCUGAUAUAUUGCUUCGUGUCUUCAUACAUUGUAGGCCAAUAGAAUCCACACUGCCAGAUCUUUGAAUGUGUACGGAAUGCUCCAUAGUGACCUCCAUAUGGUGAUGAAUGACAUCUGUCGAUGAUCUUCCAUCCUUCCUCAGUGGUCACACAUCUCCUGAGUAAGCCAUCAGAGCAUACUCGGAAGAGGUAUGGCUCAUCCCAUAUAUGUGAACGACUUUCUUGAAUAAGCUUCUUCUUGUUUGCUCCUGGUGGUACAUACCCUGAAACCAUAAAAUUAACAAUAUCUGCAUACAAGGGGUCAGACCUGUUAAUUCCGUAGAGCAUGUCGUCCCGGAGUGAAUCAUUGAUGGGGGUUUCCUGUGGACUCUUAAAAUACAUUCUAGACAAGUGAUCAGCAACAGAAUUUUCUACUCCUUUUUUAUCUUUUAUUUCUAAGUCAAAUUCUUGGAGUAAUAGGAUCCAUCUAAUCAGACGAGGUUUAGCAUCUUUUUUAGUGAGCAAAUAUUUUAGUGCAGCAUGAUCAGUGUAAACAAUUAUUUUAGCUCCAACUAAAUAAGAUCUAAAUUUAUCUAUGGCAAAGACAACAGCCAGAAGCUCUUUUUCAGUGGUUGCAUAGUUAAGUUGAGCUCCUGUCAAAGUUUUACUGGCAUAAGCAAUUGCAUGAUGCUUCUUAUCUUUAGUUUGUCCUAAUACUGCCCCCACAGCGUAAUCACUAGCAUCACACAUAAUUUCAAAAGGUAACGACCAAUCAGGGGGUUGAAUGAUUGGUGCAGAGAUGAGUGCUUUCUUUAAUAAGUUGAAAGAUGUUAGACAUGCAUCAUCAAAUUCGAAAGGAGCAUCCUUGGCUAGCAAAAGAGUAAGUGAUCUAGCAAUAAAUGAAAAAUCUUUUAUGAAUCUACGAUAAAAACCAGCAUGGCCAAGAAAGCUUCGAAUUCCUUUCAUGUUCACAGGUGGAGGUAGUUGUUCAAUUACAUGAAUUUUAGCUUUGUCUACCUCAAUACCUCUUUCAGACACUAGGUGUCCUAGCACUAUUCCUUCCCUAACCAUAAAAUGACAUUUUUCCCAAUUAAGGAUUAAGUGCUUUUCUUCACAUCUUUGCAAAACCUUGUCUAAGUUUUCAAGACAACUAUCAAAAGUUUUUCCAUAAACAGAGAAAUCAUCCAUGAAAACUUCUAUAAUCUCUUCAAUCAUAUCAGAAAAUAUAGACAUCAUGCAUCUUUGAAAAGAAGCUGGUGCAUUACAUAACCCAAAAGACAUUCUACGGUAAGCAUAUGUUCCAUAUGGGCAUGUAAAAGUGGUUUUGCUUUGAUCAUCGGGAUGGAUCGGGAUUUGGUGAUACCCUGAAUAUCCAUCUAAGAAACAGAAGAAUGAAUGGUUUGCUAACCGCUCUAGCAUCUCAUCUAUAAAAGGUAAAGGAAAGUGAUCCUUUCUCGUGGCUUUGUUUAGUUUUCUAUAGUCUAUGCACAUCCGCCAUCCUGUGACGGUGCGUUGCGGAAUUAGCUCGUUCUUUUCAUUCAUAAUAACAGUCAUGCCUCCCUUUUUAGGCACAACUUGUACUGGGCUUACCCACUCACUGUGCGGCACAGGAUAUAUAAUCCUUGCAUGCAGCAACUUUAUAACUUCCUUUUUAACUACCUCUCUCAUAGUGUUGUUAAGUCUACGUUGGGGUUCUCGAGAGGGUGUAACAGAAGGAUCUGUUGGAAUACGAUGAGUACAAAUCAUAGGACUGAUUCCUGUAAGAUCUUGAAGUGAGUAGCCGAAAACUGAGUGAUGUUUUUCAAGAAUGGUCAUUAAUCGCAGAGUUUGAUCCUGAGUGAGUUUAUCGCUAAUGAUCACAGGGAACUCUGGAUUAUUGUUUAGGAAAGCAUAGAUAAGACCGGGUGGUAAAGUUUUAAGCUCUAUAGGAGGUCUAGGUGUUUCUGCAAACUCAUCUAAGGGUCCAGGCUUAGAAGGUUUGUCUUCUUCUUCUGUGAAGAAAGGUGUUUCGUCUUCUAAGUCUGGUUUAUCUAAAAGCUCUAGAGAAGCAGCCUUUACUUCCUCCAUAGGAUCAGGCAAAAGAUAUGACUCGGCCUUAUUGUUUAAGGAGUGUGAAAUUAUUAUUGGGAAUUGAAAAGUUUUUCCAAAAGAAAUAUGUAGCUUUCCAAUAUGACCUUCAUAAAGGAGUCUUCUAAAAGGUUGUCCUAUCAAUAGGUUGAAGUCCCAUGUAUCAAAGAUAUAGAAGUUCAAAUAAACCAUGGAGCCUUCUACCGUAAGAGGUAGGACAUUAAUAAUUCCAAGACUGGGGACUAAUCGUCCCGAAGAUUCCUUUAUGACCUUUAUUGCGGGGGUUAAGACAAGAUUUUUAAAUAGUUUAAGUGCAAAAGAUUCAGACAUGAUGUUGAUUCCCACAAUAGGAUUAUAAAGAGCAUUAAAUCGAUCAGAAUCAUAAGCACAGCGUAUAGUUAUAGAGGGUGUGUCCAAACGGAUCACAUCAGAGGAAAGCUCCGAUUCCUCCAACCAUUCGCUACUCAUUACUGAGAUAAGCUCUCUCAAUUGAUAUUCACUUGGUAAAUAAAUGCUAUACUGGCCGUUUUGGGUUUUGUCAAUAGAAUGGUAGUUUGAAAUAUUUCCAAAAUCGGCAAAAAGAUCGGAUUCUAUAUCCAGCAUGAAGUCCGGUGGUGGAAUUUCUUCCUCUUGUGGCUCAGAACUUGGGAUAGCUAAAGUAGAUGAAGAUUUAGGCAGAGUGUCUACUUGGGCUUCGUAGGUUUCAUCAUGAAGGGUAUUAUCCAUCUCAGCUUCUAGGAUUCUAUCUAGGAUCACUCUUGCUUCAUCAGCGGGGAUGCGAAAGAAAGAACCUCUAGACAUUGUGUGUAGCAUUUGUUUGUGAUUUUUCUGAAGACCUCGAAAAAAGUGAAAUAAAAGAACAGGGUCUUCAAGAUUAAGAUUUGGACCAGAUUCUAAAAGAUCAGAAAAACGUUUCUAGGAUUUUCCCAAAAGUUUCAUUAUCUUUUUGUUUAAAAGAUAGGACUUCGAGUCUAAGGUCGGCUAUACGGUCAAGGGAAUAGAAAUCUAGACAAAAAUUGCCUCGUAAAACUCCCCAUUCACCUUGUUGUUGACUUACCUUCUGACUGUACCAUUGUCUAGCUUCUCCCCUUAGAGAAAAAGGAAAAAGCUUCCAACGUAAAGUCUUAUCAGAAAUGCCUUCAAUGCGAAGACAAUCACAUGUUUGCUCAAAAUCUCUAAUAUGAAGGUAAGGGUUUUCGUCUUCCUUUCCCAAAAAAGAUAGGUUUUGAAUCAUGGCAAUCAACCUAGAACUUAACUUAUACUGGGAUGUUUGGAUAGGCUGUGAUGAUUCCCAUGGUAAAAGGUCAGUUGCUAAAGGGAUUGCAGACUCAUGGAUCGAUUUAGAAUUUUGGUUUUCCAUAAGGUAAGAAUAAAGAAAAUAAAUAAAGAAUAUAAAAGAUAAGAAAAGAUAAAAGUAUAGAUACAAGCUAAUAGCAAGACACAGGUUAUCUCAGCAACCGUCUUUCUCCCCGGCAAUGGCGCCAGAAAUGCUUGUUGAUAUUUGGGAACGCAAUAAGGAAUUGAUCCGCAAGCGCACGGAUAUCGGUGAGCACUUCACCCGGGAAAUUAUCCGGAGUAUCGUAUUUAUUUUUUUACCACUAGGAGAAAGAGUGCAUCUGACUAACCGGUCUAUUACUACUAACCUUUAGGCACAAAGAAUGUCUUUCGAUGUGAGUGAUAAAUAGAGAAGACUGCAACCGUAGUCUCCUUCUAACCUUGGUAAGGAUGAUCUACUGUUCUAAUGGGGAGGCUAACGGAAUCUAGACACCACAAAGGAUGUUCAACCUGCACCUAUAAACCCUAUCCUUCCUGCUAACGAGAUGUGAUCUACAAAGGUAGCUCGGAAAUGUCACGUUCCUCACUACUACCACGGUCCAGCUAGUCAGGGAAUAUCUAUGAGUACCCCAGCCUAAACACCACGUUUACGCCAGCAAUGAUUACUCUAAACUCUACGCGAAGAGAUUAAAGUAAACUCAUAAACCAUAAGAACAAUAAAACAAGAACUUACUAGAAUUUAGAAGUCGAAUUACUGAAGAAUCCUAGGAGCAAGCUUCGGGUUAGGAGAACUUGAUCCCGCAGGUACAAGCUUGGAGUAGACACCGACAGGCCGGGCUUCCUCCACUCUACACCUCCACUCUAUCUCUCUCAAUCUAGUAGAAACUAGAAGAUCUAUUUCUACCUUACAUUGAUUGCUAAGCCUAAAAAGAAAUAUUAAUUAGAGAAAAUGUUUUCCUUCGAUGGCACCCCUCAGUCUCUAUGAUAAUUUCUUCAUGUCCUCUCCAGGGGCCAGGGGGGCCUUGCUUAUAUAGUCCUCCCCUUCUAUGCGUUUUUGGGUCGAUAGGUGAGGUGGUACUAUGUUUUUCUUGAUCCAAUAGGUCGGUGGAAUAUCCCGAGCGAAAGAGUCCUGAUUUGGCUCCAACAGGGGGGCGGGCGCCCAGGCUACCAGGGCGGGCGCCCUGGGCCUGGCCCAGAUUUGCCUCCGCUUCGGUCUCGUGGCUUCUGGAGUCUUCUAGAUGAUGUAAAAUUGCGCGGUGCGUUGAUAUCUGUAUGUAAUCCCGACAUGUGGGCCUUUCUUCCUUAUUUCCUGAUAACCCCCUGCAGAAAUAGAUAAACAACAAAACUCGUGGAAUUCUGUCAGAUCAAACCCUAUUUCUAGGUGUUGGUUGCAUGUUGGUCCUUUCUCAUGUUUAUUUGAUAAUUAAAAUUGGUACUUAAGAACCGUCAACACCGAUGGGUUGUAAAACUCAUAGGUUUGGUUGGAGGCUUUUCCACUACCAAAGAAAUUUACUGGUAUAGCUCUGGGAGUGAUUAGUGCCAUCAUCACAUCGUGAUCCUUGUUAAGAGCAUCGUUGAACGGAUGGAAGACCAAAGGAAACAUGGUGUCUGGAUCUUAAUAUGGCAUCCAUGCUCGCUGCUCUCUGGUCAGGCCUUCAUACAAGGUCUAGAAGAAUCGGCUGAUCUGGUCUGUGUUGCCACCUGUGCCAGGCAGAACUAUGACAGCCUCGCCAAAGUUCAGAGGAGGCCGAGUUGCCGAAUCUUCUUCAUCCAAUUCAUAGUCCUCGGCUAUGUCUCUGGGGAAGCGCUGUGCAAAGAGGUUGAACUCACGGCGCUUGUGCAUGUGGAGACUGAGCCACAUAUUAAUGAACCACCAGGGACCCCCUAAGUUGCCGAUGGAUUGACCAAGUAGGAGUUUUCUAGCUACUUGGUGGAGGAGGUGGUAAACCGAGCCAAGCAGGUAUUGGCCGAGGGGAAAUCGGCCACCGUUAGCUAAUCUCUCUGCUGCCGAUAGGUAGACAGAGGUUGGUCCUGCCGAUCGGCCACAGAACACAAACUUGUCCAGCCACAUGUUCAGGAAAGUGGUUUGCUCCUUUAUGUUGACAGGCCCCAUUCUGCGAUACUUCUAGAUGUACCCAGACCAGCCGCCGAUAGCGCGGGUGUCCACUUUGGCGCUAGGCGUAGUGUCAAACAGGUGACUACUAUCGGCAGUGGAUACGUCUAGGCCAGUGAGCAUGAGCACAUCGGCAAGAGUGGGAGAAGCAGGGCCGUGGCCAAAGACAAAGGCAUUGAGCGUGUCUGACCAGAAAUAUGAUGCAGCUAUCAGCAGUGAAUCAUUCCUUUGCAUAUCGGCAAUGGACAACCUAAUGCAUUGGUCCAGUUUUCGCUCACCCCACUGAACCUCAUUUGAGUGGCUGACUCUCAAGAACCAAUCCUUCCAUCCCACUGUGGAUUGGGCCAGGAACGGAAGGUGUCCUUCCAUAGAUCUAGAGAAAAAUUCUCGGCUCUAAAGGGGAUUCUAUUUGUUUCUGCGUUGAUCAAAUCGAUGGGAUCUGGGUUCCCUAGUGGACCGAGACAUUGAAGGUGUGGCUGAUCGGUAGGGAUGACAAUUUUAUUGGACAGAUCCUGAUGGUUUUUGGGGCGAAAAGAAAAAACAAAGAAAAAAAGGGAAGGGAUGUUCAGUAAAAUAAAUUGCGGAUGAACAAGGAUGUGGUAAAAGUACGAGAAGUAGGGUGAUGAACUGACCUCGGGAACAGCGAAGUUGAUGGCCAUCUCCUCGCAAAAAGGAUGAUCGAAGAUUUUGAGGUUGGUGAAGAAAGGGCUUCGUUGGAGUUCUUGGAGCUCUCGAACAGCGCCGCCGCCGAGAAAGUGGAGUUGGGGCUGUAGAAUGAUGUGAUGGGGAAGGAGUACCCGAGAAGGAACUAUUUAUAGGACAAAACAGGCAGGGGCAAAUCUGACUUAUCUCUUUGCUGUAUCCAUGAAAUCCGAGGGUACUCAGGUAGAUAUGGUAACUGUUCGCACGGUAAUCAAGGGAUUGUGCAGGUGAUUUGACGGGAAGCGGUCAUAAUCCAGAGAUAUUUCACUGUGCGGGAUCUCCUGGUCGGUCCAUCGGCAGAGCCUUGUAACGGUAAUAUUGCCGAUGGGCGAAUAAAGUGGAGAUGACCGUUUGGGAGGUUGAGAUAUUUCGCUGUGCGGGAUUUCCUGAUCGGUUCAUCGGCAGCGCCUUGUAACGGUAAUGUUGCUGAUGGGUGAUUAAAAUGGAGAUGUCCGUUUGGGAAGUUGAGGAAUUCGAGGAAUCUGCGAGAAAUCGGACCAAGGUUGUUCAGAUUUAUGAUGUCGUUUGCCGAAAUUGGGAGAAUUAAUUGCGGAAAGGCGUCAUUACUAUAGAGAAUUUCGGAGCAUUAUUGAUUUCAUACUCUGAAAUUGGGGGGCAUGUGUUGACACCGUUUUUGGACACGUACCCAGGAUCAGUAGAGUGUAGAUCGGCAAGAUAGGGCAACAGUGACUGGUCUGCAGGAGAGUUGCCGAUGAGGGUGGUUGCCGAUGAAGAGACAGCUGAAUGUGGCUAAGUCCAUGGGUGGUGAUGUGUUUGUGCCGAUGGCCAGCAUUAACCUUUGCCGAUGGCUGCGAUGGAGAGUAUGCCGAUGACGUGGAAGGAAGGCUUGGAGGUUGCCGAUUGGUCAAUGGUGGCGUCCUAGUGUGUCACGGGGGGAUAGUUUUAUGUUUUCCUUAGUUAUUUAGAUCAUUUUGUAUACAGAUUCUGUUUGAUUUGGAAUUCGAGUUCUAGUCGUGUCUGGUUGUAGCUCUUUGAGCAGGGUAUAAAUGUAGACCUUAGGGCCUUGUAAUGGAGACAUCUAUCAAUCAAUCAAAUAUAAGUUUUUACUCAUAUUCCAGCAUCUACUUUUUCGACGACUUCGUCAUAUUUUCCUUUUUCAUUACGAGUUCUUAGGAGUUCGUCGAUUUAAGCUCGGCGUAUUAUCAAGUUCCGCGUGAAUACCUCUUGGCUGUGGCAUCCGGGCGCAUCGCUGUUGUCGGGACUAAAGUAUUCGAGUUAUCACCUUUGCCGAUAGUAAGGUCAAAUCGGCUGGCACGUCUUAACGUUUAAAUUGGGUAUUAGCCCUUUGUGUUUGCAGAUCAGCUUUUGCAUCAAUAGGUUGACAAGUCACUUCAUGAGUUCUCAGCUCCCACUACGGCCAACAUCCAUACUAGACUAGCUAUAGACAUUAAUGGAUCAUUCCUGCUCAAGCCGGCGCUGAUCAACAUGGUGCAAGCAAGUCAAUUCUGUAGAAAGGCCCUUGAAGAUGCUAGUGCUCAUCUCCAACACUUUCUAGAGAUCUGCAGCACUUUCACUAUCAAGGACGUCCCUAGAGAUGAUAUAUUUACUUCGCCUCUUUCCAUUCAAACUCUUGGGAAAAGCGAAGCAGUGGUUCUACGCCAAAAGGGAGUAGAAUAGUACAUGGGCAUUAUGUUCCACCAAUUUCCUGGCGAAGUUCUUUCCUACAGGCAUGACCAAUGCUCUUCGUGGGAAGAUAUCAAGUUUUCAGCAACAACAUGAUGAGACAGUCUCAGAAGCUUGGGAACGCUUUCAAGACUACAUACUUGAGUGUCCUCAUCAUGGAACGGAGAAUUGGUUGUUGUUGAUAUUAGUUACGCACACGAAAGAAUCAAAGAGAAAUAAUCCACAAGCGCACAGAUAUCGGUGAGCACUUCAGCCAGGAGAUAAGUCCAGAGUAUCGUAUUUAUUUUUUACCACUAGGAGAAAGCGUGCAAAAGACUAACCUUUUAUCCUACCUACUACCCAUAGGUUGCAAGAGAAGAUAGUGAGAAUUAAGCGAUAUAGAGUGAACUCUUUCUUCAGUCUUCUUCUAACCUAUGAUAAGCUGUGUAGAUAUUGUUCUAAGGGGGUUUAUCAGGAAUUAUGGAACAAAGGCCCACACGUCGGGUUUACAUAGAGAUAUUAACGUACCACGCAAUUAUCUUACAUCUAGAAGAGUCGAGAAGCCACGGGAACGAACGGGAGACCGGACGGGCUCGGGGGCAGGGCGCCUGCCCUCCCGCCUAGGGUGCCCGCCCUGGCCUUUCCACCAAUCACAGCCAACUUCGCGGAUCAUGCUCCACCGACCUAAAGGAUCAAGGAAAACCGUGUGAUUAAUGUCGGUUUGAUCCGACGGCCUAUAUUCACAUGGAAGGACUAUAUAACUAGACCCCCUAGCCCCUGGAGGAGAGCACCUCCCAACCUUAAUUCAUUAUUCAUCUUGGGAGAAGAAGCCUCUGAUCAAGCCCUAGAGCCACCACAUCAAUUAGAUCUCUAGAUUAGCAUAGCUACAUACGAUUAGAACUAGAAGGAGUCAAUCUUCGAUUGGUUUCCAGAUCUAUCAAGAGGAUUCUUGGUAAUUCUCUAUUGUUCUUCAAUUGUUUAUCUUUGUUCUUCGAUAUUAUAAAUAUGACUUUGUUCUACUUCAAUAUAUUGAUUAUGACUUUGCUCUACUUGUUUAUAUUCACAAUUAUAUUGUUCUUAGUUUAUCAUAGUUAUAUACUUGGCUUAGUUAGAUUGGAAUUAUAUACAUGUUUAGGAUCGUAUAGCGUUUAUCCAUUGGAUCCAUGGGUAAAUGAUAGAUAUUGUGUAGGCGUUGUGCCUAUACCGUAUUUAUCUGCGAUUGUACCCUAUAUGCCAUAUCGUGGGGUAGUUCGUGGUAGUGACAGCUCCAUUGAUUCUUAUAUAGUCCCCCUCUCGUGUAUUGGGCUGGCAGAGCAACAUUAUUACACGGGAGUGAUUGUGAUGUUUCCCAUAUUCCUUGAUAAUAUCACUAUGCAUGGGCGUAGUCCUAUCUCACAAUGAUUGCUAAGUAUAAUUGCACUAACUAUGAUAUGCUAGACUGUAUAGUUAAGAAUAACUUAGGAAAUAUUCUUGUAGUUCGUCCUAAUUCCAUGCUAAUGACUUGCUAGAAUAUCUAAUUGAGGUGCUUAUCAUAUUUAUAUGUGGCUAAGUUAUGCUGAUCAGAUUAACUAUCUUUGUCACCAUUCAUACUUUAUCUAUCUUAUAUGUGACACUUAUCCCUGUAUGAAAGAGAUAGAUAGAUGCUCUCAAUUAUACAUGCAAUGAUAGAUACUCAAUUCUAUAUUCCAUUCUAUAAUCAACAUUGAUGUUUAGCAAUCCCUUCUCAGUGGUAAAAAUAUAAAUAACGAUACUUGGAAUACUUCCCGGUUAAAAUGCUACAUCGGUAUUAAUCUGUGCGCUUGCAGAUCCCAUUUCUUAUUUAUUUAGGAGAGCAAUUGCAUAUUUCAAUACCGCGUCUCUUAUGUCAUGCUGGGGUUGACAACUUGGCUUAACUGACAUUAGGGAUAGGUUUGGCAUUUUUGGCGCCGUUAUCAGAAUUAGAAAACUAAGUCUACUUUUGGUAGUGACGUUAAGAAUGCCCUACAAGCAUUUUUGGCGUCGUUGCCGGGGAAGGUUGAUUACUAAUCAGGAAUGAAUAUAGAAUUUUGAGUCAUCAUUCGCAUCACUAAUAUGAUUGAGAUUAUCAAUUCUCUCAAACAGUUUUACCCCGAUAUUUUUCUAUUUUAUCUUAUGCAGGGUAAUGUAUGAAUAGAAGACAUCUUCCAGGAAAUUUUGUUGACAAUCCCGAAGUGUUAUUCAGAAAAACAAGAGCCAAGCUCAAGAAGAGAUCAUCAACACUUCAGCACGAAGCUUCAUCCAAUCAAGAAGAUCACCGAAGUUUCACCCGGAACUUGUCUUCAGAGUUCAGACCCAUGGCGAACAAAUCGAUCCGUGAGUUCUCAGCUCCACUAUGGACAACAUCCGUACUGGACCUGCUGCAGAGAUCGAUGGCAACUUUGAGCUCAAGCCUGGACUUAUCAACAUGGUGCAAUCCAACCAGUUCUGUGGGAAGGCACACGAAGAUGCUAGUGCUCAUCUCCAACACUACCUGGAGAUUUGCAACACAUUCACCAUAUCAGGAGUCCCCAGAGAUGCUAUACUACUUCGCCUCUUCCCAUUCUCACUGUUGGGGAGAGCGAAGCAGUGGUUCUACGCUACAAAGGAGAAGAAUACUACGUGGGCACUCAGCUCCACGAACUUUCUGGCUAAGUUCUUUCCCAUGGGCAAGACCAAUGCUCUCCGUGCGAAAAUUACAAGUUUUCCGCAACAACAUGAUGAAUCUGUUCUAGAAGCAUGGGAGCACUUUCAAGACUACAUCCUAGAAUGUCCCCAUUAUGGAAUGGAGAGUUGGAUAUUAAUGCAGAUGUUUUAUCAUGGGCUCAACAACAGUGCCCGAGAAACCAUGGAUGGUGCAGCUGGAGGAGCAUUCCUAUCACUCACCAUAUCACAAGCCACAGCUCUUGUGGAGAAGAUGGUGUCCAACCAAGGCUGGAAUGAAGAAAGGACCCAGACACGCAAGAGAGGUGGAGGUAUGCACCAGCUCAAGGAGGUAGACAUGCUAUCUGCAAAGCUAGACCUCCUCAUGAAGAAGCUCGAUGAUAGAGCUGGAGAUAAGAAAGAAGUUAUGCACAUCUACGACUCUCACAUGACUUCUGAGGAGUGUGGAGAUACUGGACACUCAGGCAAUUACUGCCCUGAGAUGCUUGAGAAUGUGAACUACAUCAUCAUCAACAACAACAACAACUACUACUACAACUGUCCUCAACAAAAUCAAGGUUGGAAUCAACAAAGGCCUAACUACUCAGGUAAUUAUCAAGGUAACAAUUCUUACAACAAUAAUAAUAUUUUCCACCUCUGAGAGAGUUAGUGUCUAAUCAAGGAAAGCUAAUGGAUAACCUAUCUAAGAAAUUGACAUCUAAUGAUAAAAUGCUAGAAAAUAUAAAUAAUAGAAUGGAUAAUUUCUCUACUGCCAUCAAAAAUCAAAUUAGCUUUAGUAAAAUGAUUGAAUCUCAGUUAAAUCAAAUAACUGUUGUUGUUCCUGCUACUAACCCCGGUGUACCAUCACAACCGGAAGGGUUAGAAUCUGCAAAUCUUGUAGACAUGUUUGAUGCAGGUAACUACUGGAGUAACCCCGUCACUGAAGUUACUACUGACCUUUUGCCAGUCAAGAGAGGCGAUCCUGGACGCCCCAUCAUCCCGAUCUCCAUCAGCAUGGUGGACUUCCCAGAAGCACUCUGCGACUUUGGCUCCAGCGUCAACAUUAUGCCUAGGGUACUCUAUGAGAAAUUCUUUACAUAUCCUUUAUUAGAAACAACCAUGUGUUUGCAGUUUGCAGAUCAGGCGUUAAGUUCCCAAAGGGAAUAUUGAAGAACCUUUACGUCCGAGUUGGUACCUUAUACGCCCCAGCAGACUUCGUGGUGAUAGAGACCGGUAAUGAUAAGAGGGCACCCAUCAUUUAGGGAUAUCAUUCUUAAACACCUCGAGAGCUGUCAUCUACGCUAGUGCUGCCAAGAUCAGUUUCUACAUCAAAGGGAGGAAGGAGAUGUUUUCCUUCAAGAACAAGACUACACAAAUCCCAGAGCAAUCCUGACAUGAACCAAGGAAGAGGACCAACAGGAGGAACAGGAACAAGCAAGUGUGGACCAAGUCAGCUAAGAUGGUCACUGCAGUUGAUGGAGGACAAGAUCAUCGACUUAAGUCUCCGUUUCUGACCAAGGAGGACGACCCAGGAAUGCCAAGCAUCUAUUGCUCGAUAAAUGGAUACAAUUUCUAUAAGAUGUUUUGCGACACUGGAUCGGGCGUCAACAUAAUGGCCACAGUCACCUAUCGGCUCUUGUUCGGAACCAUGCCCCUAAAACCAACAUACAUUCAGCUCCAGAUGGCAGAUCAGACAUUUUGAGAGGUUAAAGGUAUAGUAACUGAUGUCCUUGUCAAAAUAGACGAUCAUUUUGUCUAUACAGACUUUCAGGUUAUUGACAUGGGGGAAGACGAAUACGAUCCACCCGUCAUCCUUGGAAGACCGUUCCUCAGUACUGUUAAAGCAAUCAUCUACAUUGGAACUGGAGAAGUCCAUAUGCACUUCCCCUCAGAGAAGGUACGCCGCUAUUUUACUGACCCUAACUAUAUCGUUGAAGACUCUAAGCAGGUCAGGACAAGAAGAAGACGACGCAACCGCAACCAGAAGAGGCAAAUCAUCAAGGACGGAUGGGCAGACUACGAAGACGAAGUGGUAAGGUCUGAAGACAUACAACUUGAACAAGAUUAUCCUGAGGAGACCGUAGCACCGAGUCAGGUGUGGAAAGAGAAGAUAACUAUACACGAAGAGGAGGCGCCGCCGAAAGCACCGACUACGCCAUCCAACAAAUCCCAGGACAACUGAGAAAACGGAGAGUCCCGUUCGGAGGACUUAAUAAAACACCGAACGCCUUGCCAAGAGGUAAACUUGGUAGUUAUCCUUUCCCUUUCAAAUAUUUAAAAUAGUUUACUUAGUUAAUUAUAUUCAUACUAUCCUAAAAAGAAAAUAAAAAAUGUUAAAAAUAGUAAGCCCCAUGUGAGUAUACGAGUGACAUAAAACCCAUAAGAACAUUCACUGUGGUGGCAUAAAAAUAAAAUAAAUAUUUUUUCUGCUUUAUAAAAAUGAAAAUAUAAAAAUAGAGAGUAAUAUUUAUUGAGGAGUCUCAACAUGAUAAAGGCUAGAUAUUUAUGCUAACGCUUAAUUAGUUCCACAAAGCUUUGUUGUCUAUUUGAGCUCCAUAGAAUUCAAGAAUCAAGAAGACUAGCAGACGGAGGACAUCCUAAUCGAUGUCAGGGUGCUGCCGACUUUCAAAUACACCUCUGCUACCUGCUAGCUACAUCAGAAGAAAUUACGUCAAAAUUUAGCUUGGAGGAGAGCACCCCCAUUUAUCUCGCUAAGUAUUUCUAUCUAUCUUUAUACUUAUACUAUAUUUAAAUAUAAAUAUGCAUAAACAUGAAAAAACCAAAUAAAGAUUUUGUGCUUAUAUACAUAUAUAUAUCUUUUGCUUAGUGUGUUUAAUAAAUAAAUAAAGUGGCUAUGCUAAACUGAAUCUUAAUAAUAAAACUCUAGCAUGGAUAUGAUGAAUAGUUGCUCUGCCUAAUUUUCAAAUUUGAGUUCUCUCUCUAGUUUAGACAUAACUGUUAUAAUUUAAAGCUUACUCUAAACCUAAAACUUGUGGGAAGAGAACUUGAUGUGAAGUCUAAGUUGUUAACGGAUAUGAUAUGAGAAGGUUGAGUUGUUGUUUAUCUUUUCCUGGAGAUGCCAGAAUUCUGGAGAAUUUUAUCUUUGAAAAUCUUUAAAAUAACACAUGACGAGUUCCUGUAUGAUGAGAGUUUAAAUUCCUACCACAAACAUAUAUACAUGCUUGCUAGACUUUGAGCCAUACAUUUACUUUUUACUGCUUGUGAGCAUUGAGUGUGGUCAAGCUGUGUAGACCCUUAGGAGCUUGUCAUGUGGUUAAAUCAAGAUUCACUUGCACGUUCACUCACACAUGUUGCUUCUACUCCGGGAGUACGCAUCCACAUAUAUCCACUCAUUUCCAUCUCCAGAACCACCUAAAAGUAUUCUACUCCUAAUCCGGGAGAGAAUAGCUGAAAACAUUCUCCUAUUUCUGUUUUUCCCUGUGAAAUAAAUGCUCCAGUUAUUUUGGGUACUACCACUUGCUAUAUUAUUUCAGGAGAUGAGUGCUCUACUAAAAAAGAAGAGAAAAAAAGAUACGAGGAAAUAAAAAGGGGCAAGUGCCCGGAACCUUGAAAGAAGAGAAAAGGUGAGACGAAAGGUAAAAAUGGACAAGUGUCCGACAGUAGAAUUAGGGGUACAAAAUACCCACCUGAGAGGAAAGAAAAAGAAAAUACAAAGCAUCUCAUUCUCCUCAAGUUUCAAAAGAGCAAGAAAGGUAUGUAUCCCCUCAAAAGAGCAAAAGUAGAAUUAGACUUUCACCAUUGUUAUCACCAUCAUCACCAUACACCAUUCAUUCGCCACACAUGCACAUCUUGAUUUGACUUAUUGGCUUGUUUCUUUGGAUCCAUGGUUUGACUAUACAACAAAUGUCUUGUGAGUAUGUAUACUUUAUCUCCCACCUAUGAGCCCUAGAUAUCAAAAGCCUUAUUAGAGUAGGGUGAGAGAGAAGGCAAUGUCACUAUGCCUUAUACUACAAAUACCACAUAUUUUGAGAGAAGGCAUAUACCAUCACUGCCUUGGUAAGGAUCCAGAAAUACCACAAAAGAGAGAUACGAGAGAGUCAUACAAGGAAUCUCAGAGUUUUAUUUGAAAAUCUGCAAAAACUCCAGAGCUAUAGCUGAUCAAGAAUAAGAGACAUGGCACUUGAUUAGACCGUUCUAUCUUUUAACUACUCAAGACAGAAGUGACGGUUACAAGUCCCAUGGUAAAAAGUAAAAUGAAUAAGUUUUAAGUCUUGACAGUUUACUCUAACUCAGAGAUGAGACCUCAUUUAAAAGCAUGUGUACCGUCAAUUUUUAAAGGUAUUUCAGCAACUUCUGAUCCAUCACUGAGAUUAUUCUUGAUCAGGGACGAGCAAGAGGUAAGCUUGGGGGAGUUUGUUGUCGGUCCUUAAGUAUCAAAUUUAAUUAUCAAAUAAACAAAGAAAAGGAUCCAAAUGCAACCGACAUCCAGACUUAGGGUUUUAUCUGACAGAAUUCCACGAGUUUUGGUGUUUGUCUAUUUCUGCAGGUGAUUAUCAGAAAUUAUGGAAGAAAGGCCCACACGUCGGGUUUACAUAGAGAUAUUAACGUACCGCGCAAUUAUCUUACAUCUAGAAGUGUCGAGAAGCCACGGGAACGAACGAGAGACCGGACGGGCUCGGGGGCAGGGCGCCCGCCCUGGCCUUUCCACCAAUCACAGCCAACUUCACGGAUCAUGCUCCACCGACCUAAAGGAUCAAGGAAAACUGUGCGAUUAAUGUCGGUUUGAUCCGAUGGCCUAUAUUCACUUGGAAGGACUAUAUAACUAGACCCCCUGGCCCCUGGAGGAGAGCACCUCUCAACCUUAAUUCAUUAUUCAUCUUGGGAGAAGAAGCCUCUGAUCAAGCCCUAGAGCCACCACAUCAAUUAGAUCUCUAGAUUAGCAUAGCUACAUAGGAUUAGAACUAGAAGGAGUCAAUCUUCGAUUAGUUUCCGCAUCUUCAAUCAGCUUUUUGAAAUGUGAUGCAGCACCCUCAUUUCCAUCUUCAGUUCUAGCCUCAUUUCUAUGUGUUUCAGAAGUGACUAGUUCAUCUAACAUCUCUUCAAGUCCACCAUCACCAUUGGUGUGCUCAGGUACAAAAGAAACAUCAUUUGCAUCCUCAGCUACUGCUACUUCCUCCAAAACAUGAAUAUUUCUAUCCUCUCCAUGAUCUAUCCACCUAGUAUAUGUGCUGGACAUACCAUUGAGCAGUAGGUGCCUCUCUACUUCAUUUUGCUCUAAAGAUAUAGUGUUUAGACAACUUGAACAUGGGCACAAAAUCUACUCAGACUCAGAAAACCUAUCUUUGACAAAUUUCAUGAAAGACCGGACACCACAAAUGUACUGAGGGGUAAAUAAAGCACCAUGAAUCCAACGUCUGUCCAUCUACAAAUAAAUUGCAGAAAUUAAGUAGAUCAUUCUAACCUACAAUUGCAGACACACAUCAACUAACAAAGUACAACACUAAUUUACACUAUGUAUUCAAAUCCAUACCAAUUCACAGCUAGCGAGGACAGGGCACAGGGGGUACACAGCCGACGCGGACAAGACCCGCACGGUGGCAACGGAUCCACUGCAGGGGGGCUCCACGGAGUCGAUGUCGUGGCUGCUCCCCGGUAUCCCUGUCGCCGCGGGCAAGGACGGGGGCCAGACGACUGGCGCCUCCGGCACAGACAAGGACCGCGUGCACGGACGGCGCGGACAGGAUGGCGGCGGCGGCGGGCGAGGAUAGGGCGGCCUGCGUGGAUAGGAUGCCCGGCAAGGAGAGGGGCCGUGGGCGCCGAGCGGCCGCCAAGCAGAGGGGCGAUGUCGGGCGGCCAGCAAUAGGGGCGACGCUGGGCGGUGAAGAUAGGGGCGCGCCGUCGCGGACAGGGUCGUCUAAUUUGUUUAAGAACUAUCCCAAAUUUCAUUCAUAGGUCAAAAGAAAAAACAAGUCAGCAUUAUGCACACUACGACCGAUGACCAACUGGUUAGGUCCUUGCAGUUGGGAAUUUUGUGGACAGCCACGGUUCAAAUCCCAACCAGCGCCAACCACAUGACAUUUAGCUUCCCUAUUUUCCCUAUCUAAAUCUCUCACCGACAGGUGGGUCCCACCAGACCAGCGCCAACCACAUGACAUUUAGCUUCCCUAUUUUCCCUAUUUAAAUCCCUCACCGACAGGUGGGUCCCACCAGACCAGCGCCAACCACAUGACACGUAGGAACGACGUGGACGCACACAUCAGCAUGCCACCUGCAUGUUAUAUCUGUGACCUUCCAAUGAGUCCGUCAUACAUGACCAAAUUGAUCCGUAAAAUGAUUUUGCAUGAUUCGUGACGUUCCACUUAUGACGGUAAUUCAACCAAUCGUCAUGCAUCAUCACCUGGGAUUUGGACCGUCAUGGAUGACUACAUUCUGUGAUGAUUUGUUAGAAGGUCACAAUCAAACUGUCACAUAUAAGGGAAUUUCUUGUAGUGUUCUCUUGAUUGCUUUGGUUCUGAUGAUGAAGAGUUGAAUGUACCCAAAGUCAAUCCUGAUAUACCCUAUAUAGAAAUAUAAACAUUGAAAAACAACAGGGUGAACCUACCAAAGCAGAGGUGCCUUGUUAUGAUUUCUCACUUAGUAGCUGUUUUAUGCAAUUAUUUCUCUAUAGCCAAAGCAGAGGUGCCUUGUUAAGAAUCAACGAAGCUGUCACUAUCACGAACUACCACAAAACCCGACCAAUAGGAUACAUUUGCAGGUAAAUAACAUCUAAGCACCACGCCCACAUAUGAUCUACCACUUAACUCCCUCGCGUCAAGAGCUAAGCGCUUUGCAAACUUACACAUAAACUCAUUAUCAAUCAUAACUAUAUCAAAUAUAGAACUAGAGCAAACUAAGAUCAUAAUAAAUAGAGACAUAAUGCAAUUAGAACAAAGUAUUAGAGAAAUAUAUGAAUAAUACCAAUCUUUAUUACCGAAGAUCCGAAUCCAGAGCGUAGUGCUCUACUUCUCUAAUUGCUAUCUAAUCAAUCCUCUAAACUUGAAGGAUUAGGGUGUAGCUAAUUCUAAUUCUCUGUGGGAGAGAAGCUCUAAACCCUAACUUUGAUGGCUACCUCUGAUAAUGAUUUCUCCUCUUCUCUUCUCUCCUCCAGGGGUGGAGAGGCCUUGGUUAUAUAGUCCUUUCAAGUGAAUUUGGGCCGUCGGAUCAAACCGACAUUGAUCACAUGGUUUUCCAUGAUCCUUUAGGUCGGUGAACACGAUCCAAGAGUUUGGUUCAGAUUGGACCCGAGACCAGGGUGGGUGCCCAAGGGGGAGGGCGGGCGCCCUGCCCUCGAGCCCGUCCGAUCUCCCGUUCGUUUCCGUGGCUUCUGGACUCUUCUAGAUUGAGGAAAAUUGCGCGGCACGUAAUUAUCUCGUUGUAAACAUGACAUGUGGGCCUUCUCUCCAUAUUUUUCUGAUAACCCCUGCAGAAAUAGAUAAACACCAAAGCUCGUGGAAUUCUGUCAGAUAAAACCCUAAUUCUAGAUGUUUGGUGCAUAUUGAUCCGUUUCCAUGUUUGUUUGAUGAUUAAAUUUAGUACUUAAGGACCGUCAACAGUCCAUUUCCAAUUUCCCUCAGAAAAGGUACGCCUUCACUUCAAUAGUAAUUAUAUAAUUGAGGAAGAUCCCAAGAAGAAUAGGUCAAGAAGAAGGAGAUGUACCCGCCACCAGAAGAAGAAGAAUGUUGUAGAUGGAUGGGCCGACUAUGAAGGAGAGGUUUCAAGAUUCAAAGCUUGAUACCUUGACAAGGAGAACCUCGUCAAAGAGGAGGUACCAGCAGAAGAAGAGAUAGUAACUCUAGACACUAAAAUCACCGAACGCCGUGCCAAGAGGUAACUUGGUAUUUAUCCGCAUUUCCCUUUAGCAUAUUUACUUCUCUUAGUUCCAUUAGUAGUUGCAUCUUUAUGUUUAUUAUUGCUGCAUUAGAAAAGAAAAUAAAUAUGCUUUGCAUUGCAUCUAGAAAAUUGCUAAGCCCCAUGUAUUUAAUAUGUGAUGCAACAGCUCACAUACUUAUCUACUCUGGAGGCACAAAAAUAAUUUUUAGCAUAUUUAUUUUCCUGUCUGCAUACCAUAAAUAUGAAAAGCAUAAAAAUAUAUUGAUCCUGCUAAAACAUAAAUAGACAUGAAGAAAUUAUCAUAGAGACUGAGGGGUGCCCUUGAAGGAAAACCUCUUCUCUAAUUAAUAUUUCUUUUUAGGCUUAGCAACCAAUGUAAGGUAGAAAUAGAUCUUCUAGUUUCUACUAGAUUGAGAGAGAUAGAGUGGAGGUGUAGAGUGGAGGAAGCCCGGCCUGUCGGUGUCUACUCCAAGCUUGUACCUGCGGGAUCAAGUUCUCCUAACCCGAAGCUUGCUCCUAGGAUUCUUCAGUAUUUCGACUUCUAAAUUCUAGUAAGUUCUUGUUUUAUUAUUCUUAUGGUUUAUGAGUUUACUUUAAUCUCUUCGCGUAGAGUUUAGAGUAAUCAUUGCUGGCGUAAACGUGGUGUUUAGGCUGGGGUACUCAUAGAUAUUCCCUGACUAGCUGGACCGUGGUAGUAGUGAGGAACGUGACAAUUCCGAGUUACCUUUGUAGAUCACAUCUCGUUAGCGGGAAGGAUAGGGUUUAUAGGUGCAGGUUGAACAUCCUUUGUGGUGUCUAGAUUCCGUUAGCCUCCCCAUUAGAACAGUAGAUCAUCCUUACCAAGGUUAGAAGGAGACUACGGUUGCAGUCUUCUCUAUUUAUCACUCACAUCGAAAGACAUUCUUUGUGCCUAAAGGUUAGUAGUAAUAGACCGGUUAGUCAGAUGCACUCUUUCUCCUAGUGGUAAAAGAAAAAUACGAUACUCUGGAUAAUUUCCCGGGUGAAGUGCUCACCGAUAUCCGUGCGCUUGCGGAUCAAUUCCUUAUUGCGUUCCCAAAUAUCAACAAGCAUUUCUGGCGCCGUUGCCGGGGAGAAAGACGGUUGCUGAGAUAACUUGAGUCUUACUAUUAGCUUGUAUCUAUACUUUUAUCUUUUCUUAUCUUUUAUAUUCUUUAUUUAUUUUCUUUAUUCUUACCUUAUGGAAAACCAAAAUUCUAAAUCGAUCCAUGAGUCUGCAAUCCCUUUAGCAACUGACCUUUUACCAUGGGAAUCAUCACAGCCUAUCCAAACAUCCCAGUAUAAGUUAAGUUCUAGGUUGAUUGUCAUGAUUCAAAACCUAUCUUUUUUGGGAAAGGAAGACGAAAACCCUUACCUUCAUAUUAGAGAUUAUGAGCAAACAUGUGGUUGUCUUCGCAUUGAAGGCAUUUCUGAUAAAACUUUAUGUUGGAAGCUUUUUCCUUUUUCUUUAAGGGGAGAAGCUAGACAAUGGUACAGUCAGAAGGUAAGUCAACAACAAGGUGAAUGGGGAGUUUUACGAGCCAACUUUUGUCUAGAUUUCUAUUCCCUUGACCGUAUAGCCGACCUUAGACUCGAAGUCCUAUCUUUUAAACAAAAAGAUAAUGAAACUUUGGGAAAAUCCUGGAAACGUUUUUCUGAUCUUUUAGAAUCUGGUCCAAACCUUAAUCUUGAAGACCCUGUUCUUUUAUUUCACUUUUUUCGAGGUCUUCAUAAAAAUCACAAACAAAUGCUACACACAAUGUCUAGAGGUUCUUUCUUUCGCAUCCCUGCUGAUGAAGCUAGAGUGAUCCUAGAUAGAAUCCUAGAAGCUGAGAUGGAUAAUACCCUUCUUGAUGAAACCUACGAAGCCGAAGUAGACACUCUGCCAAAUUCUUUAUCUACUUUAGCUAUCCCAAGUUCUGAGCCACAAGAGGAAGAAAUUCCACCACCGGACUUCAUGCUGGAUAUAGAAUCCGAUCUUUUUGCCGAUUUUGGAAAUAUUUCAAACUACCAUUCUAUUGACAAACCCCAAAAUGGCCAGUUUAGCAUUUAUUUACCAAGUGAAUAUCAAUUGAGAGAGCUUAUCUCAGUAAUGAGUAGUGAAUGGUUGGAGGAAUUAGAGCUUUCCUCUGAUGUGAUCCGUUUGGACACACCCUCUAUAACUAUACGCUGUGCUUAUAAUUCUGAUCGAUUUAAUGCUCUCUAUAAUCCUGUUGUGGGGAUCAAUAUCAUGUCUGAAUCUUUUGCACUUAAACUAUUUAAAAAUCUUGUCUUAACCCCCACAACAAAGGUCAUAAAGGAAUCUUCGGGACGAUUAGUCCCCAGUCUUGGAAUUAUUAAUGUCCUACCUCUUACGGUAGAUGGCUCCAUGGUUCAUUUGAACUUCUAUAUCUUUGAUACAUGGGACUUCGACCUGUUGAUAGGACAACCUUUUAGAAGACUCCUUUAUGAAGGUCAUACUAGAAAGCUACACAUUUCUUUUGGAAAAACUUUUAAAUUCCCAAUAAUAAUUUCACACUCCUUAAACAAUAAGGCCGAGUCAUAUCUUUUGCCCAAUCCUAUGGAGGAGGUAAAGGUACAUCUCUAGAGCUUUUAGAAGAACCAGACUUAGAAGACGAAACUCCUUUCUUCACUGAAGAAGAAGACGAACCUUCUGAGCCUGAACCAUUAGAUGAGUUUGCAGAAACACCUAGACCCCCCAUAGAGCUUAAAACUUUACCACCCGGUCUUACCUAUGCUUUCCUAAACAAUAAUCCAGAGUUCCCUGUGAUCAUUAGCGAUAAACUCACUCAGGAUCAAACUCUGCGAUUAAUGACCAUUCUUGAGAAACAUCACUCAGUAUUCGGCUACUCACUUCAAGAUCUUACAGGAAUCAGUCCUAUGAUUUGUACCCAUCGUAUUCCAACAGAUCCUUCUGUUUCACCCUCUCGAGAACCCCAACGUAGACUUAACAACACUAUGAGAGAGGUAGUUAAAAAGGAAGUUAUAAAGUUGCUGCAUGCAGGGAUUAUAUAUCCUGUGCCGCACAGUGAGUGGGUGAGCCCAGUACAAGUUGUGCCUAAAAAGGGAGGCAUGACUGUUAUUAUGAAUGAAAAGAACGAGCUAAUUCCGCAACGCACCGUCACAGGAUGGCGGAUGUGCAUAGACUAUAGAAAUCUAAACAAAGCCACGAGAAAAGAUCACUUUCCUUUACCCUUCAUAGAUGAGAUGCUAGAGCGGUUAGCAAACCAUUCAUUCUUCUGUUUCUUAGAUGGAUAUUCAGGGUAUCAUCAAAUCCCGAUCCAUCCUGAUGAUCAAAGCAAAACCACUUUUACAUGCCCAUAUGGAACUUAUGCUUACCGUAGAAUGUCUUUUGGGUUAUGUAAUGCACCAGCUUCUUUUCAAAGAUGCAUGAUGUCUAUAUUUUCUGAUAUGAUUGAAGAGAUUAUGGAAGUUUUCAUGGAUGAUUUCUCUGUUUAUGGAAAAACUCUUGAUAGUUGUCUUGAAAACUUAGAUAAGUUUUUGCAAAGAUGUGAAGAAAAGCACUUAAUCCUUAAUUGGGAAAAAUGUCAUUUUAUGGUUAGGGAAGGAAUAGUGCUGGGACACUUAGUGUCUGAAAGAGGAAUUGAGGUAGACAAAGCUAAAAUUGAAGUAAUUGAACAACUACCUCCACCUGUGAAUAUAAAAGGAAUUCGAAGCUUUCUUGGCCAUGCUGGUUUCUAUCGUAGAUUCAUAAAAGAUUUUUCAUUUAUUGCUAGACCACUUACUCUUUUGCUAGCCAAGGAUGCUCCUUUCGAAUUUGAUGAUGCAUGUCUAACAUCUUUCAAUUUAUUAAAGAAAGCACUCAUCUCUGCACCAAUCAUUCAACCCCCUGAUUGGUCGUUGCCUUUUGAAAUUAUGUGUGAUGCUAGUGAUUAUGCUGUGGGGGCAGUAUUAGGACAAACUAAAGAUAAGAAGCAUCAUGCAAUUGCUUAUGCCAGUAAAACUUUGACAGGAGCUCAACUUAACUAUGCAACCACUGAAAAAGAGCUUCUGGAUGUUGUCUUUGCCAUUGAUAAAUUUAGAUCUUAUUUAGUUGGAGCUAAAAUAAUUGUUUACACUGAUCAUGCUGCACUAAAAUAUUUGCUCACUAAGAAAGAUGCUAAACCUCGCCUGAUUAGAUGGAUCUUAUUACUCCAAGAAUUUGACUUAGAAAUAAAAGAUAAAAAGGGAGUAGAAAAUUCUGUUGCUGAUCACUUGUCUAGAAUGUAUUUUAAGAAUCCACAGGAAACCCCCAUCAAUGAUUCACUCCGGGAUGACAUGCUCUACGGGAUUAACAGGUCUGACCCCUGGUAUGCAGAUAUUGUUAAUUUUAUGGUUUCAGGGUAUGUACCACCAGGAGCAAACAAGAAGAAGCUUAUUCAAGAAAGUCGUUCACAUAUAUGGGAUGAGCCAUACCUCUUCCGAGUAUGCUCUGAUGGCUUACUCAAGAGAUGUGUGACCACUGAGGAAGGAUGGAAGAUCAUCGACAGAUGUCAUUCAUCACCAUAUGGAGGUCACUAUGGAGCAUUCCGUACACAUUCAAAGAUCUGGCAGUGUGGAUUCUAUUGGCCUACAAUGUAUGAAGACACGAAGCAAUAUAUCAGAAGAUGUGGGCCAUGUCAAAGACACGGAAACAUAAAUACAAGGGAUGCAAUGCCACUCACCAACAACCUUCAGAUUGAGCUCUUUGAUGUUUGGGGAAUAGACUACAUGGGUCCAUUUCCUCCAUUAAAGAAGUGUGAGUACAUCUUGGUGGCGGUUGACUAUGUCUCCAAGUGGGUAGAGGCAUUACCUUGCAAGCAUGCCGACAACGUCAGUUCAAAGAGGAUGUUCGAAGAAAUUAUAUUUCCAAGAUUUGGAGUCCCCAGAGUAGUGAUAACUGAUGGAGGAGCACACUUCAUCGACAAACGUUUCAAGCAAUAUCUAUCAAGACAUGGAAUCCAUCACAACAUCGCUACCCCUUAUCAUCCUCAGACAAGUGGACAAGCAGAGACUUCCAACAAACAAAUCAAGAAUAUUCUUCAGAAGACAGUAAAUGAAAUGGGAACGGCGUGGAAAGACAAGUUACCCGAUGCACUCUGGGCAUACCGGACAGCAUACAAGACCCCAAUUGGGAUGUCUCCAUACCAAUUGGUGUACGGGAAGACUUGCCAUCUACCUGUUGAACUAGAGUUCAAAGCACACUGGGCCAUAAAGAGAUGGAAUAUGGACCUAGAUGUUGCUGGAGAUUAUAGAAGAAUGCAACUAUCAGAAUUGGAAGAAUGGCAAGAGAAGGCAUAUCACAAUUCAAAGAUCUACAAAGAAAGAGUCAAAAGGUGGCAUGACAAGAGAAUCAAGAAGGAGUUCACCCCCGGAGACAAGGUAUUACUUUUUAAUUCCAGGGUGAAGCUUUUCGGACAAGGAAAACUCCGGAGCAAAUGGGAAGGACCAUUCAAGGUAAUUAAUUCAUCAUCCCACGGAGCUAUCACACUUCAAAAUGACGAAGGUACGUUAUUCAAGGUAAAUGGUCAACGUCUUAAAUUAUUUUUAGAGCCCAAUGAGGAAUUUGAAGAAAUAGACGUAGUCCAUUUUUACCUUCCCAUGGAGAAUUAGAGCCCGACACUUUUGGUCUGAUGUUUUUGGGUCAUAUAUAUAUUUUUCUAAAUAAUUUCGCAUCUAGAAACGCGCUCGGAAAAGUGGGCCCACAGAGGGGCCAGAGAGAGGGCGGGCGCCCAGAUCAAGUGGGCGGGCGCCCAGCCCCUAUUCCCCCUCGGUCCCGACUUUCUCUGUUAUGGAAAAUGCACUUAUGGUAAUCCGAAUAAUCCCUCGGAUUGGAAAGUUUCGCACGCACGUCGACAGGAGCAACCCGAGCAACCCAUAGAGGCACCUUUUGACCCCUAUAUAAACAGACCCCUGACCUCAGUUUUCAAACACCAAGCCACCAAGCCUUCUCUCCUUCAAUUAGAGCUUGAUUAGUUCUCCUUCAAUUAGAGCUUGAUUAGUUCCUUGCUGCUCCAAUGGCCGAGAAGUACCACGAUGAUUGGGAAGUCGUCCCCUUCAACCUCAACAUGAAGCCUGUGGAAGACCCCGAUGCUCGUGCUCUCGUCCCAGCCAACACAGAGCGACAGCUAGAAGCCAUGCCAUUACGCCAACGCAGCUCCACCCAAUCUUACCAUGCUCAACCAGUUCUCACCGCACCACCACAACCCCUACUCCUCAAAGGAUCAUCAUCCAAGACGAAGACCACUAUCAAGGUGCCAAUCGGCACAAGAAUCCUUCCACCUAGACCCAAUGAGAGGGUCGUUGGAGUCAAGACCAACCGGAGCGGCGAGAUCAGUAGUAUUCGCUACACUACGGAGGAGGAAAGGCCUUACUUUGAAGGGAUUAGAGCAGCCAAAGUCCGUUUCAUCCCUCCAAAGGCAGCCCCGAAGCACUCUCUCAAUGCUUUUGAGACACCUCCCAAGCGUCGCAAGACUAUAAUGGAUAUUGAUGAGGAAGUUCGCAGGCUAGAUAGAAUUAUCAUAGACCUCCAGUCCUUGAUUAAUUCCCUCACUAGGCAGCUCUCUAACCACAACACCAUUAUACUAGGCCUUAGGCAAGGUCUUGCCAGUGCCAACAAGAAGAUCAAGGAAUUAGAGCGCCGCUAAGUUAUCUAGAUUAGACCUUGAGGCAAUGCAUCUUAGUAAUCUAUCUUUAAAAUUCGGUUUAGGUUUGCUAAUAUCAUCAGUUUACUAUUAUCAUCAGUUUGCUAUCAGUUUGCUAUCAGUCUUUUGUAAUAAAUGCCUCAAGAUCAAUAAAGAGUAUUAUUAUUAUUAUGUCUUGUGUGUCUCUACUUUAUUUUUGUGCAAGAAAGCAGAAAACAAGUAUGGGGGAGAUCCCUCGACAUGCCAAACACACUCUGACUACACCACUCCACGAUUCAGGUACACACUCUGCACACUUUAUGUUACAUAUAUAUAUAUAUAUAUUGGAUUAUGCAGAUUAUUGUUUCCGACAUGAUAAAAUAAAAAGAUUAAAAUAUUUCUAAUCAUGAUUAAUCUCACUCUGUGAUAUUUCCUGAAAACUUGCAAUUAUUAUAACUCAUUUUAAAACCCUGUGUUACUUAAGUCAAUAUGGAAUAUGUGAUGGUAGAGUAUGAGUUUCUUAUUCUUGAUAUCAUUGUUGCUUGGAGAAUUUAUUUCAAAAUAUUCAAAAUUCUAGCUACCAUCCUCAGUGUUUUAUAUCCCUGAUAAAACUGAAAAUAUUAAUUAUGAUUAUAAAGCUAUCUACUCUGUAUUGAAUUUGUUCAAAAUGAGUUAGACCCUUGUUGAGAGAUUUAUAAUGCUCCCAAGAUCAAGACAUUAUUUCAAAAAGAUUCACUCUUCCGAAGUAUUAUUGCAUUAGAGGCAUGGGCUAUGGAAAAAUAGAAGUAUUUUGAGGAAAUAAAAAGGAGCAAGUGCUCGACAACCUCGCAGAAAAAAUGGACAAGUGUCCGGCAGUAGAAUUAGGGGUACCUUGGUAUCCACAUAAAAAAAAGAGAGAAAAGAGAAAAAAAUGAUAGCCCAUGGUCCCUCUAAUAAGCAAUAUGCCAGUAAGAGUUGACAAAGAUUUUUAAUUUCCAAAGUCUUUGAUCUAAGAGUAUGACAUUCCCCUCCUCGGAUCCCGUUUUGAUCAGGCAAUAAAUGCAAUGUAAGUAUGCUUGAGAAUUUUUGCAAAAAUAAAACAACCUCAGUGAGAUAUAUAUAAAAGAUAAUGAGUGAUCUGAGAGAACCUAUGAGGAUAAAAAGGUAUGCUAAUUUUCUUUCAAAAAAAAUAUACAAAAACUCCAAGUGACAGGAUUGAGAAGAAAGGAUCUUUACUCUUAAUCAUAAACUUCCCUGACUAUGGUACACAGUGGAAUUUUAACACCCUGCAAAUAUAAAGAGAAUGUUUUAAAUGUUUACCCCAGGUAUUGUUCUUAACCAUCCUUUUCUCGAGGACGAGUAAAAGCCUAAGUAUGGGGGUAUUUAUUGACGGUUCUUAAGUAUCAAUUUUAAUUAUCAAAUAAACAAGAGAAAGGACCAAUAUGCAACCAACACCUAGAAUUAGGGUUUGAUCUGACAGAAUUCCACGAGUUUUGUUGUUUAUCUGUUUCUGCAGGGGGUUAUCAAGAAAUAAGGAAGAAAGGCCCACAUGUCGGGAUUACAUAGAGAUAUCAACGCACCGCGCGAUUUUCCACCAUCUAGAAGACUCCAGAAGCCACGGGAAGAAGACGGAGGCCGACAGGGGCCAGGCCCAGGGCGCCCGCCCCCUGCUGGAUGUCAAUCAGGACUCUCUUCGCACGGGAUGUUCCACCGACCUAUUGGAUCAAGAAAAACAUAGUACCACCUCACCUAUCGACCCAAAAAUGCAUAGAAGGGGAGGACUAUAUAAGGAGACCCCCCUGGCCCCUGGAGAAGACAUGAAGAAAUUAUCAUAGAGACUGAGGGGUGCCCUCGAAGGAAAACCUCUUCUCUAAUUAAUAUUUCUUUUUAGGCUUAGCAACCAACGUAAGGUAGAAAUAGAUCUUCUAGUUUCUACUAGAUUGAGAGAGAUAGAGUGGAGGUGUAGAGUGGAGGAGCCCGGCCUGUCGGUGUCUACUCCAAGCUUGUACCUGCGGGAUCAAGUUCUCCUAACCCAAAGCUUGCUCCUAGGAUUCUUCAGUAUUUCGACUUCUAAAUUCUAGUAAGUUCUUGUUUUAUUGUUCUUAUGGUUUAUGAGUUUACUUUAAUCUCUUCGCGUAGAGUUUAGAGCAAUCGUUGCUGGCGUAAACGUGGUGUUUAGGCUGGGGUACUUAUAGAUAUUCCCUGACUAGCUGGACCGUGGUAGUAGUGAGGAACGUGACAAUUCCGAGUUACCUUUGUAGAUCACAUCUCGUUAGCAGGAAGGAUAGGGUUUAUAGGUGCGGGUUGAACAUCCUUUGUGGUGUCUAGAUUCCGUUAGCCACCCCAUUAGAACAGUAGAUCAUCCUUACCAAGGUUAGAAGGAGACUACGGUUGCAGUCUUCUCUAUUUAUCACUCACAUCGAAAGACAUUCUUUGUGCCUAAAGGUUAGUAGUAAUAGACCGGUUAGUCAGAUGCACUCUUUCUCCUAGUGGUAAAAAAAUAAAUACGAUACUCUGGAUAAUUUCCCGGGUGAAGUGCUCACCGAUAUCCGUGCGCUUGCGGAUCAAUUCCUUAUUGCGUUCCCAAAUAUCAACAACCGCACCGCCAUAAGCAGCAGCCGACCAAGCCAUGGCUGAGCCCCUGCCCUCCCUUCACGUGGGCAGCAGUAGACAACCUCCAUGGCCAUGGUUGCUGUCCAUAUGAAGACCACGACCAAACCAAGGUAGAAGAUGCUCUUAAUUACGAUUUUGCCACUACGUGAAAAUAGUAAUAGCUUAAAUGUUUUAGCUUUGUUUCGAGUUAUUCCAGUUGCGUUAGAUUCGUAUCAACAUGCUCUACACAGUAGUCCUAGAGUUUAUCAUAGCACUUAAUUAUAAAUUUAUUAUUUUAAAUAUUAACUAGAUUAAUAUUUAUUUACUAGCUUUCCAAAUAAAUGCAAUAUAAGGUUAACUCAUUGUUUUUGUUGCAUUAUGAUCGUACCGACCGUAAGCUACAUGUUUGUAGGAGCAUUUAAUAUGUCUCCAUUAUUGAAUUUUAUAAUUAUUAAUUUAAUUUAUACUUAUACAAUUAAGUCUCAAAUUAAAAGCAACACGAGUUUGUACUUCGGUCUUUUAGAAAUUAACAUUAAUCUAAUUAAUGUCAACCUUAAUGCCUUUUAAAUUAUAUUAUGCUUAGUUCAACCUUAAAACAUAAGUACUUUAAAUUAGUUAUCACAUGUUUUUCUACAUAUAGUUAAAUAUUAAAUUAAUUAAUAUACUUGCAUUUAGUUUCAUGAUUAAAAAUCAAUAUAGACUUUAUGCUUAUAUAUUUUAUGUAUACAUGUUAACAUGAUUAAAUGCUAUACAUAAUCAUGUUUUUAAAUUAUAAUUUAUUUAGUCCAAACAUGUAUGUUAAAUUCGAUUAGAUUUUACAUGCUCUUAUAUGUUAGUUUGUAUUUACAUAUAAGUGUUGAAUUGGCAUAAAUGGUAUCUAAAUAUUUAUAAAUAAAAUAUGAUUAGUUAUAACUCAACUUUUGAAAAUAAAUAUGUUAACCUUAAUUGUGAUUAAUAAAUUUAUAUUAUUUUGCUUACUUAAAUAAAUCAAAUAUAUAGGCUUCACUUUUAUAAUAUAAAACUAUCUUUAAUUAUUUAUUUUAACGAUAGGUUCGGUUACGAUGCUUCUUGCGAUCUUGUAGUAUUGAUUCUCUUUUAAUACGCUCUUUUCUCUUGUGUGGUGUAUUGUCUUAGUUGCUUCUACUUGUUGCUUGUAUGUUUGCGGUGCUUGCUACGAGUAGACGAGAACUGCUUGUGACCGCUGAAGAUUAGAAGGUGAUGACCAAAAGUUGAUUGUGUGAGGAUUGAGCAGUUAGAUCAAGGCAAGUAUAACUUGGGAUCAUCCUUUUUACCUAUUCACAUUUAAUACAAUAUAUCAUAUGCAUGUGUCCACCUUGACAACCUUAGCAAAAUCAUAGAUGAUUGUUACCUGGAUUCCUUGUUACCUACUUGUUAUGCAUUUGGUGUAGUUUUGCUUGUGCUUGAGAUAAUCCAUGAUCUUGUAAGAUGAUUAAUAGCUAUGCAAUGAACAUAAAAGGAUGACAAAUAACUAAAUGAGAUCUUGUCUGUACGUGAUCACCCGGGACAACAAUGCAACCAUGAGAGCUAUAAUGGCUCUGGCUUUAGCUCAGUAUGAAGACCUUUUCUAGCUUGUUAGAGGUUACACGAAAGGGCGCUAGAGGGGCCUAACCGUUUUGGGUAUAGUGCGAGCCUCUAUCCUUAUGUGUAUAGGCUGCGCAUCAUUGUGCCAUUUGGAAGGGGGGCAUCUAUAUCUGCGCGCCCGGGAAACCUUACGGCCCUAACAUGUUAGACGAACUUUUGAAAGGCUUCAUAGUGAUCCCUGCCGACCUUCCUUGGUAGUGGGUUAAGAGGCUGAUCACCUCGGGUGAAAGGGUAAAUCAUGACUAAUGGGUAAAGAUGUACAACCUCUGCAGAGUGUUAAAAACUAGUAUACUAGCCGAGCUCACGGUCAGGAGCGGCCUUGGGAACAUCUACAUUAAGAUGAUGAGCUUAUUAUGUUAUUAUGCUCAUUUUAUUAUCGUUUAUGUUUAGUAUUAAUUAUGCUUACAUUUGAUCAUGUGGUUAUGAGAUUUAACUAUGCUACCUUGACAUUUGCUAUCUAAAUAUGAACAUGCUCUAUACAUAUAAAAGCUAAAUGCAGUCAAACCAGUGUCAGCUAAUUGAGCCUCAUAAACCUCUGUUUAUACUUGUUGAGUACGAUAUGUGCUCACUCUUGCUAUUUCCCACCACUGCAGUUUACUAGUAAGAGUUGAUCAGAAGAGCGAUGGAAUCAUGAAGGAUGUCCUCAGAAUACAAGAAGUGCUGGGCAUAUGUUACCCCCAGUCAACCGUCCCUGUGAAGAUUGAAUCUGAAGAAUAGUUACCGUUCCGAUACUAUGACGUAAGUGUUAGUUAUAAGUAUGUUUCCGUUAUGUAACAUUAUUUCUGAUAUUGUUCCUUUAUGUUGUUGUAUGUGUGGACUUCUUGGGCACACAUAUAGCUAGCCUGGUUUUGUUCUUUAAAACUAGGUGUGACAGAGUGGUAUCAAAGCAGUGUUGACUGUAGGACGUAUGCCUAAGUAGCACUUGUCGAUUAGAAAACUCUAAUUUGCUACAAAACUAUUUUCUUAUCCCUUGACUUUUGAUUUUGGUUAUUUCUCAAUCCUUGUCUCAUUGUAUCCUCUCCUUGAAUAGCUUCCUUUGAGCUAUUUCUGUUUAUCACCUUGGCCUUUAUUUACUUUUUCCUUUACUACUUAUUUUACUUAACUUUUCGAAACUUGCUUUAUUCAAAAUUCAAUGGCCUUUCAUUAUCUCUAACCCGCCCUUUAUGAUGACCACCAUCAUUGAAAAACACGUAUAGAAUCGAUGAUGUGUUGUGUGCUUGUCUUGUUUGUGUGAUGCUUGUGUGUCGUCUCUGUUCUUGUGUUACAAAGGAGCUUGAAAGAUACUAUCUUUAGAAGUAGCUCAAUCUUGUUAAGUGGGGUAGCGUCCGCUACCGUCAUCUAAGUAUCUCAAGUAAGACAUGAAGACCUAAUGAUCAGUCUUAUCCUUCUUGUGUAUCUCUUUGUUGUAUAUCAAACUUUAUCGUGUUUGUCAUCAUCUUCAUCUACUUAUGCUCUUUUGUUAGUCUUUGCCCCUUGAUUGUUUACUUUAUAAUAUAAUGGUCUGAAGGUCAAACUUCAUCGAUUCAGUCUACUUUUCUUGUCAGUGAUCUUUGUGUUUCUUGUGAUCGAUCAUUAUUUUUCUAGUUAACCCUUGUCAGUCUAUAGUCAUCUUAUCAUCUCUCAUCAUAGAGCUCGAAAUAACCUUGAGAAACCCAUCUUCAUUCUCCAUAUCAAUCCUUGCUACUCUAUAGUCUUUUAUCAUAAACCUCAUAAAUCUUGAAUUAAGGAUUUUUGAGGACUAUAAGAUGUAUCUUUAUCUUUUAUAUUAUCCCUUAUUGAUCUUCACUCCUUGACUUUAAACCUCACAAUGUGUCAACCUUUAUCUAUUUCUUUUAAACCAUCCUUAACCUUUCUUUUCCACCUAUGCUGAUCAUCAAUCCUUUGAUCUUAUGUCAUAAAUUCCAAUUUAAUCUUGAGAAUCAAACCUUGACAUCUUUGUCAACUUUUAUUAAUCCUCAAUCCCUAAAUCAUAUCUAGUCAAAAGUAUCAAAACAACCUUGAUGAUCUACUUUAUCUUUAUCUCUAGUCUUUUCGAAUCUCGGGACGAGAUUCCUGUUAAGUGGGGUAGAAUUAUCACACCCCAAAAAAAUCUUAAUUUUAGGUUAUGCAUAGAAAACACUAAUUAAAAUAAAUAUUUUGAUAUUUGGAUAAAAAAUAAUUUAACCUUAGUUUAGAAUAGAGUGAAUUAGUUAUGUGAAAUAUAUCAUUCAUCAAAUUUUCUACAAUUUAAUUUGAAGGGCUUCUGCUUGAUGUGAUGUGAUGUGAUGCUUGUUUGUUGUUUGAUUUUGCUUGGUAAGUGGGUACAGUAUUAGAGCGCGCUUAGUAAGUCGUUAACUUGUACCCGGCGUAUCGCUAUCUUUUUCUAUAAUCAAGUCUCUUCUUUUUUUUGAUCUUAAACUUUUCAUUUAGAGUUUUCUAUAUCCCCUUAUUAUACUCUAAAUCAUUCCUUUGAGUACAUCUUCUGUCAAUCGACCUAUUAAAACUUAUCAGGAAUUAUUUCAGCAUUUUCCUAGAAUGUAUUUCCGCUUGAAUUUGAGCAUAAUCUAAUUUUGAGAUAUUCCUAGAUAUCUUUUUAUGAGCUCUAAAUACUUUAUUUGAGUUCUUCAUGUUCUAAAAUAUCUCUAAGAAUUUUCUCAUAUUUUUUGGAGCCUUUGGAGUAUUUUUCGGACUUUAAAUAUCAAUUCUGGACUUUCUAGAAUUAUUUUUAUUCACGAAAUUAAUUAAUCCCGAAAAUAAUAAAAUAUCUUGUUUUUCCAUCAACCCAAAUACCUAACAGUAUAUAUAUGCCGGCACAGCCCUCGACGCGCUGAAUCCAAAAGUACGGCCCGUUUCGCGAGCCGCCACUCCUAUCGUUGUAAUACCCGAUUUUAAGGACAAAACCAGAUAUACACCAUAUGCGAGUUUUAAAAGCCAAGUCUCACAUAUAGCUACAAAUAAGGUGUAAUAUCAAAAGACAAUGCAUAAAUAUAUAACGUACUUAGUAUAAAAGGGAUAACCUUCAGUAACAAACAGCGGAUAGACAACUCCAAACUUCGGGUAUUAACUCCUCUCCACACGAUCAAACUAACUGGUUGAUCACAAGCCCAAAACUUCUCCUGAGGUGUGGGGGAAAUUGCAAGAGUGAGCACAUAUCGUACUCAACAAGUAUAACCAGGGGUUCAUGAGGCUCAAAUAGCUGACACUGGUUUGACUGCGUUUAGCUUUUAUAUGUUGAUAGCAUAUUGAAUCAUUAGAUAGCAAAUAUCAAGGUAGCAUAAUUAAUUCCCAUAACCACAUGAUCAAAUGUAUACAAGAAUUAUGAAUAACACAUAUAAAUAACAUAAUAAACCAUCAUUUAUCACCAUUAAUCAUGUUCAUCAGUGUCCAUCUAUUCCGUCAGUUUUCCGGGCCGCCCGUAUCCGUGGGCACGGCUAGUAUACCAGUUUUAAACACUCUGCAGAGGUUGUACAUCUUUACCCAUGAGUCGUGAUUUACCCUUUCGCCCGAGGUGAUCAGCCUCUUAACCCACUACCAAGAAAGGUCGGCAGGGAUCACUAUGAAGUCUUUCAAAGGUUCGUCUAACAAGUUAGGGCCGCAAGGUUUCCUUCGCGAGCAGAUAUAGAUACCCCCCUUCCGAAUGGCACAAUGACGCACAGCCUAUACACAUAGGGACAGGGGCUCGCACUAUACCCAUGUCGAUUCAGCCCCUCUAGCGCCCUUUCGGGUAACCUCUAACAAGCUAGAAAAGCUUACUCAUACUUGACUAAAGACGGAGCCAUAUAGCCCUCAUGGUUGUAUGAGUUGUCCCACCUUUUGCCAAGGGAUAAGUCCUUAUGGAGCGUCAAGAUCAAUCCAGCAAAAGCCAGAGUUCUUUCCACCCUUUAUAUUCAAGUUGCUAGAAAGCUCAUUUUAUUGUUUAUUGUAUAUCCAAACAUUCAUGUUACAAGAUCAUGGAUUAUAUUCAAGCACUAGCAAGAACUACCCAAAUGCAUAUCCAAAAUAGGUAACAAGGAAUUUAGGAUAACAAUCAUCUAUGAUUUUGCUAACGUCAUCAAGGUGGACACAUGCAUAUGAUAUAUAUUGUAUUAAUUGUGUAUAGGUAACAAGGAUGAUCCCCAAUUAUACUUGCCUUGCUCAAAGCUCUCCUGAGCCUGCUGGUCUUCAAAGGCUUGGUCUUGCUCACCAACGUACGGCUCACCGUCUAUUCCCAAACAUCAACCAACAACACGCAAUCCAAUGGAGACAAUCAUACACAAAGCAAACAAGAUGUAAUUAGAACAAUACACCAGACAGUGGUAAAUAAUAGAUAAAAGUUUAUAAAAAUGUUCUACGCAGCGCUACGAUCAUACAAACGUAAAGUUCACGAAAAUCGGAAUUAAAACGUAGAAGAUAUGAAUUUUCUAAGAUUUCCUAUAGAGAAAUAAUUAAUUAAAUAGGAUCACGAAAUUAAAAAGUUUCAAACUGGGAAAAUAAAGUUACUAACAUGUAGAGCUCUUAAUUACCAAUCUACGAAAUUUGAAUGGACAAAAACGAGUUAAAACGAAUAUUUUAUGAGCAAAACAAUUUCAGUGGCAAACUUGUAAUUACUAGAAAGCGUAAUUUGAUUCAAACCGACGAAAAUACGUUUUCCAAACUGAAAAGCGGAAAGCUGAAAUUACACCAUGGACCGCGGGUUGAUUCCUAGAAAAGUCCAGGGACUCUUUAGCAAAAUAGCCGAAGAGGUAUGUUCUAAUCUCCAUUCUUGAUUCAAGAUCGGACGGUUGAGAUGGAUUCCAGGGAGCCCGCGGUGGCCGGUGGCGUUCUCCACGGCGGCGCGCCAUGGCUGGGGGCUCUGAGCUCGCCGGAGUUCAUCGUUAACGCGAUUCUGAGCACGGUUUGAGGAACUAAAAGCAUGGGAGGCAAGCGGAGGGAAAGGCGAACUCACCCAGGGCACAAACGGGGUUGGAGAAGACUCGGUGAAGGUGCUUGACGCGAGGUGGCGAUCGGUGACCCCCUGCACACGUUCGGCGUGAAUAAAACUCUGUGAAAACUAGUAGAGAGCAAGAAGAAGGGGUCGGGGCUUCGUUACCAACUGGCAAGGCACGGCCACUGCUCGGAAACGCUGGCACGGCUGUGGGUCGCGAGCACCAUGGCAGCGGGCGUAGCUUGCGGCUUAGCAAGAUCCAGACGGCGGCGGGGUGGCUAGGGCAUAAUUUCUAAACACGUAGGGGAGGAAGAGAAGCCGCAGAAUAUGCCUAGAGGCUUUAUAGGGGUCGGAUUGGGGCUUGGUUUGGAAGUUCCCAUGAAAGCUGGGAUUCGGUGGCCAGCUCCAGAACAGAGUCCAAGCUGCUCGCGAGUUGGGGAAGAAGAAAGAAGGAGAUCGUGACACUGACGCGCGGGCCCAGAGUGGCAGUGAGAGGAACAGCGGGGUCGGGCUGUCAGGGAAAGAAGGGAAAGGGGUGGCGCGGGCUGGCUUCUGCCACUGAGCCGCGAGUUGGGCCGUGGAGGGGGAAAAGAGGAGUGGCGCGCUUGGGCUGGGAAGGAAAGAAAGGGGGAAGGAGGAGAGUUUGGGCCUUCGAGCCAGAAAGAGGGGUGAGUUUUCUUCUUUUCUUUUCUUUUCUUUUCUUUUCUUUUUAUUUCUUUUUAUUUCAAAGUCCUUUUUAAAACAGUUUAGAAAUCAAUUUAAAAAUAUUUUGACUUUGCUCAAAUUCACACAGUACAAUGAAAAUAAAUGCUCCAAUAUGAAUGCACAACAAGUUGCUAAGUCCUAUAAUAAAUUUUAUUUAAAUGAAAAUAUUAUUUUCCUAUGUUUCAUGAGCACAAAAAUCCAAAAUUAAAUCAUUUUCACCUAUUUCAAAAAGUAGUAAAUUUUAGGGUGUUACAAAUCUACCCCCCUUAAAAUGAAUCUCGUCCUCGAGAUUCAGAAGAGACAUGGGUCCUUUGAGAGAACACAGAAUAAAGAUCUUGAUAACUCUUUCAACUUCACAACUUGUAUACCAAGGCAAAUCCAGUUUUCCAUAGAAUGCCUAUCAUUCAUAAUUGAUCAAAGUCCAUCUUCGCUAUCAACUGUUUGAAUUAUACAACUCAAAAAUUUGAUAACUUAGCAUGGAUUUGCCUCCUCACGUAGGAGUGGACCACCUUGAUACUCAAUUCUUUUCCCUGAUGGUGCGGUUAAGAAAAUUUUCCACCGGGUAGCAUAGAUCACUCCUUUUUGUGCACAUAACCAUCUAUUGCCAAGAACCAGAGGAAUGUCGAGUGACCCUAGCAUAAUGAGGUUUUCAGUGAAGUUUUCCAUUGAUAUAAUUUCGCUGCACUUUACUUCCAAGAGCAGGCUUCUUACGAACUUUCCUUUUACGCUUCCUUCGUUGUGGAUUCUGAUUUGAUUCGAUGUCAACUUUCUCCUCAAUAUUGUCAUUUGGAUAGUACUCAGCUUUAUCAUACUCAUAACAUCUUUCUUCAAAGGUGAUCAUAAGGUAUCUCAGAAGACAAUUAUCACUUCAAGCUAGUUUUGAAAUGCAUCAUCUCAUGAUAUCAAGGUACUACCCCCCUUAAAAUUAGAUUGAUUGGGGGACACUAGGCACUAGUUCUCCUAACCUUUUUGGACGCUACACAUCCAUAGUCUUUUACAUUCGUUGUACCGAGUCUCUUGAUCCAAGGUUAGUUUCAUCACUAAGUUCCAAUUAUCGGUACCUUUAUCACAGUUAAGUUGCUUCACUCUCAUAUUGUAUAUAUAACUUCAUAAACUUUGGUGUCAUCUGAUCCUCAUAAACACAACUCUCAAUCCAUGAGUAUCAGCAAUGACAUAUAUCUCUGUUAAUAUUCCCUUAAUGGGAUGAUACCUUGAAUCCAAAAACCAACUUCACCAAGCACUUGAUGUAUUUAUAGAUGAUCCAGCUUUUACCAAUCAUUCUCCUUGUAACUCCUUUAACUAGGCUACCCCCCUUAAAAGGGUCAACUAGGGAAUACAAGGAAGGUAGCUUGCAUGUUUUCCAGACAAGUUAAUUAACAUUGAGAACUUCUGGCGUCCCAAAGAACUUAUGUGCAAGAGAACAAACAGGUAUCCUGGAAUUUUCCUCUUGAUAUGAAAACACUGGCGUAGUAAAACAGGUAUAACUCUUAUUUUGUUAAUCCAAUAGAGUUAUAGCUUAUACCGUUAGAAAACUUUUGAAAUUCUCUACCACUUUCAUGUAGAAGACCUUCUUAGGUUCUGUCUUUAAGCUUAGGUAAAACAACCAAACUUAAUAUCCAUCCUGAAAAUGUCUCAGCAAAGGUGCAAUAACUUCCAGAAAUUAUAUCUCGAGCUUCUUAACUCAUCUAGAGAUGAUCCUUACAUUUUUGAAAAGCUUAGGAAAUCCUCUACAACUUUCGUAUACCAUGUUUUCCCAGAUUCUGUUUUUAACUUGGCCGAAAGUAGGGAAUACCAAAACUGUCCAGACUUUGAUACAAAACUGAAACAUCCAAUUUUAAAUAUCAUAUCUCAGGUUCUACUUAGCCAAAUAAGUUCCAGCUUAUACCGUUGAAAAGCUUAGCAAAUAGUUUAUAACUUUUCUAUAGAACACUUUUCCAAAUUCUAUAGUUAUAUUUGUCUCAAACAGUAAGUAACCAAAACUGGUCCAGGUUCUUGACAGCACAUCUGUAUCAUCUUGUGAUUUUUGUAACUUCCAAACCAUAAUAGCUAUGAGGGUGAUUCUUGCAUUCAGGGAAAGAUCUUGAAGUCUAAUUGUUCCUAGAAAAAUUUGACAAACUUUGCACUAACAGAUCUUGAGAUACACCAGAAUAAUUGCAGACUGCUCCAGAAAUCAGCAAAGGACAGAAACAGAUAUAACCAAGCCCAACUACUUAUUUCAUUACUCCUUAUGCCUUAGGCCUAUGAACUAAUGAAAUUGUGAAGUAAUUCAAAAAGAUCAUUGCAAUCAUUACAAAGAUCCAAAUCAAACAUAAGCAUAAUAACAAAGCAAUUAAGCAUUGAAGGUUCACACUUCACUCAACUUGCGAACUAUCGUUCUCUUCAUAGUAAGGGUAAAGAUCCUAAAACUUAUAUUUCAAAGACGCAAGAAGGUGAUAAGAAAAGGUUCUAAAAUCAUAUCAAAUCAAGGAGUGAAGGUGAGAACAAGUACUUUUAAAAUAAGCAACAAGGUAGAGACAAAUAGCAAGGAUAGAGAUAUAGUAUGGAUGAAAGUACCAAGGUUUAUAGAGCAAGGAUAUCAUGACAAUUCCAAAACCUUAAGACGACCAAUUUCUAACUAGGCUUGCGUCCUACAGCCAGCGUUGCUUUGAUACCACUUUGUAAUACCUGAUUUUAAGGACAAAAUCAGAUAUACACCAUAUGCGAGUUUUAAAAGCCAAGUCUCACAUAUAGCUACAAAUAAGGUGUAAUAUCAAAAGACAAUGGAUAAAUAUAUAACGUACUUAGUAUAAAAGGGAUAACCUUUAGUAACAAACAGCGGAUAGACAACUCCAAACUUUGGGUAUUAACUUCUCUCCACAGGAUCAAACUAACUGGUUGAUCACAAGCCCAAAACUUCUCUUGAGGUGUGGGGGAAAUUGCAAGAGUGAGCACAUAUCAUACUCAACAAGUAUAACCAGGGGUUCAUGAGGCUCAAAUAGCUGACACUGGUUUGACUGCGUUUAGCUUUUAUAUGUUGAUAGCAUAUUGAAUCAUUGGAUAGCAAAUAUCAUGGUAGCAUAAUUAAUUCCCAUAACCACAUGAUCAAAUGUAUAGAAGAAUUAUGAAUAACACAUAUAAACAACAUAAUAAACCAUCAUUGAUCAUCAUUAAUCAUGUUCAUCAGUGUCCAUCUAUUCCGUCAGUUUUCCGGGCCGCCCGUAUCCGUGGGCACGGCUAGUAUACCAGUUUUAAACACUCUGCAGAGGUUGUACAUCUUUACCCAUGAGUCGUGAUUUACCCUUUCGCCCGAGGUGAUUAGCCUCUUAACCCACUACCAAGGAAGGUCGGCAGGGAUCACUAUGAAGUCUUUCAAAGGUUCGUCUAACAAGUUAGGGCUGCAAGGUUUCCUUCGCGAGCAGAUAUAGAUACCCCCCUUCCAAAUGGCACAAUGACGCACAACCUAUACACAUAGGGACAGGGGCUCGCACUAUACCCGUGUCGGUUCAGCCCCUCUAGCGCCCUUUCGGGUAACCUCUAACAAGCUAGAAAAGCUUACUCAUACUUGACUAAAGCCAGAGCCAUAUAGCCCUCAUGGUUGUACGAGUUGUCCCACCUUUUGCCAAGGGAUAAGUCCUUAUGGAGGGUCAGGAUCAAUCCAGCAAAAGCCAGUUCUUUCCACCCUUUAUAUUCAAGUUGCUAGAAAGCUCAUUUUAUUGUUUAUUGUAUAUCCAAACGUUCAUGUUAUAAGAUCAUGGAUUAUAUUCAAGCACUAGCAAGAACUACCCAAAUGCAUAUCCAAAAUAGGUAACAAGGAAUUUAGGAUAACAAUCAUCUAUGAUUUUGCUAAGGUCAUCAAGGUGGACACAUGCAUAUGAUAUAUAUUGUAUUAAUUGUGUAUAGGUAAUAAGGAUGAUCCUAAGUUAUACUUGCCUUGCUCAAAGCUCUCCUGAGCCUGCUGGUCUUCAAAGGCUUGGUCUUGCUCACCAACGUACGGCUCACCGUCUAUUCCCAAACAUCAACCAACAACACGCAAUCCAAUGGAGACAAUCAUACACAAAGCAAACAAGAUGUAAUUAGAACAAUACACCAACCAGUGGUAAAUAAUAGAUAAAAGUUUAUAAAAAUGUUCUACGCAGCGCUACGAUCAUACAAACGUAAAGUUCACGAAAAUCGGAAUUAAAACGUAGAAGAUAUGAAUUUUCUAAGAUUUCCUAUAGAGAAAUAAUUAAUUAAAUAGGAUCACGAAAUUAAAAAGUUUCAAACUGGGAAAAUAAAGUUACUAACAUGUAGAGCUCUUAAUUACGAAUCUAACGAAAUUUGAAUGGACAAAAACGGAGUUAAAACGAAUAUUUUAUGACCAAAACAAUUUCAGUGGCAAACUUGUAAUUACUGGAAAGCGUAAUUUGAUUCAAACUGACGAAAAUACGUUUUCCAAACUGAAAAGCGGAAAGCUGAAAUUACGCCAUGGACCGCGGGUUGAUUCCUGGAAAAGUCCAGGGACUCUUUAGCAAAACAGCUGAAGAGGUACGUUCUAAUCUCCACUGUUGAUUCAAGAUCGGACGGUUGAGAUGGAUUCCAGGGAGCCCGCGGUGGUCGAUGGCGUUCUCCACGGCGGCGCGCCAUGGCGGGGGCUCUGAGCUCGCCAGAGUUCAUCGUUAACGCGAUUCUGAGCACGGUUUGAGGAACUAAAAGCAUGGGAGGCAAGCGGAGGGAAAGGCGAACUCACCCAGGGCACAAACGGGGUUGGAGAAGACUCGGUGAAGGUGCUCGACGCGAGGUGGCGAUCGGCGGCCCCAUGCACACGUUCGGCGUGAAUAAAACUCCGAGAAAACUAGUAGAGAGCAAGGAGAAGGGGUCGGGGCUUCGUUACCAACUAGCGAGGCACGGCCACUGCUCGGAAACGCUGGCACGGCUGUGGGUCGCGAGCACCACGGCAGCGGGCAUAGCUUGCGGCUCAGCAAGAUCCAGACGGCGGCGGGUGGCUAGGGCAUAAUUUCUAAACACGUAGGGGAGGAACAAAAGCCACAGAAUAUGCCCAGAGGCUUUAUAGGGGUCGGAUUGGGGCUUGGUUUGGAAGUUCCCGUGAAAGCUGGGAUUCGGUGGCCGGCUCCAGAACAGAGUCCAAGCUGCUCGCGAGUUGGGGAAGAAGAAAGAAGGAGAUCGUGACACUGACGCGUGGGCCCAGAGUGGCAGUGAGAGGAACAGCGGGGUCGGGCUGUCAGGGAAAGAAGGGAAAGGGGUGGCGCGGGCUGGCUUCUGCCACUGAGCCGCGAGUUGUGCCGCGGAGGGGGAAAAGAGGAGUGGCGCGCUUGGGCCGGGAAGGAAAGAAAGGGGGAAGGAGGAGAGUUUGGGCCUUCGGGCCAGAAAGAGGGGUGAGUUUUCUUUUCUUCUAUUCUUUUCUUUUCUUUUCUUUUCUUUUCUUUUCUUUUUAUUUCUUUUUAUUUCAAAGUCGUUUUUAAAACAGUUUAGAAAUCAAUUUUAAAAUAUUUUGACUUUGCUCAAAUUCACACAGUACAAUGAAAAUGAAUGCUCCAAUAUGAAUGCACAACAAGUUGCUAAGUCCUAUAAUAAAUUUUAUUUAAAUGAAAAUAUUAUUUUCCUAUGUUUCAUGAGCACAAAAAUCUAAAAUUAAAUCAUUUUCACCUAUUUGAAAAAGGAGUAAAUUUUAGGGUGUUACAAUCGUCCUAAAUCUAAAGCCGAAGUUUCGAAACCUACAGCCCCGACAAACUUCCGGCGAACCUUUGACGAGCUUUUCCGGUCAUGUUUGUCAUCUCUGGCAAAUUCCGCUUCCACCCCGAGAUUCGUCUCAUUGUUCUCUACACCGGCACGCUAUUGCUUUUACGAAUCUAUAUCUUGUUUAUCUGGCUCUCCAUCUCCUCUCUCUUCUCCGGCGACAAAACUCCAUUGCCGGCGACGCUAACUUCAGUUCUCUGCAGUCUUCGUAGCUUGGGGUCUCUUCUUCGGUUAUCCUGGCCUAAUCCGGCUGCUGCCCCUGGAGCCAUCCUGCGCGGAUGUGGGCAGGUCCAUGGAGGCCCUGCCUCGCAUCCCUGUGCGAGCAGACCAGCCACCGCCGCUUGGUGCCCUCCUCGAGGUGAGCCUGUGGACCUCGUCUUGCGAGCCCCGCAGCUUGGAGCACCGCACCGCCACAAGCAGCAGCCGACCAAGCCCUGGCUGAGCCCCUGCCCUCCCUUCACGUGGGCAGCAGUAGACAACCUCCACGGCCAUGGUUGCUGUCCAGAUGAAGACCACGACCAAACCAAGGUAGAAGAUGCUUUUAAUUACGAUUUUGCCACUACGAGAAAAUAGUAAUAGCUUAACUGUUUUAGCUUUGUUACGAGUUAUUCCAGGUGCGUUAGAUUCGUAUCAACAUGCUCUACACAGUAGUCCUAGAGUUUAUCAUAGCACUUAAUUAUAAAUUUAUUAGUUUAAAUAUUAACUAGAUAAAUAUUUAUUUACUAGCUUUCCAAAUAAAGGCAAUAUAAGGUUAACUCAUUUUUUUUUUUGCAUUAUGAUCGUACCGACCGUAAGCUACAUGUUUGUAGGAGCGUUUAAUAUGUCUCACAUUAUCGAAUUUUAUAAUUAUUAAUUUAAUUUAUACUUAUACAAUUAAGUCUCAAAUUAAAAGCAACACGAGUUUGUACUUCGGUCUUUUAGAAAUUAACAUUAAUCUAAUUAAUGUCAACCUUAAUGCCUUGUAAAUUAUAUUAUGCUUAGUUCAACCUUAAAACAUAAGUACUUUAAAUUAGUUAUCACAUGUUUUUCUACAUAUAGUUAAAUAUUAAAUUAAUUAAUAUACUUGCAUUUAGUUUCAUGAUUAAAAAUCAAUAUAGACUUUAUGCUUAUAUAUUUUAUGUAUAGAUGUUAACAUGAUUAAAUGCUAUACAUAAUCAUGUUUUUAAAUUAUAAUUUAUUUAGUCCAAACAUGUAUGUUAAAUUUGAUUAGAUUUUACAUGCUCUUAUAUGUUAGUUUGUAUUUACAUAUAAGUGUUGAAUUGGCAUAAAUGGUAUCUAAAUAUUUAUAAAUAAAAUAUGAUUAGUUAUAACUCAACUUUUGAAAAUAAAUAUGUUAACCUUAAUUUUAAUUAAUAAAUUUAUAUUAUUUUGCUUACUUAAAUAAGUCAAAUAUAUAGGCUUCUCUUUUAUAAUAUAAAACUAUCUUUAAUUAUUUAUUUUAACGAUAGGUUCGGUUACGGUGCUUCUUGCGAUCUCGUAGUAUUGAUUCUCUUUUAGUACGCUCUUUUCUUUUAUGUGGUGCAUUGUCUUAGUUGCUUCUACUUGUUGCUUGUAUGUUUGCCUAUGUGUGGUGCUCAAUGUUUUCUAGUCGGCUGGUCGAUCCUGGUCGACCUGGGACCGACCAGGCGAUUAAUCGCGAUUAAUCAGCGACCAGGUCGAUUAAUCGACCCUGGUUGUCCCCCUGGUCGUCCCUGGUCGUCCAGGCAUAUCAGCUGGUCGACCUAUAUAUAUACCUCUAUAUAUACACUAUAUUAUACACAAUAAAGGAAGCAUGAAGACUGCAUUACUGUAAACCAACAUUCCUCUUCAUCUUCAACUCUUUUUGAUGUAAACCAACAUCUCCUUCUUAACUAUUUCUGGAGAACUGGGACAACCAACAACAUCUCCAUACCCCCCACAUAUCUGCCCAGUCAAAAAAGCCCAAAAACAUAGCUAUCCAUGUCCUAAUCGGACGAUUAAUCGCGAUAAGUGGACGACUAAUCGGACGACCAGGUUUCUGGUCGACCUGGUCAGGUCGGUCCUCCUAAUCGAGCACACCUGACCGACCAGGACGAUUAAUCGCGAUUAAUCAGACGACCUGAAAACAUUGGUGGUGCUUGCUACGAGUAGACGAGAACUGCUUGUGAGCGCUGAAGAUCAGAAGGUGAUGACCAAAAGUUGAUUGUGUGAGGAUUGAGCAGUUCGAUCAAGGCAAGUAUAACUUGGGAUCAUCUACAAAAUAACUUAACCGAGAUGGGCAAAAGUGCUUAACAGAGGCGGGCAGACCAACCGCCUCGAACCAAAGGUCACGGUAAAUAAGACCUUUUCCGAGGCGGUUAUCAGCCCGCCACUGUUAAUCGACUAAAAAAACAAAACCCAUGGACAAGCCCAGCAAACCCAUCCAUGGGCCCGCUAAACCCAUCCACGGCCCACCGCCGCCGCAUCGUCGGACCACCGAGAUUCGGCUGCCCACUGCCGGAGGAAGAGGAUGAGAGGGCACCACCGAAACCGGGCUCUCCUCGCGCACGACGCCACGCCGGAGGAAGAGAAGGCGACCGCGUUGCCCCCGCACUGAUCCGCCCCCCCGGCCACCAGAACCGUGUUGUCCACGCAGUGCAAGAUCUGGAGGGAGUGGCGCCGCCACCGGAGGACCCGCGUCGGAGUUGGAGGAAGCAGGCGAAGGCCAGCACGUGGAAGGAGACGAGGUCGGACUCGGCGUGGAGGUGCUCCGGUGUUGGGGGUGAGGGGAUGGAGCCGGCACCUGAGAGGAAGUGGGAGUGGGAGAGGGAGGGGCGCGUGUCUGAGAGGGGAGAGGGAGGGGCACGGCCCGCGCGAGAGUGAGGGAGGGGCGUGCGCCGUUCGGGAUGGGGAAAAGAGAGUGAGGAGAGGAGUGAUGAGAGAAACCCUAACUUUCAUUUUUAUACUUGGUCACAUCUACGGGCCUAGUUUGGGCCUGUUGGGCCUCGGCCUUUUUACCGAGGCGGACCUUAUAAGUGGCCCGCCUCCAAAAAUAGAGAUAUUUUUGGAGACGGGCCACUUAUAAGGCCCGCCUCAGUUAAUAUAUUUUAGGAGGCGAUUAUGUUUUAACCGCCUCGGUAAAUCAAUUUUGCGAGGCGGUUGACUGUGACCCCCUCGGUUAACAAAAAACGACCGCCUCGGUAAUCACAAGCAAUAGCCGAGGCGGUUAACCAGUCUGCCCGCCUUGGAGGGUCCAAACUAAACGUCUUGUAAAAGUUUUUUUGUAGUAGUGUUACCUAUUCACAUUUAAUACAAUAUAUCAUAUGCAUGUGUCCACCUUGACAACCUUAGCAAAAUCAUAGAUGAUUGUUACCUGGAUUCCUUGUUACCUACUUGUUAUGCAUUUGGUGUAGUUUUGCUAGUGCUUGAGAUAAUCCAUGAUCUUGUAAGAUGAUUAAUGUUGAUGGUUCUUAAGUAUCAAUUUUAAUUAUCAAAUAAACAAGGGAAAGGACCAAUAUGCAACCAACACCUAGAAUUAGGGUUUGAUCUGAUAUAAUUCCACGAGUUUUGUUGUUUACCUGUUUCUGCAGGGGGUUAUUAGGAAAUAAGGAAGAAAUGCCCACAUGUCGGGAUUACAUAGAGAUAUCAACGCACCGUGCGAUUUUCUACCAUCUAGAAGACUCCAGAAGCCACGGGAAGAAGGCAGAGGCCGAAAGGGGCCAGGCCCAGGGCGCCCGCCCCCUGCUGGACUCCAUUCAGGACUCUCUUCGCACACGAUGUUCCACCGACCUAAUGGAUCAAGAAUAAUGUAGUACCACCUCGCUUACCGACCCAAAAAUGCAUAGAGGAGGAGGACUAUAUAAGGAGACCCCCCUGACCCCUGGAGAAGACAAGAAAUUAUCAUAGAGAUUGAGGGGUGCCCUCGAAGGAAAACCUCUUCUCUAAUUAAUAUUUCUUUUUAGGCUUAGCAACCAAUGUAAAGUAGAAAUAGAUCUUCUAGUUUCUACUAGAUUGAGAGGUAUAGAGUGGAGGUGUAGAUUGGAGGAAGCCCGACCUGUCGGUGUCUACUCCAAGCUUGUACCUGCGGGAUCAAGUUCUCCUAACCCGAAGCUUGCUCCUAGGAUUCUUCAGUAUUUCGACUUCUAAAUUCUAGUAAGUUCUUGUUUUAUUGUUCUUCUGGUUUAUGAGUUUACUUUAAUCUCUUCGCGUAGAGUUUAGAGUAAUCAUUGCUGGCGUAAGCGUGGUGUUUAGGCUGGGGUACUCAUACAUAUUCCCUGACUAGCUGGACUGUGGUAGUAGUGAGGAACGUGACAAUUCCGAGUUACCUUUGCAGACCAUAUCUCGUUAGCAGGAAGGAUAGGGUUUAUAGGUGCGGGUUGAACAUCCUUUAUGGUGUCUAGAUUCCGUUAGCCUCCCUAAUAGAACAGUAGAUCAUCCUUACCAAGGUUAGAAGGAGACUACGGUUGCAGUCUUCUCUAUUUAUCACUCACAUCGAGAGACAUUCUUUGUCGCCUAAAGGGUUAGUAGUAAUAGACCGGUUAGUCAGAUGCACUCUUUCUCCUAGUGGUAAAAAAAUAAAUAUGAUACUCUGGAUAACCUCCCGGGUGAAGUGCUCACCGAUAUCCGUGCGCUUGCGGAUCAAUUCCUUAUUGCGUUCCCAAAUAUCAACAAGCAUUUCUGGCGCCGUUGCCGGGGAGAAAGACGGUUUGCUGAGAUAACCUUGAGUCUUACUAUUAGCUUGUAUCUAUACUUUUAUCUUUUCUUAUCUUUUAUAUUCUUUAUUUAUUUUCUUUACUCUUACCUUAUGGAAAACCAAAAUUCUAAAUCGAUCCAUGAAUCUGCAAUCCCUUCGAGUCAUCACAGCCUAUCCAAACACCCCAGUAUAAGUUAAGUUCUAGGUUGAUUGCCAUGAUUCAAAACCUAUCCUUUUCGGGAAAGGAAGACGAAAACCCUUACCUUCAUAUUAGAGAUUUUGAGCAAACAUGUGAUUGUCUUCGCAUUGAAGGCAUUUCUGAUAAAACUUUACGUUGGAAGCUUUUUCCUUUUUCUUUAAGGGGAGAAGCUAGACAAUGGUACAGUCAGAAGGUAAGUCAACAACGAGGUGAAUGGGGAGUUUUACGAGCCUGUUGAUGCAAAAGCUGAUCUGCAAACACAAAGGGCUAAUACCCGAUUUAAACGUUAAGGCGUGCCAUCCGAUUUGAUCUUACUACCGGCAAAGGUGGUAACUCGAAUACUUUUGUCCCGACAACAGCGAUGCGCCCGGAUGUCACGGCCAAGAGGUAUUCACGCGGAACUCGAGAACAUGCCGAGCUUAAGUCGACGAAUUCCUAAGAACUCGUAACGAAAAGGGAAAAGUAUGACGAAGUAGUCGAAAAGUAGAUUUUGGAAUAUGAGUAAAAACUUGUGUUUGAUUGAUUGAUAGAUGUCGAUUACAAAGCCUCAGGGUCCAUAUUUAUACCCUGCUCAAAGAGCUACAACCAGACACGACUAGAAUUCGAAUUCCAAAUUACACAGAAUCCGUCUACAAAACGAUUUAAAUAACUAAGGAAAACAUAAAACUAUCCCGCCGUGACAAACUGGAACACCUCCAUAAACCGAUCGGCAGCUUCCAGACUCUUCCUCCAUAUCAUCGGCAGAUUCCCUCGUCAUAGUCAUCGGCAGACUCCCUUGUCGUAGCCAUCGGCACAGACACAUCAUCACCUACGGACUUAGUCACGUACAACCCCUCUUCCAUCGGCAACCAUCCUCAUCGGCAACUCAUCCUGUAGAUCAAGCACCGCCGUCUCAUCUUGCCGGCCUAUACUUUACCAACCAUGGACACGUGCCCAAAAACGGCGUCAACACAUGCCCCGAAUUUCGGAGUAUGAAAUCAUUAAUGCUCCGAAAUUCUCUGCAGUAAUGAUGCCUUUCCGCAAUUAAUGCCCCCAACCUGGUAACCGACAGCCUUAAUCUGAACAACUCUGAUUUGAUUCUUCCGCAGAUUCCUCGAAAUCCUCAACUUCCCAAAUGGACAUUUCCAUUUUAGUUGCGCAUCGACAACAUAACUGUUACAAGGAUUUGCCGAUGUACCGAUCAGGACGUCCUUAUCUUAUCCUCCCAAACGGCUAUCUCUACUUCAUUCGCCCAUCGGCAAUAUGACCGUUACAAGGCGCUGCCGAUGGACCGACCAGGAGAUCCCGCACAGUAAGAUAUCUCUAGAAAAUGACCGCUUCCUGUCAAAUCACCUGCGCAAUCCCUUGAUUAUCGUGCGAACAGUUACCAUAUCUGCCUGAGUACCCUCGGAUCUCACGGAUACGGCGAAGAGAUAAGUCAAUUUUGCCCCUGCCCAUUUAGUCCUAUAAAUAGUUCCUUCUCGGGUACUCCUUCUCCAUCACAUCAUUCCACAACUCCAACUUUACUUUCCCGGCGGCAGCGCUGUCCAAGAGCUCCAAGAUCUUCGACGAAGUUCUUCUUCACCAACUCCGAAGCCCUCGAUCAUCUUCUUCGUGACAGGAUGGCCAUCAACUUCAUCGUUCCUGAGGUCAGUUCUUCGCGCCGUCUCUUGUACUUUUUCUCGCACCUCUGUUCAUCUGCAAUCCAUCUUACUGAACAUUUUCUUUUUCUUUCUUUGCAUUUUUUCUUUUCUACCUGCAAAACCACUAGGAAUUGUCUAACAAAAUUAUCAUCCCCACCGAUCAACCACACCUUCAAUGCCUUGGCAAGCUAGGGGAUCCAGAUCCAACCGAUCUCAUUAACGCAGAAACCAAUAGGAUCCCUUUUAGAGCUGAGAACUUUUCUUUGGAUCUGUGGAAAGAUACCUUCCGUUCUUGGCCCAGCCCCACCGUGGGGUGGAAAGAUUGGUUCUUGAGGGUCAGCAACUCCAAUGAGGUCCAGUGGGGCGAGAGAAAGUUAGACCAAUGCAUUAGGUUGUCCAUUGCCGAUAUGCAUAGGAAUGAGUCGUUGCUGAUAGCUGCAUCUUAUUUCUGGUCGGACACCCUCAAUGCCUUUGUCUUUGGCCAUUGUCUUGCUUCCCCUACCCUUGCUGAUGUAGCUAUGCUCACUGGCCUGGAUGUAUCUUCUGCCGAUAGCACCCAUUUCUUCGAUACCAAACCCAGUGCUAAGGUAGAAACCCGUACCAUCGGCGGCUGGUCGGGGUAUAUCCAAAAAUACUGCAAAACAGGCCCUGUUAACAUAAAAGAGCAGACUUGCUUCCUGAACAUGUGGCUGGACAAAUUCGUGUUUUGCGGCCGAUCGGCAGGACCAACCUCGGUCUACUUAGCAGCAGCGGAAAAUCUGGCCAAUGGUGGCCGAUUUCCCCUCGGCCGAUACCUGCUUGGUGCAGCUUACCACCUCCUUCACCAAGUGACUAGGAAACUCUUACUCGGCCAGUCCAUCGGCAACUUGGGAGGUCCCUGGUGGUUCAUUAACAUGUGGCUCAACCUCCAUCUGCACAAGCGUCUUGAGUUCGACCUCUUUGCACAGCGCUUUCCAAGGGACAUAGCUGAGAACUAUGUAUUGGAUGAAGAAGAAUCGGCAACACGCCCUCCCUUGAACUUCGGUGAAGCUGUCAUAGCUCUGCCUGGUACAGGGGGUAAUCCAGAUCAGGUCAGCCGAUUCUUCCAAACCUUGUAUAAAGGUUUGGCCAGAGAUGAGCGAGCAUGGUUGGCCUACGAUGACCCAGACAAUAUGCUUCCUCUAGUCUUCAACCCGUUCAACGAUGCUCUUGACAAGGACAACGAUGUGAUGAUGGCAUUGGUGACUCCCAGAGCCAUACCAGUGAACUUCUUUGGUAGUGGGAAAACCUCCCCACAGACUUAUGAGUUCUACAAUCCAUCGGCACUAGCUCGUCAGUUAGCUUUCGGCCAGCUGCCGAUUGCACUCUGUUAUGCCGAUGUGAUAAAGCCCAGGGAAACCAUCACCAGCCUCCUUGAACGGAUUCGAGUAGCCCACCUGCCAUCAAGUGCCGAUACAGAUGUAGACCUGUCAGAGUGGGUCCCGGCCGCCUUCAUCACUCAGGCAUACAAGCAAUGGUGGGCAGAAUGGAAGGAACAUCUGUUCUGCAAAUCCGCUCUCACGUAUCGCGGCAUGAUCGACCCUGAGUACGAAGUUCCCGAUGGCACUGUGAGUAUUUUUGCACUGAUGUUUCAUUUCUUUAUUUCUAUUUCCAUCGGGAACUAACUCUUUGUGUGACUUUUCAGGUCGAUAACACUCCCCCAUCGGUCAGCAGGAGUGGUAAGCCGAUUGAUCUGUUUGCACCAGGUCCAAUUUCCUCAAUCGGCCACAACGCUCCUACCCUGGCUGCCAUCGUGCAUCGAGGUAUACGCCUCAAGAAGGUCACCACCAGGAGAACUCAGACGUCACCAUCGGUAGCUGCUUCUACUCUGGCACAGGCUUUCAAGGUAAUUGUCAAACCUUUUCAUUUAUACCUAUCUUCCCUUUACAUCUGCCGCAUUGGUACUCACAAACUUUCUUUUCUGCAUCAGCAAACCAGCGCAUCGGCAAGGACCAAACGCAAAGGUGCCGAUGCCCCCAGUCCAGCCAGCAAAAGAGAAAGGGUGCCUGUUGGGUAUUCUUAACAUCAUUACUAAAAGUAGACUAAGUUCUCUAAAUCUAGUAACGGUGCCAAAAAUGCCAAACCUAUCCCUCACACCACUUAAGCCAAGUUGUCAUCCCCAGCAUGACAUGAGAGACGCGGUAUUGAAAUAUGCAAUUGCUCUUCUAAAUAAAUAAUGAAUGGGAUCUGCAAGCGCACAGAUUAAUACCGAUGCAGCAUUUUAACCGGGAAGUAUUCCAGGUAUCGUUAUUUAUAUUUUUACCACUGGGAAGGGAUUAGCAAUCAUCACUAUUGAUUACAGAAUAGAAUAUGAGAUUGAGCAUCUAUCAUUGCAUGUAUAAUUGAGAACAUUUAUCUAACUCAUUCAUACAGGGGUAAGUGUCACAUAAAGGAUAUAUGAAAUAAUGAAUAGUGACAAGGAUAAUUAAUCUGAUCAGCCACAUAUAAAUAUGAUAAGCACCUCAAUUAGAUACUCUAGAAAGUCAUUAGCAUGGUAUUAGAACGAACUACAAUAAUAUUCCCUAAGUUAUUCUCAACUAUAUAGUCUAGCAUUAUCAUAAUUAGUGCAAGCAUACUUAGCAAUCAUUGUGAGAUAAGACUACGCCCAUGCAUAGUGAUAUUAGCAAGGAAUAUGAGAAACAUAGCAAUCACUCCUCUGUAAUAAUGUUGCUCUGCCAGCCCAAUACACGAGAGGGGGACUAUAUAAGAAUCAAUGAAGCUGUCACUAUCACGAACCACCCCACGAUCUGGCAUAUUGGGUACAAUCGCAGAUAAAUACGGUAUAAGCACCACGCCUACACAAUAUCUAUCAUUUACCCAUGGAUCCGAUGGAUAAACGCUAUAUGAUCCUAAGCAUGUAUAUAGAUCCAAUCUAACUAAGCCAAGUACAUAACUAUGAUAAACUAAGAACAAUAUAAUCUUGAACAUAAGCAAAUAGAGCAAAGUCAUAAGCAAUAUAUUGAAGUAGAACAAAGUCAUAUUCAUAAUAUUGAAGAACAAAGAUAAUUAGAAGAACAAUUAGAAGCACAAUUAGAGAAUUACCAAGAAUCCUCCUGACAGAUCCGGAAACCAAUCGAAGAUUGACUCCUUCUAGUUCUAAUCCUAUGUAGCUAUGCUAAUCUAGAUAUCUAAUUGAUGUGGUGGCUCAUAUCUUGAUCAGAGACUUCUUCUCCCUUCAGGAAUAAUGAAUUAGGGUUGAGAGGCUCUCUCCUCUAGGGGCCAGGGGGUCUGGUUUUAUAGUCCCUUCAAGUGAAUAUGGGCCGUUGGAUCAAACCGACAUAGAUUGUAUGGUUUAGAUUCAUCCUUUAGGUCGGUGGAAAUCUCCCACAAAGCAGAGUCCUGAUUGGACUCAGGAGGUGGGCGGGCGCCCUGAUCACCUGGGCGGGCGCCCAGGGUCAGGCCCCGUUUCGCCUCCGCUUCGGUCUCGUGGCUUCUAGAGUCUUCUAGAUGCAAGAUAAUUGCGCGGCACGUUAAUAUCUUUAUGUAAUCCCGACGUGUGGGCCUUUCUUCCGUAUUUCCUGAUAACCCCCUGCAGAAAUAGACAAACACCAAAACUCGUGGAAUUCUGUCAGAUAAAACCCUAAGUCUAGAUCUUGAUUUCAUUUGGUUCCUUUCCUUUAUUUAUUUGAUAAUUAAAUUUGAUACUUAAGGACCGUCAACAAACUCCCCUAAGCUUACCUCUUGCUCGUCCCUGAGCAAGGAUAGACUCAGCUAUGGAUCAUAAGUUGUUGCAAUAUCUUUAAAAAUUGACGGUACACAUGCUUUUAAAUAAGAUCUCAUCUCUGAGUUAGAGUAAACUGUCAAGACUUAAAACUUACUUACUUUACCUUUACCAUGGGACUUGUAACUAUCACUUCUGUCUUGAGUGGUUAAAAGAUAGAACAGUCUAGCCAAGUCCCAUGUCUCUUAUUCUUGAUCAGCUAUAGCUCUGGGGUUUUUGCAGAUUUUCAAAUAAAACUCAGAGAUUCCUUGUAUGACUCUCUCAUAUCUCUCUUUUGUGGUAUUUCUGGAUCCUUACCAAGGCAGUGAUGGUAUAUGCCUUCUCUCAAGACAUGUAGUAUUUGUAGUAUACGGCAUAGUGACAUUGCCUUCUCUCUCACCCUACUCUAAUAAGGCUUUUAUAUCUGGAGCUCAUAGGUGGGAGAUAAAGUAUACAUACUUACAAGACAUUUAUUGUAUAGUCAAACCAUGGAUCCAAAGAAACAAAUCAAUAAGUCAAAUCAAGAUGUGCAUGUGUGGCGAAUGAAUGGUGUGUGGUGAUGAUGGUGAUAACAAUGGUGGUGGAAGUCUAAUUCUAUUUUUGCUCUUUGAGGGGAUACAUACCUUCCUUGCUUUUGAAACUUUAUAAGGAGAAUGAGAUGCUCUUCUUUUUCUUUUCUCUCAGGUGGGUAUCUUGUACCCCUAAUUCUACUGUCGGACACUUGUCCAUUUUUACCUCUCGUCUCACUUUUUCUUUUCUUUCGAGGUUCCGAGCACUUGCUCCUUUUUAUUUCCUCGUAUUUUUUUUCUUUUUCUCUUUUUUUUUAGAGCACUCAUCUCUUGAGAUAAUAUAGCAAGUGGUAGUAACAAGGUAACUUGAGCAUUUAUUUCACAAGGGAAAGACAGAAAUAUUUUUGGUUAUUCUCUCCCGGAUUAGGAGUAGAGUAUUUUUAGGUGAUUCUGGAGAUGGAAUGGGUGGAUAUAUGUGGAUGGUACUUCCGGAGUAGAAGUAGCAUAUAUGAGUGAACGUGCAAGUGAAAUCUUGAUUUAACCACAUGACAAGCUCCUAAGGAUCUACACAGCUUGACCACACUCAAUGCUCAUAAGCAGUAAAUAGUAAAUGUAUGGCUCAAAGUCUAGCAAGCAUGUAUAUAUGGCUGUGGUAGGAAUUUAAACUCUCAUCAUACAGGAACUCAUCAUGCAACAUUUUAAAGAUUUUCAAAAAUAAAAUUCUCUAGAAUUCUAGCAUCUCUUUAGGAACAGAUAAACAACAGCUCAACCUUCCCAAAUCAUAUCCGUUAACAACUUAGACUUCAGAUCAAGUUUUCAUCCCACAAGUUUAGGUCUAGAGCAAGCUUUAAAUUAUAACAGUUAUGUCUAAACUUGAGAGAGAACUUAAAAUUUUAAAGAUUAGGCAGAGCAACUAUUCAUCAUAUCCAUGCUUGAGUUUUAUUUAGAUACAGAUUAGCAUAGCCACUUUAUUUAUUUAUUAAAUACACUAAGCAAAAGAUAAAUAUAUAUAUAUAAGUACGAAAUCUUUAUUUGGUUUUUCAUAGUUAUGUAUAUUUAUAUUCUAAAAUAAUAUAAGUGUAAAGAUAGAUAGAAAUACUUAUCGGGAUAAAUGGGGGUGUUCUCCCCCAAGCUGAAUUUUGAUGUAAUUUUUCUUGAUGUAGCUAGCAGGUGGCAGAGGUGUAUUUGAAAGUCAGCAGCAUUCUGACAGCGAUUAGAAUGUCCUCCGUCUGCUAGUCUUCUUGAUUCUUGAUUUUCUGUGGAGCUCAAAUAGACAACAAAGCUUGUGGAACUGAUUAAGUGUUAGCAUAGAUAUGUAGCCUUUAUCAUGUUGAGACUCCUCAAUAAUUAUUACUCCGUGUUUUCAUAUUUUUAUUUUAUAAAGCAGAAAAGAAUUUUUUUUAUUUUAUUUUUAUGCCACCACAGUGAAUGUACUUAUGGGUUUUAUGCCACUCGUCUACUCACAUGGGGCUUACUGUUCUUCACAUUUUUGUUUUCUUUUUAGGAUAGCACGAACAUAAUUAACUAAGUAAACUAUUUUAAAAUAAUUGAAAGGGAAAGGAUAACUACCAAGUUUACCUCUUGGCAAGGCGUUCGGUGUUUUUAAGUCCUCCGAAUAGGACUCUCCAUUUUCUCAAUUGUCCUGGGAUUCGUUGGGUGGCGUAGUCGGUACUUUCGGCAGCGCCUCCUCUUCUUGUAUAGUUAUCUUCAUUUUCCAUACCUGACUCGGUGCUUCAAUCUCCUCUGGAUAAUUCUGUUUAAAUUCAACGUCUUCUGACCUUAUCACUUCUCCUUCGUAGUCUGCCCAUCCGUCUUUGAUGAUCUGCCUCCUCUGGUUGCGGUUGCGUCUCUUUCUGACCUGCUUAGAUUCUUCAACAAUAUAGUCAGGGUCAAUAAAAUAGCGGCGUACCUUCUCUGAGGGGAAGUGCAUAUGGACUUCUCCGGUUCCAAUGUAGAUAAUUGCUUUAACGGUGCUGAGGAACGGUCUUCCAAGGAUGAUGGGUGGAUCAUACUCGUCUUCUCCCAUGUCAAUAACUUGAAAGUCUGUGUAGACAAAAUGAUCGUCUAUUUUGACUGGGACAUUAGUUACUGUUCCUUUAACUUCUCAAAAUGUCUGAUCUGCCAUCUGGAGCUGAAUGUUUGUUGGUCUUAGUGGCAUGGCUCCGAACAAGAGCCGAUAGGUGACUGCGGCCAUUAUGUUGACGCCCGAUCCGGUGUCACAAAUCGUCUUGUAGAAGCUAUAUCCAUUUAUGGAGCAGUAGAUGCUUGGCAUUCCUGGGUUGUCCUUCUUGGUCAAAAACGGUGACUUAAGUUGUUUAUCUUGGCCUCCAUGAACUACAGUGACCAUCUUAGCUGACUCGGUCCACACUUGCUUGUUCCUGUUCCUCCUGUUGGUCCUCUUCCUUGACUCACGUCUAGAUUGAUCUGGAAUUUGUGUAGUCUUGUUCUUGAAGAAAAAUGUUUCCUUCCUCCCUUUGAUGUAGAAACUGAUCUUAGCAGCUCUAGCGUAGAUGAUAGCUCCCGUGGUGUUCAAGAAUGGCCUCCCUAAGAUGAUAGGUGCUCUCUCAUCAUUUCCGGUCUCUACCACUACUAAGUGUGCUGGGGCAUAUAAGGUACCUACUCGGACACAAAGGUUCUUUACUAUUCCUUUUGGAAAAGUUAUCGUCUGAUCUGCAAACUGCAAACACAUGGUUGUCUCUAAUAAAUGAUAUGUAAAGAAUUUUUCAUAGAGUACCCUGGGUAUAAUGUUGACGCUGGAGCCAAAGUCGCAGAGUGCUUCUGGAACGUCCACCAUGUCGAUGGAGAUCGGGAUGACGGGGCAUCUUGGAUCGCCUCUCUUGACCGGCAGAAGGUCAGUAGAGAAUUCAUUGACGGGGUUACUCCAAUUACCUGCAUCAAACAUGUCUACAAGAUUUGCAGAUUCUAAUCCUUCCGGUUGUGAUGGUAUACCGGGGUUAGUAGUAGGAACAGCAGCAGCUAUUUGAUUUAACUGAGAUUCAAUCAUUUUAUUAAAGCUAAUUUGAUUCUUGAUGGCAGUAGAGAAAUUAUCAAUUCUAUUAUUUAUAUUUUCUAGCAUUUUAUCAUUAGAUGCCAAUUUCUUAGAUAGAUUAUCCAUUAGCUUUCCUUGAUUAGACACUAACUCUCUCAAAGGUGGAAAAUUAUUAUUGUUGUUGUAAGAAUUGUUACCUUGAUAAUUACCUGAGUAGUUAGGCCUCUGUUGAUUCCAACCUUGAUUUUGUUGAGGACGGUUGUAGUAGUAGUAGUUGUUGUUAUUGAUGUAGUUCACAUCCUCAAGCAUCUCAGGGCAGUGGUUGCCUGAGUGUCCAGUGUCUCCACACUCCUCACAAGUCAUGUGAGAGUCGUAGAUGUGCAUAACUUCUUUCUUGUCUCUAGCUCUAUCAUCGAGCUUCUUCAUGAGCAGGUCUAGCUUUGCAGAUAGCAUGUCUACCUCCUUCAGCAGAUGCAUACCUCCACCUCUCUUGCGUGUCUGGGUCCUCUCUUCAUUCCAGCCUUGAUUGGACACCAUCUUCUCCACAAGAGCUGUGGCUUGUGGUAUAGUAAGUGAUAAGAAUGCUCCUCCAGCUGCAGCAUCCAUGGUUUCUCGGGCACUGUUGCCGAGCCCAUGAUAAAACAUCUGCAUCAGUAGCCAACUCUCCAUUCCAUGACGGGGACAUUCUAGGAUGUAGUCUUGAAAGCGCUCCCAUGCUUCUAGAACAGAUUCAUCAUUUUGUUGCUGAAAACUUGUAAUCUUCCCACGGAGAGCAUUGGUCUUGCCCAUGGGAAAGAACUUAGCCCGGAAGUUUGUUGAGCAGAGUGCCCACGUAGUAUUCUUCUCCUUUGUAGCGUAGAACCACUGCUUCACUCUUCCUAACAGUGAGAAUGGGAAGAGGCGAAGUAGUAUAGCAUCUUUGGAAACUCCUGAUAUGGUAAAUGUGUUGCAAAUCUCCAGGAAGUGUUGUAGAUGAGCACUAGCGUCUUCGUGUGCCUUCCCACAGAACUGGUUGGAUUGCACCAUGUUGAUAAGUCCAGGCUUGAGCUCAAAGUUGCCGUCGAUCUCUGCAGCAGGUCCAGUGCGGAUGUUGUCCGUAGUGGGAGCUGAGAACUCGCGGAUUGAUUUGUUCGCCAUGGCCUCGAACUCUGAAGACAAGUUCUGGUGAUCUUCUUGAUUGGAUGAAGCUUCUUGCUGAAGUGUUGAUGAUCUCCUCUUGAGCUUGGCUCUCGUCUUCUUGAAUAAUGCUUCGGGAUUGUCCACAAAAUUUCCAGGAAGAUGUCUUCUAUUCAUACAUUCCCCUGCAUAAGAUAAAAUAGAAAAAUAUCGAGGUAAAACUGUAUGAGAGAAUAGAGAAGCUCAAACAUAUUAGUAAUGCGAAUGAUAACUCAAAAUCCUUUAUUCCAUUCCUGAUUAGUAAUCAACCUUCCCCGGCAACGGCGCCAAAAAUGCUUGUUGGGUAUUCUUAACAUCAUUACCAAAAGUAGACUAAGUUCUCUAAAUCUAGUAACGGUGCCAAAAAUGCCAAACCUAUCCCUCACACCACUUAAGCCAAGUUGUCAUCCCCAGCAUGACAUGAGAGACACGGUAUUGAAAUAUGCAAUUGCUCUUCUAAAUAAAUAAUGAAUGGGAUCUACAAGCGCACAGAUUAAUACCGAUGCAGCAUUUUAACCGGGAAGUAUUCCAGGUAUCGUUAUUUAUAUUUUUACCACUGGGAAGGGAUUAGCAAUCAUCACUAUUGAUUACAGAAUAGAAUAUGAGAUUGAUCAUCUAUCAUUGCAUGUAUAAUUGAGAAUAUUUAUCUAACUCAUUCAUACAGGGGUAAGUGUCACAUAAAGGAUAUAUGAAAUAAUGAAUGGUGACAAGGAUAAUUAAUCUGAUCAGCCACAUAUAAAUAUGAUAAGCACCUCAAUUAGAUACUCUAGAAAGUCAUUAGCAUGGUAUUAGAACGAACUACAAGAAUAUUCCCUAAGUUAUUCUCAACUAUAUAGUCUAGCAUUAUCAUAAUUAGUGCAAGCAUACUUAGCAAUCAUUGUGAGAUAAGACUACGCCCAUGCAUAGUGAUAUUAGCAAGGAAUAUGAGAAACAUAGCAAUCACUCCCCUGUAAUAAUGUUGCUCUGCCAGCCCAAUACAUGAGAGGGGGACUAUAUAAGAAUCAAUGAAGCUGUCACUAUCACGAACCACCCCACGAUCUGGCAUAUUGGGUACAAUCGUAGAUAAAUACGGUAUAAGCACCACGCCUACACAAUAUCUAUCAUUUACCCAUGGAUCCGAUGGAUAAACGCUAUACGAUCCUAAGCAUGUAUAUAGAUCCAAUCUAACUAAGCCAAGUACAUAACUAUGAUAAACUAAGAACAAUAUAAUCUUGAAUAUAAGCAAAUAGAGCAAAGUCAUAAGCAAUAUAUUGAAGUAGAACAAAGUCAUAUUCAUAAUAUUGAAGAACAAAGAUAAUUAGAAGAACAAUUAGAAGCACAAUUAGAGAAUUACCAAGAAUCCUCCUGACAGAUGCGGAAACCAAUCGAAGAUUGACUCCAUCUAGUUCUAAUCCUAUGUAGCUAUGCUAAUCUAGAUAUCUAACUGAUGUGGUGGCUCUAAUCUUGAUCAGAGGCUUCUUCUCCCUUGAGGAAUAAUGAAUUAGGGUUGAGAGGCUCUCUCCUCCAGGGGCCAGGGGGUCUGGUUUUAUAGUCCCUUCAAGUGAAUAUGGGCCGUUGGAUCAAACCAACAUAGAUUGUAUGGUUUAGAUUCAUCCUUUAGGUCGGUGGAAAUCUCCCGCAAAGCAGAGUCCUGAUUGGACUCAGGAGGUGGGCGGGCGCCCUGAUCACCUGGGCGGGCACCCAGGGUCAGGCACCGUUUCGCCUCCGCUUCGGUCUCGUGGCUUCUGGAGUCUUUUAGAUGCAAGAUAAUUGCGCGGCACGUUAAUAUCUUUAUGUAAUCCCGACGUGUGGGCCUUUCUUCCGUUUUUCCUGAUAACCCCCUGCAGAAAUAGACAAACACCAAAACUCAUGGAAUUCUGUCAGAUAAAACCCUAAGUCUAGAUCUUGAUUUCAUUUGGAUCCUUUUCUUUAUUUAUUUGAUAAUUAAAGUUGAUACUUAAGGACCGUCAACAGUGCCAAAGGUACCAGAGCACAGACAAAGCGCUAGAGAGUAGCAACUCCCCCUCCUCCUCCGGUAUCUCCAAUUCCGGUGGAGUCUUCCCCUUCUUCUCCAGAAGUCGAGACACAACAAGUACCAUCUCCCCCACCAAUGCAAGAAGCACCACAGGUGGAAGAACCUCAACAAGAAGUAUCUCAGCCAGAAGACACAUCGGCUGAUGUACAUGAACCAACUGCCGAUCCAGCAGGUUCCAUUAUAGCAUCAGUGGUCUCUUCCAUCCAGACAAGAAUUGCCCUUCCUCAAGGUAACACAUUUUAUAACAUUACCGCCGAUGAACUUACUCCUUUUCGGUCUUAUAACCCCUUAUGUUAAUUUUCAGCUAACGUAGCUCCAUCGGCAACUCCGGCCGAUCAACCCGUGGCCCCAUCGACGUCUUCCAGUCAAAGGCGAGAAAUUGCCUUGAAGCAGGUAAGCUAUCCAAUCUCCAUCAAUAUUACUUGCCGAUGUUCCGACCAUAGAAUGACUCACUUUGUCUCCCUUUUCAGGAGCAGGAUUCUCCCGACAGUCUAUUCUCCUUUGCCAUUGAUAUCUCCGAAGACGAAGGUGAGGAAACAAGUUCCUCCCGGGCGGUUGGAAUCGCAUCAGCAGAGAUCAGGACCAAGCUAGAAGAACUGUCGGCUCUCCUUCAUCAAGACACGACUCAAUUGGUCGAUGACUCUGAUCCGGCCAAGGUUCUGUUCAAGACCCUUAGAGGCCAGAUUCCUGCCGAUGCCGAAGAAAUCCUCUUCCGGGCCGCACAUCUGGAGAGUCGUCAGUUGCAGUACCAGAGGGCCACUCGGCGCCUUGCCGAUAGAGCUGCUCAGACCCAGCUUUCUGAGGAGAUGAUGAAAGAGAAGCUCUUGACCGAUGAGAAGCACAAGAACAUCGGUACCUUGAAGUCUUCAGGAAACGCACUGAAGCAGAAGAUCUCCAACCUAUCGGCAAAACGAGAAGCCUUGUUGGCAGAACUCAAGCAGGUGGAGGAUGCCCUAUCCCAAGCCCAACAGGAAGAAAACCAACUGCCCGAGACCAUCAAACUCCUCGAGCAAGAGCGAAAUGCCUAAGGCCGCAAAGCACUGCAGUUGAAGAAGAAAUUGAAGCCGAUAGGAGGCUCUGCCGAUGAAGACAUCAAAGAAAUAGAAGCAGCCGACCAGAUCCUCCUACGCGCUAUAUCAACCAUCCAGGUGCUACUAAACAUGUGAGCUCUUCAUCGGCAACACACCUGCCUCUUUUUGCUCUUUAACUUUCUUGAUGUUUAGUCUAGCCGAUAGGACUGUUAUCGGCAUCCUUUUGAAACAUUAAGUCCGCCCCCAGAUACAUUUUAAUCCAGCCGAUAGGAGUGUUAUCGGCACUUAAACUUUUAUGCAUCGACCCAUAUGCUGGGGUAGUACUUCUUUAAAUAUUUGCCAUUUAAUGCUCUGGGAAAUUCAACUCCUUCGAGAGUUUCUAAAAUGUAGGCGUUACCAGGAGCCGAUCGAUUUAUCCGAUAGGGACCCUCCCAAUUGGGAGACCACUUUCCAAACUUCGAACUUUUAGUCCCAAUCAGUAAAAUUAAUUUCCAUACCAAGUCUCCAACGGCAAACUCCUUAGCCUUCACAUUCUUGUCUUACCAUCUAGCAACUCUCUUCUUAUUUUCUUCUAUACUCAUUAAAGCCUUUAACCGAUGUCCUGCUAGAUCAUCUAACUCAUCGGUCAUCAAAGUGGCAUAAUCAUCGGCAGCCAAUUGAUCUUGAAAAGAUAGUCGCCUAGAUCCAGUCUUAAUCUCCCAAGGCAACACUGCAUCAUGUCCAUACACCAAUUGAUAGGGUGAAACCUUGGUUGAUCCAUGACAAGCCAUUCGAUAGGACCAUAAUGCUUCAUUUAACAAUGUGUGCCACCGUUUAGGAUUUUCUUCAAUUUUUCGUUUGAUAAGCUUGAUAAUUCCUUUGUUAGAUGCCUCGGCCUGCCCAUUAGCUUGAGCAUAGUAACUAGAAGAGUUUAACACUUUAAUCCCCAUACCGAUUGCGAAUUCAUCAAACUCCCCUGAUGUGAACAUAGUGCCCUGAGCGGUAGUAAUUGUUUGAGGAAUCCCAAAUCGGUAAAUGAUAUGCUCUUUCACAAAAUCAAUCAUAUUGGCCGAUGUAACUUUCUUCAAAGGAAUAGCUUCAACCCAUUUGGUGAAAUAGUCGGUGGCAACUAGAAUAAACUUAUGCCCCUUGCUAGAUGGUGGAUAAAUCUGGCCGAUCAAAUCAAUAGCCCAUCCUCGGAACGGCCAAGGCUUUAUAAUAGGAUUCAUAGCCGAUGCAGGCGCCCUUUGAAUAUUACCAAACUUUUGACACCCUUGACAUCCUUUGAAAUAAUUAAAGCAAUCUUCAAGUAUAGUCGGCUAAUAAUAUCCAUUCCUCCUAAUCAUCCACUUCAUCUUAAAAGCCGACUGAUGUGCUCCACACAACCCUUCAUGGAUUUCCCCCAUCAAACUUCUAGCUUUGUCAUCACCCAAGCAUCGGAGAAGAACUCCAUCAAUAGUUCGAUAAUACAAUUCAUCCUCGAGGAGCACAUACUUGGUUGCUUGAAACCGAACUCGUCUUUCAACAUUCUUAGAUGGAUCUUUCAAAUAAUCAACUAUUUCUUUUCUCCAGUCAUCGGCACCCAUUGCCGAUAUUGUAUUAAUCAUAGGCUGAUAUCCCGAGGCAUGCUGAGCCAACCGAUUUGCCUCUUCAUUAUGCAAUCGAGGAACAUACUCUAAUCGGAAGUCUUUGAAUUCCUUUAACAGUUGCAUACUCCUCUCAUAAUAAGUUAUGAGAACUUCACUUCGGCAUUCAUAGCUCCUAGCCAACUGAUUUAUAACUAGCAUAGAAUCCCCGAAGACCUUAACAGCAUCAGCAUGAACUUCUCUCAACAACUCUAAUCCCUUUAUUAAAGCUUGAUACUCAGCCUGAUUAUUUGUUGACGUGGCAACAAUCGGCAAGGAAAACUCAUACUUCCUUCCCCGAGGGGAAACUAGUACUAUGCCGAUUCCUGCCCCCCGGUCACAUGUGGAUCCAUCAAAGAACAGCAUCCAAGAUACAAUUUCCAAAGCCUCCACUGUACUGCAAUGCUGAGUUACAAAAUCGGCCAUAAUCUGUCCCUUAACUGCCUUAGCCGAUUCAUAACGCAGAUCGAACUCUGACAGCGCCAAAAUCCAUUUACCGAUCCUGCUACUCAUAAUCGGCAUGGACAGCAUGUACCGGACCACAUCAUCUUUGCAAAUAACAGUGCAUUCGGCCGAUAACAAGUAAUGCCUUAACUUGAUACAAGAGAAAUAUAAGCAUAGACAUAGUUUCUCAAUAGCCGAAUACCUGGUCUCAGCAUCAAUCAACCUCCUGCUUAAGUAAUAAAUUACACGUUCCUUCCCUUUAAAUUCUUGAAUUAAAGCCGAGCCGAUGACCAUCCCAUCGGUAGACAAAUACAACCUGAAGGGUUUUCCUUGCUGAGGUGAAAUUAGAACUGGAGGAUUCACUAAAUAUUUCUUGAUUUCAUCCAGAGCCAACUGUUGGUCUUUCCCCCAAAUAAAUUCUUGAUCGGCUUUUAGCUUAAGAAGAGGACUGAAAGCACGAAUUUUACGAGACAAAUUAGAUAUAAAUCUUCUAAUAAAAUUUACCUUGCCGAUCAAGGACUGGAGUUCAGUCUUGUUGGUAGGGGCAACUAUUUUGUUGAUAGCCUUAAUAGAUCUUCGACUAAUUUCAAUCCCCCUUUGAUGCACCAUGAAACCAAGAAACUGCCCUGCCGAUACACCAAAUGCACACUUAUUGGGAUUCAUCUUCAAUCCAUGCUUCCUCGUGCAUUCCAACACCUUUCGUAGAUCGGCGAGAUGCUUUGCGAAGUCUCCAGACUUAACCACCACAUCAUCAAUAUAAAUUUCCACCAGCUUGCCGAUGAACUCAUGAAAUAUAAAAUUCAUGGCCCUUUGAUAAGUAGCACCAGCAUUCUUUAGGCCAAUGGUCAUGACUAUCCAUUCAAACAACCCGACAUGACCAGGACAUCUAAAUGCGGUCUUUGGAAUAUCCUCUUCUGCCAUGAAUAUUUGAUUGUAUCCUGCAUUGCCAUCCAUAAAGCUAAUAAUCCGAUGCCCAGCUGCAGCGUCAACCAGCAGAUCGGCAACUGGCAUAGGGUAUCCAUCCAUCGGUGUAGCUUUAUUGAGGUUCCUGAAAUCAAUGCAGACCCGAAGCUUCCCGUUCUUCUUGUAGACCGGAACGACAAUGGAAAUCCAUUCGGCAUACCGACACUGCUGAAUAAACUUGGCUUCAAUAAGUUUGGUGAUUUCGGCCUUAAUAUCAGGGAGGAUAUUAGGAUUACAUCGGCGAGCCGGCUGCUGAUGUGGCCGAAAUCCAAACUUGAUAGGUAACCGAUGCUCAACAAUCGAUCGGUCCAAACCAGGCAUCUCAGUAUAAUCCCAAGCAAAGCAAUCUUUAUAUUGCUUUAACAAAUCAGUUAACUAUUGCUUACACUCAGAAUCUAACUUAGCACUAAUAAAAGUGGGUCUAGGCUUAUCACCACUACCUAUAUCUACUUCUACUAGAUCAUCGGCCGAUGUGAAUCCCUGGCCUAAUUUUCCAUCAUCGGCGAACCUAUCCAUUAAAAACCUUCGUCAGAACCGACUGCUUGGAUCGGUGGAAUCUCGUAAUCGGCAACCUUGAGAAAAUCCUUUUCCCAAAUUACUCCUGAAAUACUCCUAGUCCUUUCAUAGGUAUCUGCCUCUGCCGAUGCGAUGACAUAAGAAGAAUCUCCUAGGACAAUUUCAAUCUUAUCACCUACCCACUGAACCAGGCAUUGGUGCAUUGUAGACGGCAUGCAACAAUUAGCAUGAAUCCAAUCUCUUCCCAACAACAGGUUGUAAGCACCCUUUCCACUGAUCACGAAGAAGGUUGUCGGCAAGGUUUUGCUGCCGAUGGUCAACUCUACACAUAUUGCCCCCUUGACCGGAGACACAUUCCCUUCAAAGUCUUUAAGCAUCAUAUCGGUCUUGGUUAAAUCCUGAUCCCCUUUCCCAAGCUUCCGAUACACUGCAUACGGCAUGAUGUUGAUAGCAGCCCCACCAUCAAUUAGAAUCUUGGUCAUCGGCUGCCCAUCAACCCUCCCUUUGACAAACAGAGCCUUGAGAUGUUGUCUUUCAUCAUCGGCAGGCUUCUCGAAGAUAGCUGUCAUCGGAUCCAGAGCCAAUUGAGCUAUUUGGUCGGAGAAUUCUAACUCAUCAUCACUGGAUGGCGCAAGGAACUCCAUCGACAACAUAAAGACCAUGUUGACAUCUGCCGAUGGACCUUCCCCUUUGGGAUCUGAUUGCUGCUGAUCCUCAGACUGGCCAGAAUUCUCGCCCUUGCUUAACCCUUCUCGCCUUUCGUGCUGCAGCCUCCUUUUCUGUGUCCUGGUCAACCCCUCUGGACACCAUGGAGGAAGUUGCUGCUGCCUUGCCGCUGGGCGAUGAUUUUCCCUUGACUCCAUCCGAUACGUAUUAGCAUCCCUGCAAAAUAUGAACUCGUCGAGAACCGGUGCAUUAGCCAUCUCCUCAAGUUCUUCCUGGUUUCAGGGAAAGUAUUCAACACGAUCGCCAAGCCUGUCGUGCAAACUGAGCCUGCCCCCCAGCCGAUCGUGAACGGACACUCUUCCUCUAAUCGGCCCAUUAAAUCGCCGAUUAUCGUCGUAAUAGCGCCUAUCGGAUCUAUCAUACCGAUCAUAACCGUUGCACUCAGGAUAGUCUCUGACGGUGGGAAGCUUGAUAUUCUCCUCCCAACAAUGGAUGAAGAACGGGCAAUUCCAGUGAUCCUUAUGCCAAUUCGACUCCUGUCGGCGUCUUUCUUCUUCCCGUCGAUAAUCUUCCUGCUGGCGCCGAUAUCGAUCCACACGCUGCUGCCAAGUUUCCCGAGGCCUUCUGUGAGUUAUAACAAUACCAGAUCGGGGAGGCCUUCCUGAGCUGGUUCCUUCCUGGAUCAAGCCCCUUCCUCUCGCAUCGGCAGUAGUGACCUGAUGCUGAGGAUCCACCGAUGCACUUCUUUCGGCUGCUUCUGAUGUUAAGACCUUGGCCUUUCCCUUAGCAUCCAACAUGUUCGUUGGGAAAGGAUGUUGAUCAAUCUUCAUCGGCUUCUGGGUCUUGGAGCUGUCAAAUUUGAUUCUCCCAGACUCUAUAGCCGAUUGCAGCUGCUGUCUGAAAACCUUGCACUCAUUGGUGUUGUGAGAAGUUGCAUUGUGCCACUUGCAAUAUUUCAUCCUUUUUAACUCUUCAGCCGAUGGGAUCACGUGAUUAGGUGAUAGCUUGAUCUGACCUUCCUGAAGUAGAAAGUCAAAUAUCCUAUCGGCCUUGGUGGUGUCGAACGCGAACUUCUUCGGUUCUUUAUGCCCAAAAGGACAGGACAUCGGCUUUUUAUUUUUCACCCACUCUGCCAAGCCGAUGACUGGUUCCUCAUCAGAAUCCGAGCUUGCCACUUCAUCCACAAAUGAUACCUUCUUGUUCCAUGCUCUCUUGGGCUCGAAAGGCUUGAUAUCAUGAUCAGAAAUUCUCAGCACUAAAUGACUUAAGCUUUCAAACUCUUGAGACGCAUAUUUGUCCCUGAUGUGUGGCAACAAACCCUAGAAAGCCGAAUCGGCUAGCUGCCGAUCAUCCAGAACCAGGCUAUAGCACUUGUUCUUGACUUCUCGUAUCCUCUGCACAAAACUCUCAACCGAUUCAUCAUUGUGUUGCCUCAAUUUAACCAAAUCGGUGAUCUUCUUCUCAUGGACCCCAGAAAAGAAGUACUUAUGGAAUUGUUUCUCCAGAUCGGCCCAAGUAAUCACCGAGUUAGGAGUUAAUGAUAUAAACCAGGUGAAAGCCGAUCCGAACAAUGAUGAUGAGAAUAAACGAACCCUUAACUCAUCCCUGUUACCAGCUUCCCCACACUGUAUGAUGAACCUGUUGACGUGCUCCAUGGUCGAUGUGUCAUCCUGUCCAGAAAACUUAGUAAAAUCCGGUACCUUGUACCGAUGUGGAAGCGGGAUCAAAUCAUAUGCGGGAGGAUACAGUGUCUGAUAAGAGUAAAUAUUGACUUUGGGUUUUAUCCCGAAUUGGUCUCUCAUUACUUCAGCAAUCUUAUCGGCCCAAUAAGCAUCGGCAUCUUGCCGAUGAGGUGGUUGCGGAUCUGGCACCUGCUGGUAAGCUUCCACGUGUCGGUGUGGCGCACGAUCUGCAUGGAACAUUGGAUUGAUCAUUUGUCCCCCAAUCUGCGGACCACCAAGCUGUUGCCCACCAAUCUGUUGUCCACCGACCUGUUGCCCAAGAUUCAUUGGCUGGUUGGGAAUCCCCUGAUUCUGGAAUCCAGGGUAGAUCUAGCCUUGCUGGAACCCUGUAGCCUGAUGAUUAUGCUGGGGUGUUUGUGGAAAGACUUGCUGCCCAAGCCAUCCAUUAUUAGCGUUCAUCGGCAUAGGCCCUGCCGAUGACUGGUAAUUGGGCAUGAUCAUUGAAUUGACAUACCCAGGUUGAGUCAUAAACCUCUGUUGCAUCAGCAUUGAGUCUGCCGAUGCGUUAGGCAUUUGGAACGUUGGAGCUUGAGAAUUCCCAGUGUAAGGUCUUGCAGUAGUAGUUGUAGUAUACCGGGGACUCUGGUUCAUCGGCAUAUUGGGAGGUGCCGAUGCCAUAGGAGUCUUGCCUCUCAUGUCAGUUGUCUGCGACGUACCUGGUGUUAACUCUGGACGCAUACCAUAACCCCACCAGUUCGGAGGAGGAGUCAAUCCUGACAUUGCCGAUGCCAACAGAUCUGUAGCGAGUUUAAUCUGCCCAUCAGAAGUCUGUGGAUUAGUCGUCAUCGGCGUAGAUUGUGUAUUGGUGACCCCUAACGUACUUGGAGGAACGGUAGUUUGUGCACUUGCAGCGGCUGUAGCAGCCGAUGGAGCUGUGACCACCGGUGACCCCAACUGGUGAUAAGAGGGGCCCACUUAAUCUGGUGGCAAUUGUCCUUCCUUGAAAGUUCUUGCCACGGCAUUGAAAACCGUAUUAGACAAUACGCCGGCUUGGUUGAUCAAAGCACGGUUGAUAGCGCUGUCAACCAUCUCUUGAAGUUUGCCAGGAUUGGCUUCAAAAGUAACCUGCCGAGGUGCAGGCAGUGCAUCCUUCUGAAUCACUUCGCCGCUCCUGUUCAUACUGAAGGAUCUCAGGCACUGCUGCUUGUAAUCCUCCAUGGCUUUAGCAAUAGCCUACUUCUGCUCAUCCUUGAGAUUGGCUUCCGUCACGGGGAUAACGUUCUCCUGAUCGAACACAGAAGUCGACAUGUUGAUCUUGAUCUUGAAACAGUCCCACUGGGCGUGCCAAAAGAUGUGUUGGUGCAAAAGCUGAUCUGCAAACACAAAGGGCUAAUACCCGAUUUAAACGUUAAGGCGUGCCAGCCGAUUUGAUCUUACUACCGGCAAAGGUGGUAACUCGAAUACUUUGGUCCCGACAACAGCGAUGCGCCCGGAUGUCACGGCCAAGAGGUAUUCACGCGGAACUCGAGAACACGCCGAGCUUAAGUCAACGAAUUCCUAAGAACUUGUAACGAAAAGGGAAAAGUAUGACGAAGUCGUCGAAAAGUAGAUGCUGGAAUAUAAGUAAAAACUUGUGUUUGAUUGAUUGAUAGAUGUCGAUUACAAAGCCUUAGGGUCCAUAUUUAUACCCUGCUCAAAGAGCUACAACCAGACACGACUAGAAUUCGAAUUCCAAAUUACACAGAAUCCGUCUACAAAACGAUUUAAAUAACUAAGGAAAACAUAAAACUAUCCCGCCGUGACAAACUGGAACACCUCCAUAAACCGAUCGGCAGCUUCCAGACUCUUCCUCCAUAUCAUCGGCAGAUUCCCUCAUCAUAGUCAUCGGCAGACUCCCUUGUCGUAGCCAUCGGCACAGACACAUCAUCACCUACGGACUUAGUCACGUAUAACCCCUCUUCCAUCGGCAUCCAUCCUCAUCAGCAACUCAUCCUGUAGAUCAAGCACCGCCGUCUCAUCUUGCCGGCCUAUACUUUAACAACCAUGGACACGUGCCCAAAAACGGCGUCAACAGAGCCAAUUUUUGUCUAGAUUUCUAUUCCCUCGACCGUAUAGCUAACCUUAGACUCGAAGUCCUAUCUUUUAAACAAAAAGAUAAUGAAACUUUGGGAAAAUCCUGGAAACAUUUUUCUGAUCUUUUAGAAUCUGGUCCAAACCUUAAUCUUGAAGACCCUGUUCUUUUAUUUCACUUUUUUUGAGGUGUUCAGAAAAAUCAUAAACAAAUGCUACACACAAUGUCUAGAGGUUCUUUCUUUCGCAUCCCUCCUGAUGAAGCUAGAGUGAUCCUAGAUAGAAUCCUAGAAGCUGAGAUGGAUAAUACCGUUCAUGAUGAAACCUACGAAGCCGAAGUAGACACUCUGCCAAAUUCUUCAUCUACUUUAGCUAUCCCAAGUUGUGAGCCACAAGAGGAAGAAAUUCCACCACCGGACUUCAUGCUGGAUAUAGAAUCUGAUCUUUUUGCCGAUUUUGGAAACAUUUCAAACUACCAUUCUAUUGACAAACCCCAAAACGGCCAGUUUAGCAUUUAUUUGCCAAGUGAAUAUCAAUUGAGAGAGCUUAUCUCAGUCAUGAGUAGCGAAUGGUUGGAGGAAUCAGAGCUUUCCUCUGAUGUGAUCCGUCUGGACACACCCUCUAUAACUACACGCUGUGCUUAUAAUUCUGAUCGGUUUAAUGCUCUUUAUAAUCCUGUUGUGGGGAUCAACAUCAUGUCUGAAUCUUUUGCACUUAAACUAUUUAAAAAUCUUGUCUUAACCCCCACAACAAAGGUCAUAAGGGAAUCUUCGCGACGAUUAGUCCCCAGUCUUAGAAUUAUUAAUGUCCUACCUCUUACGGUAGAAGGCUCUAUGGUUCAUUUGAACUUCUAUAUCUUUGAUACAUGGGACUUCGACCUGUUGAUGGGACAACCUUUUAGAAGACUCCUUUAUGAAGGUCAUACUGGAAAGCUACACAUUUCUUUUGGAAAAACCUUUAAAUUCCCAAUAACAAUUUCACACUCCUUGAAUAAUAAGGCCGAGUCAUAUCUUUUGCCUGAUCCUAUGGAGGAGGUAAAGGCUGCAUCUCUUGAACUUUUAGAAGAAUCAGACUUAGAAGACGGAAAUCCAUUCUUCAUAGAAGAAGAAGUCGAACCUUCUGAACCUGAACCCUUAGAUGAGUUUGCAGAAACACCUAGACCCCCCAUAGAGCUUAAAACUUUACCACCCGGUCUUACCUAUGCUUUCCUAAACAAUAAUCCAGAGUUUCCUGUGAUCAUUAGUGAUAAACUCACUCAGGAUCAAACUCUACGAUUAAUGACCAUUCUUGAGAAACAUCACUCACUUUUCGGUUACUCACUCCAAGAUCUUACAGGAAUCAGUCCUAUGAUUUGUACCCAUCGUAUUCCAAUAGAUCUUUCUCUUUCACCUUCUCGAGAACCCCAACGUAGACUUAACAACACUAUGAGAGAGGUAGUUAAAAAGGAAGCUAUAAAGUUGCUGCAUGCAGGGAUUAUAUAUCCUGUGCCGCACAGUGAGUAGGUAAGCCCAGUUCAAGUUGUGCCUAAAAAGGGAGGCAUGACUGUUAUUAUGAAUGAAAAGAACGAGCUAAUUCCGCAACACACCGUCACAGAAUUGCGGAUGUGCAUAGUCUAUAGAAAACUAAACAAAGCCACGAGAAAGGAUCACUUUCCUUUACCUUUCAUAGAUGAGAUGCUAGAGCGGUUAGCAAACCAUUCGUUCUUCUGUUUCUUAGAUGGAUAUUCAGGGUAUCACCAAAUCCCGAUCCAUCCCGAUGAUCAAAGCAAAACCACUUUUACAUGCCCAUAUGGAACUUAUGCUUAUCGUAGAAUGUCUUUUGGGUUAUGUAAUGCACCAGCUUCUUUUCAAAGAUGCAUGAUGUCUAUAUUUUCUGAUAUGAUUGAAGAGAUUAUGGAAGUUUUCAUGGAUGAUUUCUCUGUUUAUGGAAAAACUUUUGAUAGUUGUCUUGAAAACUUAGACAAGGUUUUGCAAAGAUGUGAAGAAAAGCACUUAGUCCUUAAUUGGGAAAAAUGUCAUUUUAUGGUUAGGGAAGGAAUAGUGCUGGGACACCUAGUGUCUGAAAGAGGUAUUGAGGUAGACAAAGCUAAAAUUGAAGUAAUUGAACAACUACCUCCAACAGUGAAUAUAAAAGGAAUUCGAAGCUUUCUUGGCCAUGGUGGUUUUUAUCGUAGAUUCAUAAAAGAUUUUUCAUUUAUUGCUAGACCACUUACUCUUUUGCUAGCCAAGGAUGCUCCUUUCAAAUUUGAUGAUGCAUGUCUAACAUCUUUCAAUUUGUUAAAGAAAGCACUCAUCUCUGCACCAAUCAUUCAACCCCCUGAUUGGUCGUUGCCUUUUGAAAUUAUGUGUGAUGCUAGUGAUUAUGCUGUGGGGGUAGUUUUGGGACAAAUUAAAAAUAAGAAGCAUCAUGCAAUUGCUUAUGCCAGUAAAACUUUGACAGGAGCUCAACUUAAUUAUGCAACUACUGAAAAAGAGCUUCUGGCUGUUGUCUUUGCCAUUGAUAAAUUUAGAUCUUAUUUAGUUGGAGCUAAAAUAAUUGUUUACACUGAUCAUGUUGCACUAAAAUAUUUGCUCACUAAAAAAGAUGCUAAACCUCGCCUGAUUAGAUGGAUCUUAUUACUCCAGGAAUUUGACUUAGAAAUAAAAGAUAAAAAGGGAGUAGAAAAUUCUGUUAUGUACCACCAGGAGCAAACAAGAAGAAGCUUAUUCAAGAAAGUCGUUCACAUAUAUGGGAUGAGCCAUACCUCUUCCGAGUAUGCUCUGAUGGCUUACUUAGGAGAUGUGUGACCACUGAGGAAGGAUGGAAGAUCAUCGACAGAUGUCAUUCAUCACCAUAUAGAGGUCACUAUGGAGCAUUCCGCACACAUUCAAAGAUCUGGCAGUGUGGAUUCUACUGGCCUACAAUGUAUGAAGACAUGAGGCAAUAUAUCAGAAGAUGUGGGCCAUGUCAAAGGCACGGAAACAUAAAUACAAGGGAUGCAAUGCCACUCACCAACAACCUUCAGAUUGAGCUCUUUGAUGUCUGGGGAAUAGACUACAUGGGUCCAUUUCCUCCAUCAAAGAAGUGUGAAUAUAUCUUGGUGGCAGUUGACUAUGUCUCCAAGUGGGUAGAGGCAUUACCUUGCAAGCAUGCCGACAACGUCAGUUCAAAGAGGAUGUUUGAAGAAAUUAUAUUUCCAAGAUUUAGAGUCCCCAGAGUAGUGAUAAGUGAUGGAGGAGCACACUUCAUCAACAAACGCUUCAAGCAAUAUCUAUCAAAACAUGGAAUCCGUCACAACGUCGCUACCCCCUAUCAUCCUCAGACAAGUGGCCAAGCAGAGACUUCCAACAAGCAAAUCAAGAAUAUUCUUCAGAAGACAGUAAAUGAAAUGGGAACGGCGUGGAAAGACAAGUUACCUGAUGCACUCUGGGCAUACCGAACAGCAUACAAGACCCCAAUUGGAAUGUCUCCAUACCAAUUGGUGUACGGGAAUACUUGCCAUCUACCCGUUGAACUAGAGUUCAAAGCACACUGGGCCAUAAAGAGAUGGAAUAUGGACCUAGAUGUUGCUGGAGAUUAUAGAAGAAUGCAACUAUCAGAAUUGGAAAAAUGGCGAGAGAAAGCAUAUCACAAUUCGAAGAUCUACAAAGAAAGAGUCAAAAGGUGGCAUGACAAGAGAAUCAAGAAGGAGUUCACACCCGGAGAUAAGGUAUUACUUUUUAAUUCCAGGGUGAAGCUUUUCGGGCAUGGAAAACUCCGGAGCAAAUGGGAAGGACCAUUCAAGGUAAUUAAUUCAUCAUCCCACGGAGCUAUGACACUUCAAAAUGACGAAGGUACGUUAUUCAAGGUAAAUGGUCAACGUCUUAAAUUAUUUUUAGAGCCCAAUAAAGAAUUAGAAGAAAUAGACGUAGUCCAUUUUUACCUUCCCAUGAAGAAUUAGAGCCCGACCUUUUUAGUCUGAUGUGUUUGGGUCAUACAUAUAUUUUUCUAAAUAAUUUUGCAUCUAGAAACGCGCUCGAGGAAGUGGGCCCACAGAGGGGCCAGAGAGAGGGCGGGCGCCCAGAUCAGGUGGGCGGGCGCCCAGCUCCUGUUCCCCCUCGGUCCCAAUCUUCUCUGUUAUGGAAAAUGCACUUAAGGAAAUCCGAAUAAUCCCUCAGAUGGAAAGUUUCGCACGCACAUCGACGGGAGCAACCCGAACAACCCCUUGACGCACUUUUUGACCCCUAUAUAAACAGAUCCCUGACAUCAGUUUUCAAACACCAAAGUCACCAAGCCUUCUCUUCUUCUUCAAUUAGAGCUUGAUUAGUUCCUUGCUGCUCCAAUGGCCGAGAAGUACCACGAUGAUUGGGAAGUCGUCCCCUUCAACCUCAACAUGGAGCCUGUGGAAGACCCCGAUGCCCGUGCUCUCGUCCCGACCAACACAGAAAGACAGCUAGAAGCCAUGCCAUUACGCCAACACAACUCCGCCCAAUCCUACCAUGCUCAACCAGUUCUCACCGCACCGCCACAACCCCUACUCCUCAAGGGAUCAUCAUCCAAGACGAAGACCACCAUCAAGGUGCCAACCGGCACAAGGAUCCUUCCACCUAAGACCCAAUGAGAGUGUCGUUGGAGUCAGGACCAACCGGAGCGGCGAGAUCAGCAGCGUACGCUACACUACGGAGAAGGAAAGACCUUACUUUGAAGGGAUUAGAGCAGCCAAAGUCCGUUUCAUCCCUCCAAAGGCAGCCCCGAAGCACGCUCUUAAUGCUUUUGAGACACCUCCCAAGCGUCGCAAGACUAUAAUGGAUAUUGAUGAGGACGUUCGCAGACUAGACAGAAUUAUCAUAGACCUCCAGUCCUCGAUUAAUUCCCUCACUAGGCAGCUCUCUAACCACAAUACCAUUAUACUAGGCCUUAGGCAGGAUCUUGCCAGUGCCAACAAGAAGAUUAAGGAAUUAGAGCACCGCUAAGUUAUCUAGAUUAGACCUUGAGGCAAUGCAUCUUAGUCAUCUAUCUUUAAAUUCGGUUUAGGUUUACUAUUAUCAUCAGUUUACUAUUAUCAUCAGUUUGCUAUUGUCAUCAUUUUGCUACUAGUCUUUUGUAAUAAAUGCCUCAAGAUUAAUAAAGAGUAUUAUUAUUAUUAUGUCUUGUGUGUCUCUAAUUUAUUUUUGUGUAAGAAAGCAGAAAACAAGUAUGGGGGAGAUCCCUCAACAUGCCAAACACACUCCGACUACACCACUCCACGAUUCAGGUACACACUCUACACACUUUACACCUACUUAUAUAUAUAUAUCUUGGAUUAUGCAGAAUACUGUUUCCGACAUGAUAAAUUAAAAAGAUUAAAAUAUUUCUAAUCAUGAUUAAUCUCAAUCUGUGAUAUUUCCUGAAAACUUGCAAUUAUUAUAAAAUCAUUUUAAAAACCCUGUGUUACAUAAGACAGUAUGGAAUGUGAGAUGGUAGAGUAUGAGUUUCUUAUUCUUGAUAUCAUUGUUGCUUGGAGAAUUUAUUUCAAAAUCUUCAAAAUUCUAGCUACCAUCCUCAGUGUUUUAUAUGCCUGAUAAAACUGAAAAUAUUAAUUAUGAUUAUAAAAGCUAUCUACUCUGUAUUGAGUUUGUUCAAAAUGAGUUAGACCCUUGUUGAGAGAUUUAUCAUGCUCCCAAGAUCAAGAUAUUUAUUCAGAAAGAUUCACUCUUCCGAAGUAUUAUUGCAUUAGAGGCAUGGGCUAUGCAAAAAUAAAGAUAUUUUCGAGGAAAUAAAAAGGAGCAAGUGCUCGACAACCUCGCAGAAAAAAAAAUGGACAAGUGUCCAGCAGUAGAAUUAGGGGGACCUCGGUAUCCACUUAAAAAUAAAGAGAGAGAGAAGAAAAAUGAUAGCCCAUGGUCCCUCUAAUAAGCAAUAUGCCAGCAAGAGUUGACAAAGAUUUUAGUUUCCAAAGUCUUUGAUCUAAGAGUGUGACAUUCCCCUCCUCGGAUCCCAUUUUGAUCAGGCAACGAAUGCAAAGUAAGUAUGCUUGAGAAUUUUUUGCAAAUUAAAACAGCCUUAGUAAGAUAUAUAGAAGAUAAUGAGUGAUCUGAGAGAACCUAUGAGGAUAAAAGGUAUGCUAACUUUCUUUCAAAAAUAUACAAAAACUCCAAGUAACAGGAUUGAGAAGAAAGGAUCUUUACUCUUAACCAUUUACUUCCCUGACUAUAGUACACAGUGGAUUUUAACACCCUGUAAAUAUAAAGAAUGUUUUAAAAUGUUUUACCUCAGAUAUUUUUCUUAACCAUCCUUUUCUCGAGGACGAGUAAAAGCCUAAGUAUGAGGGUAUUUGUUGAUGGUUCUUAAGUAUCAAAUUUAAUUAUCAAAUAAACAAGGGAAAGGACCAAUAUGCAACCAACACCUAGAAUUAGGGUUUGAUCUGACAGAAUUCCACGAGUUUUGUUGUUUACCUGUUUCUGCAGGGGGUUAUCAGGAAAUAAGGAAGAAAGACCCACAUGUCGGAUUACAUAGAGAUAUCAACGCACCGUGCGAUUUUCUACCAUCUAGAAGACUCCAGAAGCCACGGGAAGAAGGCAGAGGCCGAAAGGGGCCAGGCCCAGGGCGCGCGCCCUGGUGACCUGGGCGCCCGCCCCCUGCUGGACUCCAUUCAGGACUCUCUUUGCACACGAUGUUCCACCGACCUAUUGGAUCAAGAAUAAUGUAGUACCACCUCGCCUACCGACCCAAAAACGCAUAGAGAAGGAGGACUAUAUAAGGAGACCCCCUGGCCCCUGGAGAAGACAAGAAAUUAUCAUAGAGAUUGAGGGGUGCCCUCGAAGGAAAACCUCUUCUCUAAUUAAUAUUUCUUUUUAGGCUUAGCAACCAAUGUAAAGUAGAAAUAGAUCUUCUAGUUUCUACUAGAUUGAGAGAUAUAGAGUGGAGGUGUAGAUUGGAGGAAGCCCGGCCUGUCGGUGUCUACCCCAAGCUUGUACCUGCGGGAUCAAGUUCUCCUAACCCGAAGCUUGCUCCUAGGAUUCUUCAGUAUUUUGAAUUCUAAAUUCUAGUAAGUUCUUGUUUUAUUGUUCUUCUGGUUUAUGAGUUUACUUUAAUCUCUUCGCGUAGAGUUUAGAGUAAUCAUUGCUGGCGUAAUCAUGGUGUUUAGGCUGGGGUACUCAUAGAUAUUCCCUGACUAGCUGGACUGUGGUAGUAGUGAGGAACGUGACAAUUCUGAGUUACCUUUGCAGACCAUAUCUCGUUAGCAGGAAGGAUAGGGUUUAUAGGUGCGGGUUGAACAUCCUCUGUGGUGUCUAGAUUCCGUUAGCCUCCCCAAUAGAACAGUAGAUCAUCCUUACCAAGGUUAGAAGGAGACUAAGGUUGCAGUCUUCUCUAUUUAUCACUCACAUCGAGAGACAUUCUUUGUUGCCUAAAGGGUUAGUAGUAAUAGACCGGUUAGUCAGAUGCACUCUUUCUCCUAGUGGUAAAAAAAUAAAUACGAUACUGGAUAACCUCCGGGGUGAAGUGCUCACCGAUAUCCGUGCGCUUGCGGAUCAAUUCUUUAUUGCGUUCCCAAAUAUCAACAAUUAAUAGGUAUGCAAAGAACAUAAAAGGAUGACAAAUAACUAAAUGAGAUCUUGUCUAUACGUAAUCACCUGGGACAACAGUGCAACCAUGAGGGCUAUAAUGGCUCUGGCUUUAGCUCAGUAUGAAGACAUUUUCUAGCUUGUUAGAGGUUACCCGAAAGGGUGCUAGAGGGGCCUAACCGUUUUGGGUAUAGUGCGAGCCUCUGUCCUUAUGUGUAUAGGCUACGCGUCAUUGUGCCAUUUGGAAGGGGGCAUCUAUAUCUGCGCGCCCGGGAAACCUUACGGCCCUAACAUGUUAGACGAACUUUUGAAAGGCUUUAUAGUGAUCCCUGCCAACCUUCCUUGGUAGUGGGUUAAGAGGCUGAUCACCUCGGGCAAAAUGGUAAAUCAUGACUCAUGGGUAAAGAUGUACGACCUCUGCAGAGUGUUAAAAACUAGUAUACUAGCCGAGCUCACGGUCAGGAGCGGCCUUGGGAACAUCUACAUUAAGAUGAUGAGCUUAUUAUGUUAUUAUGCUCAUUUGAUUAUCGUUUAUGUUUAGUGUUAAUUAUGCUUACAUUUGAUCAUGUGGUUAUGAGAUUUAACUAUGCUACCUUGACAUUUGCUAUCUAAAUAUGAACAUGCUUUAUACAUAUAAAAGCUAAAUGCAGUCAAACUAGUGUCAGCUAAUUGAGCCUCAUAAACCCCUGGUUAUACUUGUUGAGUACGAUAUGUGCUCACUCUUGCUAUUUCCCACCACUCCAGUUUACUAGUAAGAGUUGAUCAGAAGAGCGAUGGAAUCAUGAAGGAUGUCCUCAGAAUACAAGAAGUGCUAGGCAUAUGUUACCCCCAGUCAACCGUCCCUGUGAAGAUUGAAACUGAAGAUUAGUUACCAUUCCGAUACUAUGACAUAAGUGUUAAUUAUAAGUAUGUUUUCGUUAUGUAACAUUGUUUCUGAUAUUGUUUCUUUCUGUUGUUGUAUGUGUGGACAUCCUGGGCACACAUAUAGCUAGCCUGGUUUUGUUCUUUAAAACCGGGUGUGACACUGCCUGUCAGCAAUCUCAAUAGACUAUGUCAACAUCCAGCUUGGGGGAGAGAAACCCCCGUAUACCGAGCUAAGUAUCUCUUACUUACUCAUCUAUUUAUUCCUAGUGCGUUAUGACAAGAUAAAAAGAUGAAUAACUUUAGAAACCCAAUAAAUAUUUUAUCUUUCAUAAUUAAGCUAUGUUAGCUAAGGAGAGAUCUUAAUGAAUCUGUUAAAAUGAAUCUCUAGAAUAAACUCUUAUAUGAAGAUGAUGAAUAGUUGCUCUACUAUAAUUCUUUGCAAAUAUCUAGUUUUCAACGUUGUACUCUCCUGAGUUUUAGACACAACUAUUUAGACUUAAGAUUUUGCUCUAAGCCUUAACUUUGGGUAGCAAAUGCUUGACCUAAGUCUAGGUAGUUGAUGGAUAUGAUAUGGGAAGGUUUUGAGCUGCUAUUAAUCUUGCUCCCAGAGAUGCUAGAGUUCUGGAGAAAUUUAUUUGAAAAUCUUAAAUUGCUACAUGAUGAGUUCCUUUAUGACGAGGGUUUAAAAUGCCUACCAUAGCCAAAUACUCAUGCUUACUAGAAUAGGAAAACCUCCACUUAUAUUUCAACCUAUAAGCAUUGAGGGUAGUAAACUGUGUAGACCCUAAGAAACUAGUCAUGCCGUUAAAGUCAAUAUUAUGUGAUGUCCAUCCAUUGAUCUUAGCUACUUCUGUCCUCAGAAGUAUGCAACCACUUACAUCCACCACAUUUACUAUAUGCUACUUCUAUUCCUGAAAGUACCACCCACAUAUAUGCACUACACUUUCUGUUGGUUCUAUCCUGGAGACGCACGUAUGCUGCUCGUACCCUGGGAGUACACAUUCCUCUAUUCAUUCACCCAUACACAUUCCACAUCCACAUAGAAAAUAUUCUACUCCUAUACUAGGAGAAGACAACCAAAAAUAUUUGUUAUGUAUUAUUCUACUUAUCCAAUAAAGAAAUAGUUAUUUCAGUUGAUACUCCCUAUUGUUAUCAGUACAUUAAAAAGGACGGCUGAUCUCUAAAAAAAGAGAAAAGGAAGAACAAGGUCCCAAUACAAAAGAACGACAGCCAAGUCCUUAUUCUUAGAUUAGAGAGGUAUGGUAUCCCCAAGGAGAAAUUAUAGAAUUAGAUAUUCACCAUCAGUUAUCACCCAUCAUAACCACUUUCAUUCUUAUCACUCACUGCACUCACAUGCACAUAUGACUUCAUUAUGUAAUUAGUUUCUCUGGAUCCAUGGUUUAACUAUGCAAUACAUGCAAGUAGGUUUAAAUUGUCUUUCCCACCUAUGAGCUCCACAUAAGCCAAUUAGAAGUAGGGUGAGAGAGAGAAGGCAACUAUGCCUUAGUCCUAUAAAUACCACAUUCUGAGAGCAUAGAAAAGGCAUACUCACUUGCCUUGGAGAUGAUCCAAAAAUACUACAUAUGAGAGACUGGAAAGUGUCAUACAAGAAAACUCUGAGUUUUAUUUGAAAACCUUGUAAAAACUCCGGAAUAAUAGUUAAUCAAAGAGCGAGUAACAUAGUGCUCGACUUAACUGUUUUGUCUUUCAACUACCCAAGACCUAAGUGAUAGCUAUAAGCUCCAUGGUAAAAGGUAAUAUGGGUGAGUCUUGAGUCAAAAUAGUUCACUCUAAUCUAGAGGAGAGUCCUUGUUUGAAUGCAUGUGUACUUGUGUGGCGUGAAAGCAUUGUAGCAACUCCUAAUCCAUCACUGAGUCUAUCUUUGCUUAGGGACGAGCAAAAAGUAAGCUUGGGGCAGUUUGUUGAUGGUAGAUAAGUAUUCUUUUUAACCGUCAACAUAGCAUGAGAAAGGACUAAAAUCGUAAUACUAUCUAGCUAUAGGGGUUAUCACUAAUAGAAAUCCACAAGUUUUGGUGAUUAUCGAUUUUUGUAGGUGGUUAUCAGAAUAAGAACAAAAGGAGGUCCACAUGUCACAUUUACAUAGAGAGAAUACGUAAAACAUCAACUCAGGAAUACUCCAGAAGACUCAGGAAGACACCACCUAAAAGGUGGAACCAACCUACCACAGGGUAGGGGCAGGCGCCCCACCUUGUCAGGGUGGCUGCCUAGGGAGCAGAGCCAAUCAGGCUCCACCUCACGGAUCCUGCCUCCACUGACUUUGAGGAUUAAUCUUAAGUGUAUGUUUAAGUCAGUUUGAUCCAAGGGCUGUGGUGCUUUCUAGGGGGCUAUAAAUACAAGCCUGACCCCCUUGAAGAGGAGUUUAUUAUUCUCUAAGAAGAUCAAGAGAAGAAGAAUUAGACAGAGAGGGGUCCCUCGAAUGGAUCUGUCUCUAUAGGGCUCUUAGCCACCAUCUCAAUUAGAUCUCUAUAGUUCCAUAGCAUAGCUCCAUAGAAAUAGAUCUAGAAGCAGUCAAGUUAAUCUUGAGGUCCGGAUCCAUCUUCAGUUCUUGGUAAACUCUUAUUCUUCCUUGUUAUAUUUAUAUUAGUUCUUGCUACUAUGAAUAUGACUUUGAUCUAUUUGAUUAUAUUGGAAUUGACUUUAUUCUAUUUGCUUAUGUUCUCAAUUAUAUUGUUAUUAGUCUACUUUAGUUAUAUGUUUAGCGUAGUUAGAUUAGAAUUAUGUUUAUGCAUAGGAUAAUAUAGCGCUUACUCAUUAGGUCGAUGGGUAAGUGGUAGAUAUUGUGUAGGCGAGGUGCCUAGACCGUAUUUAUCUACGAUUACCUCAUAUAGUCCGGAGCUUGAGGUAGAUCGCGGGGGUGACAGUCCUAUUGAGUCCUCUGUAUUCCUUCUCCAGAUUAUAAGGAUUGUAAAGCACCAUUAUUACAGGAAAGUGAUUGCUAUGUUCAUGAUCUUUCUAGCUAAUUUCACUAUUCAUAGAUAUAAUCUUUUCUAACGAUGAUGUUAAGUGUACUUACACUAUCAUUGUAUGCUUUGACAGUAUAGUUAGAAUACUUAGGAUUUAUUCUUGUAGAUUGUCCUAAUACCAUGCUAGUGUUAUAGACUUAGAGUAAUCUAAUUGAGAUGAUUAUCAUGUUUAUAUUAUGGCUAUGAAUUCUUAUUUAUCAUCUGUCACUUAUUAUUCAUAUUCAUAUAUUUAUCUUAUGUAACGCUUACCCUGCACGAGAGAUAGAUAAAGACAUGGUUAAGAUCUCCAUGACUAACAUGCAGUGCUCAUUGUUCAUUAUCCAUUGCAAGUCCCUUCCCAGUGGUAAAAAUAUAAGUAACGAUACCUGGAAUACUCCUGGUUGAAAUGCUACAUCGGUAUUAUUUGUGCGUUUGCGGAUCCUUUAUUUAUUUAUUCCUAGAAAAGCAUAUAGAUUUAAUACCAGCACUUCUACAUCAUGUUAGGGAUGACAACCUAGCUUAAGUGAUAUUAACUAAUUUUAAUGCCUUGCUAGGGAUAGGUUUAAAAGUCUAUUUUUAGUAGUUGCGUUAAGAAGUGUCAACGUAGGGUCCAGCAAAGAAAGGUUCCUGGAUUCAGCCACUACCCUCACUGGUAGCAGGAACCUGGAAAAUCUUGUGUUCGUUUUCCAUAUGUGACGGUUGAGAGAUAUUCUAUGGUUUUGGACGCUGACAUGAGUUAACGAAGGUGCAUGGUGGGUACAUGCUCCUUGUUGGCCACAUCAAAGUGUCAACACAAAUGUUCAGGCUAAGAACACCUUUUAUUUUUCUGGCAUGUUCUUUGUACCACAAAAGUCACAUCUUACAGAGCCUACACUAGUGGUGUAGCCCCAUGUCUUGGAUCUUUGUCGCAGCAGCAUUCGUCCUUCAUCGGGUUUUUCUUGCUGAUGCAGUGGAAGCCAACACCAGUGUAGCCCCAUCCUCGACAAGCAAGCAAGCACCCAUAAGGUCUGCAAAUUGGGUACUGCCUGCAAUCUAUCUCUGCUCGUGGCGGUGGCAGUUUAUUUUCCUGGCAGCAAUUGAAGCCUACAUAUCCAACAUAAAAAACAUCCAACCAGACAGUAUCAGAGACUUCCUCCUGCAGCACUAGGAGCCUACAUAUCUAACACAUUAAUUUCAUUAAAUUUAUUGGAGCACUAACACUAACUAGUGUUUUGAUAUCAUAAAAAAAUGAAGUAUACAUAAAACUAUGUUUUACCUGAGAGGCUAGCAGCUCGGGAGGAGGGUGACGUAGCAAACAUGAUCCCAAGAACCAAGAACAAUGCAGCCCACAGGUACACAAUCCUUGUCGUAUAGAUCUUGAGUAGUGCCAUGAAGAAGAGAAUCUUGCUACUCUCCUCUUUCUGUGACAAGGAGAAGAUUUCUAAUGUUUGAAUUAUGCAUCUACUGUAAUGAUAUUUAUAGGGAAGAAGAACCAUCCUCAUUUAACAUAUGUAUCUUAAUAAGAUUUAUGUGGUCUAAUAGAUAUAUUGCACUAGUGUUUUGAUAUCUUAAACUAUCUUAUUAUACUACAAUAAAUAUACUUGAGUAUCCAAUCUAAUCCCUUACAAAAAUGUGUUGCCUUACAUUUAUGGUAGCUACUAUAUUAAUUACAUGAGCGCUCGAACAUCUUCUUAGAUGCUAUUAAAUACAUGUAUCUGGAGCAGUCCUGCAGCUGCUGUCGAUUGAGCAGUCACAAUACAAGGAAAAAAUGUCAGGCUGGACCCACUUUUUUUCAUUAAGUAUAUAUUUAGACCCAAAAAAUAGUGUUAAGGAUGUCAAUGUGUCAUCACAUCUAAACCAUCACCACUUGUACCUUGUGAUGUUUUCCCAUAAAUUCAUUAAAAAUGUGUGGACAUUCUACACAACUUAUAUUGAAAAUUUUCUGACCCUUUUAUGAAACCAAAUGUAUGUCACAAAAUAAUUAGUUCAACAUGUGAAAAUACAAUUCUUCACAAAUACCCAAGCCGGACUAUGGUUAGGGUAGGUUUUUUCUGAUGAAACACUACUAUGCUAGAACAAGCAAUCAUUGUUAGGGCCGUUGCCAGUCAUUCUGGAGCCAAUAGUGGUUUCUUAUCACUCGUGGUUCGUAAGCCUAUAGGAUCCAGAAAAUUUAUUGGAAGCGCUAUUCACCCGAAGUCACCAAUCAUUGCCAGCUCAAACCAUCAUCCAUCAGUGAAAUAUGACUGCCGGGUCAUGCGCCAAACAUGUAGUGGUAGGUGUCAAAUUACUGGUAGCUAAGGAUAUGACCCCCAACAUUGAUAUAUUACUGAUAGGUCGUUGUCACACCCAAAUUUAAGGAUAAAUUUGAGUACAAUAAUCUCAUAUGCGCCCCAGGAAUAGUCGCGCACACAAGUCGACAAAUUACAAAUAUAUCAUCACAAGUGUCUUACAUAACAUUAUUACAACACAAAUAUAUCAAAGUCUGCGACAAACGGAAAUAAAACACAUAACUAGCUAAGCUUGGUAGCUCCAAUCACAGGGACAACCGACUGGUGGAUCGCCAACCUAGAAGUCCUCAGGGAAUUCUUCAUAAUAGCUUUCAUCUGUUAUCCAUCCGGGAUUUUUGUCCAAAAAGAAAUAAAGAGACAAGCGUGAGUACAUCUCGUACUCCGCAAGCAUAACAUAGGAUUUUAUGCGGCUCAAAAAGGUCAGACACUGGCUACUGUAGUUAUCAUUUUAAUUGGUCAAUGUUUUAAUCCUAUUUUAUCAUGAAAUAUGCUUAAGUUCCCGAUUAGCCCAAAUGAGUACAUGAUAAUAUCACCGUUAACCUUCACGGCUAACACCAUCACCUUCACGGUUAAACCACAUUAAUCAUCACGAUCAAUGCGUCAGAUUUUCAUAAGUUAUUUCCCCAUAACCAUCCACACCCAACUAUUCCGUAAGGGUCCAAGGCCGCUCAUGUCCGAGAGCACGGCUAGUAUACCAGUUUGAUCAAACUCUGCGCAGAGGUGUGCACUUUUCCCGUAAGUCGUGUUACCCAUAUGCCCGGGGUUUGCAAGACCUACUAACACUGCCAAGGUGAGCGGGCAAGGAACACUAUGAAGCCUUCCAUAGGCCACGUCUAACCAGUUAGGGCCGCGAGGUUUCCUCGGCAGGCAGAUAUAGAGGACCCCCCUUUCCUAUGGCACAUUUCCAUCACGGCUAUACACAUAGGAACAGAAGCAGUUCUAUACCCAAAGUGGCAAGCCCCUCUUGCGCCCUUUCGGGUAACCUCUAACCAGCUUGAUGAGAUCCUACUACUGAGCUAAAGUUAGAGCCAUAUAACCAUCAUGGUUGCACUGUAAGUCCCGGAUAGUCGCUUACAGAGAAGUCCUUACGGAGGGUCUAGGUCAACUUCGGUCAGUUGCACCGUAGCCCUUUUCCCAUUCAUUUGCCAUCAUAUUUAUUAAAGUCAAAGUGAUAGUAAGGUCUCAAUUACUUAAAGCACUAGCAACGCUACCCACAUGCAUUCUACCCAUAGGUGUCAUAAAUAUAUAGUCAGGUGGCUAGGAUGUCCUUAGGGUUAUCAAAAUUAGACACAUGCAGAUGCGUAAUUAAUUAAGUGAAUAGGUGUACAAGGGAAACCCAUGUUAUACUUGCCUUCAGUGAAGGGUAGCUGCUGCUGGUCCUGCUGCUCCUCGGAGUAAAACGGAUCACCCACGGACACGUCACCGUCUGGGCUCGAUCGGUACCACACAACAACACGCAUUCCAAGUUCAAUCAUACAAGCAAACAAUCCUUUAGUUAAAACAGUACACCAACAGAUCAAAAAUGAAAUAAAAUAUUUAAAGACAGAACCUAUGUUUCGCUACGAACACAUAGAUACGAAGAUCACGAAAAUCGGAGCUAAAACGAUCAAGUUACAAAUUUUCGGCGAUUUCCUAUAGGCAUUUAAUUAAUUAAACCUAACCCUGAAAUUAAAAAGUUGCAAACUACAGAAACAAUAGUACUAACAUAUAGAGAAUUUAAUUACGAAUCCAACGCAAUUCGAACGGGUCAAAUCGGAGCUAAAACAAAUAUUUUAUGGCCAAAACAAUGCAGUGGCAAUCUUGUAAAUAAAACAUGAUUUAAUCGGAUUUAAAUAAAUUCAGAAAUUCUAGAAUUUCUCCUGGCCGAGGACUGCGGGUUGAUUAGGGAGAAGUAUAGGGUUUCUUUAGCAAAAUUCACCCACGAAGGGGUAUGGAGCAUCCUGGGCCACUGGAUCGCGAACGGACGGCUAGGAUUAGAAGGGGGAAAGGGGAAGGAGGAGGCCCGCGGCCGGAACAGUGCAAGGGCGGCGGUGCGCCAUGGCCGGCGAGCCAAAACUCGCCGGAGUUGGCCGCGACAGGGCUACGGGGCUCGGUUUUCAAAUUCGACAGCACAGGGAGGUAGAGGAGGGCAAGGGGAGCUUGAUUCCAACCCUUGCGCGUCCGAGGAGGGGCUCGCGCACCACGGUCCGCGGCGGCGCCACUGCCGACCCGCCGGAGCACGCGGUUACAGCGCUAUAACGCAUCAAAACGCGAAGGGAGAAGUGCGGGAGAGAGCGGGGGCGCUGGCGAGCUCACCGGGGAGGAAGAAGGGGACGGGGACGGACCAAAUUCGCGGGGACGCCGUGCAGCGGUUCACGACGGCUUCGACGAUUUCUCUGAGCGCACCAGGAGUGGAAACGGAGGCGAGGAGAGGGGGGAAAUGGGGAGGGGAAGGUGCUCGGGCUCGCGGGCUCUCCACUACUUGUUGAGACACGAGGAAGAGGAGGGAGGUCGUGGGGAAGCGGGGGGCGCGGCUCGGCAGUUCCUGGGAGAGAGAGAAGCGGGGCAGACGGUUGGGGGGAAGAGGGAGCUGACAGGCGGGCCCGCUGUAACAUCCCCGAUGUUACGGUUACUAAAAUUUGGAUCAUGUCAUAAUGAGCAUUGCAUUGCAUACCUGUUAAGCACAUUAUUAUGCAUCCACCUAAAACAAGUUUAUUUUGAAUGGUUGUGCUUAGGGAAUUAAAGUGUGUAUAUGUGGUGUAUGGAUGCUUGUGUUGGGUGCUAAAACCCAAGGGUGAACGAUUCCCGAAAGAUUAGGGGGGAAACCCUGAUUUUUGAACCCUAGAGUUGCCCCCUUUUGUGCAAUUCAAAAACCAAGCAAAAUUUGAGGUUGAGUUCAAAAGCAAAGUUGUAGAUCUUGUCAAGGUGUACAACUUUGGUGUUUUGAGUUUUUGAAGUUUCAUUAUAGAAUUCAAAGUAAUUUUGAAAAUACAGAUUUCCAGAAAGUGUCCCCUUUUCCAAUUUGAACCUCCAAUUCAAAAUCUAUUUGGAAUUUUGAAACGUGACCAACAUGAAAGUUGUAGAGCUCAAAAAGUUGAACAACUUUCAUGUUGGGAGUUUUUCAAGUUGUUUGGAAAAAUCAAAAGUAAUUUUGGAAAUCCUGAUCUGCCCGAAUUAAAAAAUUUGAAUUUUCCCAAAUUGGAUUUUGAACUUCAAACUGUUUGGUCAAAUUCACCAUGUUCCACUCAAAAUUAGCUCUGGUCACCAAAAUAUGAUUUGUAGCUUAUAAAAUUUUGCACAACUUUUAUUUUGGUGGCAAUUUGGCUUUAGUUCAAAUUUUGGUCGAAUUUCACAAAAAACAGAGAAGAGGGGAUAAGGGCCAGCUACAGUGAUCCGAUGAGGAUCACCGGCCCCUGUCCAACGCAGCCGCCGCGCAGGCAGCGCCGCGCGCAUGCGUGCAAGCACGCAGCUGCUUGCUGCCAGUGCCGCCAGGUGACGUGGACGCCCCGGGCUCGCUUCCUCCUCCACUUGAGCCCCAGCGUGGACGACGCCGCCCGAUUUCUCUGCCCACGACCAAGGAACCCCGACGGCUCUCUCUUUCAAAUUCACCGUGCUCAGUCCCUCUCGAGCCAAAUUGAGCACUCCACCGCGUUCGCCACCUCCUUGCGAACCCAGUGCACCCUGAAAGGUCCUUGUUUGGUUUUGGUAAUUGAGUGACAACUUAGGUGGACUAAUAGUGUUUAUAUGAGAUACACAGGAGAUUAGUCCACAGGUGAUUAUGUGAUGAUGGAGGAGCUCAUUGCAUAUGAGACAUGACAUGGAGUCAUGUGACCAAGGUGGAGAAGAUCAAGAUGAGGCUUGGCUCGAUGGACCGGUUGCAAGAGUGAAGGGCAAGUCGGAGGCUUUGAAGCGAGGGACCGCGUGUGACGGUGAAGCUUGAGCAAGACUUGGCGCUGAUGGACCGAGGCAACGGUGAAGAGCAAGUGAGGUCAAGAUCGAUGAACCAAUACGGUCACAUGAUGAUAUGAAGUGGAUCAUAUCAUUUGGUGAUUGGUUGGUGCAUGUGUUGCAUCAACAUUGGAGGAGAUGGAAUGGAAAGCGCAAGGCAAAGGUAUAACCUAGGGCAUUUCCAUUUCACCGGUCAUAGGUGUGUAGAGAAGUUUAUGACCGAAUUUAGGAUAGAUGGCCGUACUAUCAAGAGGGGCAAACUUGUUUGCAUAUCGGUCAUCUAGUGCCACUUGAGCGAUCUAACUUUGCAUACGUGUUAGGAUCGAGUGGCGUGGCAAGUUUGAGAGGCUAACUCCUUUGGGAAAAUGUUUGUGAAAAUGCUAACACACUUGCACAUGGUGGUGUACACUUGGUGGUGUUGGCACAUUUACAAAGGAGGUGGAGUUCCUAGGGUUGAGAGGCGUGUGGGUUCCUCUCUCCCAUUCGGCGCUUUUCGAGAAAAUGAAGUGCAUAUUUUCUAUUGCGCCGGUGGGAAAUUUGGAGAAGUCGCGGGAGUGUUUCUCAGUUGGAAACACUCACCGGACGCUCUGUGCGGAGGCACCGGACGCUGGCCUUUAGCGUCCGGUGUGCUGUCGGGUGUAGCAGAGUGCACCGGACGCACCGGAGUGAGUCCGGUGCUCAGCGUCCGGUGUGCAGGCGGUUUGGCGACCCUCUCUGCGCAUGAGUCCGGUGAGCACCGGACGCUCAGGGUGCGUCCGGUGGCUUGCGUCCGGUGACCGUGCGAGUUUGCGGAGCUCUCUGCGCACGAGUCCGGUGUGCACCGGACGCGUCCGGUGUGGACUAGUUGAGCGUCCAGUGGUGCUGUGUAGGCACGCGUGCGGAGUAGCCGUUAGCGGCAACGGUCGAGUUCAAACGGCUAGUGACACGUGGCUAACGCCUGAGCACCAGACGCUGGGGGUUGAGCGUCCGGUGGCUCCCUGUGAGCGUCCGGUGCCCACGUGUUUUGCCCAGUGAAGGGGCAACGGCUAGUUUAGCCCUUGGGGCUAUAAAUAGAAGUGGUGGCCGGCCUUGGCUGGUGCUGAGCACCCUUGGGACUUAGUGUCCAUGCUUGGGGAGUGCUAGGAAAGCCUCUAACUCACUUGUGCUUGCAAGAGUGUGAAUCAAUAGCGAUUGAGUGAUUCUAGUGCGUUGCAUUGAGAGAUUGCAUCGAGUGGCACUAGGUGUUCGUGUUGCAAGCCGGUGGUGCUUGUUACUCUUGGAGGUUGCCACCUCCUAGACGUCUUGGUCGCUUGUGACUCCGUCGAAGCACGCAAGGAGAUUGUGCGGUGCUCCGGAGAAGAGAUUAUGAGGGGUACGGUGCUCACUCCGCGGGGAUCGCGAAGAGCAACUCUAGUUGAGCGAGACGUGAAGAGCAACAAGUGGUCCGGCCGGGUCAAGUGCUAGAGCUUGUGGUAAGCACACCACGUGGGAGAGUGUGACUUGCGGGUCACCACUAGCAAGAGGACCGGCGGCAACCUUGGAGCUUGUCUCAACGGGGACGUAGCUUGGUGGCAACCAAGUGAACCUCGGGAGAAAAUCAUCGUGUCAACUUUGUUCUUCCCGUUGGUUUGAAAGUCUCUAACACAAGCUUGUAUUUACAUUCAUAUAUUUGUGCUUGUGUAGUUGCUCUUGUAUUUAGUUAGCUUGUGUAGCUUGCUAGUUACCUUCUUGCUUGUGUAGCUAGAAGUAGUUCCCUUGCGUGACUAAUUUGGUUUGUGUAACCUUGUUAGUCACAUUGCUUAGUUUGUGUAGCUAAGUAAGUUGUGCUCUCUAAUUUGGCAUUAGUUGCCUUGUUAUUGAGCUUGCUAGUGAGCUUAGGCUUUGUGCGCUUUGCCUCACUAGUUUGUGUAGGAGCUCCCCCGGUUUGCAAAGUACUAGUUGCAUAGGUUUGUGUGACCUUGCUCCUAGAAUUGUUUAGGUGAGCUCUUGCUAAGGUGGCACCUUGCUUGCUUGUUUAGGAUCUUUUCAAGGUGCUAGAGAACUUAGAUAGAGGGGUGUAGUCUUGGCUAGACCGAUAGUUUUAAUUCCGCAUUUGUUUCGGUUAGCCGGCGUAGUAAAUUUUAGAAAGGACUAUUCACCCCCCCUCUAGUCCGCCAUCUCGACCCUUCGCACCCCCGAGCUCACUCCCUAAUCCACUCAAUCGCCGGAGCCCCUCUGUCUUCUCCAACUCCGGCCGGAACCGCCGCCGUGGAGCUCUUCCCGUGGCCACGGUGUUCCCGUCGGUACAACGCCUCUCUAGCGGCCGUUUCAAGUUCUUUCUGUGCUCCAGUUGCUCAUGCGCUCGCUCCUUCUCCCUGGGCGUGAACAGGUCCACCGGAACGACAUCGCCAAGGCUAGAGCACCCGCCCGACGACACCGCCUCCGUCGCCAGCGACCUUGGCUACUCCCGCGAGCCUUGCAACAUGAGCACCACCCUCUCUAACCUGCGUGGAAGCUCUCUAGCUCGUCCGUUUGCGCUCUACCGAGCUCUAGUGGCCGGUCUACGGGUGACCGCCAUGGCCGCCCGCCUCUUGCGUGGCCGAGGUGGAAGGGAAAGGGUAGAACGAGAGUAGAGGAUGUCGACAGAGUCGCAAAGGCGAGGCGAAGCCGAUGCGCACACGCGCGCGGGCCGGGAACCACGCUAGCGGCGGCCAGAACCGUGGCCGAGCCGCCGUGCGCGGUAGAGACGAAGCUGACAAGUGGGGUCUUCCUGUCAGCGUCUCGCAGAGAGGAGAGGAGGGGGAGCCUGACGAGCGGGACCCGCCCGUCAGCGACCGCCUGAGGAAGGAGGAGGCGCGCGCAGCGCCCGUGUGGGCCGAGCGGGAGCGGGCCGGCCUGCAGGCCGAUUUCCCGGCUGCUCGCUGCGCAGCAGUUUUUCUUUUUCUUUUUGUGCAGUUUUUGCUUUAAGUUUGAUUUGGUGUAGAAAAUUGUAGAUUAAUUCAAAAAUCAUGGAAAUUUUUGUAUAGCUUCCAUAAAAUGAAUAGAACAUAGGAAAAAUAUUAGGUUCUGUUUUCUAAUAGUUUGCAAGUGUAUAAAAAUUACCUCUUUUAUUUAAGGAAUAAAACUUCUAGGAAUUUUAAUAAUUUAUUGAUAUGUCCAAAAAUCACCAAAAUUUGGGGAAUGUCUCUGAGGAUUAUUCCCUGGCUCCACACAAAAUUUGGUGGCAUUGGGAUAAUGUUUGAAUAAAAUAUUAUUAAACCCCUAUUUAGUACUUAAAUAAUAAUUCUAAAAUAAUUAGAUGAUAAUUAGUUAAAUCCUCCUAAUUGGGGUUGAGUGAUUUUGAAAUUGUGUGGUGACCUAAGGUCAUUAACCCUAACGACCUUUGGCAUUUGGUUAUUGUUUGGCACUAAUGCUUAAUUACUGUCAUUAAUAAUUAAUUAAGAAUUAAUUAAGGUAAAUAGGAUUAAUAAGUAAUUAAUUUGGGAUAAUUAUGAAUUAAGAGGAGUCUUAGUUUACAGAUGCAACCUCUUGGGUAAAGACACUGAGUUGAUAAGCAACUUUAAUUACUGUUUAGUCUAUGUUGCACCAAGAAGGCAAGUUGUACUCGACUUAGUCCUUCUUGCAUAUUUGUCAUACGCAUAUCAUGAGCAUUCAUCCUUUUUGCGUAUAGUGCCCGUGACCGAAGGAGCGACCGUUGAACCGAACCCCGAGGUCGGUGCUCCGUUCGAGGAAGUCGGAUCCGAGACUUGGGAAGUCUCCGAGGGUCCCUCUCUGCCCUGCAACCAAGGCAAGCCCCGGAUGCAUUAACCCCUCCUUGAAUGUUUUAAAUCUUUUGUCACUUAUGAAUUGAAAAUGCUGCAUUAGGUAGUUGAGAAUUGGGUUAACCUACUUGCUGCAUUCACUACCUUGAUUUUUGUUAUCUUGUCCUUUGCACCGUUUAUUUUGAAAAUUGCGUAGAGAUGCUUAGCCCUGCUACUAGAUAGGUUUUCAAACAAAGUUUGAAGGGUUGUUGUGGAAUACACUUAUGAUCUAUGAAAUUUCAAUUUGAGACCGGUCGGUGGACUUGCUUUAAGAAUGGAGUCUUAAAGUAGUGUCUCCAACUGUGUCGGUUAAGGACCGUUCCGUUGAUGGCCUGCUGGUUGAGACUUUAUAGUACUAGCCACUUGCCCUCGGUAAGACCAAUUUUGUAAUCCCUCGACGCGAACAGCUACUCGCGCACUACGCGUGGAGCGAUGGCGAGAGUAGUGUGUACCCACCUUACGGAUCUGAGAUGACCGGGAAACAUCUAGAUCGGCUGUAGGAUGGUGGAGUACUGUGCUCUCGGGUGCCGCGAACCUGGUCAAAUUUGGGGAGAGCUUGAUUUGGGUUGACAUAUGCAAGAUUUGGUUCUACAUAUGUCGGGUGGUUAGGAACUCCAGCUGGAUUGCUAAGCGAUUCGAAUCGUCGUUGCUCCCCGAUUGGGAGACUCAAUUCCUUCGACCCUCAUCGUAGAUAAUUAUGCAACUAAGUGAUAAAAUGAGAAAGGGGAAAUUGUCUCAUGAGGUUCGGAUCCCAAUUCCCGGACUCAGAGUGACAUGAAGCUAUGGCCGUUGGAUAGAUAAUACAUUGAAUAAGGACUAGGAGCUCACAGACUUGUCUGUGAGAGGCAACUAGAUAGACUGUCCUCGAACUUCUCAGCCUCUCAAGGAGAGGAAUUCGCUGGUAAAACUUGAAAGUAAGGAUGCACUAUUAGUAAGCUUUUCAGCAAAACACUUUGGCUCCUUGCUCAGCCACUCCUUGUCUACCCUAAGCCUGCAUUCCCUAAUUUCUCCUCUUUUCCUACCGGGUAAGUCUUGUUGAGUACUCCUGUACUCAGGGUUUUAUAACCCCUGUUGCAGGUGAAGCUCAAGACCCGACUUGUUUCAGACCCUGUUGUGUGACCGUCGUCGAGGUUGACGACGAGGAAGAGUGAGCGUGACCCAUGGGCAGGGUCUGUAAAUUUGAAAUCUAUGUUCUAAAGUUUAAGUUGCUCCGCUGGACCAGGCUUGUAAUAACACUUUACUAUUUGGAAGAACUCCAUUUGUAAAUUAAGUUAUGUAAUACUUCCGCUGUUUUACUCUAAAAUUUUAUUUUGAUCGUAUAUCGUCUGUGAUACUGCAACGUCUUCGCAACGAGUGAUCCUGGUGUUAAGGUGGCCACUUGCUAUCCUGUAAGGGAGAGAAGAAGUUCUCGUUAAGUGACCAUCGCUAGUGGUCAGGACGAGUUUGCUUAAUACUCCACAGGUAGCGGUGGGAUGAGCGUCCUGAGGUGUUCAUCGGACUUCUGGAGUGGGAGGAUCCCCGGCGUCACCGUCAGAGGUCCUUGGGACAAUGACAGGUGUCGGUGGGCCCAAACACUUAGGAGGUUCUGCCACACCCGGCCUGUCAGCGGGGAGAGAGAGAGGGAAGGGGGAGCCGGCCAGCUGGGCCUGGCCCAAGAGAAAGGGGGAGGGGGCGCGGGGUAGCCGGGCCCAGAAGGCCGAAAGGGGAAAAUAGGAGGGGGAAACUUCCAGUUUCCUUUUAUAUAUUUUUUAUACCAAAUUUCCAAUUGAAAUUUUGAGCAGGAAAAAGAAAACAAAUAAAACAUUUUGUUUUCCAACCAAUCAUCACAAAAGAAAUGCUCCAGCAUGAAUGCAACAAAAAUUAUUAUUCUAAACUUAUUUUAAAUUUUAAUUUCCCCAAAUUUAUUUAUUUUCCUAUAUUGAAAAUGCUCACAAAAUAAUUCAUUUAAAUUCAAUUCAUCUAUUUAAAAGAAAUAAAUUUUUGGGUGUUACAAUUCUACCCCCCUUAAAAAUAAUCUCGUCCUCGAGAUUGAGACGGUGCUUACUCAAAGAGAUACGGAUAAGAUUGUCUCAGCUCGUCUUCUCUUUCCCAAGUGGCUUCUUCUUCUUUAUAUCGGUGCCACUGCACUUUGCACAUCUUUAUAAUCCGAGUUCGGGUAACUCUUUCUGCGGUUUCUAAGAUCUUGAUUGGAUAUUCCUCAUAAGUUAGAUCUCCUUCAACUGUGAGUUCUUCCAAUGGAAUUUGUUCCUCAGGCACUCGCAAACAUUUCUUCAGUUGCGACACAUGGAACACAUCGUGAAUACCUGACAUACCCACAGGCAACUCUAACUGAUAGGCCACUUCUCCACAUCUCCUAAGAAUUCUGAACGGUCCAACGUACCUUGGUGCCAAUUUACCCUUCAUAUUAAACCUCCUGACACUUCUCAUAGGUGACACCUUCAAGUACACAUAGUCGCCUAUCUCGAAUGCCAAAUCUCUUCUAGUAUCAGCAUAACUCUUUUGUCGAGACUGGGCUACUCUCAAGUUGUCCCAUAUUUUCCGUACUUGUUCCUCAGCAUCUCUAAGAACAUCUGGUCCAAAUACUUGACUCUCACCAGUUUGAUUCCAAAACAAAGGUGUUCUACAUUUCCGCCCAUACAAUGCUCCAAACGGUGCCAUAUCGAGACUUUUCUGGUAACUAUUAUUAUAUGAAAAUUCAGCAUAUGGCAAACUAGUGUCCCAACUGGUACCAUACUGUAACGCACAUGCUCUCAACAUGUCUUCUAGAAUCUGAUUUACUCUUUCAGUCUGCCCAUCGUUUUGGGGAUGAUACGCGGAACUAAAGUUCAACUUUGUUCCCAAUGAUUCAUGUACUUUAUGCCAAAACUGUGAUGUGAACUGUGUACCCCGAUCAGACACGAUCUUCUUCGGAACUUCGUGCAGACUCACGAUUCUAUCCAUAUAUAAUUUUGCCAAGUUUGCACCAUCAUAGUUGGUCUUAACGGGCAAAAAGUGAGCAACUUUAGUGAGUCAAUCCACUAUUACCCAAAUUGAAUCAUACCCACGCUGAGUGCGGGGCAAUCCUGUGAUGAAAUCCAUACCUACUUCUUCCCAUUUCCAUUCACGCACUUGCAUUGGCUGCAACAACCCUGCAGGUCUUUGGUGCUCAGCUUUCACCCUCUGACAAGUGUCACAUAUGGCUAAAUACUCAGCCACAUCUUUCUUUAAUCCAUACCACCAAUAUUUUUCUUUAAGAUCUAGAUACAUCUUGGUGCUUCCGGGGUGAAUUGAAUAUGCAGAGUCAUGUGCUUCACGUAGGAUUGCAUCUUGGAUGGAUUUUACUUCAGGCACACAUAUCCUCUUCCCAAACCAUAGUGUACCAUUUUCAUCCAACCUGAAACCUGGUGCUUUUCCAAGCACUACAUUCUCUAAAAUUUCUUUUAAUUUCUCAUCCUCCAACUGACCAUUGCGGAUUUCUUGCUCUAGGGUGGGCUCUAACUCCAAUUCAACAGUGUUGUUCACUAAACCCAAUUUGAGAUGCUCUAUUUCAGCUAGCAACUCUGUGGGAAUGAAGGUCAAUUGCAUCCCAUUGGCAUAACUCUUUCGACUAAGUGCAUCGGCAACAAAGUUUGCCUUCCCGGGAUGGUAAUGCACUUCCAGGUUAUAAUCCUUUAUUAAUUCUAGCCAGCGGCGUUGCCUUAGGUUCAGAUCCGACUGUGUGAAAAUAUACUUCAAACUUUUGUAAUCCGUAUAAAUAUCACACUUGUGCCCAAUUAAAUAAUGCCUCCAAAUCUUUAGAGCAUGAACCACGGCAGCUAGCUCCAAAUCAUGAGUAGGAUAGUUCAGCUCAUGUUUUCUCAACUGCCUGGAUGCAUAGGCCACUACUCUUCCUUCCUGCAUAAGCACACAUCCAAGGCCUAGGCGAGAUGCAUCGCAAUAAAUAGAGAAGGUUUUACUCAAAUCUGGGAAGGUCAACACUAGAGCUGUGGUCAACCUUUUCUUUAGCUCCUCAAAAUUCUCUUGGCACUUAUCUCACAAAAUAAAUUUGGCACUCUUCUCUAGUAGGGCUGUCAUGGGCUUUGCUAACUUAGAGAAGCCUUCAAUAAAUCUUCUAUAAUACCCAGCUAAUCCCAGAAAGCUACGGAUCUCACUAGCAUUGGUUGGAGGCUUCCAAUUUAGCACAUCCUGCACUUUACUGGGGUCUACGGCUAUUCCACCGUUAGAGACCACAUGUCCCAAAAAUGAGACCUCAUCCAACCAAAACUCACACUUGCUUUUCUUGGCAUACAAUUUAUUCUCUCUAAGCUUUUGCAAGACCAGUCUCAAAUGUUCAGCAUGUUCUUCUUUUGUUUUGGAGAAGAUUAGUAUAUCAUCAAUGAAUACUACCACGAACUUAUCCAAGUACUCCAUGAACACCUUGUUCAUCAUAUACAUGAAGUAUGCAGGUGCAUUGGUCAGCCCAAAUGACAUGAUUGUAUACUCAUACAAGCCAUACCUUGUGGUAAAAGUCGUCUUAGGUAUGUCAGUUGCACAGAUUUUCAACUGGUGGUAGCCAGAUCGGAGGUCAAUUUUGGAGAACACACAUGCUCCUUUCAGUUGGUCAAAUAAGUCAUCUAUUCUAGGCAGUGGGUACUUGUUUUUAAUAGUGACUUCAUUUAAUGACCAAUAAUCCACACACAUCCUCCUAGUGCCAUCUUUCUUAUCAACAAAGAUUGCCGGUGCACCCCAUGGUGAAGAACUAGGACGAAUAAACCCUUUUUCUUGCAAUUCCUUAAGCUGUUUCUUAAGUUCCUCUAAUUCAUUUACCCCCAUUCUAUAUGGUCUUUUCGCUAUGGGUGCAGUUCCAGGUAAAAGCUCAAUAAGAAAUUCAAUGUCUCGGUCCGGUGGCAUACCUGGCAACUCGUCCGGGAACACAUCUAGGAACUCAUCCACCACCCGGUCUUCUUGAUUACCACCACUCAACUGAUUAACUGUAGUAGUCGGCUAAGGUUGUACUGCCACAUCCACACUUAUUCUGUCCCCACCUGGUGAUGUCACAACCACAGACCUCUCCUAACACUGAAUUACUGCCCCAUGCUGCUUCAUCCAAUCCAUUCCAAGUAUAAGGUCAAUUCGCAUGGUUCUUAACACAAUAGGUUUCACCUUGAAAUCUACCCCCUUAGAGAUAUACUAGUGGAGGGGCUCCAGUAAUUAGCUGGCAUGGUGCCACCCGGUGAAUUUACUAGCAUAGAAUUUUUCAGAGCACAAAGUCGGAUGCUAUGCACUCUAACAAAUGCUUGGGAGAUAAAUGAAUGUGAAGCACCAGAAUCAAACAGUACGGUAGCGGGGAUGGAGUUGAUGUUGAACGUACCCAUCAUAACCUCAGGUGCUUCCUGAGUUGUGUCAGUGGACACACGAUUUACUUUCCCAGAGAACGGAGGUCGAGCAGGCCUCUGAUUGCUGUUCUGGUUUUGCUGGGCUGGUGGAUUCUGCUUCUUGGGGCACUGGUAGGCAUAGUGUCCCACCUCUCUGCAGCGGUAACAGGCAUUGGGGUUGCCGCUGGGUGCUGCACUCUUGCCAGGAGCAUUGUUGGGCACUCCUUGGCGUGGUGCUUGGUUGCUGACCUGUUGCUGGGGGCGUUGCUAAUUCUGGUUGCCAUACUGCUGCUGGGGACGUUGUUGGUUCUGGUGGUUGUACUGAUGGUGGUACGGAGGACGCUGAGGAAACUGACCACGGUUCCACUGAUUUGGCGGUCCUUGACUGCGCUGAGGGAAUCCGUACUGAGGGUACGCACGUGGGCGAGUGUUGCUGCCCGACGGCUGCCCCUGGAGCUUUCUCUUCUUUGCAUCCAUCUCCUUGCGCUUGUUGUCGAUGACAAUAGCGCGGUUCACUAAUUCUUGAAAACAAGGGUAGGUGUUGCUCAUCAGCUGCAGCUGCAGUCCAUCAUACAAACCCUUCAGGAAGAGACGCUGCUUGUCAGAGUCCCUGGCCACCUCAUAUGGAGCAUAUCGUGACAGUUGAGCAAACUUGUCACGAUACUCACUGACUGACAUCGAUCCCUGCUUGAGAGACCGGAACUCUUCUGCUUUCAAUUCUAUCAGGCCCUUUGGAAUAUGAUGGGACCUGAACCCUUCAGUAAACUCCUUCCAGGUGACUGGCGGAGCAUUGUUCGGGCAUCCAUAUUGAUAGGACUCCCACCACUCCUGUGCAGGUCCUUGCAGUUGGCCUGAUGCGUACAACACUUUCUCCAGGUCGCUGCAUUGGGCUAUGUUCAACUGCUUUUCGACUGCUUUUAACCAGUCGUCUGCCUCCAGUGGAUCAGAGGCAUGGGUGAACACCAGGGGACGUCCCUUCAAGAACUCCCCACGCUUGUCAUGGACUUGAACCGGCGGUGGUGCUGCUACUGGUUCAUUGUCCAUACGGUUCAUCAUGGCUUGCAUCAGAUUAGCUUGCAUACCCAUGAGCUGCUCAAUAGUCAUCGGCGGCGGCAGUGGUGGUGGAUUCUCAGGUACACCACGUCCACGGCCACGACCACGGCCACGGCCACGUCCACGACCAGCGACUGCUCCUUCGGCGUCCAUCUGCUUCCAACAAAGAUUCACGGCUUUUAGUGAUCUUCCAAAAUAAUUAUUCAUCGCUUAUAAUGAAUAAAAACAAGACUAGCAGUUUUCUGGACAAGUUUCAAACUCAGCAGGUCAGUAAUCCAUGGUUAUCUCAGAAUCUAGAGGUCCAAUAGGAACAUGAUAUACAUCGUUGGAAAGGUUAAGAAAUUCUCUACAAACUUUAUUUAGACCACAUUUACUGGUUCCAACCGUAAAAUAAUCAAAAUUGUGGUUUAUCAGGUUCUGCUCUGGUUCUCAGUCUGCGCAGGUACAGCAGAUUAAAUCAGACAUAUCUCAUAGACCCGAACAGAUAAUGAGGUGAUUCCAGUUGGAAAUAAAAAAUAUACCAGUCUAGUUUUCACCAUAAAAAUUUCGUAAUUUUUGACUGAACCAAUUAUGAGAUACAGAAUAAACAUCACAGACUGCUCCAGAAACAGCACGACUGAGACAGAGAAUAAGUAACCCAACCUCACAUUAAGCAACAUUUACUUCUAAGAUUAAGGUUUAGAAACAUGCGGACAGGCCCACAUGUUUCCACAAUCAAACAAAACUCCAAAUCAUAAUUGUUCAUCAUCACAAACAGCAACACACUAAAGUUCACAUGCCACACAUUACUGAAAUACUCGUGCUAACGUCUAACUAGAAGGUAUUGGGAAAUCUAGGGAGCUCUAUCCUGCAGAACGAACUUGUGGGCUUCUUCUUGUUGAUGGGUGGCUGUCCAAGCUGACCACGCAGCUCAUCCACCUGGCGCUGGAGGCGCUUCCCCGCUUGCUGUGCAACACGCAGCUCCUGCCUCAGUGCCACAUUCAUCUCAACGUGUCUCACAGUCGUAUCCAGGGUAGGGUCACCGGCAGGAGGUGCCACGACAUGCCAUGUCCUGCCAUCUGGGUCGUUGCGGGGAAGGAACCGGUACCUAUCCUCCUGCAUGGCCUCAAAACGGCGGACGUGGUAGUGAAAGUACGCAGGUUGGGCUGCAUCCUCCAUGCUCUCAUAGGCGGAAGCACGCCUAACCCUGCUCUCAUGGAUGGACUCCAUCUCAUCCGAGUUGUCGACGUUGUUCCGAGCUGUGAUGAUCACCUCGGCCUUCCAGUAGGUGUUCUCCAACGGGUGCUUGUGCUCCGAGCAAAGGUAGCGGACGGUGGCAGCAAACUCCGGGUAGUAGCUCGCCAACACACCCGUGAGCAGAGUGUGGUAGUGAGUGUCCUCGUCAGCCACCAUGAACUUGUUCCUGGAGGUCCAUCCCAUCUCCGGAACAACCUGUGGGUGCUGAGGCGUCGGUGCUGAACCCAUCGACGCGUGGGGUGCAGGCGCAGGUGGUGCAGGCGCAGGUGGAGCAGGCGCAGGUGGUGCUGGAGCGGCGGCCUGCGGAAUCGGUACUGCCACCGGAGUAGGCGCUGAAGGUGUAGGCGUAGGAGACCCCGUGUCCUUAGGCUCCUCCUCCUCGCCGCCACCAGAGGCGAUGACCUCGGGCUCAGGUAGGUGCAGGUACUGGUGCUAGUGCUGGUGCAACUAGCGAAGCACGGUCGGCGGUGAAGAGGGCACGGUACGCGGCUGCGCUGCGACGAGGUAUCUAUAAAUUUUAUUUUAAGAAUUAGAAUCAAUAUGUUUACAUAAAUAGAACAGUGGGUAAGAAUAUAUAAAAUUUUAAUAAAAUAACAAGAAAGCAAAGUAAGCAGUGAAAUAAAUAAAGCAAAAAUAAAAACCCUAAAAUCGACUGUUUCUACCUAGGUUUGUGUCCUACAGUCAGCCUUACUUUGAUACCAAUUUGUCACACCCAAAUUUAAGGAUAAAUUUGAGUACAAUAAUCUCAUGUGCUCCCCAGGAAUAGUCGCGCACACAAGUCGACAAAUUACAAAUGUAUCAUCACAAGUGUCUUACAUAACAUUAUUACAACACAAAUAUAUCAAUGUCUGCGACAAACGGAAAUAAAACACAUAACUCUAAGCUUGGUAGCUCCAAUCACAGGGACGACCGACUGGUGGAUCGCCAACCUAGAAGUCCUCAGGGAAUUCUUCAUAAUAGCUUUCAUUUGUUACCCAUCCGGGAUUUUUGUCCAAAAAGAAAUAAAGAGACAAGCGUGAGUACAUCUCGUACUCCGCAAGCAUAACAUAGGAUUUUAUGCGGCUCAAAAAGGUCAGACACUGGCUACUGGAGUUAGCAUUUUAAUUGGUCAAUGUUUUAAUCCUAUUUUAUCAUGAAAUAUGCUUAAGUUCCCGAUUAGCCCAAAUGAGUACAUGAUUUUUUUAGAUAAAGGAUAUACCAUCCGGCCUCUAUAUCCGAGGAUGUACACAGCCCAGUAUUACAGAGUUUGAUAUGAGAAAAACAAAGAGAGCCAAAGUCCUAUACAUGGACUAGGACGCUAGUUUAAACAAUAUAAAUGUUUCCAUCCUUUAUUGGAUAUCUCUAAAGCAAUUACUUCUAAUUUCUUGCUUAUCUUGGAGAGCACGUCCUUGGCUGUCUCAACAAGCUGCAGCUGAGCCCAAAAGCGUAACCAGUACGCUCCCCUAAAAAUUACCUGCAUAAUAGAGUUAGUUUUCAUUUUAUUAAAAACAUAAUCAUUGCGGCAUCUCCAGAUAGCCCAAAGCAAAGCAGCCACCCCCACCCAAAUCAGAUUUCUAAUCUUUUUAUUUUGAUUAGAUAGCCAAGUACCAAACAUGUGGCUGAUUGAUCUAGGUUGGGUCAAACUAGUAGCAAAGAAGAUAAGCCUCCAAAUCAUUUUGGUGAAGGGACAGUCUAGGAAUAAAUGUUGAAUAGUUUCAUUCCCAUUACAGCAAAUGCACUUCUGACUCCCUUUCCAAUUUUUCCUAGCAAGGUUGUCUUUGGUUAGGACGACACCCCUUUGCAGGAACCAGAGAAAAAUUUUAAUUUUUAGAGGUACCUUUAUCUUCCAUAUCUUCCUAUGCCGAAAGGGUGUAUGUGUAUCUAUAAGAUUGAGAUACAAGGAACGGACAGAGAAUAACCCAGAUCUGGUUAAACUCCAUCUGAAAUAAUCUGAACCAUCCACCAAUUCGACAUGGGAUAUCUUUGCCACUAGACUAAGCCAAUUUGUAAGUUUAUUAUCCACCAAGGCUCUCCUAAAAGAUAUGUUCAGAGGGUUCGUACUCAUCACUUUUGAGACUGUGGCGUGAGGAUCUCUCACUAUGUUGUAUAAAGAUGGAUAACUAGCUUUCAGAGACUUAGCCCCUACCCAUGUAUCUUCCCAAAACCUAGUUGCGGUUCCAUCAUUAAUAUGAAAAGAACAUUUUGCCAACACCUCAUCUUUGAUACGCAUGAGGCCUCUCCAAAAAUGGGAGUCAUUGGGCUUAGCUGUCGCCUGGGAUAGGCUUUUGGAGUUUAGGUAUUUAUUCCUUAAAAGCGUUUGCCAUAUACCUUCUGUAUUCAAUAGAUUAACUAGCCAUUUGGCUAGGAGGCACUUGUUUUGCAAUUGUAAAUUUAGGAUACCUAAUCCUCCUUGAUCCUUAGGGCGGCACAGGAUGUCCCAUUUGGCAAGGCGAUAUUUAUGUUUGUCAGAAGAUCCUUGCCAAAAGAACCUUGAUCUAUAAUGAUCUAGGUUCUUUAAGACUCCCUUGGGAAUCUCAAAGAAGGACAUCAUGAACAUCGACAGGCUACUUAGGACUGAAUUAAGCAGUACUAGUCUUCCCCCAUAAGACAGGUACUUCGCUUUCCAGCAAGAGAGUUUCUGUUUGAAACGAUCUUCUACUUUUCUCCAUUCAGAAUUAAGGAGUUGUCUAUGAUGCAUAGGGAUCCCAAGAUAUCGGAAGGGAUAUUCACCAGUAUUGCAUCCAAAGAGACUAUUAUAAAAGGAUUCCAUCUCUUUAGCAGCUCCAUAGCAGAAGACUUCGCUCUUGUGGAAAUUGAUCUUCAGCCCUGAUAGCUGUUCAAAAGCACAAAGCAACAGUUUCAAAUUCUAUGCUUGUUCGAGGUUGUGGUCAAUAAAGAUAAUGGUGUCAUCUGCAUACUGUAAUAUGGACAGACCAUCAUCUAUAAGGUGGGGUAUAACACCUCUUAUCUGACCGUCGGCUUUUGCUCUGUUAAUAAGGAGAGCUAGCAUAUCUACGACGAUGUUCAAUAAGAUUGGUGACAUUGGAUCUCCCUGUCUGAGUUCACGUUUGGCUGGAAGUAGGGCCCUAUGUCAUCAUUGACUUUGAUUCACACACUCCCACCUGUGACCAUAGUUUCUACCCAUCGACACCAUUUGGGAGAGAAACCUUUCAUACGUAGCGUUUGUUGUAAAAAAGACCACUUCACUUUGUCGUAUGCCUCUUCAAAAUCAAUUUUGAAAAUGACACCAUCUCUCAUUUUAGUGUGAAGCUCAUGGAUGGUUUCGUGUAAGAUGACGACCCCCUCCAUUAUAUUCCUGCCUGGCAUAAAGGCAGUUUGUGUUGGUCUCACUACAGUUUUGGCUACCAUAUUAAGCCUAUUUGUGCCCACUUUAGUAAAAAUUUUAAAGCUCACAUUAAGAACACAAAUUGGCCUGUAUUGCUGAAUUUUUAUGGCAUUAUUAACUUUUGGGAUUAAGGUAAUAAUACCAAAAUUCAGACUAUAUAGGUCAAGAGUCUCCCUAUGCAGCUCAGUGAAUAAGGGAAGGAGAUCAUCCUUUAUCACUUCCCAAAACACCUGAUAGAAUUCCACUGGAAAACCAUCUAGUCCUGGAGUUUUAUUAUGCUCCAUUUGGAAGACCGCAUCCCUCACUUCAGAUUCAGUGAAAGGGCUAAUGAGGAUGUCAUUUUCCUCCGGAGAUACCUGUGGAAUAUCUAGGAUUUGGUCUUCCCUAAGGGAAAGCUCUACACUCUUCGGCUGUCCAAAGAGUUCUUUAUAGUAAGUCGUAAUAUGUCUUAUGAGAUUAUAAUCUCCUAUCACAGCACCUUGAUCAUUCUCAAGUUUAUAGAUAUGCUGCUUGCGAUGUUUCCCGUUGGCCACUAAAUGAAAGAACCGAGUGUUAGCAUCCCCUUCCAAUAGGGUUUUAACUUUGGCUCUCUGGUACCAUUUCAGUUCCUCCUCUCUCAGAAGGUUAACCAAACGCUCUUUUAGAUAAUGCUUCAGAUUGAUCUCUUGAUCACAUAAAGGAGAGAUCUCAGCUUUCUUAUCAAUUAUCUCUAAAAGAGCUAACAGAGUCUUUUUUUUCUUUUUGAUAUGACCCUGCUGUGUGUUUUGCCCAUCCCCUUAGAUAUUGGCGGAGUCUACGAAUUUUAAACUGCCAUCGUUCAAGGGGAGUUGACCCAGAGCAUGGAGAUUGCCAAAUAUUUGCAACCAUAUCAUAAAAUCCAUCUCUUAUCAACCAUCCUCUCUCAAAUUUGAAAGGACUAUUGUGGGCCUGGUGGGUAUGGUCUGAAAUAUUACCAUCCCUUGGUUCUACUGUGGUUAAUGGAAACAUGAUCUCCAUUUCUGUGGUAACUAGGACUCUAUCCAACUUUUCAAAAGUUGGAUUAUCCCCUGGGCCAGUCCAUGUGUAUUGGCGGCCAGUCAUAGUAAUCUCCUUAAGAUCUAGAGAUUCAAUAAUAGCAUUAAAAAGAUCUGGCCAUUUAGGGUCAAAGUCCCCAGUACUUUUAUCUUCAGGGCAUCGCAUAAUAUUAAAAUCCCCUCCUAUGAUAUAUGGUAGGGAUUCUUUAGAGCACGUGUUAGCCAUUUCAACUAGGAAAUCACGCUUAUGCUGGAGUUGUGCUGGUCCAUAGACCGAAUAUAGCACAAACUUAAAGUCAUUUGAUUUGACUCUAAGGGUGAAUUUUACAUAGUAGUCUCCCUCCACAAUAGCUCCAAUGUCAAAGACAUUCAUGUCCACACCUAGCAAGAUAACCCCCCGACCUACCGUGGGGUGCCAUAGUGUGCCAAAGGAAAUCAUGUCCUCCACAAAGAUUUUUAAGAACAUGAUCUGGGAAUGAGUCCCGCCCUGUUUCGGAAAGCGCAAUAAAAUUAAUCUGCUCUUCCUUAACUAGUUCAGCCAAAUACCUAUGCUUAGCCAAGUCUCCCAGACCUCUGCUAUUCCAGAAGACACCCUUCAUUUUAUGAUAAUUUUGGAAGGGGUUUUUAGUUUUUUAGGAAGUUUGCCUUUCAAAGUAUUUUUGGCAUUAUUGUAUUUUUCUUCCUUGGGAGUGGAGAGAGAUCGAUUAAUUGAUCACUCUCGUCCUCCAGCAAAUUCCCAUUUAAAUUACCACAGGCGUGGCUGAGAAUUGCAUCAAUUUGGCUUUCUCGCUCAUCAUCACUCUCAAAAUUGGAGAGUCUAGAUUUGAUAGAGCAUUUUUUUCAUUAGCACAUAAAACCAACCAAUCUACCUCUAAGUUUUUAAAACACAGAACGUCUGAGGUAUCUAGGUUGAUGCCUAUCCUACCAAGGUUUGAAAUAACUUUAGGAUCUGGAAAGCUAGCGAAAGAGUUACCUGGAAAUUUGAAGUUCUUUUUCGCUGCCAUCCGUUCAACCUUGUGCAAAUCAUCCUGAAGAUUACCUAUGAAUUCAAGGUUCUUCUUUGCCGUCAGUCGUUCGGACUUCUGUAGGGUAUGGACGUCAGCCAUCGCCGCAAUCCUGGAGCUCCGUUGCAACUCUUUAAUAGGAGGAGCAGCCGCUGGGGGUUUGAAAACCCCCACUGUCGGUGAAGCCUUGGCCAGCUGCGAAGGAGAUGGAGGGGACCUGGGUAGCGACGCAGCAGCAGCCGUCGGUGAGCAGGUCGCGGGCGUUAGGGGGGCCAUGUCCGACAUCCCCCCCUCCUCCAGCGUAGCAGGCAGCGAAGGAGAUGAGGAAGCAGCGAGCGGCGUGCCGUCCUCCUGUUGCGAAGCAACUAGCAAGGGGGAAGAGGGCGCAUCCCCCUCCUUGACGGCCCCCUUUGGCAUGGUUGCUGCAGGCGUCGGGUCCACGGGUGGGGAAGCUUUGCCCUCUGUCGUCUCGGCGGCAGGGGGGAGGAUGGCGAUCGAAGCACCCACCUCCCCAUCAGACGGUGUUGUGGCCAUGGUGCCACUUGGAGCAGUGGGCGAGGGGGCACUGAACAGGAUCACGCCCCCCCCAGCUCAUCGAUGGCAGUGUCCCCAGAGGUCGGUGAAGUAGAAGGCGAGGGGGUAGAUGAUGAAGCACCCCUUCUCCCUUCUGCAGGCGCAGGGCCAUCCCACACCUCAGCAGGGCGCGGAGUCGGCUGAGGCGAGGUAGGCGCUGCGUGCUCCCCGGUCGGUGGGGAGGCUGGGGGCUCCUCAGGCGGGGUCGGUGCAGCGUGCUCCCCAGUCGGUGGAACGGCUGGGAGAGCAGGCAUACCAACUACGGCAUGGGAGCUGCUGCCUAGGGGGCUCUCGCCACCCAGCUCGUCAACGGCGUCGGUCCUGUCCUUCAGCGGUGGAUGGCCAGGGGAGGCUUCAUGGCCACUGCCAUCCCCGUCGGCUAGAGAGGCCACGGGCAGCUCCCCCCCAGCUGCUGCUUCGUUUGUUGGGGUAGAGAGCGCUUUGUCCAUUCCACAUCUUGCCGGGCUGGAAUAAUCCAGAAGUGGUGCACCCAAGGACAGUGAGUCCGUGCCAAGAAGAGGGGCGGUAGGCGCUGAAGAACCCCCCAACUCAGCGUGGUCUGUCGGCGUCUCCAGAGAUGACACAAAAAUAGAAGAAAGGUGAGUUUUGUUAUGAGAAUCAACAAGCCCAUUAUAAUCUGCCAGUUCUUCUGUUGUCGGAGGAGAAAAUUUUUUCCCCAUCUCUCCGUCAUCUUUUUCCACCAUGACCUUAAGGCUAAUCUCAUUUAUAAGCUGCGAGCAUGCCAGAUCCAGGGCCUCUUUCACCAAAGCCUCCUACUUCUGCGUUGGCACAUUAUGCAGAGGUGCUGGAGCUGCCUCCGAGGCCUUCGAAUUAUUCUGGGGAUGAUAGCAAUUGGUUCCUUCACCAUCACGGUUAAACCACAUUAAUCAUCACGAUCAAUGCGUCAGAUUUUCAUGUUAUUUCCCCAUAACCAUCCACACCCAACUAUUCCGUAAGGGUCCAAGGCCGCUCAAGUCCGAGAGCACGGCUAGUAUACCAGUUUGAUCAAACUCUGCGCAGAGGUGUGCACUUUUCCUGUAAGUCGUGUUACCCAUAUGCCCGGGGUUUGCAAGACCCACUUACACUGCCAAGGUGAGCGGGCAAGGAACACUAUGAAGCCUUCCAUAGGCCACGCCUAACCAGUUAGGGCCGUGAGGUUUCCUCAGCAGGCAGAUAUAGAGGAACCCUCUUUCCUAUCGCACAUUUCCAUCACGGCUAUACACAUAGGAACAAAAGCAGUUCUAUACCCAAAGUGGAAAGCCCCUCUUGCGCCCUUUCGGGUAACCUCUAACAAGCUAGAUGAGAUCCUACUACUGAGCUAAAGUUAGAGCCAUAUAACCAUCACGGUUGCACCUUAGCCCUUUUCCCAUUCAUUUGCCAUCAUAUUAAUUAAAGUCAGAGUGAUAGUAAGGUCUCAAUUACUUAAAGCACUAGCAACGCUACCCACAUGCAUUCUACCCAUAGAUGUCAUAAAUAUAUAGUCAGGUGGCUAGGAUGUCCUUAGGGUUAUCAAAAUUAGACACAUGCAGAUGCGUAAUUAAUUAAGUGAAUAGGUGUACAAGGGAAACCCAUGUUAUACUUGCCUUCGGUGAAGGGAAGCUGCUGCUGGUCCUGCUGCUCCUCGGAGUAAAACGGAUCACCCACGGACACGUCACCGUCUACGCUCGAUCGGUACCACACAACAACACGCAUUCCAAGUUCAAUCAUACAAGCAAAACAAUCCUUUAGUUAGAACAGUACACCAACAGAUCAAAAAUGAAAUAAAAUAUUUAAAAACAGAACCUACGUUUCGCUACGAACACACAGAUACGAAGAUCACGAAAAUCAGAGCUAAAACGAUCAAGUUACGAAUUUUCGGCGAUUUCCUAUAGGCAUUUAAUUAAUUAAACCUAAUCCUAAAAUAAAAAGUUGCAAACUACAGAAACAAUAGUACUAACAUAUAGAGAAUUUAAUUACGAAUCCAACGCAAUUCGAACGGGUCAAAUCAGAGCUAAAACGAAUAUUUUAUGGCCAAAACAAUGUAGUGGCAAUCUUGUAAAUAAAACAUGAUUUAAUCGGAUUUAAAUAAAUUCAGAAAUUCUAGAAUUUCUCCUAGCCGAGGACUGCGGGUUGAUUAGGGAGAAGUAUAGGGUUUCUUUAGCAAAAUUCACCCACGAAGGGGUAUGGAGCAUCCUGGGCCACUGGAUCGCGAACGGACGGCCAGGAUUAGAAGGGGGAAAGGGGAAGGAGGAGGCCGGCGGCUGGAACAGUGCAAGGGCGGCGGCGCGCCAUGGCCGGCAAGCCAAAACUCGCCGGAGUUGGCCGCGACAGGGCUACGGGGCUCGGUUUUCAAAUUCGACAGCACAGGGAGGUAGAGGAGGGCGAGGGGAGCUUGAUUCCAACCCUUGCGUGGCCGGGGAGGGGCUCGCGCACCACGGUCCGCGGCGGCGCCAUUGCCGACCCGCCGGAGCACGCGGUUACAGCGCUAUAACGCAUCAAAACGCGAAGGGAGAAGUGCGGGAGAGAGCGGGGGCGCUGGCGAGCUCACCGGGGAGGAAGAAGGGGACGGGGACGGACCAAAUUCGCGGGGACACCGCGCAGCAGUUCACGACGGCUUCGACGAUUUCUCUGAGCGCACCAGCAGUGGAAACGGAGGCGAGGAGAGGGGGGGAAAUGGGGAGGGGAAGGUGCUCGGGCGCGCGGGCUCUCCACUACUUGCUGAUAUGCGGGGAAGAGGAGGGAGGUCGUGGGGAAGCGGGGGGCGCGGCUCGGCAGUUCGUGGGAGAGAGCGAAGCGGGGCAGACGGUUGGGGGGAAGAGGGAGCUGACAGGCGGGCCCGGCCUGUCAGCGGGGAGAGAGAGGGAAGGGGGAGCCGGCCAGCUGGGCCUGGCCCAAGAGAAAGGGGGAGGGGGCGCGGGGUAGCCGGGCCAGAAGGCUGAAAGGGGAAAAGAGGAGGGGGAAAAUUCCAGUUUCCUUUUAUAUAUUUUUUAUACCAAAUUUCCAAUUGAAAUUUUGAGCAGGAAAAAGAAAACAAAUAAAACAUUUUGUUUUCCUACCAAUCAUCACAAAAGAAAUGCUCCAGCAUGAAUGCAACAAAAAUUAUUAUUCUAAACUUAUUUUAAAUUUUAAUUUCCCCAAUUUUAUUUAUUUUCCUAUAUUGAAAAUGCUCACAAAAUAAUUCAUUUAAAUUCAAUUCAUCUAUUUAAAAGAAAUAAAAUUUUUGGGUGUUACAGUCGUGCCACGAGCUAGAAGUGAUAUUUUCAUAUCACUAUCGGGUUUUAAGAUGACCGGAUAAUGUUCUUUAACCGUUAGAUCCACCUAUUUAUUGAUUCGCCAUUGUUGGAUCCUACUAUCGCCAUUGCUUCUGGUUAGAAAAUAAUUCUCCAAAUGCCCUGCCUGUGACGACCUCUUAUAGUCCAACAAGUCAUUGGUUCACCAUUUGUGUAUCUAUGUGUAAUAGUAAAGAGCCAAAAUUUCUGCCACUAAUUUUUUCAUCCAGCCUAAUCACUGAUUCUGUCUCGGAACCCGCUUGUGAAGUCCCACGUCUGAUUAUCAUCUUACCUGUGGACAUGUUCCCAUCUGUGUCCUUUGUCUCGCAAAGUCCCCGCAUCCAUUUUUUCUUCAAUGAAAACGUUAUCUACCGAGUGCAUUGUCGAGUUCAUUUUUUAUCUUUUUUUCCCUUUCGCUUUCUCACGUUUAGUUGUGACUUUUUUGUUUCUUCUUUUUUGUCUUUUGUUUUUUCUUAUAAAUACAGAAAAAUAAAAAAUAAUCAAUGUAUUAUUUUAAGUCUUUGAAAUUCUAAUCCUUUUCUAAUAAAUAAAUAGUUCCAUCACUAAGGCCUGUUUGGAACACGGUAAUUUUUCCCUGUUCCCGAACUCAUUCCUAUGAAAUUUCUGCAUAAUUCCUGUGAAAUCCAUGCGUUCCAAAUUGGCCCUUAAGUUGAUGGAGUUUUAAUUAUAUUAGGAAUAAAGCUUAUAAUAUUAGGAUCUGGACUAGGCGAUGGUCUAAUCAAUCUGUGGACUGAAAUCUUAAGUAGUUUGUCAUCCAAUCCAUUCUAUAUAUAUAUAUAUAUAUAUAUAUAUAAUCACAAUAAUAUCAGUACAAGCUUCCAAGCUGUCUACAUAUACCAGUACUAUUCUCAACGAGGACAGACAUGUCAAAAUCGAGAGAGGUCUUAGUCAUACUCAUCAAGGAACAGACAAAAUUAUUAUCUAAUUAUGGACUAACUAGGCUCAAAAAGUUUAUUUUGCAAAUUAUAAGCAAACUAUGCAAUUAGUUAUUUUUUAUCUAUAUGUAACGCUUUAUGUAUGUGCCACAAAAUUCGAUGUAACGGGGAAUCUUGAAAAGUUUUUAGAUUUUGGAUCGAACUAAACAGGGCCUUAGUUCAUUUUUGCAAUGUCUCGAAUCCUGAGUUCAUUUCCAAUCCCAUUCAUUUUCACCCUAAUCCGACAGCAGAACAGCAUAGUAAAUUUACCAUAUGCCUCUCUGGUGUUCUCCUCCUUCCCCCACCUAUAAAAGGAGAAGCUAGGGUCCAGCAAAGAAAGGUGUAGGGUUGUUACCCUCACUGGUAGCUGGAACCUAGAAAAUCUUGUGUUCGUUUUCCAUCUGAGAUGGUUGAGAGAUAUUCUAUCAUUUUGGACGCUGACAUGAGUUAACGAAGGUGCAUGGUGGGUACAUGCUCCUUGUUGGGCACAUCAAAGUGUCAACACAAAUGUUUAGGCUAAGAACACCUUUUAUUUUUUUGGCAUGGCAUGUUCUUUGUACCACAAAAGUCACAUCUUACAGAGCCUACACUAUUGGUGUAGCCCCAUGUCUUGGAUCUUUGUUGCAGCAGCAUUCGUCCUUCAUCGGGUUUUUCUUGCUUUUGCAGUGGGAACCAACACCAGUGUAGCCCCAUCCUCGACAAGCAAGCCAGCACCCAUAAGGUCUGCAAAUUGGGUACUGCCUGCAAUCUAUCUCUGCUCGUGGCAGUGGCAGUUUAUUUUCCUGGCAGCAAUUGAAGCCUACAUAUCCAACAUAAAUAACAUCAAACAAGACAGUAUCAGAGACUUCCUCUUGCAGCACUAGGAGCCUACAUAUCUAACACAUUAAUUUCUUUAAAUUUAUUGGAGCACUAACACUAACUAAUGUUUCGAUAUCAUAAGAAAUGAAGUAUACAUAAAAGUAUGU